rnacentral:lncRNA from 1 species
GGGACUGAAGAAGUUGGCAGGUGACAAAGUCGUUGUGUGUCAUAAGGAGAACUAUCCCUAUGCUGUGUUUUUCUGCCAUGCAAUAAAACAAACAGCAGCUUAUGUUCUCUCCCUGAAAGGCGAUGAUGGGGUGAAGGUUAAAGCAGUAACCAUCUGCCAUCUAGACACAUCAGAAUGGAACCCAAAGCAUUUGGCCUUCCAAAUCCUCAAAGUUAAGCCCGGAACCAUUCCCAUCUGCCAUUUCCUUUCCACAGAUGCUAUUGCAUGAACAUCACUUAGCACUGUACGUAUAAUAAGCUUGCACCCCUGUAUAAUUAUCUCCCUACUCUACUUAUUUCUGCCUCUUCUGUUGAGAUUUCAAUCAGAACUUGCACACACAAUGCAUCAGCUCACACAAAACCAGAUGAAUUUAAGAAAACAGAAAAAUGCAGAGAAAGAAUGGAUUGGCUACUCAGUAAUGCUCAAAGGUUCGUUGCUAUGCACAAAACAUGGCAGUGCACAAUACUCUCAUUUCUAACGGAACCAUUCCUUUUUACAAUGCUGAGAAUGUGAUCUCAGCCUUACAAUUGAUCCAGCAAUGUAAGCUGGACACUUGUCUUAAAUCUGAGUCAUAUAAGUUUCAUCCAACCAAAAUAUUACAUCUGUGAAAUAAAACUUAAACCAGCAGGAAUUUAUAAUUCGACAUUCCCUUCUAAAUUGUUGACUGGUUUAACACCAAGUAGACCUCUUAAGUAAUUGAAUCGAUCCUUAGACAAAGCUUUAGUGAAUAUGUCAGCUGCUUGCUCUUCGGACUUGCAGUAUCUUAGAUCCACCACACCUUCUUGCAAAGCAUCUCGAAUGAAAUGGUAUAUGCGGUUAAUGUGUUUGGUCUUUUGAUGGAAAACUGGAUUCCUUGUCAUUGCAAUGGCAGAGGUGUUAUCUACCAUUAAUGGAGUUGCCUCUGUUUGCUAUUCUCCAAAGUCUUCAAGCACAAACUUCAACCAUAUAGCUUGAGUAGUAGCUUCACUUACACUAACAUAUUCAACUUCAGUUGUGGAGAGAGCAACACUGGGUUGCUUGACAGAUGCCCAAGAUGACACGCCACUUCCAAAUGAGAAAGCAUAUCUAGAAGUGCUCUUCAUGUCAUCUUGACUCCCACUCCAGUCACUGUCACAGUAUCCAAUUAAUACAACUUCUUUUCCCUUCUGGUAUUCAAUACCAUAAUCAAUUGUGCCUUUGAUAUACCUCAACACCCUCUUAGUUGUUCCAUAGUGUUUCUUUUAGGACAAUGCAUGAAUCUAGCUAAUAAGCUAGCUGCAAACAUUAUGCCAGGCCUUGUAGCUGUUAAGUACAACAAACUUCCCACAAUCUGCCUAUAUUCAUUCUCAUCUGCUGGAUCACUUCCAUCUGCUUUGCAUAAUUUCUCACUUGCCACCAGAGGAGUGCUAACAGGUUUACAUUGUUUUAAGCCAAACUUGCUUAACAGAGUCAAAGCAUAUUUCUUUUGACUUAUGAAAAUACUCUUUUCAGUUUGAAUCACAGCCAUACCAAGAAAAUGAUACAAAAGACCUAAGUUAGUCAUUUCAUACCUUCUCAUCAUCUUAGACUAAAAAUCUGCAAUCAAUUCUUCACUGCUUCCUGUAUACACUAUAUCAUCAACAUAUAUCGAUACAAUGAGUGUUCUAGAGUUUUCCUUGGUCUUGCAAUACAGAGUUGCUUCACUAGAGCUCCUUGUAUAACCGCAGUCAAUAAGAUACGAGUUUAUUUCCUCAUCCCAUGCUCUUGGCGCCUGUUUUAGACCAUACAGAGCUUUCUUUAGUUUGUACACUUUGUCUUUAGAGUUCUUAAUCACAAAACCAUCUGGCUGGUCCACAUAUACUUCUUCCUUAAGCACACCAUUCAGAAAAGCAGACUUGACAUCCAAUUGAUACAACUUCCACCCCUUUUGAGCUGCCAAUGCAAUAAAAGUUCUAAUGGUGUCUAAUCGGACUCUGCACCCCUCUCGAUUGAAAACCUAUUGUGUAAAUCUUCAAUCCUAAACGAUGCACCUAAAACACAUGUUGCAAUACACAUCCACCCAUUCUCAGGCCAAUUAUUGCUCAUAGUGGGCUCCCGACCCCCUCUCAAAUUUAAGUGGUCCAUUAUUCUUAACCACAUAUUUUAUGGACCAUCCAGCUGUGAGGUUUUGUCUCAAAAACCUUCGGUACAUUUCUCCCACAUGCCACAAUUGUAUAUUCACAAUUACGUCUGAUACAUCACAUCAUGCCACUUGCCUCAAAUGAAUUUAAGUGAGUGAGGCAGUUGGAAGUAAUUAAGCUCUAUAUUGGUGGGUGGAGUGUUACUUCUGGGUACCCCUCAUCAUUUGUCUAUAAAAUGGUGAAGUCAGUUGCUACUGUUACCAUAAGAGCCAGCUCCGACUUUCUUUAAUUUCUUGCUUCAUAUCCACUAGCUACAUCUGUUGCCAAGUUAAUUUCAGUCCUAAUGGGGUUUCAUCCCCCACUCAUCUUUGCUAUUCUCAGUGUAAGCUCUGCAAUUUGAUUAACUUUUCCAUGCUCUCUCAUUGUACUCUAUAUAAACGAAAGUUUUGUGGUCCUAUAAUUCUCUCUCGAUUUUAUUUAGUACGUACUUAAGUGUUGUCCACUAAUUAAUUACACUUUGUGAGAUUUGAUUUUAAUUAGAGUUCGAAUUAAUGUUGCAGCUAGCAGCGGUUGCACAGGCAAACAAUGCUGCUCAACCAGCACCUCAACUUUACUGGAACUCCGUCCUGCCAAACACACAGAUGCCAAGAUCUAUCAGUGAACUUCUGCAUCCUGGUUUGUGUUGAGCUCUUUAGAAUCUUAGAUAUCUCUUCUACCUGCCAUUUUACUUAAAUAUGUUCGACCACAUAUUUAUCAGUUAACUACUGUCAUUACAUGAGUGACACAUAUUCACAAAUCGGCUGAUCACUUAUUUUCCAUUAUGACGUUGAUAUAUAAUUUGCAGACUCCACAAAUGAAGAAAAGAGCACAAAUGACGUUGGCAAACCUGAAACUUUCCCAUUGGGCAAUCAAAAUUACUCCAGUCAAAAAAAUUAUGGAACAGGCAAUAAACGUUACUGCAGUCAAAAAAGGUAUGGAAGAGGCAAGAAACGUUACUGCGAUCAAAAAAAGUAUGGAAGAGGUGCUUCUCCAUCUGACAAUCAACUACUCCAUUAUAAAGACUUAGCUAUUUUCUUCUUGGAGAAGGACAUGCGCCCUGGCACAACAAUGAAGUUCCAAUUCUCUAGAAAUUCAAACACGGCUACUUUCUUGCCACGAGAAAGCGCUCAAUCGAUCCCCUUCUCCUCUAACAAACUACCAGAAAUUUUCAACCAUUUUUCAGUGAAGCCAACAUCUGAGGAAGCCAAAACAAUUAAGCAAACAAUCGAAGAGUGUGAAGCUCCCGGCCUUAAGGGAGAGGAAAUAUAUUGCGCCACAUCUUUAGAAUCAAUGGUUGAUUUUAGCACUUCGAAGCUUGGAACAAGAAACGUUGAAGCAAUCUCGACGGAGGUAUUGGAAAAAGGAGCCACCAUGUCCAUGCACAACUAUACAACAAUGCCGGGACUGAAGAAGUUGGCCAGUGACAAAGUCGUUGUGUGUCAUAAGCAGAACUAUCCCUAUGCUGUGUUUUUCUGCCAUGCAAUAAAACAUACAGCAGCUUAUGUUCUCUUCCUGAAAGGCGAUGAUGGGGAGAAGGUUAAAGCAGUAACCAUCUGUCAUCUAGACACAUCAGAAUGGAACCCAGAGCAUAUGUCCUUCCAAAUCGUCAACGUUAAGCCCGGAACCAUUCCCAUCUGCCAUUUCAUUUCCACUGAUGCUAUUGCCUGGGUUCCGAACCACAAAUCUGCAUGAUCAUCACUUAGCACUGUACGUAUAAUUAUCUCCUUACUUAUUUCUGCCUCUUCAUCAUGUGGUGUAAGAUAUAUGAUGAGAUGAAGUUUUUGGGAUUAGUGGUUGGGUUGCCUGAAAAACACAGAUUACAGAAACUGCUUGAAAUUAACCCGAUCAUGUUUUCUCUUGUAACUAUAUAGACUUCAACUUGUACUCAUAAUAAAGCAUGCUAUAUUUAUGAAGAGAUAUUAAUCUAUAUAUAUUUUUUAUAUAUGCUUUGGCUUUGUGGUUCUACCCAAUGUUUGAGUGUUGAAUUGUUACGUUGGAAUAGGCUGCUAAUGCAUGUAGUUAGAGAAGCCUUCAUUUAUAUCAAAGUCCUCAAACUAUCAAGAACUAAUGUAUCCAGAAACAUAUACCAAGACGCAAAACAACAUAUUUUCCAUGCUCUGUCUGUAACACCAAAGCAAACUUCCUUGAUCACAAAAGGAUCAAAUUCCAGUACUAAUCUAAUCCAUCAUGUAAAGCAUACAAGUGCCUCCCUAAAUACUAUACUCUUUUUGUUAUUUCCUACUAUACUAUUUAAGAUUUAAAAUUCAGGUCAACCCAUAGAUUUCUCGCCUUUUUCUUCUUCAUCUCGUCGGGCUUGUCUUCUUCUUGAGGAUUGUAUAGGCCAAGGAAAUGCUUUGAGUUAGUUUUUGCGCUUUUGCGUUUUGGGCCUUGGAAGUUGGGACCCAAACCAACUUCACAAAAAGAAAACGCUCAGACUAUAAUGAGUGGAAAGUUAUAAGGGGUAAGUUAUAAGGAGUUCACUUUAUAGCCAUCAGAUCAAUCUAAGGGCUGGGGAGAAUUGAGAUAAAGUUUUAAAAUCGGGUAGGUGAGGAACCCAAACCCGAAUUGAAUAUCCAGCACGUCCGAAAAAGAAGAAGAAGAGGCAAGCACGUCCGAAAAAGAAGAAGAAGAGGCAAGGUCGAAGUUUGAACAGAAAAAACUCAUCUCUUUAAAACCCAUAGCUCUGAGAAACGGUUGAAGGCAACGGUUAACGACGGUUGUUGAAGCCACUCCGUUCUCCAGACCCUGAAAAAGUAUUUAUUUUGAGUAGAAGGGGCAAAUGUGUGGAUUCCGAAACAGUGAAGGGGCGAAGCAGUGGAAGGGGAAGGAGAGAAGCCGUAUUCGUUGGAAGUGGUAGGUUCCAUUUGUGGAGCAAAGCAACACAAAGACCCCGCACAGACACCUUGCGAUUGUUCAAUAACCAGCAUUUGGUGAGUAAUUUAUGGAAUUUGAGUUUAGGGUUAGAGUAAUGGUUUUCCCCAAUUUGUACCAUCAAUUUUGUUGGAUUUGGCAUCUCUUCUUUGUGCUUCAGUUGCAUGUUAAUUUUUGCUUGGGUAUAUGUUAAAAAAAGAAUGAAAAUCAAGUCAAUAACAAGUGAAUAACAUGUCAAUAAUGAUAUGAAUAAGAUAAUGGUGUUGAAUUGGAGGAGGCCCUCAAAACAUUCCACAUUUGAAGCAGUGCAUAGUGCAGAUUAUCUCUCUGGCGCUAGAAUAUAUAUAUAUUUUGAAAUAAAUAUGAUUUCCUUUGUUACUAAAUUUGCCUGAGAAACAUGAGAACAGAUAAUAAUAAACUCAUGAAUAGAAGUGCAAAGCAUUUGAUGAGUAAUUUAUGGAAUUUGAGUUUAGGCCCAGGAAAUUCCUUGACCCCAAAAAAAAAAAAAAAGUUGAUUUAAAAUUCAGGUCAACCCAUAGAUUUCUCGCCUUUUUCUUCUUCAUCUCGUCGGGCUUGUCUUCUUCUUGAGGAUUGUAUAGGCCCAGGAAAUGCUUUGAGUUAAUUUUUGCAUUUUUGCGUUUUGGGCCUUGGAAGUUGGGACCCAACCCAACUUCACAAAAAGAAAACAGAUUUGCCAAAAAUCAAAUUUCAAGUCUCUCCUCCGAUCGAAAUUUGGAUUUGAUGAACUAAAGUGGUUUUACUUUCUCCAUCAGUGUUUGAUAACUUAAUUUGUUAUUUACUUUUUUUUUAAAAAACUUUGGCUUAUAUAUAUUAGUUUUCUUUUUUCCUUCAUAUUCACCACCUUUAUGUUGCAUAAGUAUUUCAGUCUUAAUGGGUUUCCAUCUACCACUCAUCUUUGCUCUUCUCAGUGUAAGCCUUUUUUUUUUUUUAAAGCACAAGAUUAGAGGGGAGGGGGAUUUCUCAAUGUAAGCUUUGCAGUUUCAUAAUUAAUAUUUCCAAUAUCUCACUGUUAGUAAAAUACAGAAAAAGUACUAAUAACAUAUGCACAUGUUACUAAUUUAUUGAGAUAAAACACCAUUUUGCCCCUAGAAUAUUUUAUUAGGUUUAAAGUUGACUUUUUGACCAGGAAGGAAUUUGGGUAUUUAGACUAUAUCGUUGCGUAGAGCAUGGCGAGAUGAGUCCGUAGACACAUGAUUGGCUCGAAUCAGAGUUAUAAUGAGAGAGAUACGAUCAAAAUACCCUCAGUGGUAUAACCGUAAUUUUGGCUUAAAGGGUUUGAUAAAAUAUAAUUUUUCUUUCUUUCUUUCUCUCUCUCUCUCUCUCUCUCUCUCUCUCCUCUCUCUCACGACGGCAGUGAUAGCCGGCCACUUUUUGGCCAGCCAUGCUCUCGUCCGGCCACUAAAGUUGACGGGGCCGGUACCAAAAUGACCGGGCCACCAUCCUUUUCCAACCCCAGCCAGGCCCCACUGCCAGCAGUCGUGAUUUUGCUGAAAAAUGGAGAAGAAGCGGCCGAUUUCGUUCGAACUUCUCCGACUUCGUUCUCUCUCCUCCGGCCACCGAUUUCGAUGAAUGAGGUAUGGUUUCUCACCUACUUUUUAUGCUCUAGCUGCCUGUUGGGUAGGAUUCGAUCAAUUCCUUGCGUAGGUAGCUUGAUUUUCGAAUUGGAUUUCGGCCGGUUUUGGGAUCUCGAUUCCGGCCACUUCCGGUCAGUUUUUGGGGUACAUCCCAAAACAAAAGUGGUUCUAAAUAGGGUGUUAUACCUAGGGUAGGAACCUUGAACCGUAAUUUUGAGAAUUUUCGGUGAUGCCUAAUCGCUUUGGACACCUACGCUAUGCCUGCGUGUGGGCACUAUAGAAAAAGGGCAUUGUGUCCCGAUGCAAUCCCCUUGUUGUCUUGAGCGCGUAGGUGUGCUCGGAUUUCAAUUUGGAUACCGUUUGAAUCUCGAACGAAUAUCGCAUAUUGUGCGUUAUUCGGGGUCGAUAGGUUUGAACUGUUGGAUAGUCUUAGAUUUAUAAUAUGUUAAUCUAGACAUUCUUAGGAUCGAAUGGGAUUAAACGGAUCGUAAAACGGAGUCCCGGAUACUCCAAAAAUGCCAACCCUAGGGCUAGGUUCCUAGUAACCGUCCGAUCGUGCGAUCGUGAGCGAUCCGACCGUUUGAUCCGAACCAAACUUGCAGGACGUGUAUCCUAAACCUUGUAGAACCCAUAGGAACUUUCGGAUUAGAAUUUGGAGGUCGUGGGCCCCUUGGGCCGUUUGACUAAGUUUGGGUAGUUUGACCCUUGGCUGAUCGUGAGUCUUCAGAGGUCUUGAGCGUUGUUGAGCUAUGUUGACUAGGUUUAGACUUUUAGAGUGUUUAUUAUUAUCAUAGGAAACUAUUAGAUAUUAUUUUAAUAAUUGAAAUUAUCAAAUUUAUGUUUAUGUGCAUGAUUGUUGGUCUAAAAAUAACAUUGUUUUCUUGAUAAAAUUACGUUGCAGUCUACUAUAGACUGGUAUCACUAAAUGGAGAUUACCUCUAUUAUUAGUUUAGAUAAUUAAGAGUAUGUCAGUUUGAAGUGCUAUAUGCACUACCCUAAGUACCACCCUGUGAUUGUUAGGUCCCAUGUGGUGUAGAUUAUACAGCGUCAGGACAGACCCCAUACGUGGCUUUGGAUGUUCUGGCGCAUGGGGGAGAUUAUGUAAUGGUUAGGUCAUACGUGGCGUAGGUUAUUCAGCGUGUUGACAGACCCUAUACGUGGCGUUGGAUGUUCCAGUAUGGAAAGAUUUUGUGAUUGUUAGGUCCCACGUGGCGUAGAUUAUCCGGCGUGAGGACAAACCCCAUUCGUGGCUUUGGAUGUUCCUGCGUAUGGGGGAGAUUAUGUGAUGGUUAGGUCACACGUGGCGUAGGUUAUUCGGCGUGUUGGCUAACCCCAUAAGUGCCGUUGGAUGUAACGACCGGUCCUAAAUAAAUUAGUGAAUAUUAAUUUAUUCAGAGAAAAUACCAUUUUGCCCAUAGAGUAUUUUAUUAGGUUCAAAGUUGACUUUUUGAUCAGAAAGGAAUUUGAGAAUUUCGAUUAUACCGUUGCAUAGAGCACGGCGAGAUGAGUCCGUAGACACGUGGUAUGCUCGAAUCGAAGUUGUAACGAGAGAGAUACGAUCAAAAUACCCUCAGUGGCAUAACCGUAAUUUUGGCAAAAAGGGUCGAUAAAAUCAUAUAUAUAUAUUUUCUCUCUCUCUCUCUCUCUCUCUCUCUCUCUCUCUGCGAUAUUGUCCCUCUCUCUCUUUGAUUCACUGCCAUCUGCCCACGGCAGGACUUGAGACUGGUCACGUUUGAACCGGCUCGAUGUCCCGAUCACGUCGCACCCAAAAUGCAAAUGGAAACCUUGAAUUCCAGCCACGGCUUCGACUGGUUUGAACUGGGUUUUUCCCGGCGUUGCGCCACCGCCUCCGCCGCCCAAUUCCGGUGAAACAGGUAUAAUUCCUCACCUAUUUUUCGAGAUCCAGCUGUUGUUGUGUAGGAAUUAGACGAUUUUCAUGUUUAGGAACUCGAUUUAGAAUUUAGGUUUUGGUCGAAUUUUCAAAGUGAAAUUUCGGCCACUUCCGCUGGUUUUUCGGGGUAUGUCUAAGAACAAAAGUGGUUCCAAAUAGGGUGUUAUACCUAGGGUAGGAACCUUGAGCUGUGAUUUUGAGAAUUUCCGGCGAUGCGUAUUCGCUUUGGACACCCACGCGCCGACAGCGCGUGGGCACUGUAGAAAAGGGGCAUUGUGUCUCAAUGCGAUCUGCUUGUUGUCUUGAGCUCGUAGGUAUGCUCGAAUUUCAAUUUGGAUACUGUUUGAGUCUCGAACGGAUAUCGCAUAGUGUACGUUAUCCGGGUUUGAUAGGUUUGAACCAUUGGAUAGUUUUGAAUUUGAUAUAUGUUAAUCUAGGCAUUUCUAGGAUCAUGUAGGAAUUCAGGGAUCAUGAAUCAGAGCCCCGGAUGUUCCGAUUUAAUAACUUAAAGUUUAUGUUUAUAAUAACUAUCAGAUCGUGCGAUCGUGAGCGAUCCGACUGUCUGAUCUGGACCAAACUUGCAGCACGUAUAUCCUAAACCUUGUGGAACAUAAAAAAAUUUCGGAUUAGAAUUUGGAGGUCGUGGGCCCCGUGGGCCCAUUUAACCAAUUAUGGGUAGUUUGAUCCUUGGUUGACCGUGAGUCUUCCGAGAUAGUUUUACCUUCCUAGGAGGAUUAUAAUGACCCUAGUGAUAGGUCUUGACCGUUGUUCAGCUAUGUUGACUAGGUUGAGACUUCUAGAGUGUUUAUUAUAUUAUUGUAGGAAACUCUUAGAUAUUAUUUUAAUAAUUGAAAUUAUGAAAUUUAUGUUUAUGUGCAUGAUCGUUGGUCUAAAAAUAAUAUUAUUUUCCUGAUAAAAUUACGUUGCAGUCUACUAUAGACUAGUAUCACUAAAGUGGGAAUACCUCUAUUAUUAGUUGAGAUAAUUGGGAGUAUGUCAGUUUGAAAUGUUAUACCCUAAGUACUACUCUAUGAUUGUCAGGUCACCCGUGGCGUAGGAUUUUCCGGUGAGAUGACAGACCCCAUACGUGGCGUUGGAAUUUCCAACGUAUGGAGAGAUUAUAUGAUUGUUAGGUUUCACGUGGCGUAGGAUUUUUCAGCGGGAUGACAAACCCCAUACGUGGCAUUGGAAGUUUCAGCGUAUGGGGAGAUGAUAUGAUUGUUAAGUCACACGUGGCGUAGGUUAUUUGGAGUGCUGACAGACCCCAUACGUGGCGUUGAAAUUUCUGGCGUAUGGAGAGAUGAUAUGAUUGUUAGGUCACUUUGGAUGUUCUAGCGUAUUGGGAGAUUAUGUGAUUACCAGUGAGAUGAAUAAAGGAUUGUUAUGUUAUAUUGGGAAAAACAUGUUUGUAGAAAGAAUUACGUGUGGCUUGAUCCCUCAGUAAGGGUACGUAGGCAGCCUAGGGUAGUGCCUUGGUGCAGUCGCUGACUAAACAUUAUAAUGUUGUUUUUAGGUUUGAUUAUAUGGUAUUAUGGGGCAAGGCCCCUAGGACUAUUGGUGAUAAUUCAUAGAUGGUAGUGGAUGCAUGCUAGAAAUUUGUAGGAAGUUAUUUCAUGUGGAUUGCAGUGGUACUCGUAAAAUUUAUUUGAGUUCCUUAAUUGCAUUGUUAAUAUAUUAAUUUACUUAAGAGUACUGCUAGUAGUUCUGCCUUGAUUUAUUUGAAGGCUGGAGGCCUUGUCUGGAAACUGUGUGCAAUUAGAUUGUGUGUGCUGGCAGUUGACUUUUUAAAUUGUGAAUUUUGUGCAGGUUGAAAUUUGGGAAAUGUUCAAUUUACAGGGGAGACUCUGCUGAAAUUUCGGUAGAAAGUCUUGUGCCCUUAUUCCUUUUUGGGGAAAAGGAUAUAGUUUUAGAAGUGGCGAUGUCGGGAAUUUCCACAGGAUUCGUCUCGGGUUUCGGGAAAUUCGGGGCGGGUCUGAAAAAGUUGUUUCAGUUUUGGCAAGUAUCGGAAAAGACCAAAAUUUUCCGACUUUAUUAUUACUAGAAACAAGGUCGAAGUAUUUACCAAUCAUGUGGCCUUCCAAGUGCUCUAGGUUAAGCCAGGAACCGUUCCUAUCUGCCGUUUCCUUCCCAACUAUGAUCAUGUUGUCUGGGUUCCAACCCACAAAUCUACAUUGGGCUACGUAUUUGAAUUUGUACUAAAGCGUGAUCUAUAGUAUGCAUAUAUUGGAUAAGUUUGAGAUCAGUGGCUUGGGUGUCCGCUGAGCUUGAACAAGUUUGGGUGUGCUGAGUGUUUCCAUGGGUGUGUUGAUGAUCAUGGUUAUUAGAUUUGUGAUAGUUUGGGCUCAAUUUCAACAGAACUCAUCUCAAGCCUAGAUAGUUGAUUCUUAAGUUUAUCAGGAAAAAAAAUUAAAAAUUAAAAAAUCUAAAGUUAAGCCCAAGGCGCCGAACUUGGACUUCUCACCAAACUGUGCAUAAAUUGAAAUAUUUAAUAGAAGCCCAAGAUUUUUGAAGCACAUAAUAUCUACAAAAAUCUACAAAGUGUAAUACUUUACAAACUUCUUAUGUGUACCAAUUUCUGCUCAAAUUAAUUUCUCUGUGGUGCUGAGAUUCAUCAUAAUUUUAGUAGAAAUUGGAAGUUUUCAUCAUUUUUGCUUUAAGUCUCUCCUCCACUCACUAAUAAAGAUUACUCAAGUGAGUUUACAAAACAUUUUUUUUCUACUCUCUCCUGAAGACUACACAUCUUCUCAAAAGAUUAGAUCACUUCACAUCUUGUAUAUGUGAAAACUAAUGCAAAAAGUUGAAACUUUAUCAUAAAACCUCGACAAAAAUUAGCUCUACUUAGAACAUUAAAUUUGGAUUCGUUGAUUUAAAUGGCAAUUUGACACUUCAUAGAAAUUUUUACAUACAUGUGUUAGUGUUUGAUCACUUCACUUAUUACUUACUAUAUUUAUUCCAUGAUUCUCCCUCAAGUUAUGUAAAUAUUAUUAUCAAACAUUUCAAUUCAUUUGUGAUAUUUCUUGUCCAUCUUUCAAUGUACCCUGAAAUCCAUUAGCCACAUAUGAUGACCAAAAUCCACACUCUGUUGUUUGCAAACGUUCAAUAUACGACUUGCAUCCACAGUCCUGACCCAAAUGAAAUGCGGAAACUGUCAAGCUAACUGUAGGGAGGACUAUAUUUGAUUUUACCUUAAAGACUGAUCCGAAACCACCUUCUCCAAGUUUAUUGUUGUUUGAAUAGUUUUUGGUUGCACAAACAACAGCGGCCAAGUCAAAUAAUGGCAAUUCCAGAUCUUCCUUUUGGCCGGGCUUCAGUUCUCCUGUGAAGUACGUAGUGAAGUAAAUAAUGUAGCAUGGAACCUUAGCUUAGAAACCAGAGAGGCAACAGCAAAAAUUUUCUAUAGAACUGAACCUACCUAUCUUAGAAAAUGAAGGGGCAGAAGAGUAGAAAAUCAAAUAGCUUACCAUAUUUUUGUUGCUGGUUCUUCCUCACAUAUAAUAGCAGGGUAAGGCCCAGGGUCAGCAGUCCAGUAGACAACACAGUACUGGUUACUAUGAUCUUUGUAUUGUGUCCUUGAUCUAGGAAUGAAGUAUUUGAAAGCAGAAGAUUGAGGAGUCAGAAAUUCAUAAAGAAAAAAUCUCUACUUUUUAUCAUCCAACGAACAAUUAAUGCUAGUUUCUGAGACAGUUCUAAAGAAAUAUUUUUCUAACAAUGUCAAAAGUUUUCUGGCUCUAUCUUGUUUCUAAUCAUGUCACUGUUGGAAGAUUUCUUUCUUCUUUUUUCCUUGGUGGCUUUUAUUUUUCUUUCAAACUUUGUUUUAAACAGCAAGAUGAUUCCAUACCUAGUUCUGACGAAGCCAUUCUUAUGUAAAUAUCUUGCCCAUUUAUAUUGGAAUAUCUUAUAUCAACCAGAUCGCUGAACCACAGCAAGGACCCCCUUCCUCCAUCUCGGAUAUCCAAAUUUGAAAAAGCGGCGCAGGAGCAGUUGUUCAUGCACAUCAUCUCACAUUCCUUGAGGUUCAUAAUUGUGUUAUACUAGGAUUGUUCUGUACUUUAUUUCACCCCAGUGUACUUCUUAAAGAUGUCUCCACUGCAAUUCAGUUGGCUCUUUCUCACAGAUCUAUAUGACCAAUCCACCAAGUCCCAGUCUUGUUGAAAGUCGGUAUAAAUCCUUUCAAGCAGCUACGUACUGGGGACUUGUCAAUACAACAUGCACCAUUCGGACCACAUAUUCCAUAUUUGUCGCAGAUAUCAGUCGUUGCUCUUAGAUAAACAACCCAACCUUGGUUUCCAUCACUCCCGAUGUAGCUCAGCCCAAAUCCAUCUUGAGUUAACGCCAGCCUGAAAAGAGUUGAGCUGUUGAGAAGCUUAUAACCAUAAUAUACUUCAUCAUCAUUAUCCAACACAAAAUCAUAUGUUGGAUUUAAAUUAUGCAUCCCACUAAAUUGGAUUCCAUUCCAUGGUGCAGUCCGAUAUUUUAUAACAGAACCCUCCCUCAGAAUUAAUUCAUGGUACCCAUAAGGACCAAGUUGAUAUGGGUAAUGUCCUUGAGAAGGAUCCUGGGGGCUUUUCCAGGGUGUAAGAUGCCAAUUAAAACCUGUGAUUUUGUUCCUAACAAGCUUCAUACCUGGUAUUAAUGUAUCUCCUGGGUAAUCAAAACUCUGCCAUAAAAUAUUAUCAGAGUCAUUACGACCAUUGCCAUCUAUCACAACAAGAUUUCCGGAAUCCAAAAUCUGUGCCACUGGAUUCUAUGAAGAACUUGAUGUGUUGGAAGACCUGUAGUGUUCUUUGUUGAAUAUUUGGAUUGCAAAGGGAGCAAGAAAUGUACUGAGAGAGAAAGAGAGAGAGAGAGAGAGAGAGAGAGAGAGAGAGAGAGCAGUGAGCCUUAGAUUGUUCUAACAGUUUUCUUACUCUGCAUGAACAUAGCAGCAGAGCUUAUAUUCCUUCAUGACUGUUACAUGUUCUCUCUUACAUCAGUAGAUUCAAAUCUAACGGUUUGUAAUAGUAAGCCAAUGUGAGUAUGACACAUGGCAAUACACAGCUGUCCUAACAGCUGGGAAUUCAAAACAGACUCUAGCAUUGCACCUGGCAUAUAAGCACAAGGCACUCAGCUAACACAAAGAUUAAAAACAGAUUGAAUAUAAACUGACAUAGAACUUACUAACUAAUCUGAAAUUAGCUAGACAGUUUACAUUUUAACACUCCCUUCUAAAGUGCUAGCUGAUUUCACUCCAAGCAUUCUCCUCAAAUAGUCAAACCUGUCUUUGGGAAGAGCUUUGGUGAAGAUAUCAGCAAUCUGCUCUUCUCCUUUGCAGUAGAGCAGUUCAAUCACUUCUUCUUGUAUUGCAUCUCUAAUAAAAUGAAACUUCCUUUUAAUAUGCUUGCUCCGUUGAUGAAAAACAGGAUUUUUAGCCAUUGCUAUGGCUGAAGUGUUGUCACAAAACACAGUUGUUGCAGUGGUCUGUUCUUCCCCAAAAUCUUCAAGAACAAACCUGAGCCAAAUGGCUUGUGAUGUAGCUUCUGCUGCACUCACAUACUCUGCCUCUGCAGUAGAGAGAGCCACACUGUGUUGUUUGACUGAUGCCCAUGAAAAAGCACCACUUCCAAAUGAAAAUGCAUAUCCAGAAGUGCUUUUCAUAUCUUCCUCAGAUCCACUCCAGUCACUGUCACAGUAACCAACUAAGAGUGCAGAUUUUCCUGUCACAUACUCAAUUCCAUAGUCAAUUGUGCCUUGUAUGUACCUUAGAACCCUUUUAGCUGCCCCAUAGUGCAUCUUAGAAGGGUUAUGCAUGAAUCUUGCAAGCAGGCAGGCAGAGAACAUGAUAUCUGGCCUGGUUGCAGUAAGGUACAGCAGGCUGCCUACAAUUUUUCUGAACAAACUUUCAUCUGCAGCAUCACUUCCAUCCUCUCUUUUCAAUUUAUCAGUAGCCACUAAUGGAGUGCUUACUGACUUGCAGUCUUUGAGUCCAAACUUAUCCAAGAGAGUGAGAGCAUACUUCUUUUGAUGAAUGAAGAUGCUCCCUUCAGUUUGUGUUACUCCCAUACCAAGAAAAUGGUGGAGUAAACCCAAAUCAGACAUCUCAUACUUGCACAUCAUUUCAGCUUUGAAUUCUUUCAUCAUUUCAUCUCUACUUCCUGUGUACACUACGUCAUCUACAUAGAUUGACACUAUUAGUGUUCCCACCUUCCUUUGUUCUCACAUAGAGAGUGGCUUCACUUGGACUUCUGUGAAAACCACACUGAUUCGAGUAGGUGUCAAUUUCACUAUACCAGGCCCUUGGAGCCUGCUUCAACCCAUAGAGGGCUUUUCUUAACCUAUACACCUUAUCCUCAUCAUCUUUAACCACAAAACCAUCCGGUUGAUCAAUAUAAACUUCUUCUUCAAGGACACCAUUUAGGAAGGCUGACUUGACAUCCAAUUGCCAUAGUUUCCAGCCUUUCUGAGCAGCAAGAGCUAUGAGAGUUCUAAUGGUGUCUAACCUUGCUACAGGAGCAAAGGUUUCAUUGAAAUCAAUCCCUGGUUUUUGUGUGUAUCCCUUGGCAACAAGUCUUGCUUUAUGUUUUUGAAUGGAGCCAUCAAGAUUAAGCUUAAUUUUGAAUAUCCACUUCACUCCCACAAUUGGUUUACUACUUGGCCUGUCAACCAAUUCCCAACUGGAGUUUUUCUCUAUCAUAAGUAUCUCCUCAGUCAUAGCCUUCCCCCAAGCUUCAUCUUUGACUGCUUCUUCAAAAUUUUCAGGUUCAAUGAUGCUCAUCUUGCAUUGAGCAUACACUUCACUCAAACUCUUCCAUUUCUUUGGGGUGUUAUCAUAAGUUUCUAAUGGAGCAGAGUCUUGAGUAGCAUGCACAUCAUUACUUGUUUGUGUUUCCAUAGGAGACUGUACAAUCUGUUGCUGUAACAGAUUUGGUUAUGAAUCCAAAUCUGAUACAAUUGAACUUACUCCAUCACCCCAAGACAUAGGGAUUUGCAAUGCCUCAUUGGUUUCCCAAUUCCACAUUGCUUCUUCAUCAAAAAUAACACUCCUAGACAGCUCAAUCUUUUGAGUUCUCAAGUUGAGCACUCUAUACCCCUUUUCACAUACACCAUAUCUUACAAAUACUCCCUUCUCACCUGUGUCUUCCAGCUUGUGCCUUUUCUGUGUGGGGAUGUGAAUAUAGCAUAGAGAACCAAAUAUUCUCAAAUGCUUGACACCUGGUUUUCUUCCACCGAACUUUUCAAAUGGAGUGGAAUUGUCCAGUGCACUUGUAGGACAUCUGUUCUGCAAAUAUACAGCUGUAUUGACAGCUUCUGCCCAAAACUUCAAAGGGAUUUUCUUCUCAUACAUCAUGGCUCUUGCCAUUUCCAUCACAGUACGAUUCUUUCUCUCUGUAACUCCAUUCUGUUGUGGAGAGUAGCCUACUGNNNNNNNNNNNNNNNNNNNNNNNNNNNNNNNNNNNNNNNNNNNNNNNNNNNNNNNNNNNNNNNNNNNNNNNNNNNNNNNNNNNNNNNNNNNNNNNNNNNNNNNNNNNNNNNNNNNNNNNNNNNNNNNNNNNNNNNNNNNNNNNNNNNNNNNNNNNNNNNNNNNNNNNNNNNNNNNNNNNNNNNNNNNGGUGUGGUCAUCAAUGAAGGUGAGGAAAUAUCUGUUCCCUCCAAGAGUGAUGGUCUGCAUUGGACCACAAAUGUCUGAGUGAAUCAGUUCUAGAGGUUGAGUGGCUCUCCAAGCUCCUUCCUUAUCAAAAGAGCUUCUGUGAUUCUUGCUUUCAGCACAACCUGAGCAGACCUUCUCAUGUUCUUGUAAAUUAGGCAUUCCCUGAACCAUAUCUCUCUCUUGUAACAACUUCAAACUAAUAUAGUUUAGGUGCCCAAAUCUUCUGUGCCACAGCCAGGAUGUUUCUCCAACUGUUGCUCUGUUUGCCAUAGGAGGAUUAACAUAGUCAAGAUUUAAAGGAAAACAUUUGUUUCCCUUCAUUGGCACUCUUGCAAUGCAAUCUUCCAACUGCCUAUCUCCAUAGAUAUCAACUGCAUUAUCACCAAAUACAAGCCAAUGCCCAUGUUCUAUCAUUUGACCUACACUUAGCAAAUUUUCAUCUAAACUUGGUACAAUCAUGAUUUCUUUGAUAUAUCUAGUCACACCCUUCAUUUCUAUAGCCAAAGUCCCUUUGCCUAUUAACUGCACUAGAUCACCAGUCCCCAUUUUGACUUUACUCUUCAUACUUUUAUCAACAUUUACAAGUAAUGACUCAUGGGAAGUCAUGUGAUUGCUGCAUGCACUAUCAACAUACCACAUAUUCACAUUCUUUCCAAUUGUUGCAGCAUGACAUGCAUAGAACAUAAUGGCAGGUUCAGUUACCUGAUUUGCAAUGUUAGCAAGUUUCCCUGCCUUGUUUGCUUGGUCACAGUCCUUAACAAAAUGACCAAAUCGAUUGCAGCCAUGACACUUUGGUUUUCCUUUAAACCAACACUCACCAUAGUGUAACUUCUCACAAUGUUUGCAUUUUCCAGAUUUGUCUCCUUGACUUGGUUUUCCCCCUUGAUUGGCACUGUUUUGGGGUUUAGAAUCCCAUUUCUUAUCCUUGGACUUCCAAUUCUUCUUUGAUUUAUUAGAGCCAGAACUAGAACUUGAUUGAGAUCCUUUUGAGUUUAUGCUCAUGCUGCUGAAAGCUUUCUCAGUGGUGCUUUCUGCAUGUCUGUCAAGGCGCUGAGCAAAACCUCUUAAUGCUGCAAUUACCUCCUGCACUUCAAUGGUUUCAAUGUCUCUAGUUUGCUCAAUCACAUAGCAGACUGGAUCAAAUUCCUUGGUUAAGCUUAUUAGCAGUUUUUGAACUAUCCUCCCUUUGGUCAGAUCUUCCCCAUAUCCCUUCAUCUGAUUUACAAGCUCAAGUAACCGAGUGAUGUAUCCAGACAAGAUCUCAUCAUCCUUCAUCCUGGUGUACUCAAAAUCUCGACGCAGACCCUGCAACAUGAUGGAUCUGACUUGCUUAUCACCAUGAAACUCCUGAUGCAAGAUAUCCCAAACACCUUUUGAGGUUUCUUCAUUUGAGAUUCUGGGAAAGAUGUCAUCUGAAACAGCACCUUGGAUAAUACCAAGAGCCUUAGCAUCUUUCAUCAACAAGGACACCAUCUCUGAAUCUGAUGACCCUUCUUUAUCAGCUUUUGAAUCUGGAACUUGAAGGCCUUUCUCAACCAAAUUCCAGAUUCCAUGAGAUUUGAAAAUUGUUCUCAUUCGAAUCUUCCAAAACUCAUAGUUCUCCCCAUUGAAUAUUGGAGCUCUAAGAUCACUCCCUCCUGACCCAGCCAUCUGAGACCAGACUCAAUGAGUUGAGAGUAGGAAAUUUCCCGUUGGAUUUCCAGACUCAGCUCCCACAGCUUCAACGCCCUCUAUCCAGAUCCAACCUGCGCACCUGAUACCAUGUUGAAUAUUUGGAUUGCAAAGGGAGCAAGAAAUGUACUGAGAGAGAGAGAGAGAGAGAGAGAGAGAGAGAGAGAGCAGUGAGCCUUAGAUUGUUCUAACAGUUUUCUUACUCUGCAUGAACAUAGCAGCAGAGCUUAUAUUCCUUCAUGACUGUUACAUGUUCUCUCUUACAUCAGUAGAUUCAAAUCUAACGGUUUGUAAUAGUAAGCCAAUGUGAGUAUGACACAUGGCAAUACACAGCUGUCCUAACAGCUGGGAAUUCAAAACAGACUCUAGCAUUGCACCUGGCAUAUAAGCACAAGGCACUCAGCUAACACAAAGAUUAAAAACAGAUUGAAUAUAAACUGACAUAGAACUUACUAACUAAUCUGAAAUUAGCUAGACAGUUCACAUUUUAACAUUCUUAUGGUCGGCAGGGACAAGAAUUCCAGGGCUGCUCAACUUGAAUACACCUGAUGAACCAGUGAGGGGUGUGUUUCUUUUAGUCUGCACUAUAUAUGCAGGGUCUGACUCUAAUUAGAAGAUAAUUGUAUUAAUUUGGUAAAGCUUUGUCUGUAACUGUCUCGCACCUUAAAAAAAUUUCACAAUUAGCAGCAUUGGCAAUACUUGAUUAGAAAGCAGAAACCCUACAGUAUAUAGUUAAGUUGAGUAGCUGGGAAGACAAUUAGUAAGCUUUCAAUACUAAAGUUGAAUAUUGGGGAGACAAAUUACUAGAGCUUCAAGUUCAGAUAAAUAGGAUGAAUUUCUCUUAAGGGAUCCCCUUUCACUGUAGCUUGGAGUAGAAUUCAUUUUGACACAAUAUCAAUUAUCAAUGUAAACACGUUACUGAUGCACUAUUGACAAUAUCGAUGCACGUCAUAUCAUAUUUGUGGGAGUAAAUUUCCUCACGAGAAUAUUUGGUUCAAAAGAUUCCCCUUUUUUUUUUUUUUGCCGCCUCUUUCUCCUUGCAAAAUAGAACAAAUAAGAGGACCACACCCGGGGGGUGUUGGCCAAAGGCCCUCCGAUGCUAAAUUAGUUCAAGUAUUUGUAAGAAAAAUACUAGCUAACUAGGGUACAGAGGUGUAUUUAAGGUGUAAACCGGGCAGCCGAAGUCUUAUGUAAAAGAGAGAGAGAAAGGAGGUGGCUAGCGUUUGAGAGGAAUUUUCUGCAGAGUUUUUAGUAGAGAUUUCAGACGUACCUCAACCAUUGUGUGUGGCCAUCUUUUUAUAGUGGUCUUGGAGGCUAGGGUUUCAGAGGAAUAAUUCCGUAGAUGGAAAGGAAUUAUUCCUCCCCUAUUUGGAAUUGAUUUGAUUAAUUAGGGAUUUGAUUUAUUAGGGUAAAUCAAAUCCCUAAUUGUGGUAGGUAUCAAAUCAAAUCCUUUUUUAAUUAGGUAACUCCUCAUUUAAUUGGGAAUUGUGGUAGGAAUCAAAUCAAUUCUCAACCUAAUUAGGUAACGUUCAAUUUAAUUGGGUAAUUCCCAAUUAAAUUGAGUAACUCCCAAUUAGGUUGAUUAAUUCCCAAUUAGAUCAAAUAAUCCCCUAAUUGAAGGAAUUAUUUGACCUAGGGUCUGAUUUAAUUCGAUUCCCACAAAUGCCCCCCAGCUUCUGCAUGGUGCAUGGUGGCACGUAGGAGAUGUAAAUUAUCUGUUGGGCUGUCCAGCUGUAACUGGGCUUCCUUCGUGGACCUGGGCUCCCGAGUAGAGGAGGUGUUUGACUUGCCAAUUUUAUGAACACCCAAUUGGAAAGGGUUUGAGAUUCCUUGUAGGUCAAGGAAUUUUGCUCCUUAUAAAUGUAGGGCUCCUCCAAAUUAUUCUCGACAUCAGAAAUCUACUCCUCCAAAUUUGUUAGUGAGAGAGAGAAGACUUUGGAGAAUUUUUCAGCGUGCUUGAGACUUCAUCUUUGCAGCCCAUCCAAGGUAAUUUGAUAGGAAGAAUUUUAUUUUGAGUUGCUAUGACUUUUGGCAGCAAGCUGUGAGACUAAGGGCAUGUCUUGAGGUGCGCGCUAGGGCUUUAGGCAUGGCAAGAGACUCGGAAAGGCUAGCAGGUUCGUUUCCACCUACGCUGGGCUCAAGGAGAAGGCAACAGGGCUUCAGGCCUUGUGGAUGAAGUGGGCUUUCGCUGGGAGCAAGAGGCCUGGAGCUGAGGCAAGGAGACAAUGGGCCUGGUACGAGGUGUGGGCUGAGCAUGCCAGCUUUGGAGCAAGGGGGCCAGGACGACUGCUGGGCAGGAGGUGCGCUGGGCUGCAUGCGCGAGCUGCGCCGAGUGCUGGCUGGAGGAGCGAGCUGGGCUGCGCGCUAGGCCAUUCAUGCUGGGCUACUUCCGUUUUUUUUUUGUUUUUUUUUAAAUUUUAUUUGCUGUUGCUGCUUUUUUUUUUGUUUUUUUGUUUUUUUUUUGUUUGGUAUUCUAACUCGUAAUUUUUUUUUUCUUCUUACAGCUACUUGUUGAUCAACCAUGUCUUCCGGAGAUGGUAGCAAGGCUCCAAGCUCUUAGGUCCUUUUGUAUUUAUGGGGAGGCUCCAUAGUGCAUGGCAAGAAGUUUGUGGUCAACUUGCAUCGCGUCACGACUUAUGCUCAGUUCCAGAAGUGGCGGGCCACUUAUGCGUCUGCCAUUCCAGAUGACGUGCUGGUCAAGCUAUUGAAAUCUCAAACUGAUAACGAGCCUUUGGUGGACGUGAGUGAUCAUGAUGCUAGGAUCAUUACCUUCCGUCCUUUUUACUUCUCUUUAGGCUUCAAAUUCCCGUUGUCAAAGCUCUUCAAGAAGGUGUUCUGUGCCAUGGGGUGUGCUCCGAGCCACUGUACUCAUGUGCUUCAAGAAUUUGAGUCGUUUCUUCAUGUUGGAGCUGACGAUGCGAGAGUUCUUUUAUUUUUUUCGAAGUGAGGCACUUUGAGCGGUACGCCCAAGUUCGUAUCUACAAGGCCAAGCUGUUCCACGGUCUCAGUCAAGGAGAUCACGCUUGACAUGAAGAUGUGUUGGAGGUCAGCAGACGGUGGGAGGGUGACGUCGGUGACGGCCCACCUGUUCCCAUCACCUAUUGUGAUGGUAUGUCUCUUUACGAUUUUUGAUAUGCUCCUUUUAUUUGAAUUUCUUGAAGUGUGGCAGACUAACUUCUAUCUUCUGCUCGUAGUGAGUGACAUUAGCAAGCAAUUGGAGCUCCGACCAGACAUGGCUAAGGUCCGUCGUGCUUUGAACAUCCCUCUAAGGUUUCACGAGUGGCGCUGGCUGUUGAGUGAGUACCGGGAGGAAGACGGUGGUUUUCUCCUUGCCGAGGAUGUCGAAAGGUGGAAGCAGAACGAUCCUGACCCUGAUGAUCUGCUUGGCAGACAGGAAGAAUGUUCUGCUUAAUCGCUCUUAAAGAGAAAGGCUGCUGCCAAAUCUUUGAGAUGUGAAGCUACUUCUUCGCAUGCAAAGGAUGGGUCUCCAUCGAGGAAGAAACCAAGGCUCCCUUCUGCUGAGAAGACUCAAGUGGGGUCUGCUCCCUCAUCAUCUGCCAGGGUUAAGCAUCUCGUGGGUGCAGAUAGCAAGAAGGUUGGUGGUAUGCAUGGUACUCGGGGUGUUCUGCCCAAGCUUCCUGCUGACACGCUCGAAAACCAUGAUAUACUUCGUGAAGUGGCUCGUGCCCAACCUAGUUCUGCCAAGCGUCAAAGAGAUGUAGACAUUCCUCCUAGAAGUUCGAGUUGUCUGCAUCGGUCAAAAGAUGGAGACCGAAGCGGGAGGUCUGCUUAUGAUCCAGCAUUAUUGACUCAUUUGGAGAUGAGGUUGGCGAAGGCUAAGAAGGUGAAAGAGUCAUCUGCCCGGGUUAAGGGUUCUUCCUCGGCGUUGGUAGUUGGUCCCAAGAUGAACAAGUCUAGCUCUGUAGGGGAUGCAUGCGUAUCUGAUCUGCUCAAGAUGAACUUCCUAUCAAACCCGUCCUCUUGUGUUGAGUUGGUUGAUCACAUCCCUCAAGCGGGCGAUCUAGGCACUUUCUCGUGCCUUUCCUUAGAAAAAUGAAGGAAAAUGACAUUCCAUCUGAUUCAAAAAGGACUGGUUUUUGCUACUGAGACUAUUUGGAACUCAUCUGCUAUUGCCCCUCUUCUGUCCAACUCAGCGAGUUGGAGAAGAAGAAUGCUGAUUGGCUAGACAGCUUUCCGCCGAGCAGGCCCGUUACGAGAAGAAGAUGUCUGAUUUGAGGGCGAUGAUAUCUGAGCUGAAAAGCUCCCUUACCGAGAAGGAUUUCGAGCUCAACUCUUCUGCUGCUGAUUUGGCUAGUCGAAAAGAUACCUUCUUUCGUCUUGAGCAUAAGAAUGCUGACAUCUUCCUUAGCUAUAACAAACUCCUGGCUAGAUUUCAUGCCUACCAUAAGUCUGCUAAAGAAUCCAAGACAGAUGGAGCUGCUGAAGGCGUAGCCGGUCAGGUGGAUGCCGAAGAGGCUGCAGCUUAAAAGUCUUCUGCUGGCGUCUCAGAGUAGAUGAAGACUCUUUUUUGUUUCUUUUCAGCUUUUGUAGUUUGCUUUAUUGUUUAGAAUAACUGGUCUUAUUUGACCAUCUUCUUUUUGUUGAACUUGGCUGGUUGGUCUGUUUGUUAGGGAAAUUUCAGUUACAUUUUCCAACUUCAAUUUGCAUAUUUGACUUGUGAACUGCUUAAGUAACCAGCCUGUGUUUUGAUUGCACAUCCCCCUUUAGAGAUUUGUGAGUACCAGGGUCCCCCUUGGAGGACUCCGGCCAUGCACAGUAUAUCUCGUAGGAUGGUUCCCCUUAGGAAGUUGGCGAGUACCAGGGUCCUCUUUGAGAGACUCCGGGUGUGUUCUGCACAUCCCGUAUGAUGCCUUAAUCGUCGCCUUGCUUCUCCCGUAGGACGCUGCUUAUAGGCAACUAUAUGACUAUCCUGCCUUUCUUAGGAAACGGAUAGGAACCUGGAUAUUUCCCGCAUGAAGCAUGGAGACCUCCUUUUAAGAAAUUUUUGGUGCACCAUGCUUCUCCCUUAGGACGCUUUUUUCGCAGGCUGGGUCUCCAAAUGGACGCUUUUAGUCGUUGCCCUGCGUCUCCCUUAGGACGCUCCUUAUGGGCAACUGUGUGACUAUCCUGCCUCCCUUAGGAAAUGGAUAAGACUUGAAUAUUUCCCGCAGUAAGCAUGGCGACCCCCUUUUAAGAAACUCCUGGCGUACCCUGCAUCUCCCUUAGGAUGCUUUUUAAGAGGGCUGCUUCUCCAAACGGACGCUUUUAGUCGUUGCCUAUGUCUCCCCUAGGAUGCUCCUUAUGGGCAACUGUGUGACUAUCCUGCCUCCCUUAGGAAACAGAUAGGAAACUAGAUAUCUCCCUUAGGAAAUUCCUAGCGCACCUUGCGUCUCCCGAAGGACGCUUUUUUAGCUGGCUACGUCCCGAAACGGACACUUUUAGUCGUCGCCCUGCGUCUCCCUUAGAAUGCGCCUUAUAGGCAACUGUGUGACUAUCCUGCCUCCCUUAGGAAACGGAUAGGAACCUGGAUAUCUCUCUUAGGAAAUUCCUGGGGCACCUUGCGUCUCCCGAAGGACGCUGCUUAUGGGAAAAUAUUGUGUUUCGUGGGCAGAUGAGACAUUUUGGAAUGAGAAACUGAACUUAUAUUGAUAUUCAUAAGAUUACAGUCCUUUAUUUGAAAAUGGAAAUAACUUGGUUCAAAAACUUAGAACUUCUAGCAGCUACGAGGAAGCACUAUGGAUAAUACUUUCGGAGAUGGUGAGCAUUCCAUUGUCGUGGUAUUUCCUUCCUAUCCAUGGUGUCCAGUGUGUUGCUUCCUCUGCCCCGGACCUGCUGAUCACAUAAACGCCCUCCCAGUUAGGAUUCACUUUUUUUGACCCGUGUCUUGGUGCAGUAAUGAAAGCCUUAGCACGAGGUCGCCUGGUUGAAACUGUUUGACCUUAGCUCUUUUGUCGUAGUAAGACUUCAACUGCUAGUGAUAGGAGGCGACCCGAAUAAUGGUCUUCUCACGCCUGCCCUCAAGUAAGUUGAGGUUGAGCCUCAUCUGCUCGGAGUUCUGAUCAACACUGCCUACCUUAAGACUUAUAGAGAGGACAGUGAUGUGAGGUGGUAUGAUCACUUCUGUUCCAUAGGCGAGAGAGAAUGGGGUUUCACCAGUCGAUCUUCGCUUGGUGGUGUGAUAAACCCAUGGUACUCUGGGGAGUUCAUCCACUCAUUUCCCUUCAGCGCCUUCCAGCCUUUUCUUUAAGCAGUCCAAUAUGACUUUGUUGGAUGCCUUGGCUUGUCCAUUUCCUUGUGGAUACCUCGGGGUGGACAAGUGUUGUUUGAUCUUGUAUUUCACAAAAAAAGCGGUGAUCUGCUUGCCAAUGAACUGUGAGCCAUUGUCGGUAACCAACGACUGUGGGCAGCCAAACCGGCAUAUGAUGUUUCUCCAGAUGAAUCACUCCACAUCGGCUUCUUUAGUAAAUGAUAGAGCUUCGGCCUCGAUUCAUUUAGUAAAGUAGUCGGUGGGGACGAUCAUCAUUUCUUUCUUGGCGGGCGCUAGUGGCAAGGGAUCCACUAGGUCGAUGGCCCAUUGCAUGAACAGCCAUGGACUGUUUUGCGGAUGAUAGACUUCGGCAGGCAAGUUAGGGAUCGGCUUGUAUUGCUGACAGCGUCACAUUUCUUGGCACAUUCAGCACAGUCGUGACGUAUGGUAGGCCAGAAGUAGCCUAUGUUUAGAACUUUCUGGGCGAGUGACCUGCCCCAGAAUGGUUGCCAUACUCGUCGUCGUGAAUUUUACAGAUAAUCUCAAGUGUUUGAUGGUACUUUAUGCAGGUGAGAUGAAGGCCGGAGUAUGAUCUGUGGAUGAGCUUGUUGCCGUGCAUGUAGUAUCUCUCGGCCUUUUGCUGGACUUUUCUAGCUUCGGACUUGUCCGUUGGCAGGUUUCCAUUCGUGAAAUAGUCGAUGAUGAGGUCUUGCUAGCUGGGGUCCUCGUCAAUCUGCAUGGUAUUAAUCGGCUCUAUUUCUUCAAUGCUUGGUCGGUCAAGGUGUUCGACCUAGAUGGAGUGUUUGAACUGGGUAUCCAGCGUUGAACCUUGGCUUGCCAGUGCGUCUGCAUGCGCGUUCUUUGCCCGGGACACUUGUUGGAUAGUGAAGGUAGGAAAUGCCUUCAACAGCUCUUGGACUCUAUCAAGGUAUAAGAUCAUCCUUGGGUGCUUUGCCAUAUAUUCACCUGAGGCUUGAUUCGUGAUCAACUGUGAGUUUGAGUAGAUGGCUAGCUUUUUGAUUGCGAGCUCCUUUGCCAAGCGUAAGUCGGCGAGUAAUGCCUCGUAUUCUACCUCGUUGUUCGAGACCGAGAAGCCAAGCGUAAUAGCUUGCUCUAACAGGGUUCUAUCCAGGGUGGUGAUAACGACCCCUGCUCCAGCUCCUUUUUGGUUCGACGCUCCGUCUACACGCAACUGCCACAUGUCUCUGGGAUGGCUUGGUUCUGCGGAGGUCCUGUCUGCUUUUGAACUUCCCUCCUUUUGGUUGACUAACUUCUCUUUUUUGGCUGAUGGGGUGAAUUCUGCGACGAAGUAUGCUAAAGCCUGGGCUUUUAUUGCAGUUUUUGGCCCGUAGAGGAGGUCAUAUUGGCUUAGCUCUAUAGCCCACUUCAUGAGUCGCUGAGAAGCAUCAGGGCUGUGGAGGAUUGAUCUCAAAAGAAAGUCAGUCAUGACUAUGACUCGAUGAGCUUAGUAGUAGGGUCGCAGCUUUCUCGCAGAAACUACAAGAGCCAAAAUAAGUUUCUCCAAUUUCGGGUAACGAGUCUCUGCAUCGAGGAGAGCUUUUGACGUGUAGAAUACCGGAUAUUGGGCCCCUAUCUCUUCUCGGAUGAGAGCUGAACUGACAGCUGAGUUGGACUUACCUCACUAGGGACUGGAUUUGAGAGCAUGGAAGGUGAGGUGAGGUAAGUCUUCAGAUUAUGGAAAGCUACUUUGCAGUCCUCAUCCCAUUUCUCUCUUUGUCCUUUCUUCAAAGCUUUGAAGAGUGGUCUGCACUUGUCGGUUGAUCUCGAGAGGAAUCGGUUGAGAACCGCUGCUUUGUCCGUCAGACUUUAUAUCUCUUUCACCGUGGAAGGCGACUUCAUCUCUAGAAUGGCUUUGAUUUGACGUGGAUGUGCCUCGACACCUCGUUGCGUGGCUAGGUAUCCCAAGAAUCGGCCGGAGGAUACACCAAACAGGCAUUUACUUGGAUUCAACUUCAUGCGAUACUGGCGGAGCAAGCUGAAUGAUUGGGUAAGACUUCCGAUGUGAUCUGCACGUUUUGGGGCUUUGACCAGCAUGUCAUCCACGUAGACCUUCAUAGUUUUGCCGAUCUGCUUAUUGAAGAUUUUAUUCCCGAGCCUUUGAUAGGUUGCUUUGGCGUUCUUCAGCCCAAAGGGCAUGACCUUAUAGCAGCAGGUCCCUCUCUCGAUGAUGAAAAAAGUUUUUGCCUUGUCAUCCUCGUGCAUCAGGAUUUGUUUAUAGCUGGACUAGGCGUCCAUGAAGCUAAGCAGUUGAUUGCCAGAAGUGGAAUCCACGAGUUGGUCGAUUCUCGGCAAUGAGAAGUUGUCUUUAGGGCAUGCUUUGUUGAGGUCUGUGUAAUCGACACAAACUCUCCAUUUGCCAUUUUCUUGUUUUGCCACCAAAACAACGUUGGCAAGCCACUCUGAGUAGGAGGCCUCUUCGAUGAAGCCGACAGCUAGGAGUUUGUCAAUCUCGGCCUCGAUGAUAGCAAGUCGCUGGGGUGCGAAGUUGCGUCUCUUCUGCGCCACUGGCUUGCAGGCAGGGUUGAAGUGGAGUCAGUGACAGAUGAUGUUCUUGUCGAUGCCAGACUUGUCUGACGGCAACCAUGCGAACAUGUCUCUGUUGCUCUGGAGGAAGGUGGUAAGCUCCACAUUCUCUUCUGGCCUUAGGCGCGAACCGAUCCACUCUUUCCUAUCUGGUUGGUCAGGAUCCAAGGGUAUUAACUCGACGUCCUCCUUGGGUUUCCAUCCUUCUUCAGGAAAGACCUAUGGACGGAUUUCCUCGACUUGGUCCUGACGCUUUAAUUGCUAUAAGAUAGCAAGAUCCAGUUGCUCAACCUCCUCCAGAUCUGCCUGGCUCACAGGGAGAAACUGCGCUUGUUUACCUUUCUUUAGCCCUUGGGCGGAGCAUUUCCUCGCCAUUGCCUAAUCGUUGUUGAUUUGGCCGACACCGCCCCCAAGGAUUGGGUACCGAAUUUUCUAAUGUGUGGCGGAGGUGAUUGCAUUAAUUUUGCCAAUCGAUGGUCUGCCCAGAAUGCCGUUGUAGGGUAAGACCUUAUUAAUGACCAUGAAGGUUAUGAGCUGAUUAUAAGUGGGGAGUAGACGUCGAGGUCUAUCAUGCCCACGGUAACCGUUGUUGCACCAUUAAAAUCGCUCAGCAACCUAGCUAAUUUGUAAAUCUUUGUCUCCAAUCCCAUCUGUUGAAUGACCUCCAGUUGCAGGAUAUUGGCUGCGCUGCCCUCGUCUGUGUGGAUUCAGUCUACCAUGACCUGAGCAAUUUGAAUGCUGAUGACAAGGGCUUCGUUAUGUGGCAUGUAGAGGCCGAUCAGAUCUUUCUUUUGGAAGCCGAUUACAGGAUCGUCUUCUGCUGGUGGAAGGUCGGUCGAGAUUUGGGAGAUCACAGUGGUCUGUUUGAUCUUCCUCUUUUUUUCCUUUCUGGUCAGCCCAGACUCCUCGGAGUCAGCUAGGAUUGUGUUAAUUCUUAUGACCUUCUGAGGCGGCUCCUUGGCGAUGUCACGAUCUUCUAUCCGCUGGAUGACCUUCUUUGCAAUGAAUUCUGUGCAGUGACCUUCUCUCACGAGUUCUUCAAGAUGUGCUUUCCAAGCGAAGCAGUUGUUCAUAGUGUGUCCGUGCAUUUCAUGGACGGCACAGUAUUUGCUAGUAUUCCUUUUGUCCGGAUCUUCUUUCAAGGGUGGUGGUCUUCUUACCCAAGGUUGUUCUUCACUUGGGCUAAGAUUUGAUGUAUGGAGAUGGUGAACUUGGUGUAGUUCUCUCCUGCCGUAGCAUCCCCUUAUGGGUGCGACCUGCGCUUGUCCUUGUCCCUGUUGCUAAAUCCGUCGCUUCUUUGGCCUGCCCCCUUAGUCGGCUGAUCUUCCUGCUUAGUAGAGUUCUUUGCGGCGAUUCGAUCGUCAUCCCAAAGCGCAUAGCUUUCCGCGGUCUCGUAGACCUCUGCCAAAGUUUGGCUGGGAGUGAUGGUCAGCUCGUGGUACAAGUCGUGCUCAGUCGAAAGGUCUUUCUUGAAAGCAGAGGACGCAAUUUGGUCAUCACAUCCUACAAUGUUGGCCUUUUCUACUUUGAAUCUCUUGAUGUAAUCUCUAAAGGAUUCGUCGAACUUCUUGCGCAGGUUAUACAGGUGGUCAGGGUUCUUCUUGAUUGUUCGGUAAGAGGUGUAUUCUUUGGUGAAUAAGUAAGUCAGCUCCUUGAAGCUGCUGAUCGACCUGGAUGGCAGAGUAUGGAACGAGUCUUGGGCUUCCUCACAAGGUCAUUGCAAACACCUUGCACAUCAGCGCGUCGUCAACCUUGUGGAGGAUCAUGACACUUUUGAAGUGUUUUAGAUGGCUCUCAGGAUCGGAAUCCCCCUUGAAGUGUGUGAAUGUGGGCGUUGAGAAUCGCUUCAGGAGAGCAGCCUGCUCGAUUUUGGCAGUGAAAGGUGUAGAGUAUGCCUGGUCUACCUCAUUUCGUACAUCUUCGAAAUUUCCACCGGUCUUCAAGUCUCGAAGUUGGUCAUUCACAAGCUUCUCUACGUCUUCCGCACACAUUGCUUGUCGGCCACAUUGGCGACCUUCACGAAUUGUUCGAUGCUGACUGACUUCCUCGUUGAUUUCCGAGGAUCGACCUUCUUGUCUGCAUUGCCUAGGUGGAGUGUUGGUGGAUUGCGCCUACGAAAGAUUCUCUGUGGCUUGUCAAUGAGAAUCGGUUCUUCGAGAGUGAGUAACGAAGUGCCUUUCCUCAUGGUCCUUAUUGUGAGGGUUAUCCAGCUGACCUCCCUGGGGCCUAGCCUUUCCUGAAUGCUUCUCUGCGAGUAGACAGUUGAAUGCUUUUCUUCACGAUCCUCGUUGUGAUGGUUGUUUGGCUGACCUCCUUAGGGUCUUAGCCUUUGAUGUACAUUUCCCUGCCUGCCCAAGUAGGUGCGGACGUCGAGUCGUGGGCCCAGCCUUUCGUGCACGUCGUUCCUUAAACUCAAUCUGCUCUGAGUGUGGCUUGCAGAUGCUUGCGACAUGUCGGCAGGUCGAUCACGUUGUUGUCCCUCGACUUGUCUGCCCACUCUUGCUUGACCUGCUUGGUACUCGUUGAGCUGUCUACCGGCCCGUUCAUCCUUCCUUCUUUCCUCGCCUGGUUGUCCAAGGCCAAGGUUUUGAGCAAAGCUUAUUUGGUUGAGGAGCUGCCUCAUUAGAUUGUUUUGGUCGUCCAUUCUUUAAGCUAGCUGGUCAACUCUCAGAUUAAGGUCUGCUUGAUUUCAUGGAUCAGGAGGAGAGAAGUGUGUGGAGCUCAACUGCACAUAGGCUAGGGUUUCAUUAGAGGUGUAUGCGGGAGCGUGUGUCGAGCGUGGAGGCAAUAGAGGGAAUGCUUGGAGUUGCUCCAAGACCGGCCCUAGGUCGGCGGUGGUAACGAGUCCACCUUGAUGGGAAGUUCCACCAUGUUUGGCGGCAGUGACCGAUGCAGUGGUGAGAGGUGGUGGUGCCACCAUGUCGAUCGCGGGAUCGUUGGUGGAGUGGCUUUGGGCCGUCGCAAAUCUAGCCAUCAUGGCGGCUUUGCCUCUCGUGUUCAUGCUUCCAACCAUGGUUGUUUGGAAGGCUUAGGUGGAUUGGAAAAUUAGAGGAACGGAUUCCUUGAGCACGCAUUGAGUAUAACUCGUGCUCUCAAUGAAAGCACCAAUUUGUGGGAGCAAAUUUCCCCACGAGAAUAUUCGGUUCGAAAGAUUCCCCUUUCUUAUUCGCCGCCUCUUUCUCCUCGCAAAAUAGAACAAAUAAGAGGACCACACCCGAGGGGUGUUGGCCAAAGGCCCUCCGAUGCCUAAAUUAGUUCAAGUAUUUGUAAGAAAAACACUAGCUAACUAGGGUAUGGAGAUGUGUUUAAGGUGUAAACCGGGCGGCCGGAACCUUAUGUAAAAGAGAGAGAGAAAUGAGGUGGCUAGGGUUUGAGAGGAAUUUUCUGCAGAGUUUUUAGUAGAGAUUUCAGACGUACCUCAACCAUUGUGUGUGGCCAUCUUUUUAUAGUGGUCUUGGAGGCUAGAGUUUCAGAGAAAUAAUUUCGUAGAUGGAAAGGAAUUAUUCCUCCCCUAUUUAGAAUUGAUUUGAUUAAUUACGGAUUUGAUUUAUUAGGGUAAAUCAAAUCCCUAAUUGUGGUAAGUAUCAAAUCAAAUCCUUUUUUAAUUAGGUAACUGCUCAUUUAAUUGACAAUUGUGGUAGGAAUCAAAUCAAUUCUCAACCUAAUUGGUAACGUUCAAUUUAAUUGGGUAAUUCCCAAUUAAAUUGAGUAACUCCCAAUUAGGUUGAUUAAUUCACACUUAGAUCAAAUAAUCCCCAAAUGGAAAGAAUUAUUUGACCUAAGGUAUGAUUUAAUUCGAUUCCCACAAUAUUUAGAUGCAUAAUUGAAUGCGAAUAAACAUCACUCUCUCCAGUGUGAAAUGGCGAAAAUUCUCUUCAAUCAAAAGUGGGCUUACUUCAAAUUUAGUUGAAGAAUGAUGGUGUGUCUUGCCUGACAAUUGACAAUUAGGUUUAGGAGCGUUCCUCUAGUAGAAAAAUCUAAAUCAUUUGUGGUCAUCCACUCACUUGGUUAGUCUUCCAGAAUCAAAUACCAAAUCAACCCAAAGGAAGCUGCAAUUUUCUGAAUUGUAUACUUGUUUUAAUUCUUCCUAUCUUUUUCUCUCUUUCAUUUUUUUUGUCUCCCUCAAGUUAAUACUUAAGUGAGUUGCCAAAUGGGGGUAAAAAAGAGAGUAGAAGAGAUGAACCCCACAUUUGACUUUAAUAGACAAAUGCCCAAGAGAAGUACCAGUAAGAGCAUCUCCAAUUGGGAGGUGCUAUCCUAUAAUUUGACACACAUUUCUUUUUUCUUUUUUUUCAAUUCUAACAACAUGUCAUCUAUAUCGCAAUAGGCCGUUGUAGUUAAAUUUUCAAAUAACCAAGUUGCUCUCUAUUUUCCAAAGAAGACUAGAAAACAACUUACCAUCUAUCUGGUGCUGCUUCUUCCAAACAUUAGAAAAAACAGAGCUACACCCAGGAGGAGCCCAGGAGAUGACACAAUACUGCCUACUAUGAUUCUUACUUUCUUCACAUUCAAUGAGACUAUAAAAUAUAACCCAAGUGGUCUAACCCCCCAGGGCGGAAAUUGGGUUUAGCAAGUUUAGCACUGAUUGUUGUAUAGUCUUAAACAGUCCUGAUCUCUUGGACCCCUGUAGUCCAAGAGAUUUAUGGUCACCCACCGUUGGAUGUAAAUUCAACGGUUGACUUGAAUCGGGUAAUAAUAAUUUAUGUCAUAUUGCAUUUAUAUAUAUCAUUUUGAACCAUUGGAUUAAUAUCCAACGGUGGGUGACCACAAUCUCUUGGACUCCUGUGGUCCAAGAGAUCGGGACUGUAGUCUUAAAAUAAGUAGUUUAGCGAGUGCAAACUUCGACUUAAAAAAACUCUCAUGUAUAGCCGCGCGGCUAUACUAUUUACAUAUAAAUAUAUAAAAAAGCACCCCCUAGUCACGUGUCACAAAUAGUAUAGUCGAAAACAGUAGAGCCGCGCGGCUAUACUGUUUUUAAAAUAAAAAAAACCAUAUUCGAUUCUCCUUAUAUUUAAAAGGGGUAUAGCCGCAUGGCGAUACUAAUUUUUUUUUUUCAAAAAAAGGGACCCCAGUACUCCUUUUAUAUAUUAUAAUAUAUUGUCUAAUAUUUGGAAUAUUUACUCUAAAAUAAACAAUAUAUUAGGUUCUUUUUGUCUACAAAUUGACCAUUAAACUUCUUAAUCACUCUUAUACUUUCAAUUAAAUCUACUAGGCUAGGUUAUGAUAUUUUCACUAAAAAACUCCUCCUUUUUUUCUUCUCUUUCUCUUCCUGUUUUGUUUAACUUAAGCUUAAGUUUUGUAAUUUUUUUUCCCGCCCUUUUUACAUGUUUGAGUAGGGUACUUUAAUAUUGGGAUUUAUGAACUUUUUUUGUAUUUCUUCUUUAUAUUGGAAUAUAAAUUAUUAACUUUUGAGUCUUUAAUAGUGUAGAUGAUGAGAUUAUUAUUCAACCAUUUUAUAAUAUGAAAUGAAGGACAAUCAUGAUUGUGAUGAAUGGAUUAUUAAUCAAUAUGAAAUGAUAUUAUGAAGUGGGCUAAAUCGAGUAGUUAGUAUCGUAUUGUUGAGACCCAAAAAAUCCAAGGCUAGGCCCAAAUAUAUUAUGAAGUGGGCUAAAUCGAGUAGUUAGUAUCGUAUUGUUGAGACCCAAAAAAUUCAAGGCUAGGCCCAAAUAUAUUUCCGGUCCAAUGCGAUACCUUACCGAGAAGAAACCUUAUUUGGGCACGCGAAAGUUCGUCAUAUGCUCUUGCACACAUGCCAUGCCAAGCAAAUAAGCAACAUGCCACGCUACAAGCUUAAGUGGGCCCAAGCCACGUGAAUGCCUAGGGCCUGCUGAGUGGGUUGUGGUAUGGAUGGUUAUGAGUAUUCACGAGGCCCAUUGAUGGUCUAAGGAGUGGAAGUUUUGGGCUACUUGGGAGCACCAAAACUCAAGCCCAUUCAUUGAGCCCAAACAUAUGGGUAAGCAUGAGAUAAAACCUAGUAGCCCAUCACCUUAAGAAAUCCUAAUAGCCCAUAACAUGUGAGAAAAUCCCACAUCAACCAAAGCUUCCAGCAGUCUGACGAAAUCAAAGGGAACUCACAAGCCGUUGGAAACAAAACAACCCAACACUGUAACACCCCGACCCCAAAUUUCCCCAAAUUUAACCCUUAUUUAAUUAUUUAAGGGUAUUUUAGUCAUAUUUUUAACCGGAGAGAGUUUGGGGCAAUGACUAGUAUUUUUGGAUAGGUCGUACUGAGACGAGUUUAUGGACACGCAGUGAGCUCGAAUCGGAGUUGUAACGAGAGAGAUAUGGUCAAAAGAAGCCCAGUGGCACAAUCGUAAAUAUUUUGAAAUGAGAUUUUUUAUAAAAAUCUGGUUUUCUCUCUCUCUCUCUCUCUCUCUCUCUCUCUCUCUCUCUCUCUCUCUCUCUCGCUAGCGACCUCUCUCUCUCUCCCCCGUCGGUCUCUCCCCUCUUUCUCCUCGUAACUCCGGCCACCGGCCCCGGCUGUGGACGGGGCCGGUACCAAAAUGACCGAGGCGUCGUCCUCUUCCUACCCCAGCCACCUCCCACCGCCAGCCGUCGCGGAUUCGCCGGAAUCUGGAGAUGAAGCGGCCUACGUCGUCCAAAUUUCAAAGCUGCCGAUCUCCCUCCUCCGGCCACCAAUUCCGUCGACCCAGGUAUGGAUUUUGAACUUCUCGAGCUGCUCUAGCUGAUGGUUGGGUAGGAUUAGAUCGAUUCUUAGCUUAGACAACUCGAUUUUCAAAUUGAAAAUCGGCCGAACUUCGGCUGCCGUGAUCGGCCAUUUCCGGCCACUUUUUGGGGUAGGUCCAAGAACAAAAGUGGCUCCAAAUAGGGUGUUAUACCUAGGGUAGGAGUUUGGAGCCGUGGUUUUGAGAUUUUCCGGCGAAGCGUUAUCGCUUUGGGCACCCACGCGCUGCCGGUGCGUGCGGCGGCGCGUGGGCACUGUAGAAAAAGUAGCACUGUGUUCCGAUGAGAUCCUUAGGUUGUCACGAGUGCGUAGGAUUUUGCGGAUCUCAAUUCGGACGUCGUUUGACUAUCGAACGGAUAUUCGCAUAUUGCGCGUUAUUCGGGUUCGAUAGGUUGGGACCGUUGGAUGGACCCAAAUUUAAUAUAUGUUAAUCUAAUUAAUUCUAGGAUCGUGUAGGAAUUCACGGAUUGUGAAUCGGAGCCCCGGAUGUUCCGAAUAAUAAUUUUAAAGUUUGUAUUUUAUAUUAAUUGUCAGAUCGUGCGAUCGUGAGCAAUCUGACCGUUCGAUCUGAACCAAACUUGCAGGACAAGUGUCCUAUACCUUGUAGAACCCAUAGGGACCUUCGGAUCGGAAAUUGGAGGUCGUGGGUUCCGCAAGUCGGUUUGACCAGGGUUAGAGAAGUUUGACCCUUGGUUGACCGUGAGUCUCCCGGAGUAAUCUCACCUUUCUAGGGGAGAUUAUCGGGUACUAGAUGAUUGUGGACACAAUAUUAGAAUUAAUUUAUAUAAUUAUAAUUAUAUAUGGUUGUACAAGGGUACAACAGAGUCUAGAAUGUCAGUUUGGAGUGCUAUACGCACUACUUUAGGUACCUCCCCGGAUGUUGGGAUUUACUACAAGUACCACCAAGUGAAAUUGAGGUCCCGCGUGGCGUAGGUUAUCCAGCGUUGGGAUAGGUCUCAUACGUGGGGUUGGUUGUACCGGCGUAUGGGGAGAUUUGUGAUAUUAUGUUCAGGUCUCACGUGGCGUAGGUUAUCCGGCGUUGAGACAGGCCCCAUACGUGGUGUUGGUUGUACCAGCGUAUGGGGAGCUAUGUGAUAUUGUGUUGAGGUCGCACGUGGCGUAGGUUAUCGGGCGUGUCGACAGACCCCAUACGUGGCGUUGGUUGUACCGGCGUAUGGGGAGAUUUGUGAUAUGAAAUUGAGGUCCCACGUGGCGUAGGUUAUCCGGCGUUGGGACAGGCCCCAUACGUGGCGUUGGUUGUACCGGCGUAUGGGGAAAUAUGUGAUAUGAUGGCAUGGUCGCACGUGGCAUAGGUUAUUCGGCUUGUUGACAGGCCCCAUACGUGGCGUUGGUUGUACCGGCGUAUGGGGAGAUUAUUUGAAAUGCAGAGAAACGAAAUAUGGUAUCGCCCAAAUGUGGAAUUGGGUUUUAGGGAAGAACUACGUGUGGCUUGAUCCCUCAAGGAGGGUACGUAGGCAGCCUAAGGUUAAUAGGUGCAGCCGCAGACUAAAUGUUAGUCAUAAUUGAUAUUUGAAUUGUUUGGUAGUUGGUUAAGAAUUAUUGGAAGGCCGAAGGCCAUUUGUGUGAAUUGCAUGAAAUUAUAUUGUGCAUGCUGCCAGUUGGGAAUAUUAAAUGCGUUUUUAUGCAGGUAUAAAUUUUAGGAAAUGUCCAAUUUAUAGGGGAGACUCUGCCGAAUUUUCGGCAGGAAGUCUCAGUUUUUAGUAUCUGGGCCUGGCAUCGGGAGGAUGUCGGGAAUUCCAAAGGGUCGUCUCGAGUUCUGAAAAAUUCGGUGCGGGUCCUUUCAAACACCUUAUAAAAUAUCCAACGCCGUGCAUCUCUGUUAAAACCAGAUCACAGCCAAACCACCAAAACCAUGCAAACCCAUAUGCUGAUCACCAUUUUUACUAGCACCCUUACCCAUUCUUUCCUCUUCAAGCUUUGGUGAGAAAACAAGAAACAAAAGUGGGCGGAUCUUCACCCACAUGGAGAAAUCCAGCUGCCUGAGGGCCCUGGAACUCCAAAAAACUUCUUACCUACAUGCUCAGGCUAGGGAAGUUUCACCAAAUAAGCAAGAAUGGAAGAAAGUGAAGGAAAAGGGGAAAGGGUGGCUUGACGAAAUUAAGGUUUUCAGCACUUAUAAAAGGAAACACUUUCUAUCCAGCAAAAACAACUCACCCUGGUUGCUGCAAGCCUCCUAGCAACCAUGAGAAUUCAUUGAAGGCAAGCAUCCCCUUUGGAACCCUUCAAUUUCAUGCUUUGUUCUUCCAUCUUCCUCCUUUCUCUCUCUCUCAAAACCCACAUCCAGAGAGAGCAAGCAUCAUCUCUCAUCUUUGGAACCCUUCGAUUUGAAGCCUUGUUCUUCCAUUGCUUCCCAUUUUCUCUUCUGUCAAAUCACCUAGGAGCUUGACGAAACUUUCGUCAAGCUGCUGGAAAUAUGGUAAAGCCACCCAUGCUUCCAUCUUCUUCCUCUCUUUCCAUAAACACACAUCCAAAGAGCAAGCUUCAUCUCUCAUCCUCUAAACCUCUGCAAUUUCAAGCCUCAUUCCUCUAUCUUCUCCCAUUUUCAGCGGUAGUGAGAAUGAUUUCUGCGUGUGCAUGGGAAGGAUUGUAACUCAGAUGAGGAGGAGAUGGUUUGGAGUGGGGUGAGGCAGUUGGAUAGAGCUCUUGGCCUUUUCAAGUUUGGAUGGGAAAGAGCAGGGAUGAAAGAAGCUUUACAACUGCAAGGGCAUAUAUGGUGCGUAGGGGCUGAAGGCAGAACACUUACAUAUAGAGGAAACACAUUUUUUGUCCAUGGGAUUCAUGUUUGACAAACACUUGUCUUAGACUAUGAGUUCAAAUUUCAAAACCUUUUUUUUUUCUUUCUGAAAUCAGGACCAGUGUGGAGAACUAGCAAGGAUUGGAGAAACAGAUUUUUGGGCGUCACUUGACCACAGAUUGUUGAUUGCUCAAAUGUGUAGAAUUGGCCAUCUUAAAUGUCAAAAUGAUUUAUCAAUUGGGGUUUUUUUAGAAACGUUUAUGUUUGUCAAUAGAGACAGAAGUCAGAGAACAUAAACCUUUCUCAGCAAAUUGAAAUUCUCAGUGCAUGCUCUGUUCUUCCAUGGCUUUCAAACCUUCUCUGCCACGGUGAAAUGGAUCGAUAGAGAUAGUUUAGGCCGUUCCAUUUGUUUGAUGAAGCAUUCGUUCUAGGGAUUCUGUAUAUUCAUAACAAAAUCACUAGAAUGAUUCUUAGAAAUUCAUCACUGCUAAAGGCAAUGGGUUCAGCAUAAUAACUUCUUAGUCUUGCUUCUUGGUCCUUUAUUUUCUUUGCAUAAUACUCCAAGUUUACCUGGGUUCUACAGAGAAAAUCUCGUAGAUACCUCUUUUUGUGGUCUUCCAUGGCAUUUAAGUGCUGCUUUCCAUGGUGAAGUGGGCCUAUAGAGACUACCUGAGGUGUGUAGGCUUUGUCAUUUCCACGCCGUAAUCGCUCAGGAACUCUGUAGAUACACCUUCAAGGGGGACAAGGGAGACAAACUAUCCAAUUCCUUGCGCCUUACAAAUAGAUCGCAUGGGUUUUCUAUUUCAUCUGCAGCUUCAUCAAUUCCUUCCAUUUUUCUCCUGAUCAUCAUGCGCGGUGAUUCAAAUAUUUCAUAAUGAACAUUGAAAUGAGAUGCUACAAGCAAACUUAUGAAAAGAAACAGAAAUACCAAAAAGACAAAUCAAUGUAGAUGGUUUAGAAAAUCUAAACAUUGCAAUUAUACUCCUUUGCCCAACUUCUAGGAGCAAACGUACACAAAGACCUUAUUGCUUCCAACUUUUCCAACAGAAUUUCAUAUGAAUUGCUCCAAGUGAAAUCCGUAUGAAAAAUCGGUAGUUGGAUUUUCAUCCUGCUUUAAUAUGAUUAUUUAACUUCUAACAAAAAAACUCUUAUUACUUGAGCAAGUAAAAUACUAUUCCAGGUUUCUCCUAGUUCUAUAUGCGCUUAUAAUUGGUAUACUCUAUAAAUACCAUAAUCUGAAUUUCUCUGUUUUGAUUACUUUAAUUUAUUACUUAUGUUUUAAUUAUUGUUUACUUAGUGAAUUAUUAGUAUUUAAGAGAAGGCCUUCCAUCGAUUAGGCACCACGUGUCUAUAAUAAGUAAAGCCGUCCGGCUAUACUUAAAAAAAAAAAAAAUUGUAGUAUAGCCGACCGGUAUAGCCGCGCGGCUAUACUAUUUAAUACAUUAUAUUUAAACGGUAUAGCCGCGCGGCUAUACUAUUUAAUAAAAUAAAAAACAAAAGAAAAAGAAAAAUUACCCUCCUAUUUCAUUAGUUUGUACUUUAUAGAUACUAGCCCCUUGACACAUGCUCACGCAUGUGCCAAUUGGUUUUCUUUUUCUUUUUUAUUUUUAUUUUUAGAAUUAAGAAAAAAUAACAGGAUAGUUAUGUUCCAUAAAAGUAGGACCUAUUAUCUUAUUUUGUUUUUAAUUUUAAUUUUUUUAAUAUUAAAAAAAUAUGAAUUUACGAUAUUAUCCUCAUUUAAUUAAUAAUUUCAAUUCUUAAUGUUUGAAUUAACAAAGGGCAUUUUCUGGUAUUUUGAAUGUUUCACCAUUCUCUGCCUUUUGCUUUAUAUAUAUAGAUUAAUUUGCCAGUUUCAAGAUAUCCAAAGUACAUAUUAGACUUUCACUAUAUAAAUUUCAAUAUAUAUUUUUUAUAACAUGUGUUGUUCUUAUUCAAUAAUAUGUGAGAAUUAUUUGUAUAAUACGUGAAUUUUGUGUGUCUUACUGAAUUUUUUUAAAUACGUGUAUUAAACGUUACAAAUACGUACAUAUAUGUACAACACGACUAUUGUAAGUUUGCUAUAUAAAAAAAAGUGAGAUGUAUCUAGAACACGAAUGUAUUAUCGAAAAAUAUAUAUGUAUGUAUAUAUAUAUAUAUAUAUGUAAAAGCCUAUAGCCUCUCACCUAUACUAUUUAUUAAAGACAAUUUAAAAAUUACAACAACAAAAAAACCAGUACAGCCACAAAGCUAUACUAUUUUAAAAAAAAAAAAUAGAAAAAAUAUCAAGUACUACACAGGGCAAAGGCCCAGUGUAAAAUAGUAUAGCCGUACGGCUAUACGUUUUUAAGAAGAAUUUAAAAAACUAAGUAUAGCUCACCGACUAUACUAUUUUUUAAUAUAAAAAAACAACCCCAUCCAUUAGGCGCCACGUGUCAACAGAAGUUUAUUUUUAAAAAAAAAAAUUAAAAGACAAGGAGUAUAGCCGGGUGGUUGUACUAUUUUUUUAUUUUAAAAAGAAGACAGUCCAUCGAUUAGGCGCCACGUGUCCAUAAUAAGUACAGCCGCUCGGCUAUAUGUUGGAUAUUUUGAAACUAGCAAAUUAAUAUCAAUAGCCGGUCGUAACCUAUGCUGUCCACGUCACUCAUGUUUUACCAGAGUUAAAGCAUCCACAAUGAGCUCCCCAAACCAUCUCUUUAGACAAAUUUUAGGGAGAAAUUGGAAAAGUACAACUCCAACCAUGCUCCCUAUCCACCAACUAAAAUAGGGAGACCUCUAGGAGCUCCUAAAUCUGAGGAGAGGGAAAGGACUCUUAGUGACUCCCUAUAAUUUAAUGUUGCUUUGUUUUAUGCAUAUUUUAAACUUUUAAUUAAAUCAAAUUAUUAUUUUAUAUUAUUUUGUAUACAGAUGGACCAAUUAUAUUAAAUUAAAAAAUAAUUAAAGUAUUUGUGACUCUCUAAACUAAGGAGUAUGAUUAGAGUUCAAAUUUUAUAAAAAGCUCUUAAAAUAGCUUUUGUGUGUUUUUAGCUAAAUUUUAACUAAAAAAUUUGAAGAUUCUUUAUUUGGGUUUCUUUCAAGACGAAAACCAUAUCCACAACAGACAUCUUUGGCUGUUCAUCACAAUUGAGAGACAAUGAAGAAGACAUAAGGGAGAGGCUGCCAAAUACUUAUCACCUUAGCCACCACCAACACCACAAGACCAAUAUGUGUAGGCCAGGAGGCUUUCCAAUUUUAAUAUAUAUAUAUAUAUAUAUUAAAAAAUAAAAUAAAAAUCAAUCUAUUAUCAUAUAUAUUAUAAAAUAAAGAUUAUUGCUCCAUCCUCCAUGCACUUGCGUGCCCUCUUACAAAGUAUGAAGUAGAUUUUGUUAGCUGGAUUUAUAAGAUCUUUUGUUUUUUGGAAAUUUUCUGAAAUAAGGAAAAUCAAGUAAAAUUAAUAAAGCAUAAAUUGGAAAGGGAAAAUAUCUAGAGGAUGCAUUGUAGGAUUGCUCAAGCCAAUAAUUGUACCCUCUAAAUAUAUAGGGACAUAUUUUUUUUGUUUUCAUGACAUGUCGUCCUAAAAUUAUUGUUCUUAGCGGGCUCUCCACCCCCUCUCGAUUGAAAACCUAUUGUGUAAAUCUUCAAUCCUGAAUUAGAAAAGUACAACUCCAACCAUGCUCCCUAUCCAUCUCCUAAAAUAGGGAUACCUCUAGGAGCUCCUAAAUCUGAGGCGAGAGAAAGGACUCUUAGUGUCUCUUUAUAAUUUAAUGUUGCUUUGUUUUAUGCAUAUUUAAACUUUUAAUUAAAUCAAAUUAUUUUUUUAUAUUAUUUUGUAUACAAAUGGACCAAUUAUAUUGAAUUAAAAAUAAAUUAAAGUAUUUAUGACUCUCUAAACUAGGGAGUAUGAUUGGAGUUCAAAUUUUAUAAAGAGCUCCUAAAAUAGCUUGUGUGUGUAGGGGUCUUUUUCUUCUGGCAACUACAGAUGGGUUGGGCUACCGUAAGGAGCAAACUGAAGAAAAUAUCCCCUGUGUCUGAGUUCAAAGAUUCGGCCCCAAAAUAUUUCGAAAAGGCAGUAAAGCCUUAGGAAACACCUUAGUUACCUUCACCAACGAAAAUGACGGCUGCUUACAGGUAGAUUCUUAGUGCUUACAGAUGAAUUCUUAGCUUAGCAUGAGGAGAUCGUGGCAUGGAAGCAAAGUUAGCAUGAGUUUAGCACUAAAGAGAAAAUUAUGUGUUCUUGGGAGGAAGAAGGGGUGUCCAGGUAAAUGGGAAAAGGUUUUGCAAGUAGAUUUGGCUAAGAGAGAAGGGAGAGAGAGAAGAGGGUGGCUAGAGUGCUUCUUCCGGCAGCUUGACAGUGACUCUGUCAAAUGUUAGAGCAAUCUGCCAUAAGAGGGAAAAUGGGGAAGAAGGAUGAACAGUGCACAAAAUUGCUAGGUUUUUGCAAGUAAGAGAGGAAGCUUGCUCUCUGGAUGUGGAUGAUCCGUUGGGUAGAAGAGGCCCCAUUUUAUAGCCGCUGGAAACUAUCAUUUCUCAAGAAACCCUAAUAGUUUCUACCCAAUUUGGUCAAGCUUUUCCCUUCCUUUCUCAUCUCCUCCCUUGACUUUUCCUAUCUUGGUGAAAUUUCCUCUGUCUAUUUGCACAAAAUCAGGAGCUCAAGGCCUCCCUUUCCCGCAACUGUUCAAUGGGAGACUCCAUUCUUAGCUAUUUUUCUUCUUCUUUCCUUCCUCCUUCCCUGACCAAAUCUGAUGAAGGAAAGCAAAUAGGUGCACACAUUGGUUUGAAGGGUGCUUCUCCUUCUAGCAGCUUACAUGCCAAUAUCCCUUGGGUCCUUGCAUGUUUUUUGCUUUGAAACUUGUUUCUUCCUUCCCGUCAACUCACGUGGUCUUCCAUGCUUCUUCAUGGCUUUAUCUUUCAGCCAAAAGAUGGAGUUUUUACUGCUUGCUACUUUUAAUUGUAUGGGUCUUCUAGGAUAGGAAGUCAACCUACCAAACAAAUGGGCCACCUUUAUCAAAUAUUGGGCUGUUGGGGUUAGUUUUAGUGGGCCAUUUUGACUGGGCUUUUUGGUUGGGUUAUUUAAGUUAUUUUCCCUUUUGUGCUCACCCAUGUAUUUAGGCCUAAGAAAUGGGCUUGGGCUCCGAGUCUCCCAAGCAACCCGGAACCUCCAUUUCUUGGCCCAUUAAUGGGCCUCAUGACAACCUAUUACCAUCCAUACCACAACCCACUCAAGCAAGCCCCGGGCAUUUGAAUGGCUUUGGCCCACUUUAGGCUUGUAGUGUGAUUGGGUGUGGCAUAACGAUUUCUCGCUUGGCAUGGCAUGUUGCUUGGCAUGUUUUUUCAUUACGAUGCUUGAUGGAUUUGUAGAGCUACCUAUUUUUAUGAUCUUAAUCUUGAUUCCUAGCAUGACAAAUUUAUUUAUUUGGCAUGGCAUGCGGAGCGUGACUUGUGCGUGGCGAGUUUUGUAUGCUCCAACUUGGGCCUUUCCUAAAUAAUGUAUCAUUUUGGGUUAUGAAUUCUUUCGGGCCCAACCGUGAAUUUUUUGGGUUUCAACAGUGUGUUUUUAGCUAAAUUUUAACUAAAAAAUAGGGAGCAUGAUUGUAGAUCAUCUUAUAUACCUUAAUUUGAAGAUUCUUUAUUUGGGUUUCUUUCAAGAUGAAAACCAUAUCCACAACUGGCAGACAUCUUUGGCUGUUCAUCACAAUUGAGAGACAAUGAAGAAGACAUAAGGGAGAGGCCGCCAAAUACUUAUCACCUCAGCCACCACCAACACCACAAGACCAAUAUGUGUAGGCCAGGGGGCUUUCCAAUUUUAAUAUAUAUAUAUGGAGUGAAAAAAAUAAAAUAAAGAUUAUUGCUCAUCCUCCAUGCACUUGCAUGCCCUCUUACAAAGUGUGAAGAAGAUUUUGUGUGCUUCAAGUCAUUGACUAGAGCUGAAACAUGGUUAGCUGGAUUUAUAAGAUCUUUUGUUUUCUGGGAAUUUUCAGAACCAAGGAAAAUCAAGUAAAAUUAAUAAAGCAAAAUGGAAAGGGAAAAGAUCUAGAGGAUGCAUUGUAGGAUUGCUCAUGCCAAUAAUUGUACCCUCUAAAUAUAUAGGGACAUAUUUUUUUUGUUUUCAUGACAUGUUGUCCUAAAAUAUUUGUUCCUAGCGGGCUCUCCACCCCCUCUCGAUUGAAAACCUAUUGUGUAAAUCUUCAAUCCUGAACGAUGCUCCUAAAACUCAAGUGUCCCAGGCCAAUUAUUGCUCUCAUACCACUUGUUGCAAUACACAUCCACUCAUUCUCAGGGAAAGAAACCCAUCGAUAUUAUCUCAAAUUUAACCACUUUAGUCUAUUAUGAUUAACUAUGUAUUUUAUGGAUCAAUGCAGUUGUGAGGUUUUAUACCCAAUUAGAUCGACCAAUACAGAGAUCACAUGUGGACUGAAAAGCGCCAUCGGUAGGGGAGUGUUUGGCACCCUUUACUGCCGAGUGCAACACAAGACCCCUUACCAGGAACUUAUCUACUAGGACACGUGAAGCCACCACAAGUAAUAUCAACAGUCCCACAUCGAAGUUUAACAUAACAUGUACACUCCCCAGGACUGAUAAAAGUGGGCACAAGUCCCAAAAAUGGGGGAACUUGGACUUUCAGCAAUUCAUCCAUUAUUAUGUCCAAAUUACUAUACACUCCGUACUUAUUCUUACUUAAGCAUUGGAGAGCCUUCGGCCGGUACCACACCAGUGCCUAAGGGCUUACCGAGCGUUCUCUAUCUUGCAUAUUGAUCGCUCUACUGAAGCCCAUAAAGAGUUAAAGGUCAAGACAUCACUAAGUUGAGCCCAAAAGUGCUGAACCACAUCAAAAAUAUGUAUAGAUUGAAAAAAUAAAAUAAAAAUCAAUCUAUUAUCAUAUAUAUUAUAAAAUAAAUAUUGGAUAAAUUACUCAAAUGGUCCUCAAACUUAUACUCGAUUUACAUUUUGGUCUCUCAAUUAAAUUAUUUGUUCAAAUGGUCCAUCAACUCUAUAUUAUUUCUGCAAAAUCUACAAAGUGGUGGGAGGCAGACCAACAAAAAAAAUUAGCGAAGGCUUAUAACUCUGGUAAAACAAGAGUUACUUGGAUAGAAUAAUGUUACGUCGUACUGAAGAUUUUUGGGUUUCUUUAAUUGGUUAAGUGAAGAUUCUUUAUUUGGGUUUCUUUCAAGAUGAAAGCCAUAUCCACAACCACAACCACAACUGGCAGACAAUCUUUGGCUGUUCAUCACAAUUGGGCGACAAUGAAGAAGACAGAAAUUGGAGUACUGUAUGUUAUCACCCACACCACAAGACCAAUAUAAGGAGGAUGGGGAGGCUGCGGAAUACUUAUCACCUUAGCCACCACCUACACCACAAGACCAAUAUGUUGUAGGCCAGGAGGCUUUCCAAUUUUAAAUUAGAUAAAUCGGAAACUGUUUCGAUAUCCAAUUGUAUUCUAUAAAAUCAAUGAACACGGUGCUUCAAGAAAGUAAUAAAAUUUCAAUAAUUCAAUUGAGUGGUCAAAUUCAAGUGAUUUUUUGUAGUGAUGAUCUUUGAAUGAGUAUCUAUAAAAGAGACGGUUUGGAUUAGUGAAAUACAAUAUGGAGUGGGCCCUACCAGCAAUCCACGACAAAAUGUCUGCAAGCUUUCGUAAUAUAAGGAGGAUGGGGAGGCUGCGCAAUACUUAUCACCUUAGCCACCACCUACACCACAAGACCAAUAUGUUGUAGGCCAGGAGGCUUUCCAAUUUUAAUAUAUAUAUAUAUAUAUAUAUAUAUAUAUAUAUAGGGAUGUGAUUUCUCUACUCCCCUUUUCUCUACUUAUACUCCCUUUUGCUUUUAAAUACUUUUUAAUCAAUUUUUUUUCCGCUUUCCUAUUAAUAUUCUACCAUUUCCCUACAUUAAUUUCUUUUUACUUCACUUUUAUAUUAGUUCUUUUUCUUUAUACUUAAUUUUUCAACUUGCACUCCAUUUUCAUUAUUUUUUUCCUAAUCGAGUAAGAAAUUAAGUUUUUUUUCCCCAUUUAAUACUGAAAAUGGAGUGUAAGUUAGAAAAUUAGGUAUAAAGAAAAAGAAAUAAUAUAAAAGUAAAGUAAAAAAGAAAUUAAUGUAGGGUAAAGGUAGAAUAGAAAAGAGAAUGAACAAAAUUGAUAAAUAAAUAAAAAAGGUUUAAAAAGCAAAAAGGAGUGUAAAUGGAGAAAAGGGGAAUGAGGAAAUCAGCUCCAUAUAUAUAUAGAUUGAAAAAAUUAAAAUUAAAAUCAAUCUAUUAUCAUAUAUAUUAUAAAAUAAAGAUUAUUGCUCCAAGGAAAUGACAUCUUUUGUUUUCUGGGAAUUUUCUGAACCAAGGAAAAUCAAAUAAAAUUAAUAAAGCAUAAAUUGGAAAGGGAAAAGAUCUAAAGGAUGCAUUGUAGGAUUGCUGAUGCCAAUAAUUGUACCCUCAAAUUAUACAUGGACAUAGGGGUGGGCAUUCAAAUAGGCAAACUAGAAAUCCGAGCUGAACCGCACCUAGGAAAACCGGAAAAAAAACCGAGUUGACCAAAAAGUCAACAACUGGUCAAAAAUCGAACCGGACCGAUUUGGACUGGUUUUGGAUUCAGUUUAUAUGCAAUGCUACAUUUUUAGUCUCAUAACUAAUAUUUAUCCAAGUUCAAUUUCAAAACAUCUUUCUUUUUUAGCUUUAAUAUUUAUUUUUAUAUGAAAUUAAAUAAUUUAUUAAUUUUCAAGUAAAUAAAAUAAAAUUUCAGUUGAAAUUUAUAUUAAAAAAAUAAUUUUAAUAAUCCAGUUCAAAACCAAACCGGACCAUCCAGCUGUGAGGUACAUUUCUCCCACAUGCCACAAUUGUAUAUUCACAAUUACGUCUGAUACAUCACAUCAUGCCACUUGCCUCAAAUGAAUUUAAGUGAGUGUGGCAGUGGAAAGUAAUUAAGCUCUAUAUUGGUGGGUGGACUGUUACUUCUGGGUUCCCCUCAUCAUUCGUCUAUAAAAUGGUGAAGGCAGUUGCUAUUGUUACCAUAAGAGCCAGCUCCGACUUCCUUUAAUUUCUUGCUUCAUAUCCACUAGCUACAUCUGUUACCAAGUUAAUUUCAGUCCUAAUGGGGUUUCAUCUCCCACUCAUCUUUGCUCUUCUCAGUGUAAGCUCUGCAAUUUGAUUAACUUUUCCAUUCUCUCUCAUUGUACUCUAUAUAAACGAAAGUUUUGUGUUCCUAUAAUUCUCUCCGAUUUUAUUUAGUACGUACUUAAGUGUCGUCCACUAAUUAAUUACACUUUGUGAUUUGAUUUUAAUUUGAGUUCGAAUUAAUGUUGCAGCUAGCAGCAGUGGCACUGGCAAACCAUGCUGCUCAACCAGCACCUCAACUUUACUGGAACUCCGUCCUGCCAAACACACAGAUGCCAAGAUCUAUCAGUGAACUUCUGCAUCCUGGUUUGUGUUGAGCUCUUUAGAAUCUUAGAUAUCUCUUCUACCUGCCAUUUUACUAAAAUAUGUUCCACCACAUAUUUAUCAGUUAACCACUGUUAUUACAUGAGUGACACAUAUUCACAAAUCGGCUGAUCACUUAUUUUCCAUUAUGACGUUGAUAUAUAAUUUGCAGACUCCACAAAUGAAGAAAAGAGCACAAAUGACGUUGGCAAACCUGAAACUUUCCCAUUGGGCAAUAAACAUUACUCCAGUCAAAAACAUUAUGGAAGAGGCAAACCUGAAACUUUCCCAUUGGGCAAUAAACAUUACUCCAGUCAAAGACAUUAUGGAAGAGGCAAACCUGAAACUUUCCCAUUGGGCAAUAAACAUUACUCCAGUCAAAGACAUUAUGGAAGAGGCAAACCUGAAACUUUCCCAUUGGGCAAUAAACAUUACUCCAGUCAAAAACAUUAUGGAAGAGGCAAACCUGAAACUUUCCCAUUGGGCAAUCAGCAUUACUCCAGUCAAAAAAAGUAUGGAAGAGGUGCUUCUCCAUCCGACAAUCAACCACCAAUUCCAUAGAAAUUCAAACACGGCUACUUUCUUGCCACGAGAAAGCGCUCAAUCGAUCCCCUUCUCCUCUAACAAACUACCAGAAAUUUUCAACCAUUUUUCAGUGAAGCCAACAUCUGAGGAAGCCAAAACAAUUAAGCAAACAAUCGAAGAGUGUGAAGCUCCAGACCUUAAGGGAGAGGAAAUAUAUUGCGCCACAUCUUUAGAAUCAAUGGUUGAUUUUAGCACUUCGAAGCUUGGAACAAGAAACGUUGAAGCAAUCUCGACGGAGGUAUUGGAAAAAGGAGCCACCAUGUCCAUCCAAAACUAUACAACAAUGCCGGGACUGAAGAAGUUGGCAGGUGACAAAGUCGUUGUGUGUCAUAAGCAGAACUAUCCCUAUGCUGUGUUUUUCUGCCAUGCAAUAAAACAUACAGCAGCUUAUGCUCUCUCCCUGAAAGGCGAUGAUGGGGAGAAGGUUAAAGCAGUAACCAUCUGCCAUCUAGACACAUCAGAAUGGGACCCAGAGCAUAUGUCCUUCAAAAUCGUCAACGUUAAGCCCGGAACCAUUCCCAUCUGCCAUUUCAUUUCCACUGAUGCUAUUGCCUGGGUUCCGAACCACAAAUCUGCAUGAUCAUCACUUAGCACUAGUACUGUGCGUAUAAUAUGCCUGUAUAAUUAUCUCCCUACUUAUUUCUGCCUGUUCAUCAUGUGGUGUAAGAUAUAUGUUGAGAUGAAGUUUUUGGGAUUAGUGGUCGAAAUUAACCCGAUCAUGUUUUCUCUUGUAACUAUAUAGACUUCAACUUGUACUCAUAAUAAAGCAUGCUAUAUUUAUGAAGAGAUAUUAAUCUUCAGGCAAAUAGAUAUUAUGAAAACAUAUAUAGCAAUUUAUCCAGAAGAAAUAUUAUGAAAUGAAAAGAAUAAAAAGUAAAAAAACAGAAGGAAAGGAAUUCGCACCUGCUAUGUAUGAAAGGACCAAGAUUGUUUUCCCUUUGGUUAAUGACUAGAAAAGCUCACUUGCAGAUUGCUUUCUCUGACCGUAGAUGCAACAGAAAUUUUCUCUUAAUAAUAGCACAAUGAUCGGGUAAUUGUAAGAACAAGUUGAUUUAAAAUUCCUUGACCCAAAAAAAAAAAAAAAAUCAUUUCAAAUUCAGGUCAACCCAUAGAUUUCUUGCCUUUUUCUUCUUCAUCACGUUGGGCUUGUCUUCUUCUUGAGGAUUGUAUAGGCCCAGGAAAUGCUUUGAGGUAGUUUUUGGCCUUGGAAGUUGGGACCCAACCCAACUUCACAAAAAGAAAACAGAUUUGCCAAAAAUCAAAUUUCAAGUCUCUCCUCAGAUCACUAAUACAGAUCAAAUUUUGGAUUUGAUGAACUAAAGUGGUUUUACUUUCUCUGUCAGUGUUUGAUGACUUAAUUUGUUAUUUACUUCUUUUUUUUUUUUUACUUGAUCUUUGUAGGGGUUUUUUUCUUCCGGUAACUUAAACGGGCUGGGCUGCCGUAAAGGGUAGAUUGAUGAAAUUGUCUCCUUUGUCUGAGUUCGAAAAUCAAGCCCCAAAAGCGCUUCGAAAGGGCAGUAGAGCCUUAGGAAGCGUUCUAGUCAUCUUCACCAACUAAAACAACAGCAACUUACAGAUGAUUUCUUAAGGCUUACAGAUAAAUUUUCUAGCUUGGCAUGAGAGGCUUGUGACAUGGAAGCAAAAUCAGCAUGAGUUUAGCACCAAAGAGGAAAAUAUGGCUUCCUAGGGAGAAAUGGGAGUGUUUAAGGUGAGGAAGAAGAGGUUUGCAGGCUGAUUUGGCUGAGGAGAGAGAAAGAAAGAACAAUGUUCUUCCAGUAGCUUGACAAAGCUUCUGACAGAUGUGAAAGUCGUCUGCCAUAAGAGGAAAAUGAAGAAGAAUGGUGAAUAGUGCAUGAAAUUGCUGGGUUUUUGCAGGUAAGAGAGAAAGCUUGCUCUCUGAAUUUGAGUUGGUUUUUGGUUGGGUAGAAGAGGCCCCCUUUUAUAGCUGCGGGAAACCAUCUUUUUUCAAGAAACCCUAAUGGUUUCUAUCCAUUUUGGCCAAGCUUUUCCCUUCAUUUCUCUUCUCCUCCCUUGACUUUUCCUAUCUUGGUGAAAUUUCCUCUGCCUAUUUGCACAAAAUUAGAGAUUUUGAGGAGCUCAAGACCCCUUUCCCGCAGCUGCCUCAGUGGAGAAUCCCCAUUUUCAGUCAUCUUUCUUCCUUCUUUUCUCCCAUCUUCCAAGGUUAGGUCUGAUGAGGGAAAGAAAUGGGUAUGCACACUGGUUUGAAGGGUAUUUUUGCUUGAAACUUGUUCUCUCCCAUGUGCUGGAGCUUCCCAGCAACUUACACACAUGGAUAUUUUGGCUUUCAUCGUGGCUUUUGUUUUCAGCUAGGUGCUGGAGAUUUCGCAGAUAUUUUCAUGAGUUGCUUGGGCCUUCUAGGACAAUAGGUUGGUUUAUCAAGUGAAUGGGCUAACUUCAUCAAUUGUUGGGCUAUUUUGGUUGAGUUAAUGGACUAUUUUGGUUGAAGUAAUGGGCUAUUUUGGUUGAAUUAAUGGGCUAUUUUUCUCUCUUUGUGCUCACCCACAUAUUUGGGCCUAAGAAAUGGGCUUGAGUUCCGGGGCUCCCAAGCAACCCCGGGACUUCCAUUUCUCGGCCCAUCAAUGGGCCUCAUAUCAACUUAUUACCAUCCAUAUCACAACCCACUCAAGCAAGCCCUGGGCAUCUUGCGUGGCUUGGGCCCACUUAAGCUUGUAGCGUGACGUGUUGCUUAUUUGCUUGGCAUGGCAUGUGUGCAAGCGCAUAUGACGAACUUUAGCGUGCCCAAAUUGGGUUUAUUCUCGGUAAGGUAUCGCAUUGGGCCGAGAAUUUAAUUGGGCAGAACUGUGGAUUUUUGGGCCUCAACAAUCUUAUAUAUAUUGGUUUUCUUUUUUUCCUUAAUAUUCACCACCUUUCUGUUGCAUAAGUAUUUCAGUCUUAACGGGUUUCCAUCUACCACUCAUCUUUGCUCUUUUAAGUGUAAGCUUUUUUUUUUUUUUUUUAAGCACAAGAUUAGAGGGGAGGGGGAUUUCUCAAUGUAAGCUUUGCAGUUUCAUAAUUAAUAUUUCCAAUAUCUCACUGUUAGUAAAAUAUGGAACAGGAAAAGUAUGAAUAAAAUACACACAUGUUUUAUUUAGCAAAAUUUUGACAAGAUACAACUGAAAAGUUUGGCCACUAUAUAAUAUUUUGAUAUAAUUUCUACACUUCUUCUCAAAAGAUUAGAUCACUUCACAUCUUGUGUAUGUGAAAACUAAUGUAAAAAGUUGAAACUUUAUCGUAAAACCUCGACAAAAAUGAGCUCUACUAGAAAAUGUUCAAUUUGGAUUCGUUGAUUUAAAUGGCAAUUUGACACUUGAUAGAAAUUUUUACAUACAUGUGUUAGUGUUUGAUCACUUCACAUGUUACUUACUAUAUUUAUUCCACUCAAGUUAGGUAAAUAUUAUUAUCAAACAUUUCAAUUAAUUUGUGAUUUUUUUAUUAUUUAAUCAAUUAUGAAUUAAUGGAUUCUUCUUGUUGUUUUGAAGACCAAUAAAAAAAAAAGGGUAAGGAUGGCUUAUAACUCUGAUAAAACAACAGUGACGUGGACAGCAGAUGUUACACCGUACUGAAGAUUUUUGAAGAUUCUUUAUUUGGGUUUCUUUCAAGAUGAAAACCAUAUUAUCCACAACCACAAUGAAGAAGACAGAAAAUGGAGUAAUUCAGAUGUUACCAGCCAUCCACGACAAACUGAAGUCUGCAAAGCAUUCGUAAUCUAAAGGGAGACUUUGGAAAAGCCCAAAGGAGAGAGAAAAUUUUUAAAAGAAGCAAAAAUGGACAAAAUUGCCCUUAUUUAUUUUUUGAUUUCCUAAGAAAUCCUUUACAUUUGCAUGUCUUUGGUUUGAAAGUUGAGAGGUUAUUCUGUCUUUUUUCAAAAAGCUUUGGCUUUUUCCAAAAGUGAAAGUUUUUUUAUGGGUAAAACCUAAAUUUACUUAAUCCCUAAAAAGGAUGGGGAGGCUGCGCAAUACUUAGCCACGUGUAGGCCAGGAGGCUUUCCAAUUUUAAUAUAUAUAUAAAUUGAAAAAAUAAAAUAAAAAUCAAUCUAUUAUCCUAUAUAAAAUAAAGAUUAUUGCUUCCAUGGGCAGUGCUAUGCACAGGACAGUGCCUGCCCAGCACAAAUUUUUUUUAAAUAAAAAAAAAAAAUCUACAUAUGUUAUAAGCUCAUCCAAAAAAAUAAAAUAAAAUAAAAGUAAAUUCUACAUAUAUGUUGCCCAUCUAGGUGGUUCCAUAUCUUCUCUCUCCUUCUCUUUUGGCUAUUAGACUUCUUGUUUCUCUCUCUCUCUUUGCUACCUCACAUCAGCAAGUUUCUCCCUCUCUUUUUUUGGGGUCAAAUUCUUCCUCUAUUGACAAAAUCUUCUAUUAUCUUGGGUGGGCAACUUGGCAACAACAUCUUCUCUUCUCCUUUUGUCAACAACAAGUAUUAUUCUCAUUCUCUCAUUUGCUAUAUAUCUUUAAUUAUAGUUUUAAUUUAAAAUUGAGUAUUCUAGGGUUUAAUUAGGGAUGAAUUAUAAUUUUAGAAUUUUGUUGAAAUUAAUUAAGGCUUCGAUUAGGGGUGAAUUAUUCUACUGCUUUGGUUUGGAAUUUUGUUAAAAUUGAGUAUUAUAGGGUUUAAUUAUGGAUGAAUUAUAAUUUUUGAUUUUGGUAUUAUUGAGAUGUUAUUAUGAGAAUUUGUUUCAUUUUUUUAUUGGUAUAUUUGAUUAAAAUUCUUUCUACAUAUUAUUCAUAGGCUAUCUUUUAUUAUGUCGGAUCACAAUCGGAAUCCCAAGAGAACAAAGAAUUUGAAUAGUGUUGUUUUGUAUUGCAUUGCAUUUACUUUUGGUUUUAGUUUUGCUUUUAGUGUAAAUUACUCAAAUGGUCCUCAAAUUUGUACCCGAUUUACAUUUUGGUCCAUAAACUAAAUUAUUCAUUCAAAUGGUGCACCAACUCUUUAUUAAUCAGUGCUUUGGUCCUACCGUUAUGUUUUCUAUUAAAUUUAGUCAUGUGAGCAGCACAUGCUACAUUUGUAGGGGUAAAUAAGACUUUUGACCACUUUAUCACCUAUGUAUCACCACUUUAUAACCUAUUUGGAGAACAUAGGUCAGUUAUGGACGGUUUUACAAUUAUAUUUGACGGCAACAUUAACAUAAUGUAACAGUGGGAUCAAUGGAGCGAUUAAUAUAGAGUUGAUGGACCGUUUGAACGAAUAAUUUAAUUGAGGGACCAAAACGUAAAUUGAGUAUAAGUUUGAGGACCAUUUGAGUAAUGUACCCUUCGCUUUUAUAUUUGUUGAACUUUUAUUUAUGGAUAGAUAUGCAUUUGAGGGUAAGACCCAUUAUGUUCCCCCUGACUUGGUGUAUCUUUUUAUGUUUAUUAAUGAAAUUCACUCGAACUGUUGAGUUUAGUAUGUAAGUUUUGCCUAACCGGCUUUUGAAUCCUAGAACCGCCACUGUUGCUCCAUCCUCCAUGCACUUGCAUGUGCUCUUACAAAGUGUGAAGUAGAUUUUGUGUGCUCCAAGUCAUUGACUAGAGCUGAAACAUGGUUAGCUAGAUUUAUAAGGACCCAUCUCUCUAUUUCCUAGACAUAUACCCAUCUCUCUAUAAAUCUAUAUGUAAAACUCAAUUUCAAACUUAAAUGACCAGUAAGAUAUAAGAGGUCAUAGUAUUCCUAUGUUUUUACAUCGUUGCCACCAGACUUCUUAUUUUAUUUAUAAUUUAUUUCAAGCAUUUCAUUAACUGCCAUAAUUGUAAUUAAUACUCCAUAUUAAUAGCAUAUCAAUCACCCCAUUUCUUUUGAUUGCCAUUCCCUCUAACAUAUCGCCCCUUAAAAUUGAAAACCAAAAAAAAAAAAAAUGUAAAUUACAUAUCCAAUAAUGUACCUAUGAAAAAUAUAAAUAUAAAUAUAUACGUAUAAAAAUAUAGGUUUAUUAUUUACCAAAUAAAAAAUAUAAAAAAACUAGGUCAGUUGCUUUGUAAUUGAAAUUUCUAUACAUUUUCCACAAAUUAAAAAUAGGUACACAAUAAUUUAUAGAAAAUAUAGGUGCAUUAUUUAUCCAUAGGUAAAAAUACCUAUAAAUGCACAUAGGUAAAUUAUUUACCCAUAUAUUAUUUUUUUGCUAAGGAUUUACCUUAGUUUUUAGUAGAUUAAUUUACCUACCUAGAGGCAUAGGUAGCUUAAAAAAAUUGUAGCACCUUAGUUGGUUGCAUACUAAUUUACCUACCUAGAGGCAUAGGUUGCUAAGAAAAAAUGUAGGUAAAUUCAUGUACCUAAACACAUAGGGGUCAAAUAGAGAAUAACAUGUUAUUUCCCUUCGAACAAAUUAAUUUCAAACCAUAACAAUAAUUGAAUUCGGAAAUUGGUAUAAAUAAAAGGAAAUAAAUAAGCUAUCAAUUUGAAAAUUAAAAUAAGAAAUGAUCAAGUAGUCAUAUUUGAAAAAAAAGAAAAGAAUAUAUUCUUGGUUUUUAUAGGAACAACGUGUAUAUUCAAACCAAAUGGCAGUAACUACACCAAGCUUUAAUUACUUUUUUUUAAGGCCAAAAGUCACUUUUGGUCUCUGUAGUUUGACACUUCUAUUACUUUUGACGCUGUAGUUUCAAUUCCGUCAAUUUUGCCAUUGUAGUUUCAUAUUUGUAGCAAUUCAAGGACAUGUUAAUAUUAAUGUCAAUUUGUUUAAUGAUGCAAGGGGUAAUUUCGUCAUCCCAAAAUCCUUGAGCAUAAAAGCUUGUCUGAAAUUCUCCCCAUUUCAUAUUAGGGCUCGAAAUUCAACCACUAAUCCCAAUUUUUGAAGAACCCUAUACCCAAAUGACCAAUUUCAAGCCCUAAUAACAAAUUAGGGAAGUUUUAGAUGAGCUUUUAUGCUCAAGGAUUUUGAGUUGAAGAAAUUGCCCCUUGCACUGUCAAAGAAAUUGAUAGGAAUACUGACUUGUCCUUGAAUUGCUACAAAUACAAAAAUACAGGGUCAAAAUUAACAGAAUUUAAACUAUAUGGUCAAAAGUGGUUAAAGUGCCAAACUACAAGGACCAAAAGUGACUUUUAGCCUUUUUGUUUAAAUAAGGAAAAAACUUACCUAUUAAAUCCUUGGAAUCUAUACAAAAUUGAAACACAGUUAAUCAGCAUUGAAUUGCAGCUAAUUUCUUAAACAAGGGUAUUAUAGGAAUUUAAAAAGUAUAACAUUUAAUCCAUUGAGCUUGAUUAGGAAUCUUGAUGAGUUGGAUCCUAGUUAUAUAGUUUCUCUUAUAAAAAUCGGGUUUUAUUUAUAGACAAAUAAAACAAUGGGUUGUAGGUAAGAAAAUAUUAAUUUGAAGGGAAAGUGUCACAUCCUGGGAUCGGCUCCGCCGUAGCACGAUAUUGUCCGCUUUGGGCCCCCCUCUCUGCCCGCACGGUUUUGUUUCUGGGAGCUCACGAGCAACUUCCCAGUGGGUCACCCAUCCUGGGAUUGCUCUGGCCCCCAACUCGCUUAACUUCGGAAUUCCUAUGACUCCGAAGCCAGUGAGCUCCCAAAAGGCCUCGUGCUAGAUGGAUGCGGGUGUGUACAUAUAAGACACAUCACCCCCUCUCCGUUGGUUGAUGUGGGAUCUUACAGAAAGAGUCAAAUUUACUAAAUUAAUAAAGCAUAAAUUGGAAAGGGAAAAGAUCUAGAGGAUGCAUUGUAGGAUUGCUCAUGCCAAUAAUUGCACCCUCUCGAUAUUGAAAAACCUAUUGUGUAUUAUUAUCUUCAAUCAUGAAUGAUGCACCUAAAACCCAAGUGUCCCAAGCCAACCAUUGCGCUCAUACCACUUGUUGCAGUACACAUUCACCCGUUUUUAAAGAAAGAAAUUCUACCAAUCGAUAUUGUCUCAAAUUUAAUCACAUAGGUCUAUUAUGGUUAACCAUAUGUACUUUUAUCGGCCAUAUAGAGGUACCUUUUUCCAACGUGCAACAAUUGUAUUUGAUUCACAAUUAUGUCUGAUAUACAUCACAUCAUGCCACUUGCCUCAAAUGAAUUUAAUUGAGUGAGGCAAUGGGAAGUAAUUAAGCUCUAUAUUGGUGGGUGGAGUGUUACUUCUGGAACCCUCAUCAUUCGUCCAUACAAGGGAACAAUUCCCUUCCUUCUAUAAAAUGGUGAAGCCAGUUGCUAUUGUUUGUUAGAGUUUUAGGAUCUGAGUGUUAGAUUUUGUGAGAAGAGAGAAGAGAAUUUAGUGAAAACUUCCAAUACUGCUCUGCUAUACGUGUAGCAGAGAGAACAUUCUGUUUUGUUAUAUAUUUUCAGUACAACAACACACACUUGGUGUGAGAAGAAAAAUGACUGUUAUGCACAGUACCAGCUGGAUGCUUUCCAUCAAAGUAAUCUCAGCCAUUCACUAUCUAACCAAUCAAGCUAUGACACCUGGACUAAGUAUAAAGAAAUACAACUAAGCAGAAAACAAGACUCUUAAUCCUGAAAUCAACUUAAGCACUUAUAAUUCAACACUCCCCUUUAAGUCUUGAGGUGAUUUCACUCCAAGCAUGCCUCUGAGAUAAUUGAAUCUGUCUUUGGCCAGAGGUUUGGUAAAAAUGUCAGCCAAUUGUUCAUUUGUAGGACAAUAUUCCAGAUUGAUUACCCCUUCUUGCAAUGCAUCCUUGAUGAAGUGAUACCUCCUGUCAAUAUGCUUUGUCUUCUGGUGGAAUACAGGGUUUUUAGUGAUUGCAAUUGCUGAGAUAUUAUCACAAUGCAAUGGAGUAGCUUCAGUUUGAAGCUCUCUAAAGUCUUCUAGCACAAAACGGAGCCAAAUAGCUUGAGUAGUAGCCUCAGCUGCACUGAUGUACUCAGCUUCUGCAGUAGACAGUGCAACACAGUUCUGUUUCACUGAGGCCCAAGAAAAUACUCCACUUCCAAAACUAAACGCAUACCCUGAUGUGCUCUUGCAAUCACCAACUGAUCCUCCCCAAUCACUGUCACAGUAACCAACUAGAAUUGAUCUUUUGCCUUUCACAUAUUCAAGACCAUAGUCCAGAGUUCCUUUGAUGUAUCUCAAAACCCUUUUAGCUGUUCCAUAGUGUCUAUUUGUAGGACAGUGCAUGAAUCUAGCUAGCAAGCUUGAGGCAUACAUGAUGUCUGGUCUUGUAGCAGUUAAGUACAGCAAGCUACCAACAAUGCUUCUGUAUUGUUCUUCAUUUGCAGCUCAACUCCCAUCAUCCUUAGCUAGUUUCUCAGUGGCAACAAGGGGUGUUGUCACAGGUUUGCACUCAGUCAAACCAAACUUGCUCAACAAGGUGCUAGCAUAUUUCUUUUGAUGUAGAAAUAUACUAGACUCAGUCUGAAUAACUCCCAUGCCAAGAAAGUGAUGAAGUAAGCCCAAAUCAGUCAUCUCAUACUUAGCCAUCAUGUCUUCUUUGAAUUCAGCCAACAAUGCUUGACUGCUCCCUGUAUACACAAUAUCGUCUACAUAGAUAGACACAAUUAGAAUCUCCUUAUCUCCCCUUACUUUGGUAUAUAAGGUUGUUUCACUUAAGCUUUUCACAAAACCACAUUGAGUGAAGUAGCUGUCUAUCUCUCCAUACCAAGCCCUUGGGGCUUGCUUCAGACCAUAAAGGGCUUUAUGCAAACGAUAAACCUUGUCUUCUUUACCUUUAAUUACAAAACCUUCAGGCUGACUGACAUAAACUUCCUCUUGCAGCACACCAUUAAGGAAAGCAGACUUCACAUCAAGCUGGAACAAUUUCCAAUCCUUUUGAGCAGCUAGAGCAAUAAGUGUUCUAAUGGUGUCCAAUCUGGCUAUAGGUGCAUAAGUCUCAUUAUAAUCCAGUCCAGGCUUCUGAGCAUACCCCUUAGCCACUAAUCUUGCUUUAUUCUUUUGCACUGAGCCAUCCAAAUUCAGCUUUGUCUUGUACACCCACUUAACUCCAAUCACUGGUUUUUCAGUUAGUCUAUCUACCAAUUCCCAUGUUUCAUUCUUUUCAAUCAUCUGCAGUUCAUCUUCCAUAGCCUUAAGCCAAGAUUCAUCCUGAGCAACAUCAGCAUAUUUUUCUGGUUCCAUGAUACACAAGUUACACUGAGCUAGAACAUCAUCUAGCCUUCUCCAUUUUAGAGGGGUGUGAUCAUAAGCUUGAGUUCUCCUUUCUUCACUGCUUAUAUCACCUGGAGUUGAUGAAAUGCUCUCUUGCAUAUCCAAAGUUUGAGGUGUACCAGUAGAAUUCUCAUUAGAACUGUCAGAUUUCAAGUCCAAAUCAACUUGGUUUUCAAUUGAGUAUGUUGUCAUAACUGAACCAUUUUUGUUUGUCCAAUGCCAAGCAUUUUCUUCAUCAAAUGUCACAUCCCUUGAUAGUAAAAGCUUGUUAGAAACAGGAUCAAAAACUCUAUAUCCUUUUUCACAAGUUGCAUAUCCCACAAACACUCCCUUUGUACUCUUAGGAUCCCGCUUGUGUCUCAAUUCAGUUGGCACAUGAACAUAACACAGAGAACCAAACACUUUCAGAUGUGCAAUUCCAGGCUUCCUUCCACUAUAUGCUUCGAAUGGAGUAAUGUUGUUGAGAGCUUUGGUAGGACAUCUGUUCAGCAAAUAGAUAGCUGUAUGCACAGCUUCUGCCCAUAGGAAAUAAGGCAUUCCCUUCUCAUGUAACAUUGAUUUUGCCAUCUCAAUGACAGUUCUAUUCUUCCUCUCAACUACUCCAUUCUGCUGAGGAGUAUAGGCCAUUGUAAGCUGCCUUUGAAUGCCAUUAGCUUCACAAAACUCCAAAAAAUCAGUAGACAUAAACUCUCCACCCCUGUCACUUCUUAUGCACUGAACCUUGUGUCCAGUUUGUAAUUCAGUCAUGGACUUGAACUUCUUGAAACAAAAGAAGGCUUUUGACUUGUUUCUCAAGAAGUAUACCCAAAUCAUUCUUGUGAAAUCAUCUAUAAUCAGCAUGAAAUAUCUGUUCCUUGCAACAGACUCAUUUCUCAUGGGACCACAGAGAUCCACAUGUAUUAGCACUAGUACUUUGCUUGCUCUUUGAGCUUGAUCUUUUGGAAAAACAUUUCUGUGCUGUUUUCCAAAUUGGCACCCGUCACACACACCACUUUGUUCUUCCAAUUUUGGUAAACCAUGUACCAUUUCUUUAUCACUUAGCUGCUUCAAUCCUCCAAAAUGCAGAUGACCAAAUCUCUUGUGCCAAAUCCAUGUGGAUUGAAGAAAACUAGUCUUCAUUAGUAACUGUUUUUCAGCUAGAAAAGAGACAGGAUAGCAUCUGUUACUCUUCAUUUGCACCUUUAUGAUGAGAUAAUCCAUGGAUGGGCUAUCAAAUACCCUGCACAUCCCUUCUCCAAACACUAGACAGUACCCAUGUUCAUCCAUCUGCCCAACACUUAGCAGAUUUUCUUUCAAUCCUGGCAGAUACAUUACUUCUCUGAUGUAUUUCCUGCCCUUUGCUGUAUCAAUACUCAGUGAGCCAAUACCAGCUACACUCACUAAUGCACCAGUUGGCAUUUGUACUCUCCCAGCUACAUUAGUUCUCACAUCAACCAGCAAAUCUAAAUUUCCUGUCAUAUGAUUGCUGCAGCCACUGUCAAUGUACCAUUCAUUGGUUUUGAUCUCAGUGGUUGAGCAAUUGGCAUAAAACAGGUUUCCUGUAACCUCCAUUUGAUUUACACAAUUAGCCUUCUGCACAUUUUUGCUCACUGUACAGUCUCUAGCAAGAUGUCCAACUCUGUCACAGUUAUAGCAUUUUGGUUUUCCCUUAUACCUGCACUCACCAAAAUGAUGCUUUGAACACACCUUGCAUUGAGGCUUUGUGUUUUCCUGAUUUGAGAACUGUGUUGAAGUGUGGUUCUGUGCAGAAUAAUUAUUCUGCUGUGUCUUGUCUUUUGCCUCCCAUGACUUCCCUUUAGAGUUCCAGCUUCUCUGUGACUUAGAUGAACCAGACUGAGAAGCAUUUUUGUUCUGACCCUUUGAAUUCACAGUGAAUGAGGCAAAUGCCUUCUCAGCUGUAUCAACACUAUGCAUUUCAAGCCUUUGCUCCCGACUCUUCAAAAUGGCAGUUACUUCCUGCAAAUCCACAGUUUCUAGUGUCUUUGUGUUUUCAAUCACAAUGCAUAUAGGGUCAUACUUCUUACUUAGACUAAUUAACACCUUCUGAACCUACCUCUCAUUUGACAGAACUUCACCAAAUGUUUUCAUUUGGUUAAUCAAUUCAGUUAGUCUAGUAAGAUAUUCAGAUAAGGUUUCACUAUCACGCAUCCUACUGUAUUCAAACUCACGUCUAAGGUUUUGAAGCUUUACCGAUCUAACAUGCUCUCCACCAUGAUAUUCUGAGUACAGCAGAUUCCAAGCCAUCUUUGCAGAGUCAGCAUUGGCAAUUCUGGGAAAAAUCUGAUCAGAAACAGCAUUUUGAAUGAUACCCAAGGCCUUCGCAUCCUUCAUGAGAAUCGCAGCUGUUUUCUCAUCAACUUCUUCUUCUGAACCAUCCUCAGAUUCCUGCUUCGUCUUUGAAUCUGGGAUUAAAAACCCCUUCUCUACCAAACCCCAUAAACCAUAUGAUCUGAAUAUGGUUACCAUCUUAAUCCUCCAAAAUUCAUAGUUCUCACCUGAGAAAAUGGGGAUUCUAGCCUCUGAACUUCCAGAUCCAGCCAUUACGAAUUUCAGAUUCGCCUGGAAACAAGAUGUUUUCAGAUUUGACCCUUGAUCGAGCUCAAUCAGCUUCGUGAGCUUAGAAUGAGCUCACCUCGAUCGAUUUUCUUCACAGAACAACGCCCAGCUUCAGAUAAUCAAACUUGGCUCUGAGGCCAUGUUAGAGUUUUAGGAUCUGAGUGUUAGAUAUUGUGAGAAGAGAGAAGAGAAUUUAGUGAAAAUUUCCAAUACUGCUCUGCUAUACGUGUAGCAGAGAGAACAUUCUCUUUUGCUAUAUAUUUUCAGUACAACAACACACACUUGGUGUGAGAAGAAAAAUGACUGUUAUGCACAGUACCAGCUGGAUGCUUUCCAUCAAAGUAAUCUCAGCCAUUCACUAUCUAACCAAUCAAGCUAUGACACCUGGACUAAGUAUAAAGAAAUACAACUAAGCAGAAAACAAGACUCUUAAUCCUGAAAUCAACUUAAGCACUUAUAAUUCAACAUUGUUACCAUAAGAGCCAGCUCCGACUUUCUUUAAUUUCAGUCCUAACGGGGUUUCAUCUUCCACUCAUCUUUGCUCUUCUCAGUGUAAGCUCUGCAAUUUGAUUAACUUUCCCAUUAUCUCUCACUGUACUCUAUAUAAAGGAAUAAGUGUCGUCCACUAAUUAAUUACACUUUGUGAGAUUUGAUUUUAAUUAGAGUUCGAAUUGAUGUUGCAGCUAGCAGCGGUGGCACUGGCAAACCAUGCUGCUCAACCAGCACCUCAACUUUACUGGAACUCCGUCCUGCCAAACACACAAAUGCCAAGAGCUAUCAGUGAACUUCUGCAUCCUGGUUUGUGUUGAAUAAAUAUAGUAUGUUACUGGAGUACGUAUGGCAACAUAUUCACAAAUGUGUCACGUAUUUUCCAAUAUGACGUUGAUAUAUAAUUGCAGACUCCACAAACGAAGAAAAGAGCACAAAUGUCAUGAAUGCUGUUGGGAAUGGAAAGCCAAUUGACCACAAGGGCAACCUGAAAAUACUGUACUACCACAGCUUGCACGACGCCCAUUUUCUUACAAGAGUGAUGAUCGUCCCACUGACAAUCAACUCCAUUAUAAAAACGUAGCUAUUUUCUUCUUGGAGAAGGACAUGCGCCCUGGCACAACAAUGAGCUUCCAAUUCCCUAGAAAUUCAAACACGGCUACUUUCCUGCCACCAGAAAGAGCUCAAUCGAUCCCCUUCUCCUCUAACAAACUACCAGAAAUUUUCAACCAUUUUUCAGUGAAGCCAACAUCUGUGGAAGCCAAAACAAUUAAGCAAACAAUCGAAGAGUGUGAGGCUCCAGGCAUUAAGGGAGAGGAAAUAUAUUGCGCCACAUCUUUAGAAUCAAUGGUUGAUUUUAGCACUUCGAAUUUUCGAACAAGAAACGUUCAAGCAAUCUCGACAGAGGUAUUGGAAAAAGGUGCCACCAUGUCCAUGCACAAGCAUACAACAAUGCCGGGACUGAAGAAGUUGGCAGGUGACAAAGUCGUUGUGUGUCAUAAGCAGAACUAUCCCUAUGCUGUGUUUUACUGCCAUGUAAUAAAACCAACAGCAGCUUAUGUUCUCUCCCUGAAAGGCGAUGAUGGGGUGAAGAUUAAAGCAGUAGCCAUCUGCCAUCUAGACACAUCAGAAUGGAACCCAAAGCAUUUGGCCUUCCAAAUCCUCAAAGUUAAGCCCGGAACAAUUCCCAUCUGCCAUUUCCUUCCCACUGAUCAUAGUGUCUGGGUUCCGAACCACAAAUCUGCAUGAUCAUCACUUAGCACUGUACGUAUAAUAAGCUUGCACCCCUGUAUAAUUAUCUCCCUACUCUACUUAUUUCUGCCUCUUCAUGUGGUGUAAGAUAUAUGAUGAGAUGAAGUUUUUGGGAUUAGUGGUCGGGUUGCCUUAAAAACACAGAUUACAGAAACUGCUUGAACUUAACCCGAUCAUGUUUUCUCUUGUACUCGUAAAGCAUGCUGUUGUGGUUCUACUUAAUUUCGUUCUCCCCAAUGUUUGAGUGUUUAAUUGUUACGUUGGAUAAUGCUUGUAGUUAGAGAAGCCUUCAUUUAUAUCAAAGUCCUCAACUUGUAAAGAUAUCAAUGGUCCUAGUGCUGCCACGUGUAAGAAGAUUGAAGAAUAAAGCUGUUGAGAUAUUGUUAGACCUGUUAUGCAGUUUAGGAAAACUGUUAGUAUUGAUAAGAGAAGGUUAGAGAUGUUAGAGAGGUUAGAAAACACGUGAACAAGGCUUUAACUCAGCUGAUAUAAAGUCUGUAGUUGUGCUCAGUUGAACUUAAUGAGAAAUACAACAAGUCUCUUCUCUAUCUCUGAAAUUCUCUCUGCUCUCUCUGCUUUACUUCUUUUGUCUCUGCUCUACAUUUUUUUUCAAUCUUCCUAUCUUAACAAAACUAUCAAGAAUUAAUGCAUCCAGAAACAUAUAUACCAAGACGCAAAACAACAUAUUUUUCAUGCUCUGUCUGUAACACCAAAGCAAACUUCCUUUAUCACAAAAGGAUCAAAUUCCAGUACUAAUCUAAUCCAUCAUGUAAAGCAUACAAUCUACAAGUGCCUCCCUUAAUUUGUCCAUUGGAUAUAUAUGUCACUUUUUGGUAAUUUGGUAUAGCAGCACCACGUAGUCUUGAAAUAGUAGUGCGGCUAUACCAAAUAUACCAUUUGCCCCUGCAUUUAACAGAAAAGUAAACAAAAUUGACGGUAGAACUAUUUGUCCUAACGAAACUGCAGUUGAAAGACCAUGAGAACGAUUUUGAAAAUUGAGGGACUCAAAUGAAAAUUGGGUCUAAGUUCAAGAACCAAUAAAACGAUUAACCCAUAGAUUUUGGAUCCAGUACCACAUCCCAAAGAGAAAACCACAAGUUUGCAAGCAAGUUUGUCCAUAAUAACACUACGUACAGUAUGGGCAGUGCGCUAGACUCAUCUCACUUUCUCAACCUAUCCUAUAGUUGUCUAAAAGAGUUUCUAAUUUAAUGUACUGAGAUUUACGAAAGAAAUAUCAGAGAAACAAUUUUCAGGCAAUAAAAAAAUGUCUUGGCAAGAAAAUGUACAAUUUGUUACAUAACUUAUUAAAUAUGAACAGUUGAAAGAAAAAAGAAUCUGGAUGAGGGAUUUGCAAAUUCCUAUGGCCCAAUUACCUUUUUUUCUUUGUUGUUUUUUUUUUUUUUUUUUUGGUUCUUUUGAUCCAGUAGCAUAUUCCAAAGAAUGAAAACCACAGGCAUGCAAUGCAAGCUCUUUUCCCACGUUUUCCUCUGUUUUUCUCCUAUCAUGGAAGUGAUUAAAACACACCUCUAAGCUUGUUUUGCGUUUGGUAGCCGAGUGUAAAAGCUCAAUGCAAGAUAGUUUGAGGUAGAAUUUUCUCCUAUUUUAUUAGGACAAUGAUAAUUAAAAAAAAGUGUGAUUCAUUGAAUAUUUGCGGGGUUUUGUUCAGACCUGACAAAGUUCUAAGUCAACACAUCAAAUUCCUUUUUCCAACAUGCAACAAUUGUAUUUGAUUCCCAAUUUUUUCUGAUAUACAUCACAUCAUGCCACUUGCAUCAAAUGAAUUUAAUUGAGUGAGGCAAUGGGAAGUAAUUAAGCUCUGUAUUCGUGGGUGGAGUGUUACUUCUGGAACCCUAAUAAUUCGUCCCUACAGGACUCUAGAACUCUCAAACUUCUUACAAGGACUACUUAACUCUAUAGCUUAAUGCAUAUAGCAUAUAUAUGCAAACACAAUUAGAAAUUCUACAACAGAAGCAAGAUCAAUCUCACUAUGCCUUCUAAACAAACAAACAAAUAAAACAAGCAUAUUAAUUGCUUUAAUCACUCUACUAACAUCAACACAGCACACUUAGUUUACUAACAGAUGAUAUAGAAAGGAAAAAAAAGGACCAAUAGGGAGAAAAUGGUGAACUAAGGAGAGACUAAUACUUCUGGUCCUUAGAAGGCAUAACAGAAAUAAUAGAGCACACUGCUUGAAUGCAAGUCAGUAUUAGGAGCAAAACAGCUGCAAUGAAAGAAAUAGUUGCCCAAGGUGUAUUGAAAUAAUGUUGCCUCAAAUUUGCCUUCCAUUUGUUCCAAGGCUUUCUGCAGUAGCUAUUAAGGCGCUCAGAAAGAAUAGCAAAGUAGAAGCUUUCACGAUACACUGCAAUUCCUUUUCCGAGGUUGUUAAUCAGAGUGCACACCUCAUUGUAGUCACCAAGCAUAUUUUUGACAAUCCCAUCCUUCAGAAGGAACUCCACAUCCUUUUCGGUGUUCACAAACUCAUCCAUGAGUGAAACAUAAUCACUUAUGUAAUUCUUACGGCAAUGGCACUAUUCAAAGGCAAUGAGGUUACGGAGUGUGAGCUCUGUGUAAUCGUGUAUUUUUAGUUUUGGAAUUUCUAGAAUCCCAUCGUUGAAUUGUGUUAACGCAGCUUUCCUUUCCUAGCCUACACGGAAGUCAACUUCACAAUCUCCUCCUAGCAAUUAGUCUUUCCUGCUGUAAAUCAGAUUUCCUACUGUAAAUCGGAUUGUAUUCAUGUCUAUAUUAUUUCCUACUUUAAGUAGAUAUCUUGUACUAGUAUAAAUAGGGACUUUGUGUAAUCUGUUAAAUACAAGGAAAUAUAUACUCUGCAUGGUAUCAGCCUAACCUAGGGUUCUCUCUCUCUCCCUUAUUCGAUCCUCUUCUCCUUUAGGUCCACCUCAUGGCUUUGUCUGAAUCCACCAUCUCCCUCCCAAGCCCCAACUCUUCUAUUUUAUCAAGCUUAUUGACUCCAACUAUCUUCUUUGGCUCCGCCAACUCAAACCCUUUUUAGUCGGCCAUGACCUCUGGAAAUUUAUCGAUGGCAUUCAUAAACAACCUUCUGCCCACACCUCCACCUCUACCACCGCAACACCCACAACCACCACCACUCUUACCCAAAUCAAUCAUGCCCAUGCUCAGUGGUACCAACAAGACCAACUCAUUGUUAGCUACAUCACCAAUACACUCUCUGAGUCCAUUCUCUUUCUCACUGUUGGUUGCACCUCUGCCCGGGAUCUCUGGGAGUGUCUCCAACGCCACUUCUCUCAAUCCAGUAUGGCCAGUGAAUCUACUCUUCGUUUUAAACUCAUGGAUUUGCAAAAAGGCUCUGAACCCACUUAUGCUUACAUUCGUCAUGCUAAGUCCUUUGCCGAUUCACUGGCUGCCAUCAAUGAACCUGUCUCCCCAAAAGAACUUGUCACUACUGUGCUUUGGGGUUUAAGACCCUAUUGCAACAUCCUCGUCACAGCAAUUCUCAAUUUCCCUCUGCUUCCUAACUUUGCUAAUCUUCGUGCUCGUUUGUUAGCAUUUGACGCACAGACUCCUUGAAUCUCUCCUGAUCAAAACACAGCGCAAAUGGCCACCCAAUCCUCUCCUCACACCACCGGUCAUACUUCCUUCCCUUCUCACCGUGGUGGUGGCUCUUCCAACAACAGGCGUGGUGGCCUCGGUGGCUGGCGCAAUAGCGGCCGGGGUGGCUGGCGCAGCUUCUCAUCUUCCUGGAGCAACCCGUGGAAUGGCUUCCAGCAGCUCCAAUGACCUAAUCAACCAUGGCCUCCUUUUGCUCCAAGUUCUGGAUCUCAAAGCAACUGGCCUUCCUUUCAGCCUCCUUGGGCCUAAUCUGCCGCUUCUAUCAAACACUUUGCCCGGCCCAACUCAGCUCCUGGUGUCUUGGGACCCGCUUGGUGCACUACCUGCAAUACCAAUCACAUACUACUACAAUAUGUCCUCAUCGCUACAAUGGCCCAGAAUCCUUUCUUUGCUAGGGCUCAAUUCAUGUAGCCACCUGACUCUACUUGGUACCCUGACACAAGUACCACUCAUCAUAUGAUUGGUAGUCCUUCUAAUCUCCAAAAUCAAUCCUUCUAAUCUCCAAAAUCAACAGCCAUAUCAGGUUCAUAAUUCUGUAUUUCUUGGUAAUGGAGAUUCUCUCCCUAUCUCUCAUACUAGCUCUCUCUUUUGUCUUCCAUCUCUUCGUACUAAUCUUCUUUUUGUUGCCCAUUUUACUUGUGAUAAUUUAGUUUUCUUUGUCUUUACUCUUGACUUUUAUCAAAUCUAUGACUUAUGUACUGGUUCGUUACUCUUUCAGGGCCCUUCUAAAGAUGGUCUUUACCCACUUUCCAUCUCCUCUCACUCAUCCAUAGUCCCCCAUGCCCUUACCACCGUGCACUCUCCUGCUUGGCAUCAUUGCCUUGGCCAUCCAUUCCAUCGUGUGCUCUCUCAUUUAGCGCCAUCUCUAGGCUUUAAAGUUUCUCAUGCUUUCUGUAAGGAUUGUGCACUUAGCAAAUCCACCAAACUGUCAUUUCUUAGUAAUAAAACCUUUGCCCCAUCUCCCUUUUAUUUAAUUCACUCUGAUGUAUGGAUGUCCUCGGUCAUUUCUGUCACUGGUUAUCGCUAUUAUGUCUUGUUUACAGAUGACUUUUCUCGUUACUCCUGGAUCUAUCAUAUGCACCGUAAAAAUGAGGUCUUUUCUCACUUUCAAACCUUUCUUGCUAUGGUUAAAAAUCAAUUUCACACCACUGUACAAAUUCUUUAAAGUGACAAUGGCACUGAAUAUGUUAAUAAUGCUUUCUCUGAUCUUUGCAGUCAACUAGGCAUCCACCAACGUUUCACAUGUCCCCACACUCCCCAACAAAAUGGCCUAGCUGAACAUAAACACAGACACAUUGCCACCAUGAUCUGUCCCCGGUCAUUUAUUCAACCAUCUUGACCUUUUGCUUGAUCAUUUUCCACAAGCAACCGUCCACGUACCCCAAUAAUUUAAAAGGGCUGAUGAUCUUUAAUUUGGUGAAAGCUUCUAUCUACCUACCGUGCUAUAUAUGAGCUAUGCAAUCGUGACCGUGUUACAUGACGUCCCAAUGUCGUAGGGAUAAAAAAAUAAUAGUCAUGGUUUUCUUAUUAAUGUCAAUACAUUCAUAGCAAAGAGCUUGUAGCUCUAGUGGUUAAGAGCAAUUACCCAUGCACUUGAGAUAUUUUGUGUUUAAAUCCCCUCUUCCCCAAUAUUUCUUGUAUAAAAAUAAAAAUAACAAUAAUAAUGACAUUAAUGUUGUAUUCUAUAAAGUGUUGGACAUGUUUUAUACCCCUUUCUUGCAAAUUACAGUUUGCCACGUGUACAAAAAUAAUAGAUAAGUGUUGGACAUCAAGAGCACUUACAUAUAGGUUUAAUAGGUAAGUUUUGAAUAUUUCUGUAUUUAGCUUUAAAUAUUGAAAAUCAACCUAUUAGCAUAUUAAAGAUUUGUCCAUAUUCGACGUACAUUCUCUUAUUUUUCUCUCAUUGAAGUAAAUACAAAACUAAGCACAUAGUGGGAAAGUGCGUCACGAUUAGGGGUGGGUUUAGUCUAGGUUGGUUCAUUUUUGGGCUCAAUUUGAACACCGAACUGUAAGCUUCGGUUUGGCUAUUUUGGAAACCGAAACCAAACCAUAAUUGAUGAAAACCGACCACUUCGAUUACCUUCUGGUCUUCCAACCAGAAGAAAACUCAAAACUUUAACCAUACCAAGUGCAACAGAAUUACACCAGGCUGGAUUCAAGUUUAUGAUGGUUAAAGAUAAAAACUUAUUUGACAUACAAUUUGAGAAUGGAAUCCUCAAAAUUCCACACCUGCGAAUACGGGGUUUAACAGAAAUUUUCUUCCGCAAUCUUAUUGCCUAUGAGCAGUGUGAGCUUCAUGAUCAUUACAUCAACGACUAUGUCUUCAUCAUGGACCGCCUGGUCGACAGUGCCAGGGAUGUGGAAUUGCUUGUGAAGAGUGGAAUUCUUGAAUCUAUGCUACCGGACAGCGAGGCAGCAGGGGAAUUUAUUAAUUCUCUUGACUUGGGGCCUAUUUUAGGCAAGCUUGAAACAAGACUAUUUCAGUUCACCAUGGGCUGGCCUGUCUAUUAUUGUAGCCGCUAUACUAGUUGUGCUCACAUUUAUUCAAACAGUGUGCUCCGUAAUGGCGCUGUAGGUUCUUCAUUUCCUCAAUUUCAUGUUUAGUGGUUGCAGAUUUGUUGCUCAUGUACGUGUUUAUCUAAAGUUAAAUAAGAGUGAUUGACUGGAUUGACUGUUAGUCUGUUAGUUUGUUUUUCUGGGGUUUUUCCCCCCUGUUCGUCAAAAAAAAAAAUAAAAGAGUGAUGGCUUGUGCCUAUGAAAAUUACUUAGGAGUAUGCUCCACAGAGCCAAAAUAAAUAAACUAGGGAAGUGGAGGUUCUUCUGUUUGUAUAUAAAUGAGCAAUUCAAACUCUCAGUGCCAAGGGAGUUACCCUUGAUACAUUUGUUAAAAAUUAUAUAUUUGGUCUUACAUCAAACAAAUAAUUUGAAGGGCUUUUUUGACAACUGCUGACAGCGUUUGGCAGAAAAGUUUAGAAGCGCUUCUACGCUUCUAGAUCAUAAAAGUGCUUUACCAAAAAGCACUUAGAUUUCUUAUGAAAAUUUCAACAUUUUUAUAAUAAAAGCGCUUGCUAGAAGCACUUAUAAGCAGAAGUGCUUCAUAGAGAAGCAGUCCCAAACGAGCUUGAUUUUCAAAUGUGCUGCUUAAGAAGAAAUUUAAUACGUUUUGAAAACAAAAAAAAAUACGAAAUUUAAUACGUUUGUUUUACAAAUUGUAUUAAUUGUUAUCAAUAAUACUUGUGCACACCCACAACAUACUUCUUUCUUUCUUUAUUUUCCUUCAGUACAGUUCUGCCUUUCUUUAAUUAUUUUUAACGAAUGCAAAGAGUUUGUCACAAAAUCAAGGAUUGAAAAAAAAAGAGAGUAAAUUAUGUGCUAGAGAAACUUUCCUGCAGAAAUUGAAGAACAACUCUAGUUUCUCUCUUUCGCCUUGUACUCCCGCACUGAGGUUAGUAUUGUUAUAAUGUGCAGAUUAUACGGUCACUCUUGUAUAAUGGCGAGAAGGCUCUAAUUAUAUUUUUGAACCUCUUUGACAGGACCCGCCCCGAAUUUCCCGAAACCCAAGACGAAUUCUGUGGAAAUUCCCUACAUCACCCCGAUGUUGGGCCCACUUCUAAAACUAUAUCAUUUUUCCUAAAAAGGAAUAAGGGCACGAGACUUUCUACCGAAAUUUCGGCAGAGUCUCUCCUGUAAAUUGAACAUUUCCCAAAAUUUCAACCUGCAUAAAACACAUUUUAUAUUACCCAACUGGCAGCAUGCACAAAAUAAUAACAUGCAAUUCACAUAAACGGCCUCUGGCCCUCCGGUAAUUCAGAGCAAUGCAAACUAGCAACUCUAAACCUAAUAAAACAACAUAAGUAACAUUUAGCCAGCGGCUGCACCCAGGCACUACCCUAGGCUACCUACGUACCCUUACUAAGGGAUCAAGCCACACGUAGUUCUUUCAUACAAAAUUUCCAAAUCCAUCAACAUGCAAUCAAUUACAGAAUCCCAAACAAAAUCUUUCUCAAACAUCAUUAGUUCCCAACUCAGUAUAAUAAUCCUUAAUUCAUCUCUGUAAUAAUCACAAUAUCUCCCCAUACGCCGGAACUACCAACACCACGUAUGGAGCCUGCCUGUACGCCAGAUAACCAACGACACGUGGGACCUCAUCAUCAUAUCACAUAAUCUCCCCAUACGCCGAAACUACCAACACCACGUAUGGGGUCUGUCAACACGCCGGAUAACCUACGACGUGUGACCUCAACAUCAAAUCACAAUAUCUCCCCAUACACCGGAACUACCUACGCCACGUAUGGGGUCUGUCCACAUGCCGGAUAACCUACGACACGUGGGACCUCAUCAUCAUAUCACAUAAUAUAUUAACGAUCAAGAAAUAUCACUACGGUCAUUUAAUCCUCCUGGGAAGGUAAAACUAUCUCAGGAGACUCACGGUCAACCAAGGGUCAAACUACCUCAUACUUGGACAAACGAGCCCACGGAGCCCACAACCUCCGUUUUACUAUCCAAGAGUUCCUAUAGGUUCUACAAGGUUUAGGAUACACGGCUUGCAAGUUUGGUCAAGAUCAGACGGUCGGAUCGCUCACGAUAGGACGGUUACUGCAAACCUAGCCCUAGGGUUGGCAUUUUCGGAGUAUCCGAAACUCCGUUUUACGAUCUGUCGAAUCAUAGACGAUCCUAAGGAUUUGCAGACUAACUAUAAUAAAUUCAAGACCAUCCAACGGUCUAAACCUAUCGAACCCGGAUAACGCGCAAUAGGCAAUAUCCAAAUUGAAAUCCGAGCACACCUACGCACUCGUGAGGACUAGGAGAUUACAUCGGGACAUAGUGCCCUUUUUCUACAGUGCCCAUGAGCCGCCGCACGCACCAGCAACGCGUGGGUGCCCAAAGCGAUUAUGCAUCGCCAAAAAAUCUCAAAACCACGGCUCAAGACUCCUACCCUAGGUAUAACACCCUAUUUGGAACCACUUUUGUUCUUGGACCUACCCCAAAAACUGAUCAGAAGUGGCCGGAAUGGCUGAAAUGUAAUUCAAAAAUCAAGCUACCAACGCUCAAAAUCGAUGCAAUCCUACCCAACCAUCAACUAGAUUAUGAAGAAUGGAUAAAUUUCCAUACCUUGAUCGCCAACAAUGGCGGCCGGAGGAGAGAGAUCUGAUCCGGCGAAGUUCGAGUGAAAACGGCCAAAAAUCAUCUUUUUCAGGCGGCUGGAGGGCGACCGAUGUCAGGGAAGGGCAGGGUCGUGACGCUAAGGCUGAGCCUGUCCUUUUGGCACCGGUCCCUUCCGCAGCCGUGUCCGGUGGCUGGAGUUUCGAAGAGAGAGAGAGAGAGAGAGAGAGAGAGAGAGAGAGAAAUCUGAUUUUUAUCAAACCUUUUUGCCAAAAUUACGGUUAUGCCACUGAGGGUAUUUUGAUAGUAUCUCUCUCGUUACAACUUCGAUUCGAGCCCACCACGUGUGUACGGACUCAUCUAACUGUGUUGUACGCAACGGUAUAGUCGAAAUUCCCAAAUUAUUUCCUUGUCAAAAAGUCAACUUUAAACAUUAUAAAAUAUUUUAGGGAAAAAAUGGUAUUUUCUCUCAAUAAAUUAGUAACUAAUUUAUUUAGGACUGGGUCAUUAUACUCUUUUUCGCUUCAAUGGAUGGGAAAAAAUUUUAUGUAAUAUCCCACAUCGACCAACGAAGAGGGGGCGAUGUGUCUUAUAUGUACAUGCCCGCCUCCAUCUAGCAUAAGGCCUUUUGGAAGCUCACUGGCUUCAGAGUCAUGGGAACUCCGAAGUUAAGCGAGUUGGGGGCUAGAGCAAUCCCAGGAUGAGUAACCCACUGGGAAGUUGCUCGUGAGCUUCGAGAAACAAAACCGUGAGGGCAGAGAGAGGGGCCCAAAGCGGACAAUAAGGCCUCGUGCUAGAUGGAGGCGGGCAUGUACAUAUAAGGCACAUCACUCUCUCUCCGUUGGUCGAUGUGGAAUGUUAGAAUGGAAUUGUUACCUUUGGUGUGGAGGUGUUCUAUCAUUUGAGCAAGAAAUUCCCACAUAUUCUUCAACUAUUUUUCAAGCAUGCAUAUUCCUCCCUAUCAAUCUUUGGUUUCUUCCUUUACUGUGCAUAGUAAGGAUCCAGUCAGGGACGGACCGUCGCUAUGACUAUCCUGGGCUAUAGCCCAGGCAAAUUAUUUUUUUUUCUAGUCUAAAAUAGCAAUCCCACCGCUUGCUGUAGUACUUGUUCAGUUCGUCACAAACAUGAGCAUAAUAGAAGUUAUCAACAUCUAUAUAGGAACCCCAAUGAAAAGGCUGUUAACUAAUAAUGAAGUUAACCCGUCAAUUUUUCCGCAUAUCAGAUAUCUCUCAGAAUAUGCGAUUCCAUAUUCAAUAAGCCACUCCACAUGCCCUGAGGUUUUCAUCAAACCACCCAUUAAGGAAACAUACUGACUCAUGUAAUUAUCAUUACUCAUCGGGUAAUGCAAUUGUUCAAAGGCAAGGACAUUUCUCAUUAUUUAUGUAGCGAACCCCAAUGGAAAUGGUGGGAUCUUCAGAACCCCAUCGGUGCUACUGAAUUGUAUGUCAAAUAUGUUUUCACCUUGUCACGCCUCAAACUUGACUCCAGCGUGCUGUAAUUCUGUCAAGCUGGGUAUGGAUGAUGGGAGUUUGAUGCAGGAGCAUAGGGGUGGAUCAAGAUAGAUAUUUACUAUUUAAUUAGUUAUUUCAUGAUAUAUUGUUAUUUUCUUAUUUAGGUAGUUUUAUGAUAUCUUUUAUUAUUUAUGUGUGAUUUUAUAAUUAAUUAGUAUACUUUUGGACCAAGUAGCCUUGGUGCUCAAGUCUUGUAAAGCCUAUAAAUAAGGCUAAUGUAAUAGUUGUAGAAUAGAUGUCGAUGAUUAAUAAAAUCGUUUAUUUGUGGCAUGGAUUUGCUACGAUAUAUGUGAGUUUGCACUAGCCCUAGAUUUCAGUGCUCGUGUAUGUGGUUGGUGACCUGUGUCCGGAUCCCGAUCCCCAUCAAUUGGUAUCAGAGCUAUGGCUCAAGAUCUGCUAUAUCGGGGAGGUUUUUGGAUGGAGGGUCGUUUUAACAACUACAACGACAUGGAGGAAAUUAGGAGGAUGCUACGGCAACUUAUGGAACACAUUGCUCGCAUUGAAGCUCGAACCCAGAUAGGUAAGAGUUCUGACGGGGAGGGAUGUGUGAACCCUUAUCUGAACCGAGUAGCUCGCAUCGACACUCUAAGCCGUGAGAGUCUCGACGGGGAGUACGAGGGAGAUAGCCCUUUUCAUUAUUGUGCUCCGCUGUGUGAGUCAAGUGAAGAGGGGCACGGUUAUUCUCAUUGUGUCUUUGAAGGUAUAAAUGAAUUUAGUAAUUUUGGUGCAUCUUGUUAUUCAUCAAAGUUAUUAAAUUUGGAUUUACCUCCAUUAUUUGAUCCUUGCAAUUGUGAAAAUUGCAAUAAAAAUUGUUUGGGUGUUCAAAGCAAUUUUGAUAAGCAAUUUAUUGACCAGAACAGUGAAGAGAUGAGAAUUGAGAAAACUUUCGAAGAUAUUAUUGAUUUUAUGGGCAUUAAUAUUUUCACUUGGAAGGUUGCCAAAAAUCUGGUUGAUUUUGUCAAUCGGUUGAAGAUUCUAGAGAGAAACAUUUGCAUUGCUAGAGGGAGUAAGAAGUCAAGAAUAACGAAAUAUUCCAAAUAUCUUUUUAUUUGGAAAGGAAGGUUUCAAUUGGAUGCUAAAAGAUCCAAAAUUAAUAUGCAGCAAUUGAAGAUUCUACUCGGAUUUUCCUUAAUCAAAGGCUUGAAUUCGAGGACGAAUUCUUUCCAACUAUGGGAGUCUGAUGCAGGAGCAUAGGGGUGGAUCAAGAUAGAUAUUUACUAUUUAAUUUGUUAUUUCAUGAUAUAUUGUUAUUUUCUUAUUUAGGUAGUUUUAUGAUAUCUUUUAUUAUUUAUGUGUGAUUUUAUAAUUAAUUAGUUUACUUUUGGACCAAGUAGCCUUGGUGCUCAAGUCUUGUAAAGCCUAUAAAUAAGGCUAAUGUAAUAGUUGUAGAAUAGAUGUCGAUGAUUAAUAAAAUCGUUUAUUUGUGGCAUGGAUUUGCUACAAUAUAUGUGAGUUUGCACUAACCCUUGAUUUCGGUGCUCGUGUAUGUGGUUGGUGACCUGUGUCCGGAUCCCGAUCCCCAUCAGAGUUCCCCUCCAGCUUUUGAUUCCAACGGUUGAUAGAGUUUAAAUAUUUUCCUGAAAAGAUCAAUAAUAUGUGCCACUGAUCUAAAAGUCUCCAAAUUGUCUUCCAAUUUGUCAACAGGCAAUAGAUGUUCGAAGAAACUGAAAGAAAUACAAAUUAUUGAAAGCCCCUCAGUAAUGCUGUUAUUGUCAGCAUUAGCAGGGAGUGUAAUUUUCUGUGGGUCGAAAAGAUCCUCGAGAAUGAAGAAUGGCAACUGAUUUUCAAGCAACCACGUAUCUGUCCAUGCAUCUUGCAACAUACCUGGUUUGUCAAAUAUGCGGUCAUUUUCGUCCCAAAAUUUGAAGUAGUCCUUCAAUAAGGGCUCAAUAACGAAGGCGGCGCCCACUAGAAUGAUUGUUACAAAUUCAUCACUGCUAAACUUGAUGGGUUCUCCAUAACAACGUCUCAAUCUUGCUUCGUGGUCCUUUAUUUUCUUAAUAUAAUCCUCCAAACUCACAUUGGUCCGACCUAUAAAAUCUUGCAGGUAUCUCUGUUUGUUCUCUUCCAAUACGACAUUCAAGCCUUCCUUUCCAUGGUGAAGUGGACCUAUAGAGACCGACUGCCUGAGGUGUGCAGAGCUUUUCAUUCACACAUACGUAGAUAAAAUGUCUGGGGGCUCAGAGAGUGAUGAAUGUGCAACAGCUAAUGGGAGGGUUUAUAUUCCUGAAGUAAGAAAUGAGGAAACACCAGCAGUUGGGAUGAAGUUUGACUCGCUUGACCUCGUUUACAAUUUCUAUAAUAGAUAUGCAUUCUUGGCUGGCUUUGGUAUUCGACUUCAUUCUAGCUUUUGGGGGAAAAAUAAGAAAGAGAUUUUGAGGAAAGAAUUUGUAUGUUGCAAACAAGGUGCAUACAAGAAGGAUGAAACUCGGGAGAGAAAAAGACAACGGGGAAUAAGUAGAUGCAAUUGCAAAGCAAAGAUUGUGGUUGUGAAGACAAAUGGGAGCAAGAAGUAUACCAUUUCUCUUUUUGCAGAGGGACACAAUCAUAAGAUGACACCCUCAGAAAGAAUGCAUUUAUUGAGAUCACACCGUCAUAUUUCAGAUUCUACAAAAGUACUCACAAAACAGUUGGGUUCAGUUAAUAUUCCCAUUCAUCAGAAGGUAAGUAUAUUCGAGGUGCAAUCCGGAGGAAUGGAUAAAAUCGGUUUUAUCAAAAAAGAUAUCUACAAUCUUGAAUGUAGUGUGAAUGGGAAGCUGAGGAACCACGAUGUUGAACUAGUGACCGAGUAUUUUAUGGCUGAACAGAAAAAAAAUGAGGCUUUUUAUUUCAAGAUUGAGGGAGAUGGGCAUGACAGGUUUAGUCGAUGUUUUUGGGCAGAUGCAACUUCUAGACGGGCGUAUGGGUUUUAUGGAGAUGUUGUUGUAUUCGAUACCACAUUCAACACGAAUCGAUACGACUUGACAUUUGCACCAAUGUUGGGAGUUAAUAACCAUGGUCAGACAAUUGUCUUAGCAUGCGCAUUUUUGAGCAAGGAAACGACUGAGUCGUUUGUUUGGAUGUUUGAGGAGUUUAAGAAAGCCAUGCCAGGUGGGGAACCUAAAACGAUCAUUACAGAUCAAGAUGCGGCAAUGGCCAUAGCGAUUUCAAUAGCCUUCCCGAGUACAUUUCAUCGACUUUGCAUAUGGCACAUCACAUCAAAGUUCUCUGUUAAGUUACCACGUGACGCUUAUAAGGAGUAUUGGCCUGAAUUUCAGAAAGCCAUAUGGGAUACUGACAAUAAGGAUGAGUUUGAUGCAAAAUGGAAUAUUGUGGUUAUAAAGGCUGGUUUGACUGACCAUCCAUGGCUAAGUUCAAUGUUUGAUUUAAGGGAAUCUUGGGUUCCAGCCUACGCACGACAAUUUUUUGCCGCUGGAAUGUCAAGCAGCCAAAGAGCGGAAGGUUCUCAUGGUUUUUUCAAGCAAUACAUAUCAAGGAGAAAUUCGUUGAUGGAUUUCAUAAUACGAUUUGAGAGGGCAUUUUCUCAUCAACGUGAAAAAGAGUUAGUUGCUGAUCACGUAGAUGCAUUUGAAGUGGCUCAAUGUCUUCUACCGAUGCCAAUGAACAAACAAAUGGCUACCUUGUACACAAGGACAAUGUUUCAAAAGUUUGAGCAAGAACUAAUACAAAGUACAGCAUGUUUCCUAGAGCUCAAAACAGAGGAUGCAUGUAAAGUUGUGUUCAACGUGAGCGAAAGGAAAAAUUGGGAAACAAGAGUGGCAGAAGUCGUAUAUGUCAAAGAUUCUGACCACGCAUCGUGUAGCUGCAAAAGAUUUGAAUUUGUUGGAAUUAUUUGCAAGCACAUCCUAGCAUUGUUCAGAAGGGACCAGAUUGAAUAUAUGCCCGAUAAAUAUAUUUUGAAGAGGUGGAAGAAAACUGCGAAAUGUGGAUUGGUGUCAGAUGCAAAUGGCAACGAAAUUAAAGACUGUGCAGAUCCUGGCCUUCUAAUAAAGCGGAGUACAAUGUCUCGACUUGCUUCAAAUGUGGUUGAGGAUGCAUUAAUGAGUGAAGAAGGAUGUGAGCUACUGUCAGAGACUCUAAAAAGUUUGCAGGUGAAGUUGAAGUUGCUGAAGGAUGGACCAAGUAAUAACGAAGUUGGAGGGUCCAGCUCUCAAACACAAUAUAUGAAAGACCCUAAGAGAGUGAGGUGCAAAGGAAGGUCGAAAGGAAUAACGGGAGCAAAGGAAAAGGCAAUGAAGCGAGGGAUUAGACACUGUCGGGAGUGUGGACACAUUGGUCAUGAUAGAAGACAAUGCCCAGCCUUGAACACACCGUAAGAUGCUACCACUAUUUGUAAUAAUAUCUAAAAUAUGAAAAGGUAAAAUUUUUAUGUGCUUGUGUUUGAUGUUUAUGCAGGACAUCACCGUCGAACAAUGACAAAUCAACUCCAAUACAUCGUAGUGACCCAUUAUUCGACGAUUUUGACAAGAUGCACAGACCAACUGAAUGAUUGAUAUUUGUAUUAGACGAAAUGUGGUUGUUAUGAAGAUUAAUGAUCAAGUGAAGUUUUAUAGAUUCAGUUUUUGAAUGUUAUUGUGUUUUUGUUCAUGUCCACCGAUGAGCUCUUACUAUGUCCACUGGUAAUUGAAAUGAAAAUUUUCUUGGUUUCAUUCUUCCAAGACAUUUGGAGACAUGUUAAUUUUACGUCUUCUCCCUAUUUAUAAAUUUUCAUAGACAUUUGAUCAAGUUUGAAAUUUGUAGUUAUGUGAAGAAGCAAUGACUCUUACCAUGUAAAAUGGGCAGUUUAGGGUGAAAUUUGUUUUAACAGAGAUUCAUUUUUCAAUUCCUCAGGGUAAUGCAGCAAUUACAGCAGCCAGCUGUUGUUUCCAUUACCAGUAAUCAUUUCCAGCAGCAGCCACUUUUUCCGACUGGUUAUUAGGGGCACGAUUUUGUACACUUUUGUAAGUGAAGGAUACUCGAAGCACUUUGUUGGAACAGAGCAAAUAGAAACCAGCGGGUAAAAAAAAAACAUAACAUUGCAGCUAAUUACAUUUCGAUACAUAGGUGAAAAAUAUUAAAGGGUACACUAACUUACAUAAAUACUCAUAAUUCCACACACAAAAGAACAUUUGAUUGCAAAACAUAUUAUGUGCUUCCUCAUAGCAAUACCACGAUCUCCCCAACCAACUGAACAACGGUAGCCACAAUCACUGGGUCGUACUCGUCAGCUUCUUCUUAGCAGGUCUCACAUGCUUAUGGCCACUCAUAUCCCUAGUGAUAUACACGAAAUAAAUCUUCAGCAAUAUUUGGAAUUUUAUUAUAUAUAAAUAAACCAUAAACCAUUCAGUAAACAAUGUAUAGCACAUGUUAUGUAACUUAUGACUCACGUGUCAGUUUUUUUUUUAACACAUUAGUACUCCAGCUCUUUAAUGUAAAUGGACAUGAUAAGGAGCAUUUACUGAUUCCCGGCUUUCUAUGAUAUUGACUGCUUCUUGAAUAAUAUUUCCAUAUUUGCAAAAUAUAAUGUUAGACAUUAUAACACAUGAUGACUUGCAAUACAUAGUCCCAAUAAUUAUAUAUCAAGCAAAUGAAACUGAUAUUUGUGUUAUUUUAAGUUAGAUAAUGACAUUAAGGGAGUAUAUGUGCAAUACCACGGUCACCCUCAACCAACUGAACAGCGGUAGCCGCAAUCACUUAGUCGUAUCGGUCGGCUUCUUCCGAGCAGCUUUGACGUGCUUAUGCUCAUUCAUGUCACCCCCAUCGUCUAGUAUCUCUCUCACAGCAUCAGGGGACACAUAGUUCCAAUCAUAACUUGUAUGAGUAGUUGCCGCAAAUGCUCGGAAUUUGUCGAAUCCUUCGUUGAAUGCCAACUCCAGUUCAGUAUGGUGCUCUUCGCAUCGCAUAUGGUUCAUCAAACAACCUUUGAUUUCAUCAUUCAUUACUGUAUCCAACUCCUCAGCUUUCAGCUUCCUGCUAUGACUCAGCUUCAAGUACUUGUUCUUUUGGGAUAACGCUUUGUUCACCCUAAUGUUAAGAUCAGCCAAAAUUGCCUCGUCUUCAACACAUUUCUCGUGCCAUGAAUUGAUCAGUCUGGAAUUAUAAUCCAGCUUGCCACUGACUGCAUGUAUUGCCUGUAAUGGAUCAUCGGAGUCCCCCUCACUCCCAAAUGAUGUUGAAAAAGGAAGGGGUCGGCGAGUACAAUGUGGAAAUAGAACCUGCCACUCCAAUUUGUCAUCUUCGAUUGUGUUGUUGGCGCCUGAAGAGGUUGACAUGCUUGAAUAAUCCUCUUUGUUUUGGGAGGAUGAGGAUUGCAUAUGCAAUUUCGUUUGAGAAAGGGAACAUAGGUUUAUAGACCAACAUACCAAAGCUUGUGUGUAGUCAACAUAUGUACUUUUUGGCGGGAAUUUUUUAAAAAUAGGUGUUAGGUUUUGCUUUUCAAGCAUGUCAACCUCACACUCUCCUGACACCACUGCUAGUGGUUGAAACAAAGUCAAUGGAAGUGACAUCUACUUAGUUAACUCAACCAAACUAGUUAGGAUUAAACUUAGAUUGUAUCAGACCAAAAAAUAAUUUCUACUUUGUCAACCAAAUAUUUUUUGGCGGGAACCCUUUUCUUGGUAUUACUAUCACCCCUUUCAUAUAAAAUCUCCUUCCACACAAAACUCACUCCUCCACCGAAUCUGUCUCCAUCUACCGAUACUCUCUCAAGCAAACAAACUCAUUCCCCCCAAAGAAUGAGCAUAAGCACAACCAAGUUUGAUGUGAGCAUAAUAAACACCCCUCCAAACAAAGACCGGCUUCGACACGCAAGUGAGUCACCGGACAAGCAAUGUCACAUUGCUAGACAGAAUGACCAUUUUGUUGGAAGUUUUGAGUCUGAAAGAGUUGUUGCUUUUUGGAAGGAGAGGCAUCUUCAACUUGGUGAUGAAAUCCAAAGGGCAAGGGCACGUUUGGAAUUUGUGGAAGGCCAAAUUGAAGAUGACAAAAGGCAGGCCAAUCUGGAUAGGGCGAAGUUGUAGCGCAUGAAGCGUAGACACAAACGACUUCGGAGUGUAGCUGUUCAAAAAUACAAGAACUCAUCUAAUGUAGUGGAGUCAAAGAAGCGUGUGAUGCAAGCUGGAUUCGACUACUUCCGAUCCUAUGCAAAACUCGUCGUACCCGGGUUUGAUUGGUCAUCUAUUACCGUUUCCGACGUCACCAAAUAUACUCAGCAAGGGAAGUAACCAUUUUGGUUCUCGUGUUUUAGCAGAGGCAAAUAAGUGGAAUUGGAAUUUUGGUUACACUCUGCUUCAAAGCUAUUUUGAUGCUAACUACUAUGGAAGAUUUAAACCUUAAUAUUUUGAUGUCUUUAAUUACGAAAACAGAAGAUGCAAAGAGCUCAUCUACUUCAGCCAUAUGUUGCUGCCAUGUCCAUUUGUUUUUGAUCACUUAUCAGAUUUGGACAUGGUUGCAUCAUAUGCAAUGUUGCCUUUAUUUAUUAUAUGUUAGGACAAGGUUUAUGGAAAAGCUUUUGUGAGUGCGUUUGUGACAAGGUUAUGGAAUUAUUAUGUACACUUUAUAUAUUGUUUUUUGUACUGGUUCAUUUCCUACUAUUUCUUGCUUUCUUUAUAUUUUAUGUUUGUGGAAUCCCUCUCAAAGUUAACAUAUACUGUGAAAAAAAUAUUAUGCAACUGAUUAUAUAAUCACUCAUAUAGACUAGGACAAAUAUUCACUAAGGGUUUUAAACUUGCUUCACUUGUGUGAUGUUAUUGACAAAAAGUAUGGCAUUAUUUAUGUGAUUUGACAUGAUUGAAAAUAUAUUACUGAUUCCCAAUGCGGCGUCAUAUGGACAACGUAUUGAAUACCUGUGACGUGUUAAUAACUCAAGGUGCAGUUGCAUGUGGACAACUUCUUGAAUACCUCUGACGUGUUGAAAACUCUAGGUGCAGUUGCAUGUGGACAACUUAUUGAAUACGAACUGACGUCUUCAAAGCUCUAGGCGUAGUUGCAAUGAUGGCUUCAAAGCAUGUGCAAUUAUUUUUUAUGUACAUUAUUAUAACAAAACAUAUUAUUGUAUAUAGUGAAACUAAAUAUUGUAUUAUUAGAAAUUAUAUUUCGAAUAUUAUCCGAAAUAUACGUGUUAACGUGAAUUUGGGUUAAGAGGAAAGUGAGUUAUGUACAAAUAAUUUUCAUUUUCUCAUUUUCCGGGCAUUUUUUGGAUUUUCGUAGAAUUUAUUACCUAUGUCCACAGAUUGUUGCACUAAAAAAGCCAAAAUAAUAGCAAGAGGACACCUGGAGCGAUCUCAGCCCGUCACUGAUGACUACUUGCACAAGUGUACGUCAGUCAACAUGGCCACACCCUCCCAUUUUACCCUAAAUUAUUAUUUUAUUACUUUUCCUUACAAAAAUCAGAACUAAUUACACACAAAAUAAAAAAAUUAUCCGAAAAUUGCUACGAACUCAUUGACACUCCAUCUCCGUUGCUGAAUUCUCCGAUUCAUUGUUACGUAUUUGUAAAAUUAAUUCCCAACAUUAACGGGAGAUGCUUGUUGAAGUAGGUUAUUCAAGUUGAAGUUAACAAACAUCAAUACUUAGGGUUAAGAGGAAAGUGAGUUAUGUAACACAAUUUGGAUUAUUUCAUUGCGAGACGAAUGAUUUAUAGGUUCUCCUAGUUUUAUGACGUCACAAGUAGGCCGGAGUAAUUUUUGGGGCAUUUUUACGAUUUUCCUACUAUUUUUUACCUAGUUUCAAAGAUUUUUGAACAAAAGAAUCCAAAAUGUAAAAGAAGAUGACACCUGGCGCGAUCUCAGCCCGUCACUUUUCACUACUUGCACAAGUGUACGUCAGUCAACAUGGCCACAUCCUCUCAUUUUACCCUAAAUUAUUAUUUUAUUACGUUUUGUCUUGGAAAAUUCAUAACUAAAUACACAAAAAUUCAAAAUUAUUUCUGAAAAUUGCUACGAACUCAUUGACACUCCAUCUCCGUUGCUGAAUUCUCCGAUUCAUUGUUACGCAUUUUUAAAAUUAAUUCCCAACAUUAACGGGAGAUGCUUGUUGAAGUAGGUUAUUCAAGUUGAAGUUAACAAACAUCAAUACUUAGGGUUAAGAGGAAAGUGAGUUAUGUAACACAAUUUGGAUUAUUUCAUUGUGAGACGAAUGAUUUAUAGGUUCUCCUAGUUUUAUGACGUCACAAGUAGGCCGGAGUAAUUUUUGGGCCAUUUUUACGAUUUUCCUACUAUUUAUUACCUAGUUUCAAAGAUUUUUGAACAAAAGAAUCCAAAAUUAACAAGAAUAUGACACCUGGCGCGAUCUCAGCCAGUCACUUUUGACUACUUGCACAAGUGUACGUUACCGAACAUGGCCACAUCCUCCCAUUUUACCCUAAAUUAUUAUUUUAUUACCUUUUUUCUUGGAAAAUUCAUAACUAAAUACACAAAAAUUAGAAAAACGAUCCGAAAAUUUCUACGAACUUAUUGCGAUUUCAUCUUCCUACUGCAUUCCCUGUUUAAUGGUUAUGCUACAUUAGUAUUUUAUUAUUAUUUAUCCACAAUUAUUAUAAUUAUUAUGAUAUUACUUUUUAGGCUGUCCAUUUGUUAAUUAUACCACAUCCAACUUGUUGAAAACAAUUUUAUUUUCCGUGCGAAUAGGCCAUUUGUAGUGCUUAUCGGUUUCUCUGUUCUUCAAUUUGUUAAUUUUUUUAUUUUUUAGGUUGAAGGGAUGUUUUGAAACAUAAUAUGGAAAUAUACAAGUCAUCCAUUGUACUCCUUCCACACAAAAAAAUAGUCUACGUCAUUCACUGUUCAACACCCUAGGUUAAGACACGUGUAACCAAAUCCGUUCGGAUAUGCUAAGUGGGAAAAUGUCAUUCCCAAGCACUGGUGAAAAGACACUUAUUUACUCCAUGCAUGACUUUUGGUUUACCAAAUAUGAAGAUUGGGGUCGGUGAGCAAAAUAUCUGUGUCAGUAAAAUGUCAUUCCUAGCCAUCUAUGAUGUAAGUAAUAAUUCCGCUAUAUAAUAAAUAUUAUACAUUUAUAUAUAAAACGGUUUAUGACAAAAUACCAACAUUUGAACAACAUUUAAACUGAGAUAGGUAUAACGUAGCCAGCCAACCUAGAAGUGAAGAGAAGCAAGUCCACAAUGCAUCAAAACUGUAAAUUCGUACUAAAACUAAUGCAAAAAUACGUGAUUCCCUCGCACAACUUACUCACGCAGGAUUUUGCACCAAAAAAUACUCUCACGGUGCCAUUUGCAUCGGUUGCAGCAAGUCCAAAACGCAGGAUUUAUCUUGUCUUCACUAGGCCACCCUGGAAUAACAAAAUACCAUUCAUUGUUGUUACAAGCGCUGCACCGAUUGAACUUAAUCUUCCCAUAGUCAAACAUAUCUACGAUAUGUCUUGCAACAAAUGCUCCGCGACAUCUUCCUGUUAAAGCAUCCCUGGUUCCUUUCAUAUCAAUGUUGUUACGUUGAUUCAAAGAACACAAGAAUUGUAAUGCAUCCUCUUUUGACUGACCAAUUCCGGACAUACCAAGUAGUCCAACUACAUAUGCCGCUUCCAUAUGGCCUGCCGUGGCUGCAAUGCGCAUCCCAUACAACGCUUCCACCUUACCGUCUGUGAAAAAACCUUCGAAUGCUUCUCUAAAUAUGGACUCAGGGUUAUCGCAAGCCCUGCAUUGUUGCAAGAAAUGCUGGACUGCAGGUUUGGCACGGUAGCAGAUAGGAUGGUGUGGGUACUUUGCCAUUGAAAUGGUGUUCCACACUUGUGGACUGUUUGCCAAAAUGUUGAACAAUCGGCACACACAUGCCAUACGGAAGAGAUCUUCCGAUGAUUCGGUUGCCACGUAUAACAUCACUUGAAACCAAGCGGACUCCGGGAUAAAGGCUUCGGGCAUAUCGAAAUGGAGAUGCUUCCUUCUCUUUCCUCCGACUGUAGUGAAGUGUUUCGAAUUCAUUGAAAAGUUUUUGGAAUGGAACGAUUUGAGGAGUGGCAGAGGGGAUAAAUGAUAAUAUUUGGGGUACACGUUCUACUUCCGAGCCUCUGUUUAUAGUGUUUUGAAAAGGUGUUUCCAGUUGGGGUUUUUCCAAGUUGACCCUUUUGAAAGAAACUGAAUCCAAGUGAAUUAAAACUUAAGACAAAAGAAGGGAAAACGUCAUAACGGUGCAUACAGAGUCAGACAGUUAAAAAGUUAAUUAAAUGGCUAUUUGCAUAGCCAUUUUUGGGUUUAUCCCACUAUCAAAUUCAUUGAUACAAAUGUGAUGGAUUACUGACUAGUGACAGAAGGUCCCAUCAUAUACUUUUUCAUUUUCGCACACCCAACUAUCCCUAGUAAUGUUAUUAAAAUGGAACCAAUAAUGACGGAUUCUUAUCCAACUAGUUGCCUUAAUGAAAUAUAAAUAAAUUAAUAAAAUUGAAGCAGUGUCCCGUCAUUAGUCAGAAAAUAUAUUUGGUAGUGAAGUAGUUUCUAUUGCUUUUCGGGCUAAAAGAUGUCACAAUGCUGACGGUACAGGUGUCGACAUCGUGACCAACCCACCAAAUGAUCCCAAAAAAAAGUAAUAUAACUCGAUUUGGGCAGAGAUGAGAGAGAGCUGAGUGACAAGUUUAGGGUUAUGAGUGAAGGGGUAUGAAUGACAACUAUGAGUGAGAAGGUAUGAGUCCGAAGAGGUUUCAGUGAGAAGAUUUGAGUGAGAAGAGGUACAACUGAGAAGAUUCAACAUGUCUUCGUCUUCAUCUCCUGCUCAAACAAAGAGGUGUCAGUAUUGUGGAGCUACAAUGGUGCUUCGGGUUUCAAAAUCUGAAAAAAAAUCGAGGGAAGCCAUUCUGGAAGUGUCUAACCUCCUAUGUAAGUUUUAAUUUAAAGAAUAUGUAUGUGGGUGAAAAAAAACCUAUGUCUAACUCUGACAGAAUUAUAUUCCAUAUAUGAUGCCUGCAAUUAGGGAGCCACCAGUUGCAAUGGAUUCGAAUGGGUUGAUGUAACCUCCGCUGAAGCAGAACAUCAAGAUGACACGUAUGAUGUUAGAGUGCUGAACAUGCUGAAGUCCAUUAAGGACUUGGUAUUAGUUUUAUUAGUUGUAUUAAUUGUCAUUUUAUUUGUUCUUUUAAUGAUCAUUUAACUGCACGGUUUAAAAGAUUGUGAAAGUUCUCUCGCACAAGACAUAUUGCACGCACCACCAAUGAGACCCUAAACCCAUUUUGUAAUAUUUGGUAACUGCAUGUAUUUCGCAUGUUAUUGAAUGUUUAUUGAAGGUUUAUUGAUAGUUUGCUGCAUGUAUAUGGAAUAUCAUUGCCCCAAAAUUGGAUGUUUAUUGGGGCCACAAGUAUCACUCAAGUAAGAAUGAAGGGGAGAAACGGACCUUAUUCUUUCUUAUAGUAGGAAGAACAACUGUUAAGUUUAAUAUCCUAUUCAAUACGACUUCCCUAUGGUUGGUGUACUUGGGGACUGAAGUAUAUUGCAUCAUUAUUGUGGGCAAGGGCAUGUCUAUUGUGUGUGUUAAGGGAGUAUUGUGUGGGCAAGGGCAUGUCUACUGUGUGUAUAUUGCAUGUCUACUGUGUGUAUAUUGCAUAUCUAUUCUCUGUAUAUGGCAGGCCAAGUUUGUGUAUAUUGUUUGUCUGUUGUGUGUGUAUUGCUUGUCGGUGCGUUUGUGAAUUGUGGUUCAUUUUGUGUAUAUUGUCUUUGUUUCUACUUUUAUGCUACUGAGCUGCGGAAAACCUCGCAUGUUUAGACACCUAUUAUGAUGCAACACAUUGCGAUUAAUGGUGGCUUGCAUCAACAAUGACAUAUCACUUUGCAAUGAUGUAAUACACUUAAAAAGCCGUCUUCAAAUCCCAAUUCACAUAUGCAGUCUUAAAAUUCUAAUUCAAUGCAGUUUGGUUAACAAACAUGUAAAUGUCAUGAAGGAGUUAGCGGUAGAAUUCGAUAAGGACCCGUACGUCUCUAUUGUGUAUUUACAUUAGUUUGAGAAUGGACAUUCCCAAAACCUUCUCAUGUACCAUUUGUCAUCUUCAACCAAUAUCAUGGGAAGUAAGCAUCUCCCCUUGUUAUCUCCGCAGCCAAUUUCAACCGAAAAAAAGGCAUGUUGUGCGAGGUGCAAGUAGCUAACGGAAGCUUAGCGCUGAAAAGCUCAAUGUACUUUAACACAAACAUGCCACAAUCGCCUCUGAAGCAAAACAAGAACUCGAUCAAUUCAACUAAUGACAUUCUAAUGUAAUUGACAAUUGAAAGUAAUAAAAUUAAAUUGCAAGUUGUGCUUACUCAUUAGACUGUUGUGGAACAUCCACACGCUCUAUUGGCCACGGACACCACCAAUCUCGGCUGCAAUUGUUUGCAUAAACACCUUCUUCAUAAAAGUCGAUGGUGUUGAGAAGAUUUGGAAGCGUAAUUGAUAGCGGGCCGAGUUCUUCCUUUACGAUGUCAUCUGGAAUUAGUGAAACCUUUGAAUCGUACACUUUGAUUCACACAAUACCAGAUCAAACANNNNNNNNNNNNNNNNNNNNNNNNNNNNNNNNNNNNNNNNNNNNNNNNNNNNNNNNNNNNNNNNNNNNNNNNNNNNNNNNNNNNNNNNNNNNNNNNNNNNNNNNNNNNNNNNNNNNNNNNNNNNNNNNNNNNNNNNNNNNNNNNNNNNNNNNNNNNNNNNNNNNNNNNNNNNNNNNNNNNNNNNNNNNNNNNNNNNNNNNNNNNNNNNNNNNNNNNNNNNNNNNNNNNNNNNNNNNNNNNNNNNNNNNNNNNNNNNNNNNNNNNNNNNNNNNNNNNNNNNNNNNNNNNNNNNNNNNNNNNNNNNNNNNNNNNNNNNNNNNNNNNNNNNNNNNNNNNNNNNNNNNNNNNNNNNNNNNNNNNNNNNNNNNNNNNNNNNNNNNNNNNNNNNNNNNNNNNNNNNNNNNNNNNNNNNNNNNNNNNNNNNNNNNNNNNNNNNNNNNNNNNNNNNNNNNNNNNNNNNNNNNNNNNNNNNNNNNNNNNNNNNNNNNNNNNNNNNNNNNNNNNNNNNNNNNNNNNNNNNNNNNNNNNNNNNNNNNNNNNNNNNNNNNNNNNNNNNNNNNNNNNNNNNNNNNNNNNNNNNNNNNNNNNNNNNNNNNNNNNNNNNNNNNNNNNNNNNNNNNNNNNNNNNNNNNNNNNNNNNNNNNNNNNNNNNNNNNNNNNNNNNNNNNNNNNNNNNNNNNNNNNNNNNNNNNNNNNNNNNNNNNNNNNNNNNNNNNNNNNNNNNNNNNNNNNNNNNNNNNNNNNNNNNNNNNNNNNNNNNNNNNNNNNNNNNNNNNNNNNNNNNNNNNNNNNNNNNNNNNNNNNNNNNNNNNNNNNNNNNNNNNNNNNNNNNNNNNNNNNNNNNNNNNNNNNNNNNNNNNNNNNNNNNNNNNNNNNNNNNNNNNNNNNNNNNNNNNNNNNNNNNNNNNNNNNNNNNNNNNNNNNNNNNNNNNNNNNNNNNNNNNNNNNNNNNNNNNNNNNNNNNNNNNNNNNNNNNNNNNNNNNNNNNNNNNNNNNNNNNNNNNNNNNNNNNNNNNNNNNNNNNNNNNNNNNNNNNNNNNNNNNNNNNNNNNNNNNNNNNNNNNNNNNNNNNNNNNNNNNNNNNNNNNNNNNNNNNNNNNNNNNNNNNNNNNNNNNNNNNNNNNNNNNNNNNNNNNNNNNNNNNNNNNNNNNNNNNNNNNNNNNNNNNNNNNNNNNNNNNNNNNNNNNNNNNNNNNNUUUUCCUCUCCCUCAUCUCUAUUAUUUGGCCCUUCACCCCCUUCAAUCCCUUCAUCUUCUUUUUCCUCUCCCUCAUUUCUGUUACUUGGCCCUUCAUCCCAUUGAAUGUCAUCCAUUUCCCCAUAUCCCUUAAAUAGAUGUGAGACGACACAACGAUUCGUCCUCUGUUUCAGUAAAGCUAGGUCCCUCCUUACUUCCUGCUCAAACUGAGGACCUAAACAUUGGUCCAAUAGUUUUUCCAUCCGUAUGACCUUUAAGUGAAGGACGUCUUUUUCCCGCUUUUCUUGAAACAACUCGGACCUCAACAAGCUUACCACCUUGUUCAACUCAUCAAGAUCACCACAUGAAGAAGGAAUUGACUCUGCCGAGACAACAGCAGGGCGAUCCUGUGGCCAACUCCAAUAUGGCUGUCUCAUUUCCUCUUCACUUAGACAUAGCGCCCGCAACUGAACUGACUGUUUCAGAAUACAGACAAGAGUCAUAUUAAAUCAUUCUACUUCAUAAUUUCAUUCAAUCUUAUCAAUAGUUCUAAGGGCUGCAAACCAAACCUCUUUGCUCUGGAAAAAAUAAUUGUUCAACUUUCUCAUCUCUGGAACAGACGUAGUAGUUCUCCAUCGCAAAAUACGCGGGACAGCGGUCGGAUCAACAACCUUGCAGUAAUUCAGGUCCGCCAUUCUAGGAAUUAAUUCAUAUACCCAAAUCUACACAAUUCACAGGACAAAAGUCAUUAUUUAUGUUUUAAAGAAAAACAAAACAUAACUGACAUGAACAUUAUUACCAUGUACCUGGAAAGCAUACGUGAAACCUUUAAAACUCCAGCCACUCCUUUGCGCUUCACUAUGCUUAUCCUUCUUGCCCUUCUCAUUUCUCCGGCUUGUUCCCGUUACCUUACUUUUCCCCUUCCCUCUUCCCUCUUCAUUUUCCAAGCUUUUCACAUACUUUGUUGGUGCAGAAAAUAGACUGUCUUGGGUUUUGUCAAAGGACACCGAACCCCACGGAUACCUGUUGAACGCAUCCAAGUCCUCUACAAGGGUCAGGUAAUUUAGAUUGAUGUUCAAAUGUUUGUCCCUUCCCAAAACCACUAACUCAGCAAAGUAAACAAGAGGUAGCUUGAAGAUGUCAUCUUCCUCUGUGCACCUCACAAAUGCUUCUUCUAAAGCAUUGCAUGUAAUUCCUUCGUCUAUAAAAUAUCUUUUCUGAAGUCUGAUUUCAUUACUCUCUCCACUGGAAACUUCAGGCACUUCCCCAAAACGAAGCCCUGUGAUCAAACAGAAAUCCUGACGAGUGAACUGAGCAACGUCACACCCUAAUAAGAAACUCAGUCCAUCCAAGUCUUUCACACCCUGCCCCGCUACUCUACGCAACACAACCCCAUGCACAAUCUGUCCGCUAAACUGAAUCUUAUCUAUAUUCAGAAGAUGGCCAAAGCAUGAUGUCUUGAAUUGUUCUAAUUGUUCCGCACUCAACUUCGCUCGAAUUGCAGCUAGAGAUGAAUUUGCAUGUGAGCAGUUGUUCACCCGUGAUGAAUAUACCUCUGCCUCUGGCCAUACCAGCUCCACGUUGGAUCCCAUUUCCUCAAAUACAAUGUGAAAUAACGUGAACAUAUAUACUACCACGUAUUUGCACAAUCACAACUAGUCAACCAGGCACAUUACAACUUUUACAAAGUACAUGAGCAUAUGGAUUACUCAUCACAGGCUUUAACAUCAUCAAAGCAAUAUGACAAUUUUUGUGCAAAUACCUGUUAAUGCAAUGAUUAUGUGAAUUACAAACAAUUUCACGUGUUUUAUUUAUGGAUCCAUACUCGUGUGAGUGCAAUGUAGGCAAGUUCUGCACUUCACACACAUGACAAUUAUUGUCAUCUCAUACACAACCCAAAAUAAAUAAAUAAGAAAUAUAGUGGAAGGAAGCAAAGCAAAGCAUGUACUCUGCUAUCUGCUUGCUAAGCAAUUGCCACAUCCUUCUUUCUUUCUACCUUUUUCUUCAGUCACCCACAAUCGUCAUAGAUCAACCUUCAUUUCAAAUGCUUUGCACUUUUAUUCAUGAGUUUAUUAUUAUCUGUUCUCAUUUCUCAUAGGCAAAUUUAGUAACAAAUGAAAUAAUAUUUAUUUCACAAAAUAUAUAAAUUCUAGUGCCAGAGAGGUACUCUUCACUCUGCACUGCUUCAAAUGUGGAAGGUUUUGAGAUGUUAUUGACAUGUGAUUGACUUUAUUUUCAUUCGUUUUUUAACAUAUACCCAAGCAAAAAUUAACAUGCAAUUGAAGCACAAAUAAGAGAUGCCAAAUCCAACAACAUUGAUGGUACAAAUUGGGGAAAACCAUUACUCUAACCCUAAACUCAAAUUCCUUACAUUACUCAUCAAAUGCUUUGCAGUUCUAUUCAUGAGUUUAUUAUUAUCUGUUCAAAUGUUUCUCAGGCAAAUUUAGUAACAAAGGAAAUCAUAUUUACUUCAUAAAAUAUAUAUAUAUAUAUAUAUAUUCUAGCGCCUCUUCUUAAUCUGCACUAUGCACUGCUUCAAAUGUGGAAGGUUUUGAGGGCCUCCUCCAAUUCAACACCAUUAUCUUAUUCAUAUCAUUAUUGACAUGUUAUUCACUUGUUAUUGACUUCAUUUUCAUUCUUUUUUUAACAUAUACCUAAGCAAAAAUUAACAUGCAACUGAAGCACAACGAAGAGAUGCCAAAUCCAACAAAAUUUAUGGUACAAAUUGGGGAAAACCAUUACUCUAACCCUAAACUCAAAUUCCAUAAAUUACUCACCAAAUGCUGGUUAUUGCAAGGUGUCUGUGUGGGGUCUUUCUGUUUCUUUGCUCCACAAAUGGAACCUACCACUUCCAACGAAUACAGCUUUUCCCCUUCCCCUUCCACUGCUUCGCCUCUUCACUGAUUUGGAAUCCACACCUUUGCCCCUUCUACUCCAAAUAAAUACUUUCUCGGGGUCUGGAGAACGGAGUGGCGAAUCGUUGCCUUCAACUGUCGUUAGCCGUUGCCUUCAUUGGGUAUCUCAGACCUCUGUGUUUUAGAGAGAUGAGUUCUUUCUGUUCAAACUUCGAACUUGCCUCUUCUUCUUCUUUUUCGGACGUGUUUCCCUCUUCUUCUUCUUUUUGGACGUGCUGGAUAUUCAAUUCGGGUUUGGGUUCCUUACCUACCCAAUUGUGAAACUUUAACUCAAUUCUCCCCAGCCCUUGGAUUAAUCUGAUGGCUAUAAAGUGAACCCCUUAUAACUUACCCCUUAUAACUUUCCACUCAUUAUAGUCUUGGCCAGGUAUGGCGGCCAUGCUAGUAAGUGUUGGGUCUUUGACCCAACUUAAGCUAAAUGGGUCAUAAGAUGACCGAUCAUCUUAUCUCAUAAGGAUAUAUAAGUCAUGUUAUGAUUUAGGAUUUUAUAGGGUUUCCUUUGUAAGAGGUAAGAGAGAAACAAGCUCUCUCUCUCUCUACACAAGGAGGUCAGCCAUAGCAAGGGAAAGGCUCCUAGCACUCUCCUCUCUCUUAUUAUAUCAUCCUUCCAAGGACAGCUUUGGUAUGGUAAAGUUGGAGGUUGCACACUUUGUGCACUUUGGUAAGAACUCAUCCAAGGGAGCCAAGAUUAAAUUGGUUAGCUGUUGGAUUAAAUUGGUUAGCACGAUUCAACGGUUAAUAGAUAAAACUUCACAUAAAAGUCAUAUAUAAGGCCCUCACUAUAGAAUGACUCGUUAGUUUAGUCUCUUGUUACAUAUCAAAUGUUAGAGAUAUUUUUUAAUAAGGAUCUGCCAUACCACAUAGUUGGAUAAGACAUUAUACACGGCUUUUGUAAGAGCAUCUCCAGCGCUCCAAACUAGCCCAAGCAGCAGGGGGGCCUAAGUCUAGGAAGCAGCUCCAGCUCGCAAGAUUCAACCCAGGCAAGGUGUGGAACCCACGAGGAGAUCUAGCCCGUCACCUUGCCUUUGGGUUUCAGUCAAGCUGAUGUCAACGAAAGAAUUUCAAAUUUUUUUUACCGUUACAAUGUACGCGCCAACGAUAAAUUUUCUUUGGAUUUCUUGCAUUGAUCCACAGCUACCAAAAACCAACAGCUACAAGCCACGUGGCUUCUCCAGGAGCCUCCGAUCCAAAAAUCAUGUCAAAUCUAACGGCAGUCCAUUUUUUGGCUAAAAAUAUCAAAAAAUUAUGGAAACAUGUUCUAUAAAUUCCUACAAAUAUUAUUCACUUCCCACACCAAAUCUUCAUACAAAUUCAUAUCCUUUCAAUAUUUUUCACUUUCCAUACAAGAUUUUCUACUACUAAGUUUCGUUUGUGUAAAAAUACAAAUGACCUCUUCUAUCGAAGCCGGAGGCGCGUGUACAACCGUGGAAGAUAUUUUGUUGCGUGAGUGUUGGGUCAAAGUUGGUCAUUCCCUGAUCACGGGCAAUGAGAUGAAGUCCUCUCGUAGGAGUUUCUGACAUCGCAACGAAAGUAAGAUGUGAUAUGAAAAUGUAAGGAAUUUGAUGAGAGGAAUGGGAUUUGAGGAGUUUGAUGUAGGAAUUGAUGUAGGAAUUGAAUUUGGGAGGUAUGUAUAUAAGAUUUGAGGGUAUGUGUUUAGGGAUUUUGAUAAGAGGAUUUGAGGAAUUUAGAUUUGAAGGAUUUGGAUUUGGGGAAUUUAAAUAUGAGGAAUUUGAUUAGGGUUUGGGUUUGAAUAUGUGAAAUUUGAUAUGAGAGUUUAGAGACAACAGAUGAUCGAUUGCUCUGAUACCAUGCUAAAAUAUGAUAUGGUUUGAAUACUUUAGGUUGAGUUUUAUUCUUUUCCAUAAAAAGGUAUAUAUAGGAGUUUACAUGAGUGCUUUACAAAGAAAUAGAUACAAUAAUCAAUUAGGAUAAUAUCUCCUAAUUAUACAAUAAUUUGUCAACUAUAUAGAAUAGGAAAGUAAAUUCCUUAAUUAAUCAAGAAAAUAAAUCUCAUUGAUUAAUUAGGAGACUAACGUCAACAUUUAUAAGCCAUAAAAGAGCAGAAAAAGAGGUACUUAGGAGAUUUUAUACGUCGGACUAAGGUAAGCUUAAAGGACUAUAUCAAAAAAAUAAGGGACCAAGAAGCAAGACAGAGAAGUUGUUAUGCAAACCCAUUAAGUUUAGCAGUGAUGAAUUUGUAAAAAUCAUUCUAGUGGAUUCUGCCUUCACUAUUGAGUUCUUAUUGAGGUUCUAUCUGAAAGGAUCUGGACAUGAAGGAGACCGCUUAUUAAACAAACCGUGGAUGUUUACAGCCUGACAUGUGGUUGCUUGAAAAUCAGCUCCCAUUCUUUAUUCUUGAGGAUCUUUAUCACACAUACAUAAUAACCGACUCUUUUAGGAAUUAUUACAGUACUCAUGAUCAUGAGAGGCUUUCAAUAAUUAAUAUUUCUAAGAAUUUCUUCACAGCCGGAAUAUUGAAUUUGGAGGGGAAGGGAGACAAAUGGAACAGAAUAUCAUCUUCUUCUAGUGUUGGAAAUUUUAUAUUAUUUAAUAAUAUUUAAUUUCUAUUGUGAAUGAAAAAUAAGUUUCUUUAAGAAACGUGUGUCUUAGGCCAGUUUUUCUAACUGGUCGGCUUCCUUAGAUUUGUGCCUAUUGCUUUUCAAAGUAUAAUGAUGCAAUGGUUGUAUCUCGUUCAGGCAAAUGGAAGGUAUAUAGCAAUUUAUAGAACAAUACAGUAAUCCAGAAGAAAUAUUAUGAAAUGAAAAGAAUAAAAAGUAAAAAAAGAGAAAGAAAGGAAUUCCCACCUGCAAUGUAUAUGUAUGAAAGGAAGGACCAAGUUUGUUUUAAAAUGGUAAGAACAAGUUGAUUUUAAAUUGGGUUCAGAUCAACUCAUAGAUUUCUUGCCUUUUCUGUUCUCCUUCCUUGGACAUGAACUGUUUAAUCUUGGACUCUUCCCCAUCAUGUUGGGCCUGUCUUCUUCUUGAGGAUUGUAUAGGCCUAGGAAAUGCUUCGGGGUAGUUUUUGUGUUUUGGGCAUUGGGACCCAACUUCACAAAAAGAAAACAAAUUUGACCAAAACACAAAUUUGAAGGACAUUGAAAUUGUACCCGUAGGAUAGAUUAAAACACUAUAAGGGAGGUAAAUAGUACGUUUACAGAGUUUAAGUGUAAUAAAGGAAUAAAAACAUGCCCAGAGAAUUGAUAAGUGAUAUCAAUUCUUGAAUAUACGUGAAAAUUAUUUUAUGUGGUUAAACCCCACCUCUGGGGAAAAUCCACGGAACUUCUUAGUCCAACUUCUAUCACUUAUCCUAGACACAUUCUAGAUAAUGUUUGCCAACCUCUUCGUAACUCAACUUCUGUCACGAGAUGAUCUUUCAACACUUUAUGUCGAACGCAAUACUGGUCACGAUUUCUUCAAGCUCGCCGGAGUUCUUCCAAUUCUCCUUAUAUUGAAUCUGAUACUAGUCACGAUCGAUUCAAGCUCAUCGGAGAAAAAUCGCCACAACAAUCUUGGUGCCCUCAACCGUAUGAGUCACUGAACAUGCAAAUGAAUACAAUAUGAAUGAUAAAAGUGUUUGAUAAAUCACCAAGUUAUGGAACACUUGAUGAUUUAUCUCAAAUAAAAAUUCAGCUUUCCAAAGUUUAUGAAUUGAAAAUAUGACCGUUAAAGCUCUCUAAACAAAGAAGACGAAGGUCUUAUUUUAUAGACUUUUACUUUACAAGAAAGAAAACACGUUGAAAACCAAAUCUCCAAUUUCCAAGGCUUGACAGAAAAUCACAAAAUUAUCUUUCCUAUUCUAGAGAUUGGUCACAUGAAGUCCAACCAAUAGGAAAUGAGAUAUUUAAGAAAGGAAGAUUUUGAUCAAUAUCAAUAUCAAAUGAAUUCUUAUACGCCUAGUCAAUUGUUAUGGGUAUCUUGACUCCUUGAUAUUGUGAUAUGAUUGAAACAUGAUUUCCACGUUAGAAAAUUAAGGGGAUGUUAAAACAUGAAGGUAAUAGGAGAAUCAAAUUGAUUUGGGCCAAAAUUGCCUAAAAAGAAAACACUCCUUAAUAAACUUCAAUUUACUUUUAAAAAUAGUAAAACGUGAUUGAAUCGUUCUUUAAAACAAUUCCCUAAUAUACAUGCAUGAUAGUGAUAUCACUUACCUUUGAAUCAGAUGGCUUUCACGGGUCAAGCCACAAGUUUUUGUCUUGGGGAUUGCUGAGCUUCAUCAAUCCUGCCAAUGUCAAUUUUGCCCCUAAGCUCUCUCAAAGCACGUUUACAACCUAUGCUAACAUAUAUUAGAGUUUAUGUUAGUAUCAAGAAAAUGCCAACACUAAUUUCGUAACACGUAGAAAUUGUUAGAGAUUGAAGUUUUUAUCAUUUUUUCUUCCAGACUCUCCACCACUCACUAAUAUAGUUUACUCAUGUGAUGAGUUUACAAAACCUAUUUCUCUACUCUCACAAAGACUAUACUUAGGGGGGUGUAUUCAAUUAGGAUUCUAAAGCGUUUAAAAAGAUUUUGUUUAAGUGCCAGCUUUCAUAGAACUUGAUGGAACUUUAUAAUUCGUAUAGAACUUGAUAGACUUUCAGAAGACUUCUGUAUAAUUUUUUAAUAAAACUUUCUUAAGCUUUCAUAGAACUUGAUAGGCUUUCAUUCCAAACUUAUGUAGAUGGUAUAUUUCAUUUUAUCCCCAUCCUUGACAUUUAAAGAAAGAAACUUGAAUUUUUUCAAUCAAAUUUGUUUUUGUUACCAAAGCAGCAAAAACAAAAAGUACUUGUUUGCGAUGGAAGAACAUAUGCACAGUUCAAAAUGAAAAGAAUAAGAAGCAAAGUACCUAUUUGACCAAUGAAUGCUGUGUCAACUAGAGAAGCAAUUGGAUCGGCUGUCAAAGCCAAUGCUGCAGGCAAUGCAUCGAUGGUCCAAAUUGCAAUAAAAAAAUAUUUUGAAUAAUGGCUCUUGCAGACAAAGACCACAUAAAUUCUGAACUGGUCUAGCUUGAAUAAUAAGGUUAGAUUAGCCAAUUGAUGAGAUUAAAAGCAAAGCAAGUUGAUGAAUUUAUCAUCAACUAUUUAAUAACCACAGUCCUGAUCUCUUGGACCCCUGUAGUCCAAGAGAUUUAUGGUCACCCACCGUUGGAUGUAAAUUCAACGGUUGACUUGAAUCGGGUAAUAAUCAUUUAUGUCAUAUUGCAUUUAUAUAUAUCAUUUUGAACCAUUGGAUUAAUAUCCAACGGUGGGUGACCACAAUCUCUUGGACUCCUGUGGUCCAAGAGAUCGGGACUGUUAAUAACCAAUAGAGUAUUUAAACAUAAACAACAAUGUUUGAUCAACAAAACAAAUAGUCCAAAUAUCAUCCAAAAAACAAUAACAAAAAAUCAAUCAUUCCAAACAAACUAGUCAUUCUCAAAAACUCUCAAAAAACCCACUCAUUCCAAAUUGUAGGAUAUCCAAUUUGAGCACUCCUCAGGAGACAUUUUCAAAAAUGCAUCCUUUUUUGUGUUACUAUGCAACAAAGAGAGUGCUUUAUAACGAGCAUGUUCAUCCAAAUUUGGGGUCUCCUUAAUGGCAUCCCAUAUAUAACUCCGCUGCUCUCUCUCUUUUUCCCUUUUUGCCAAUAGGUUAUGGACCUCCCGGAAGUCGAUGACAAUUGAAUCAAUGCUAAGGCUAAUUCUUCCCAUAGCUUGCUGGGUGGUCACAUUUGAGAUAGCAUUCCCUUCCAAAUAUGUUCUAGUUCGUUUCCUCUAGUAACAAGCAUAAAUCCUAGUAACAAGCAUAAACCCUAACCCCAACCUAUAACCUAAUAACAAGAAGAAAACCCAACGAGGUAUUGAUCAAAGAAAAAUUAGGGAGCAUACCUUCACAGAUGGAGGAAGGAAGCUGUUCGUCUUCGCAGAGAGAAAAUCUAGGGAAAGAGAAAAACGUCUUAUGAAAUACUUGGGGGGGAGGUUGGAUUUAUUUUGGUCUUUUUUAUUUAUAACUCUCCCCUUAAAACCUACGUAAAUUUAUCACUUAAUGAAAUCCUUCCAAAUAUAUGACCUUUCGAAUACACCUAGAUUUGAUUCAACUUUUUUAUAAUCAUAAUUGAAUACACCCAUAUUUGAAUGGACUUUUUAAAAGUUCAUAUAGGUCCGAAAUGAAUAUACUCAAACUUGUAAAACCUCUUUUAAAGUUUGUAUAAAUCCAAAUUGAAUACACCUGGAUUUUUAAAAUCUUUUUAAACACUUUAUAAUCCUAAUUGAAUACACCCCCCUUAUUCUCAAAAGACUAUAUUACUUUACCUCUAUCUCUGUGAAAUGUAAAAAGUUGAAACUUUAAUGUCAAACCUCAACAAAAGAUGAACUUUCAUCAGUUACGUUGAAUUUGGAUUUGUUGAACUUAAGUGGUUUUAUUUUCUUUGUCAGUGUUUGAUGACUUAAUUUGGUAUUUAUUUCUUCUUUUUUUUCCUUGGAAAUGUGUUCCACCAACGUGAGGAAGAAAAAUAUGCACAAAUUAAUAUAUUUAAUAGAAGCCCAAGAUUUCGGAUGCAUAUAAUUUCUACAAAAAUCUACAAAGUUUUUUACUUUACAAACUUCUUAUGUCUACCAAUUUCUACUAAAAUUAAUUUCUCUGUGGUGCUCAAAUUCAUCAUAUGUGUGUCGUUAAUUUUAUUGAAAAUUGGAAGUUCCCAUCAUUUUUGUUUUUUGGGAAUUUUCUGAACCAAGGAAAAUCAAGUAAAAUUAAUAAAGCCUAAAUUGGAAAGGGAAAAUAUCUAGAGGAUGCAUUGUAGGAUUGCUCAUGCCAAUAAUUGUACCCUCUAAAUAUAUAGAGACAUAUUUUUUUUGUUUUCAUGACAUGUGGUCCUAAAAUUAUUGUGUAAAUCUUCAAUCCUGAACGAUGCACCUAAAACUCAUCCACCCAUUCUCAGGCCAAUUAUUGCACCUAGUGGGCUCUCGACCCCCUCUCAAAUUUAACCACAUAUUUUAUGGACCAUCCAGCUGUGAGGUACAUUCCCCCCACAUGCCACAAUUGUAUAUUCACAAUUACGUCUGAUACAUCACAUCAUGCCACUUGCCUCAAAUGAAUUUAAGUGAGUGAGGCAGUUGGAAGUAAUUAAGCUCUAUAUUGGUGGGUGGAGUGUUACUUCUCGGUUCCCCUCAUCAUUCGUCUAUAAAAUGGUGAAGGCAGUUGCUAUUGUUACCAUAAGAGCCAGCUCCGACUUCCUUUAAUUUCUUGCUUCAUAUCCACUAGCUACAUCUGUUACCAAGUUAAUUUCAGUUCUAAUGGGGUUUCAUCUCCCACUCAUCUUUGCUCUUCUCAGUGUAAGCUCUGCAAUUUGAUUAACUUUUCCAUUCUCUCUCAUUGUACUCUAUAUAAACGAAAGUUUUGUGUUCCUAUUGUUCUCUCCGAUUUUAUUUAGUACGUACUUAAGUGUCGUCCACUAAUUAAUUAUACUUUGUGAUUUGAUUUUAAUUUGAGUUUGAAUUAAUGUUGCAGCUAGCAGCAGUGGCACUGGCAAACCAUGCUGCUCAACCAGCACCUCAACUUUACUGGAGCUCCGUCCUGCCAAACACACAGAUGCCAAGAUCUAUCAGUGAACUUCUGCAUCCUGGUUUGUGUUGAGCUCUUUAGAAUCUUAGAUAUCUCUUCUACCUGCCAUUUUACUAAAAUAUGUUCCACCACAUAUUUAUCAGUUAACCAUUGUCAUUACAUGAGUGACACAUAUUCACAAAUCGGCUGAUCACUUAUUUUCCAUUAUGACUUGAUAUAUAAUUUGCAGACUCCACAAAUGAAGAAAAGAGCACAAAUGACGUUGGCAAACCUGAAACUUUCCCAUUGGGCAAUCAACAUUACUCCAGUCAAAAACAUUAUGGAGGCAUACCUGAAACUUCCCCAUUGGGCAAUAAACAUUACUCCAGUCAAAAACAUUAUGGAAGAGGCAAACCUGAAACUUUCCCAUUGGGCAAUCAGCAUUACUCCAGUCAAAGACAUUAUGGAAGAGGCAAACCUGAAACUUUCCCAUUGGGCAAUAAACAUUACUCCAGUCAAAAACAUUAUGGAAGAGGCAAACCUGAAACUUUCCCAUUGGGCAAUCAGCAUUACUCCAGUCAAAAAAAGUAUGGAAGAGGUGCUUCUCCAUCCGACAAUCAACAACUCCAUUAUAAAGACUUAGCUAUUUUCUUCUUGGAGAAGGACAUGCGCCCUGGCACAACAAUGAAGUUCCAAUUCCCUAUAAAUUCAAACACGGCUACUUUCUUGCCACGAGAAAGCGCUCAAUCGAUCCCCUUCUCCUCUAACAAACUGCCAGAAAUUUUCAACCAUUUUUCAGUGAAGCCAACAUCUGAGGAAGCCAAAACAAUUAAGCAAACAAUCGAAGAGUGUGAAGCUCCAGACCUUAAGGGAGAGGAAAUAUAUUGCGCCACAUCUUUAGAAUCAAUGGUUGAUUUUAGCACUUCGAAGCUUGGAACAAGAAACGUUGAAGCAAUCUCGACGGAGGUAUUGGAAAAAGGAGCCACCAUGUCCAUCCAAAACUAUACAACAAUGCCGGGACUGAAGAAGUUGGCAGGUGACAAAGUCGUUGUGUGUCAUAAGCAGAACUAUCCCUAUGCUGUGUUUUUCUGCCAUGCAAUAAAACAUACAGCAGCUUAUGCUCUCUCCCUGAAAGGCGAUGAUGGGGAGAAGGUUAAAGCAGUAACCAUCUGCCAUCUAGACACAUCAGAAUGGGACCCAGAGCAUAUGUCCUUCCAAAUCGUCAACGUUAAGCCCGGAACCAUUCCCAUCUGCCAUUUCAUUUCCACUGAUGCUAUUGCCUGGGUUCCGAACCACAAAUCUGCAUGAUCAUCACUUAGCACUAGUACUGUGCGUAUAAUAUGCCUGUAUAAUUAUCUCCCUACUUAUUUCUGCCUCUUCAUCAUGUGGUGUAAGAUAUAUGUUGAGAUGAAGUUUUUGGGAUUUGUGGUCGAAAUUAACCCGAUCAUGUUUUCUCUUGCAACCAUAUAGACUUCAACUUGUACUCAUAAUAAAGCAUGCUAUAUUUAUGAAGAGAUAUUAAUCUUCAGGCAAAUAGAUAUUAUGAAAACAUAUAUAGCAAUUUAUCCAGAAGAAACAUUAUGAAAUGAAAAGAAUAAAAAGUAGAAAAACAGAAGGAAAGGAAUUCGCACGUGCUAUGCUAUGUAUGAAAGGACCAAGAUUGUUUUCCCUUUGGUUAAUGACUAGAAAAGCUCACUUGCAGAGUGCUUUCUCCGACCAUAGAUGGAAGAGAAAUUUUCUCUUAAUAAUAGCACAAUGAUCGGGUAAUUGUAAGAACAAGUUGAUUUAAAAUUCCUUGACCCAAAAAAAAAAAAAAAGUUCUUUUCAAAUUCAGGUCAACCCAUAGAUUUCUUGCCUUCGUCUUCUUCAUCACGUUGGGCUUGUCUUCUUUUUGCGUUUUGGGCCUUGGAAGUUGGGACCCAACCCAACUUCACAAAAAGAAAACAGAUUUGCCAAAAAUCAAAUUUCAAGUCUCUCCUCCGAUCACUAAUACAGAUCAAAUUUUGGAUUUGAUGAACUAAAGUGGUUUUACUUUCUCUGUCAGUGUUUGAUGACUUAAUUUGUUAUUUACUUUUUUUUUUUUACUUGAUCUUUGUAGGGGCUUUUUUUUUUCCGGCAGCUUAAACGGGCUGGGCUGCCGUAAAGGGUAGAUUGAUGAAAUUGUCCCCUUUGUCUGAAUUCGAAAAUCAAGCCCCAAAAGCGCUUCGAAAGGGCAGUAGAGCCUUAGGAAGCGUUCUGGUUACCUUCACUAAUUAAAACAACAGCAACUUACAGAUGAUUUCUUGAGGCUUACAGAUAAAUUUUCUAGCUUGGCAUGACAUGGAAGCAAAAUCAGCAUGAGUUUAGCACCAAAGAGGAAAAUAUGGCUUCCUAGGGAGAAAUGAGAGUGUUUAAGGUGAGGAAGAAGAGGUUUGCAGGCUGAUUUGGCUGAGAAAAGAGAAAGAAAGAACAAUGUUCUUCCGGCAGCUUGACAAAGCUUCUGACAGAUGUGAAAGUCGUCCGCCAGAAGAGGAAAAUGGAGAAGAAGGAUGAAUAGUGCACGAAAUUGGUGGGUUCUUGCAGGUAAGAGAGAAAGCUUGCUCUCUGAAUCUGAGUUGGUUUUGGUUGGGUAGAAGAAGCCCCCUUUUAUAGCUGCGGGAAACCAUCUUUUUCCAAGAAACCCUAAUGGUUUCUAUCCUUUUUGGCCAAGCUUUUCCCUUCCUUUCUCUUCUCCUCCCUUGACUUUUCCUAUCUUGGUGAAAUUUCCUCUGCCUAUUUGCACAAAAUUAGAGAUUUUGAGGAGCUCAAGGCCCCUUUCCCGCAGCUGCCUUAGUGGAGAAUCCCCAUUUUCAGUCAUCUUUCUUCCUUCUUUUCUCCCAUCUUCCAAGGCUAGGUUUGAUGAGAGAAAGAAAUGGAUAUGCACACUGGUUUGAAGGGUGUUUUUCCUUGAAACUUGUUCUCUCCCAUGUGCUGGAGCUUCCCAGCAGCUUACACACAUAGAUAUUUUGGCUUUCAUCGUGGCUUUUGUUUUCAGCUAGGUGCUGGAGAUUUUGCAUAUAUUUUCUUGAGUUGCUUGGGCCUUCUAGGACAAUACGUUGGUUUAUCAAGUGAAUGGGCUAACUUCAUCAAUUGUUGGGCAAUUUUGGUUGAGUUAAUGGACUAUUUUGGUUCAAGUAAUGGACUAUUUUGGUUGAAAUAAUAGGCUAUUUUUCUCUCUUUGUGCUCACCCACAUAUUUGGGCCUAAAAAAUGGGCUUGAGUUUCGGGGCUCCCAAGCAACCCCGGGACUUCCAUUUCUCGGCCCAUCAAUGAGCCUCAUGUCAACUUAUUACCAUCCAUACCACAACCCACUCAAGCAAGCCUCAGGCAUCUUGCGUGGCUUGGGCCCACGUAAGCUCGUAGUGGCAAUGUUGCUUAUUUGCUUGACGUGGCAUGUGUGCAAGUGCAUAUGACGAACUUUCGCGUGCCCAAAUUGAGUUUCUUCUCGGUAGGGUAUCGCAUUGGGCCGAGAAUUUAAUUGGGUAGAACCGUGGAUUUUUUGGGCCUCAACAAUCUUAUAUAUAUUAGUUUUCUUUUUUUCCUUAAUAUUCACCACCUUUCUGUUGCAUAAGUAUUCCAGUCUUAGCGGGUUUCCAUCUACCACUCAUCUUUGCUCUUUUAAGUGCAAGCUUUUUUAUUUUUAUUUUUUUAUGCACAAGAUUAGAGGGGAGGGAGAUUUCUCAAUGUAAGCUUUGCAGUUUCAUAAUUAAUAUUUCCAAUAUCUCACUGUUAGUAAAAUAUGGAACGGGAAAAGUACGAAUAAAAUACACACAUGUUUUAUUUAGCAAAAUUUUGACAAGAUACAACUGAAAAGUUUGGCCACUAUAUAAUAUUUUGAUUUAAUUUUUUUUAUUUUUUUAAUAUAUAUUAUUUUUAUUCAAUAAUAUGUGAAAAAUAGGUGUACAAUAUAUGAAAUUUGUAUGUAUUAUUGAAAAAUUCGUAAAAAAAAAACAUGUUAUUAAAUGUGAAAAAUAUGUACGUAUAUGUAUAAAACAUGUAUUGUACAUUACUUUUUAACAAACUUGUAUUUUACCUAGUCUUUAAACCGUAUAUGGAAAACGGAAGUAUUAUUGAAAAAUACAUAUGUACGUAUAUGUAUAAAACAUGUAUUGUACAUUACUUUUUAACAAACUUGUAUUUUACCUAGUCUUUAAACCGUAUAUGGAAAACGGAAGUAUUAUUAAAAAAUACAUAUGUACGUGUAUAAUAUGAGUAUUAAACAAAAAAAUGUGCUAAGUACUUAUCUUUUAAUUUAAUAAUUCAUUUCAUUUUGUGAUCUCAUACGUAGUAAUGAGAGUUCAAAUUAAUGUUGCAGCUGACAAUGGUGGCUCUGGCAAGCCAUGCUUGAUGCAGGAGUAUAGGGGUGGAUCAAGAUAGAUAUUUACCAUGUAAUUAGUUAUUUCAUGAUAUAUUGUUAUUUUCUUAUUUAGGUAGUUUUAUGAUAUCUUUUAUUAUUUAUGUGGGAUUUUAUAAUUAAUUAGUUUACUUUUGGACCAAGUAGCCUUGGUGCUCAAGUCUUGUAAAGCUUAUAAAUAAGGCUAAUGUAAUAGUUGUAGGAAAAGAGAUGUCGAUGAUUAAUAAAAUCGUUUAUUUGUGGCAUGGAUUUGCUACGAUAUAUGUGAGUUUGCACUAGCCCUAGAUUUCGGUGCUCGUGUAUGUGGUUGGUGACCUGUGUCCGGAUCCCGAUCCCCAUCAAUGCUGUUCUCCCAGUACCUCAACUUUACUGGAACUCUUUCCUGCCAAACACAAAUGCCAAGAGCUAUCAGUCAACUUCUGCAUCCUGGUUUCUAUUAAGGGACUUUUCGUGAGCUUAUCAUCUACCCAAAUUUUACUCAUCCGACGUAAUUUUAAAAGUGAUUUGAUCCUUUGGCAAAGUAAUCUUGAACUACAAAAAAGGAGGGCACUCGAAUAGGCAUGCCAUUUGGUAUUACCCACCUCUAAUUUCUUUUAAAAUUUUAGUAAUUGAUUUUUAAGAUUAGAAAAUGGGAAAGUUCAAAACCGAAAAAGUUGUUUCAGUUUUGGCAAGUAUCGGAAAAGACUAAAAUUUUCCGACUUUAUUAUUACUAGAAACAAAGUCGAAGUAUUCACCAAUCAUGUGGCCUUCCAAGUGCUCAAGGUUAAGCCAGGAACCGUUCCUAUCAGCCAUUUCCUUCCCAAGUAUGAUCAUGUUGUCUGGGUUCCAACCCACAAAUCUACAUCAGUACCUGAACUAAUCAGUUCUACAUGAAUAUUCAUUCAUGGCAACCUUGGGCUAAGUAUUUGAAUUUAUGCUCAUAAAGCUUUAAUGCUUUUGAGGGCCAAUCGUUGUCUACAUAUGGUAUUGUAGCAUCUUUAGAUGGAAGAGGUCAGGGGUUCAAUUCUUGUUUUCCACUUCUUUAUUUGUUGGUUUAUCGAGUGUAGAGUGGAGUUGCACCUAUAUGUUCGUCUCUCACCCCAUCAUUUACCAUUGAUAUAUAUUUAAUAGAAGCCUAAGAUUUCGGAAGCACAUAAUUUCUACUUUACAAACUUCCUGUGUCUACCAAUUUCUACUAAAAUUAAUUUAUCUGCGGUGCUGAGAUUCAUCAUAAUUUUAAUAGAAAUUGGAAGUUUUCAUCAUUUUUGCUUUAAGUCUCUACUCCACUCACUAAUAAAGAUUACUCAUGUGAGUUUACAAAACAUUUUUUUUUUCUACUCUCUCCUGAAGACUACACUUCUUCUCAAAAAAUUAGAUCACUUCACAUCUUGUGUAUGUGAAAACUAAUGUAAAAAGUUGAAACUUUAUCGUAAAACCUCGACAAAAAUGAGCUCUACUACAAAAUGUUAAAUUUGGAUUCGUUGAUUUAAAUGGCAAUUUGACACUUGAUAGAAAUUUUUACAUACAUGUGUUAGUGUUUGAUCACUUCACAUGUCACUUACUAUAUUUAUUCCACUCAAGUUAGGUAAAUAUUAUUAUCAAACAUUUCAAUUAAUUUGUGAUUUUUUUAUUAUUUAAUCAAUUAUGAAUUAAUGGAUUCUUCUUGUUGUUUUGAAGACCAACAAAAAAAAAAAAAAGGGUAGUGAUGGCUUAUAAUUCUGGUAAAACAACAGUGACGUGGACAACAGAUGUUACGCUGUACUAAAGAUUUUUGAAGAUUCUUUAUUUGAGUUUCUUUCAAGAUAAAAACCAUAUUAUCCACAACCACAAGCACAUCCGGCAGACAAUCUUUGGCUAUUCAUCACAAUUGGGAGACAAUGAAGAAGACAGAAAAUGGAGUAAUUCAGAUGUUACCAGCCAUCCACGACAAACUGAAGUCUGCAAAGCAUUCGUAAUCUAAAAAGGAUGGGGAGGCUGCGCAAUACUUAGCCACGUGUAGGCCAGGAGGCUUUCCAAUUUUAAUAUAUAUAUAGAUUGAAAAAAUAAAAUAAAAAUCAAUCUAUUAUCAUAUAUAUUAUAAAAUAAAGAUUAUUGCUCCCAUGGGCGGUGCUAUGCACAGGACAGUGCCUGCCUAGUCCAAAUUUUUUUUAAAUAAAAAUAAAAAUCUACAUAUGUUAUAAGCUCAUCCAAAAAAAAAAAAAAAAAUAAAAGUGUUGUAAAUUAUAAGGUGGAGCCCACAUGUUGGAAGGCUUUGCCUACAAAAGGGUUCACACCCUCCCUUUGUAAUUAGACAUUGAGAAUACUAAGGAAGACAGAAAUGAAUAGAGAGAAAACAUUCCCUUCUCUCCAUCUCAAUUCCCUCUCCAAUUCCUCUAGAUUUAUAACACGUUAUCAGCAGCACGAAUCGCUUUCAAACAAUACCAGCUGAAUUUUAUGAUGAAACCCAGAUCUCUCAUCCAUCUCUGCUGCUCCACUACUUCAAAAUAAAUCCCACAGAAAAAGAAAAAGCCUCAAUGCUCUCUCUCUCUCUCUGUCUCGCUUGGGAGACUUGGACAAUUCCUCAUCCCCGUUACUGACAAUUUCAACAGCUUCAGGGGAAGCUAGUUUAUCUUCCUCUGCUCACGAAACCAUGACUCUUUCAGAGCCAAACAACAACACAAUAGACAACGCAUGGAGACCAGACUGGAGCUCGUCGGCUAAGGCACCGACGAUCCGACCCUACCCGUAUGGACCUUCCGGAUGUGGUUCCUGGGUCUUGUCUCAUGUGCCCUCCUCUCAUUUCUCAACCAAUUCUACAAGCAGCAGAGCUUCAAAUCAAACAGAUCAUGGCAUCGCUUUCACACCUCCCCAUCUUCCUCUUCCUCCUGUUCACCGCUUUCUAUUCUACAGCUUCGCAGUCCUUCAUCGGCGCAUCCAAAGGCGACAUACCGGCGCUCGCCUCAGAUCCGAACGCGGCGGCUCAGUGGGUGAACUCGAAUGUCCUCGCCUUCUACUCGGCCAGCAACAUCGACCUCAUCAACGUCGGCAACGAGGUCCUUUUUCUCCAACGACCAGGGCCUCAUCUCGCAGCUCCUCCCCGCCAUGCGAAAUGUCCAAUCUGCCCUCUCCGCCGCGUCCCUCGGCGGCAAGGUCCGUGUCUCCACGGUCCACUGCCUCGCCGGAUCGGGAUCCUUCCUUCAAGUGUUUCUCUGUCUUCGACUUGAAAAAGAAGGUCAUGGCAGGCCUAUGUAAAAAUUGCGAAAAGGAAGGCAAUCUUCAACCUUUUCUCCUGUCUCUCUCUUGAUCAAUUCAUGGAAGGCACAUUUGGGUCUUCCGGGGGCUCAUCAAAUGAGUCAGCAAUGUCAAAGGUGGAGGUGGUGGAGCAAGACUACGUGGGGAUGUCAUAUGAGGCAACCUCAUACCCAGCUGAGGCAGAGCUUGUGCUGGGCCUGGGCCUUGGCCUGAGCCUUCGUGGUGGUGGUGCAGGGAAGCAGCCAAAGCCAUGUGCAUGGGGUGAGCGUGGUAGAAUCUUGACUGCUAAAGUUAGGUGCUGAGUUACACUGUGUUCUCUGCUACUGACCCUAAGAGGAGUGCUAGAAACUUCCAUGUUCCGCCAUCAUUUCGCUUUCACUGUUACAAGGCACUGGAGUAUGUUUAAUUGAAAAGUGAGAUACACAGCAAGUUGAUCAGCCUAGUGGAAAGCAAAGGAUUAUUGCCAGGGAUAUGAACACCCACCGAAAUAAAGGGAUAAGUACUCUUUUUCCCUUCGACCAGUUUUUUUUUGUCCCACUGGGUUUUUACUGGCAAGGUUUUUCACGAAACAUAUUCCGUAUCAUUUGUGGUCUCUAAGAGGGAGUGUUGUAAAUUAUAAGGUGGAGCCCACAUGUUGGAAGGCUUUGCCUACAAAAGGGUUCACACCCUCCCUUUGUAAUUAGACAUUGAGAAUACUAAGGAAGACAGAAAUGAAUAGAGAGAAAACAUUCCCUUCUCUCCAUCUCAAUUCCCUCUCCAAUUCCUCUAGAUUUAUAACAAAAAGUAAAUUCUACACAUAUGUUGCCCAUCCAGGUGGUCCCAUAUCUUCUCUUUCCUUUUCUUUUGGCUAUUAGACUUCUUGUUUCUCUCUCUCUCUUUGCUACCCCACAUCAGCAAGUUUCUCCCUCUCUUUUUUUGGGAUCAAAUUCUUCUUCUAUUGACAAAAUCUUCUAUUAUAUUGGGUGGGCAACUUGGCAACAACAUCUUCUCCUCUCCUUUUGUCAACAGCAAGUAUUAUUCUCAUUCUCUCAUUUGCUAUAUAUCUUUAAUUAUAGUUUUAAUUUAAAAUUGAGUAUUCUAGGGUUUAAUUAGGGAUGAAUUAUAAUUUUGGGAUUUUGUUGAAAUUAAUUAGGGCUUCGAUUAGGGGUGAAUUAUUCUACUGCUUUGAUUUGGAAUUUUGUUAAAAUUGAGUAUUAUAGGUUUAAUUAUGGAUGAAUUACAAUUUUUGGUUUUGGUAUUGUUGAGAUGUUAUUAUGAGAAUUUGUUUGAUUUUUUGUUGGUAUAUUUGAUUAAAAUUCUUUCUACAUAUUAUUCAUAGGCUAUCUUUUAUUAUGUCGGAUCACAAUCGGAAUCCCAAGAAAACAAAAAAUUUGAAUAGUGUUGUUUUGUAUUGCAUUGCAUUUACUUUUGGUUUUAGUUUUGCUUUUAGUGUAAAUUACUCAAAUGGUCCUCAAAUUUGUACCCAAUUUACAUUUUGGUCCAUAAACUAAAUUAUUCAUUCAAAUGGUCCACCAACUCUUUAUUAAUCGGUGCUUUGGUCCUAUCGUUAUGUUUUCUAUUAAAUUUAGUCAUGUGAGCAGCACAUGCUACAUUUGUAUGGGUAAAUAAGACUUUUGACCAGUGGCGGAUCCACGUUGGGACAAGAGGGGUCGGACGACCCCUUGGAAGGCUGGAAAUUUGGCAAGGGAGUCCAUGAAAGCCCCCUUGGACAGCUGCUGGAAGCCCCCUUGUAUGCACACAAUGUGCUCGACGAAAUGCCCCAACGAAAUGUCCUGCGCAGCUGUGCUGCGCCUUGCGCGUAAUUUUUUUUUAAAACCAGCCUUGCCAAACGACGUCGUUUGGUCAAGGCUCAGUCAAAUUUUUUUUUAAUUAACCUGGCCUCAAAACGACGUCGUUUUGGGCCAGGUUUAAAAAAAAAAAAACAGAACAGUACACACGCACAGCAGCUCUGCACAGAUUCAUUUUCUCCAAACCUUUCAUUCCCAAUUCCACAGCCCCUCUUCCCAUCCUCUCAAACCCUAACCUCCCAACCUCCCAACCUUGGACAACCUCCAUCAACUCUUCACCGGUGGCCCAAUGCCGAUCACCACCACCUUCUACCGCCGUCCGCCGCCCAUUUUUUAAACUACAAGUAAGUAAGCAUGGAAAAUCUGAUAUUAAUAAUUAUAGUGAUAAUAUAUAUUGUUGAUAUUGAUAUUUUUUUUUUAUGUAAUGAAAUUUAUGGAUAUGAAUCAUAUUGAUUGAUUGAGUUUAUGCUUGAAAUUUAUGGAUAUGAAUCAUAUUGAUAUUUUUUUUUAUGUAAUUAAAUUUAUGGAUAUGAAUCAUAGUGAUAAUCAUAUUAAUGUAGAUUGAUUGAGUUUAUGCUUGAUUGAUAAUAUGAAUUGAUUGGGUAUAUUAAAUAUUGAUUGCUAUUUGAUAUGAUAAUUUGGUAUAUUGAAUAUUGAUUGAUAUGGGUUUAGGGAGUAUAUUGAAUAUUGAGAGUGGGUUAUUGAAAUUUUCAUAUUCAUAUGAUAAUUAGGAUAAAAAUUAAUGAUUGAUUGAAUUAAUUGAUUUGUAGAUUUAUGGAACGAUUCUUUAAAAGAAAAUUAUCUACGGAUAGUUCUUCUCUGUCUAAUCCGGGUAGUUCAAAUGCAAGACCAAUUGAAGUAGAUGAGAUCUUAGCUAAUCUUCAAGCAGACCCUGGACUAAGAACUCGAAUGGCGGAUUAUAGUCCUAAUAUUAGGGAUGAGAUCCGAAGAGCAUAUCUACAAAAGGGACCUUGUCAACCUAGAAGUUAUAAAUUCCCACAAACUAAUCAAUCAGGAAUUAAUAGACGCUUCAUUGCUCAUUGGUUUGAUGAUCAUGAUUGGUUGGAAUAUAGUAUUGCUAAAGAUGCUACGUUUUGUCUUCAUUGUUAUCUCUUCAAAUCUAAUUUUGAUCAAGUGGGUGGUGAUGCAUUCACUGGGGUAGGCUUCAAUAAUUGGAAGAAGGCGAAAGAAAGAUUUAACCUUCAUAUUGGACCGGUUGGUAGUGUUCACAACCAAGCUAGAGAAGUUGCUUACAAUUUGAUGCAUCAAACUACACACAUUGAAACAAUUGUGCUCAAGCAAACAAGCCAAGCUCGCACGGCUUAUCGCACUUGCUUGAAUGCAUCACUUAAGUGCACUAGGUAUUUGUUGCGGCAAGGGCUUUCUUUUCGUGGUCAUGAUGAAAGUGCACAAUCAAGUAAUAAAGGGAAUUAUUUAGAGCUCUUGCAAUUUCUUGCGGAUCAUGAUGAAAAAGUUAAGGCCGUUGUAUUGGAAAAUGCUCCGGGAAAUUUAAAGUUAAUAGCUCCUUCAAUUCAAAAAGAUCUUGUCAAUUCUUGUGCCAAAGAAACCAUUGAUCUUAUCUUGAGUGAUGUAAAAGAUAGAUAUUUUUCAAUAAUGGUGGAUGAAGCACGUGAUGUUUCAAUAAAGGAGCAAAUGGCAAUGGUGUUGCGUUAUGUGAAUGACAAAGGACAAAUAAUUGAAAGGUUUGUGGGGGUUCAACAUGUAACCGACACUACUUCAAGUGCACUAAAGGAAACAAUUGAUGAAUUCUUUUCUUCCGCGAAUUUGAGCUUUUCCAAGCUACGAGGACAAGGUUAUGAUGGAGCUAGCAAUAUGAGAGGUGAGUUCAAUGGCCUUAAGAGAAAGAUUUUGAGAGAACAACCUUGUGCAUUUUAUGUUCAUUGCUUUGCUCAUCAACUUCAACUAGCUCUUGUUGCGGUAGCAAAGAAAAACAUUGAUGUCAACUCUUUUUUCACAACGGCUAAUAGUUUGGUUAAUGUGGUUGGAGCAUCUUGUAAGCGUCGCGAUGCACUUAGAGCACAAUACCAAGAAGAGCUUGUGAGAGCUUUUGAAGAUGAUUGUCUUAUAACGGGGCGGGGCUUAAAUCAAGAAAGGACUCUCAAACGUGCCGGCAAUACACGAUGGAACUCACAUUAUGGUACGUUGAUUAGUAUCAUUUCUAUGUUCCCAUCUGUGGUGAAUGUGCUUCAAAUGAUUGUUGAUGAUAAUCUUAAUGAUAGUUCGGGUGAAGCCUAUAAGUUAAGGAGAGAAAUACAAUCUUUUGAGUUUGUGUUUCACUUAUUUGUAAUGAAAGCUAUAUUGGGAAUAACAAACACUUUGUCUCUAGCAUUGCAAAAGAAAGAUCAAGACAUUGUGAGUACAAUGAAUUUAGUGAAAACAUGCAAGGAAAACCUGCAGUUGAUGAGGGAUAAUGAGUUUGAAGAAUUGGUUGGGCAAGCAUCCUCGUUUUGUUACAAAUAUGAUAUUAUAGUUCCUACCAUGGAUGAGGAAUAUGUAAUUCCAGGGAGAUCAUGGCGUAAUGCUCCAAUGAAGACAAAUUAUCAUCGUUAUCGUGUGGAGAUCUUUAUUCAUGUAAUUGAUGGGCAACUUGCGGAAUUAAAUGAUCGCUUCAACGAGGUAAGUACUGAGUUACUUACUUGUUUGGCAUGCUUGAGUCCAAAAAAUAACUUUGUGACUUUUGACAAACGAAAGCUAGUUCGUCUUGCUCAAUUUUAUCCUUAUGAUUUUUCGGAUAGAGACUUAUUGAUGCUUGAAGAUCAACUUGGUGUUUAUGUUCAUCAUAUGCGUUCGAGUAGUGAUUUUUCUCAAUUGGAAGGGAUUAGUAGUCUUGCGGAAAAAAUGGUGGAGAAAGGAAUGCAUGAAAUAUUUCCUUUUGUAUUUGCUUCUUACAUUGGCUUUGGUUUUACCGGUUGCAACUGCAUCAGUGGAGAGGGCAUUUUCCGCUAUGAAUAUUAUUAAAAAUCCACUUCGCAACAGAAUGGGAGAUCAAUGGUUGAAUGAUAGCUUGCUUGUUUACAUUGAGAGAGAUGUUUUUGCUUGUAUUGAUAACGAAAUUAUAAUGCAAUGUUUUCAGAAUAUGAAAACUCGUCGUGGACAAUUGUAACUUGUAUUAUUGGUUUUGUUAUGAAUUAUGAAUGAAAGUACUAUCUUUCUAUCUUUUUAGCAUUAUUUUCUUUGUAGAAAAAUUUCAGAACUUUUACACUAAGCCCCCUUGGCUACAUAAUCCUGGAUCCGCCACUGCUUUUGACCACUUUAUCACCUAUGUAUCACCACUUUAUAACCUAUUUGGGGAACAUAGGUCAGUUAUGGACGGUUUUACCCUUACAUUUGACGGCAACAUUAACAUAAUGUAACAGUGGGAUCAAUGGAGUGAUUAAUAUAAAGUUGAUGGACCAUUUGAAUGAAUAAUUUAAUUGAGAGACCAAAAUGUAAAUCAAGUAUAAGUUUGAGGACCAUUUGAGUAAUUUACCCUUCGCUUUUAUAUUUGUUGAACUUUUAUUUAUGAUAGAUAUGCAUUUAAGGGUAAGACCCAUUAUGUUCCCCUGGCUAGGUGUAUCUUUUUAUGUUUAUUAAUGAAAUUCACUCGAACUGUUGAGUUUAGUAUGUAAGUUUUGCCUAACUGGCUUUUGAAUCCUAGAACCGCCACUGUUGCUCCAUCCUCCAUGCACUUGCAUGUGCUCUUACAAAGUGUGAAGUAGAUUUUGUGUGCUCCAAGUCAUUGACUAGAGCUGAAACAUGGUUAGCUAGAUUUAUAAGGACCCAUCUCUUUAUUUCCUAGACAUAUACCCAUCUCUCUAUAAAUCUAUAUGUAAAACCUAAUUUCAAACUUAAAUGACCAGUAGGAUAUAAAAGGUCAUAGUAUUCCUAUGUUUUUAUAUCGUUGCCACCAGACUUCUUAUUUUAUUUAUAAUUUAUUUCAAGCAUUUCAUUAACUGCCAUAAUUGUAAUUAAUACUCCAUAUUAAUAGCAUAUCAAUCACCCCAUUUCUUUUGGUUGCCAUUCCCUCUAACAUAUCGCCCCUUAAAUUUGAAAACCAAAAAAAAAAAAUGUAAAUUACAUAUCCAAUAAUGUACCUAUGAAAAAUAUAAAUAUAAAUAUAUACAUAUAAAAAUAUAGGUAUAUUAUUUACCAAAUAGAAAAUAUAAAAACCUAGGUCAGUUGCUUUGUAAUUGAAAUUUCUGUACAUUUUCCACAAAUUAAAAAUAGGUACAUAAUAAUUUAUAGAAAAUAUAUGUACAUUAUUUAUCCAUAGGUAAAAAUACCGAUAAAUGCACAUAGGUGAAUUAUUUACCAAUAUAUUAUUUUUUUGCUAAGGAUUUACCUUAGUUUUUAGUAGAUUAAUUUACCUACCUAGAGGCAUAGGUAGCUUAAAAAAAAUGUACCACCUUAGUUGGUUGCAUACUAAUUUACCUACCUAGAGGCAUAGGUUGCUAAGAAAAAAUGUAGGUAAAUUCAUGUACCUAAACACAUAGGGGUCAAAUAGAGAAUAACAUGUUAUUUCCCUUUGAACAAAUUAAUUUCAAACCAUAACAAUUAUUGAAUUUGGAAAUUGGUAUAAAUAAAAGGAAAUAAAUAAACUAUCAAUUUGAAAAUUAAAAUAAGAAAUGAUCAAGUAGUCAUAUUUGAAAAAAAAGGAAAGAAUAUAUUCUUGGUUUUUAUAGGAACAACGAGUAUAUUCAAACCAAACGGCGAUAACUACACCAAGCUUUAAUUACUUUUUUUUAAGGCCAAAAGUCACUUUUGGUCCCUGUAGUUCGGCAUUUCUACCACUUUUGAUGUUGUAGUUUCAAUUCCGUCAAUUUUGCCAUUGUAGUUUCGUAUUUGUAGCAAUUCAAGGACCUGUUAAUAUUAAUGUCAAUUUGUUUAAUGAUGCAAGAGGUAAUUUCGUCAUCCCAAAAUCCUUGAGCAUAAAAGAUUGUCUGAAAUUCUCCCCAUUUCAUAUUAGGGCUCGAAAUUCAACCACUAAUCCUAAUUUUUGAAGAACCCUAGACCCAAAUGACCAAUUUCAAGCCCUAAUAUGAAAUUACGGAAGUUUUAGAUGAGCUUUUAUGCUCAAGGAUUUUGAGUUGAAGAAACUGCCCCUUGCACUGUCAAAUAAAUUGACAGGAAUACUGACUUGUCCUUGAAUUGCUACAAAUACAAAACUACAGUGUCAAAAUUAACAGAAUUUAAACUAUAGGGUCAAAAGUAGUUGAAGUGUCAAACUAUAAGGACCAAAAGUGACUUUUAGCCUUUUUGUUUCAAUAAGGAAAAAACUGACCUAUUAAAUCCUUGGAAUCUAUACAAAAUUGAAACACAAUUAAUCAACAUUGAAUUGCAGCUAAUUUCUUAAACAAGGGUAUUAUAGGAAUUUAAAAAGUAUAACAUUUAAUCCAUUGAAUUUGAUUAGGAAACUUGAUGAAUUGAAUCCUAGUUAUAUAGUUUUUCUUAUAAAAAUCAGGUUUUAUUUAUAGACAAAUAAAACAAUGGGUUGUAGGUAAGAAAAUAUUAAUUUGAAGGGAAAGAGUCAAAUUUACUAAAUUAAUAAAGCAUAAAUUGGAAAGGGAAAAGAUCUAGAGGAUGCAUUGUAGGAUUGCUCAUGCCAAUAAUUGCACCCUCUCGAUAUUGAAAAACCUAUUGUUUAUUAUUAUCUUCAAUCCUGAAUGAUGCACCUAAAACCCAAGUGUCUCAGGCCAACCAUUGCGCUCAUACCACUUGUUGCAGUACACAUUCACCUGUUUUUAAAGAAAGAAAUUCUACCAAUCGAUAUUUUCUCAAAUUUAAUCACAUAGAUCUAUUAUGGUUAACCAUAUGUACUUUUAUCUGCCAUCCAGAGGUACCUUUUUCCAACGUGCAACAAUUGUAUUUGAUUCACAAUUAUGUCUGAUAUACAUCACAUCAUGCCACUUGCCUCAAAUGAAUUUAAUUGAGUGAGGCAAUGGGAAGUAAUUAAGCUCUAUAUUGGUGGGUGGAGUGUUACUUCUGGAACCCUCAUCAUUCGUCCAUACAGGGGAACAAUUCCCUUCCUUCUAUAAAAUGGGAGCAAUUCUCUCACUGUACUCUAUAUAAAGGAAUAAGUGUCGUCCACUAAUUAAUUACACUUUGUGAGAUUUGAUUUUAAUUAGAGUUCGAAUUAAUGUUGCAGCUAGCAGCGGUGGCACUGGCAAACCAUGCUGCUCAACCAGCACCUCCACUUUACUGGAAUUCCAUCCUGCCAAACACACAAAUGCCAAGAGCUAUCAGUGAACUUCUGCAUCCUGAUUUGUGUUGAAUAGAUAUAGUAUGUUACUGGAGUACGUAUGGCAACAUAUUCACAAAUGUGUCACGUAUUUUCCAUUAUGACGUUGAUAUAUAAUUGCAGACUCCACAAACGAAGAAAAGAGCACAAAUGUCAUGAAUGCUGUUGGGAAUGGAAAGCCAAUUGACCACAAGGGCAAACCUGAAAAUACUGUACUACCACAGCUUGCACGACGCCCAUUUUCUUACAAGAGUGAUGAUCGUCCCACUGACAAUCAACUCCAUUAUAAAAACGUAGCUAUUUUCUUCUUGGAGAAGGACAUGCGCCCUGGCACAACAAUGAGCUUCCAAUUCCCUAGAAAUUCAAACACGGCUACUUUCCUGCCACGAGAAAGAGCUCAAUCGAUCCCCUUCUCCUCUAACAAACUACCAGAAAUUUUCAACCAUUUUUCAGUGAAGCCAACAUCUGUGGAAGCCAAAACAAUUAAGCAAACAAUCGAAGAGUGUGAGGCUCCAGGCAUUAAGGGAGAGGAAAUAUAUUGCGCCACAUCUUUAGAAUCAAUGGUUGAUUUUAGCACUUCGAAGCUUCGAACAAGAAACGUUCAAGCAAUCUCGACGGAGGUAUUGGAAAAAGGUGCCACCAUGUCCAUGCACAAGCACACAACAAUGCCGGGACUGAAGAAGUUGGCAGGUGUCAAAGUCGUUUUGUGUCAUAAGCAGAACUAUCCCUAUGCUGUGUUUUACUGCCAUGUAAUAAAACCAACAGCAGCUUAUGUUCUCUCCCUGAAAGGCGAUGAUGGGGUGAAAGUUAAAGCAGUAGCCAUCUGCCAUCUAGACACAUCAGAAUGGAACCCAAAGCAUUUGGCCUUCCAAAUCCUCAAAGUUAAGCCCGGAACAAUUCCCAUCUGCCAUUUCCUUCCCACUGAUCAUAUUGUCUGGGUUCCGAACCACAAAUCUGCAUGAUCAUCACUUAGCACUGUACGUAUAAUAACCUUUACCCCUGUAUAAUUAUCUCCCUACUCUACUUAUUUCUGCCUCUUCAUGUGGUGUAAGAUAUAUGAUGAGAUGAAGUUUUUGGGAUUAGUGGUCGGGUUGCCUUAAAAACACAGAUUACAGAAACUGCUUGAACUUAACCCGAUCAUGUUUUCUCUUGUACUCGUAAAGCAUGCUGUUGUGGUUCUACUUAAUUUCGUCCUCCCCAAUGUUUGAGUGUUUAAUUGUUACGUUGGAAUAGGCUGCUAAUGCAUGUAGUUAGAGAAGCUUUCAUUUAUAUCAAAGUCCUCAAACUAUCAAGAAUUAAUGCAUCCAGAAACAUAUAUACCAAGACGCAAAACAACAUAUUUUCCAUGCUGUGUCGGUAACACCAAAGCAAACUUCCUUUAUCACAAAAGGACCAAAUUCCAAUACUAAUCUAAUCCAUCAUGUAAAGCAUACAAUCUACAACUGCCUCCCUAAAUUUGUCCAUUGGAUAUAUAUGUCACUUUUUGGUAAUUUGGUAUAGCAGCACCACGUAGUAUGCAUUUAACAGAAAAGUAAACAAAAUUGACAGUAGAACUAUUUGUCCUAACGAAACUGAAGUUGAAAGACCAUGAGAACGAUUUUGAAAAUUAAGGGACUCAAAUGAAAAUUGGGUCUAAGUUCAGGGACCAAUAAAACGAUUAACCCAUAGAUUUUGGAUCCAGUACCACAUCCCAAAGAGAAAACCACAAGUUUGCAAGCAAGUUUGUCCAUACUAACACUACGUACAGUAUGGGCAAUGUGCUAGACUCAUCUCACUUUCUCAACCUAUCCUAUACUUGUCUAAAAGAGUUUCUAAUUUAAUGUACUGAGAUUUACGAAAGAAAUAUCAGAGAAACAAUUUUCAGGCAAUAAAAAAAUGUCUUGGCAAGAAAAUGCACAAUUUGUUACAUAACUUAUUAAAUAUGAACAGUUGAAAGAAAAAAGAAUUUGGAUGAGGGAUUUGCAAAUUCCUAUGGCCCAAUUACCUUUUUUUCUUUGUUUUUUUUUGGUUCUUUUGAUCCAGUAGCAUAUUCCAAAGAAUGAAAACCACAGGCAUGCAAUGCAAGCUCUUUUCCCAUGUUUUCCUCUGUUUUUCUCCUAUCAUGGAAGUGAUUAAAACACACCUCUAAGCUUGUUUUGCGUUUGGUAGCCGAGUGUAAAAGCUCAAUGCAAGAUAGUUUGAGGUAGAAUUUUCUCCUGUUUUAUUAGGACAAUGAUGAGCUAUAUGUGACAACAAAUUGCUUUAAUAAUGAAAAUUAAAAAAGUGUGAUUCAUUGAAUAUUUGCGGGGUUUUGUUCAGAGCUGACAAAGUUCUAAGUCAACACAUCAAAUUCCUUUUUCCAACAAUCGUAUUUGAUUCACAAUUUUGUCUGAUAUACAUCACAUCAUGACACUUGCAUCAAAUGAAUUUAAUUGAGUGAGGCAAUGGGAAGUAAUUAAGCUCUAUAUUGGUGGGUGGAGUGUUACUUCUGGAAUCCUAAUCAUUCGUCCCUACAGGACUCUAGAACUCUCACACUUCUUACAAGGACUACUUAACUCUAUAGCUUAUUGCAUAUAGCAUAUAUAUGCAAACCCAAUUAGAAAUUCUACAACAGAAGCAAGAUCAAUCUCACUAUGCCUUCUAAACAAACAAACAAAUAAAACAAGCAUAUUAAUUGCUUUAAUCACUCUACUAACAUCAACACAGCACACUUAGUUUACUAACAGAUGAUAUAGAAAGGAAAAAAAAGGACCAAUAGGGAGAAAAUGGUGAACUAAGGAGAGACUAAUACUUCUGGUCCUUAGAAGGCAUAACAGAAAUAAUAGAGCACACUGCUUGAAUGCAAGUCAGUAUUAGGAGCAAAACAGCUGCAAUGAAAGAAAUAGUUGCCCAAGGUGUAUUGAAAUAAUGUUGCCUCAAAUUUGCCUUCCAUUUGUUCCAAGGCUUUCUGCAGUAGCUAUUAAGGCGCUCAGAAAGAGUAGCAAAGUAGAAGCUUUCACGAUACACUGCAAUUCCUUUUCCGAGGUUGUUAAUCAGAGUGCACACCUCAUUGUAGUCACCAAGCAUAUUUUUGACAAUCCCAUACUUCAGAAGGAACUCCACAUCCUUUUCGGUGUUCACAAACUCAUCCAUGAGUGAAACAUAAUCACUUAUGUAAUUCUUACGGCAAUGGCACUAUUCAAAGGCAAUGAGGUUAUGGAGUGUGAGCUCUGUGUAAUCGUUUAUUUUUAGUUUUGGAAUUUCUAGAAUCCCAUCGUUGAAUCGUGUUAACGCAGCUUUCCUUUCCUAGCCUACGCGGAAGUCAACUUCACAAUCUCCUCCUAGCAAUUAGCCUUUCCUACUGUAAAUCGGAUUGUAUUCAUGUCUAUAUUAUUUCCUACCUUAAAUAGAUAUCCUGUACUAGUAUACAUAGGGACUUUGUGUAAUCUGUUAAAUACAAGGAAAUAUAUACUCUACAUGGUAUCAACCUAACCUAGGGUUCUCUCUCUCCCCCUUAUUCGAUCCUCUUCUCCUUUAGGUCCACCUCAUGGCUUCGUUUGAAUCCACCAUCUCCCUCCCAAGCCCUAACUCUUCUCAUUUUAUCAAGCUUACUAACUCCAACUAUCUUCUUUGGCUCCGCCAACUCAAACCCUUUUAGUUGGCCAUGACCUCUGGAAAUUUAUCGAUGGCAUUCAUAAACAACCUUCUGCCCACACCUCCACCUCUACCACCACAACACCCACAACCACCACCACUCUUACCGAAAUCAAUCCUACCUAUGCUCAGUGGUACCAACAAGACCAACUCAUUGUUAGCUACAUCACCAGUACACUCUCUGAGUCCAUUUUCUCUCUCACUGUCGGUUGCAUCUCUGCCCGGGAUCUCUGGGAGUGUCUCCAAUGCCACUUCUCUUAAUCCAAUAUGGCCAGUGAAUCUGCUCUUCGUUUUCAACUCAUGGAUUUGCAAAAAGGCUCUCAACCCAUUGAUGCUUACCUUCGUCAUGCUAAGUCUCUUGCCGAUUCACUAGCUGCCAUCAAUUAACCUGUCUCCCCAAAAGAACUUGUCACUGCUGUGCUUCGGGGUUUAGGACCCGAUCACAAAAUGCUCAUCACAGCAAUUCUCAAUUUCUCUCCGCUUCCAGACUUUGCUGAUCUUCGUGCUCGUUUGUUAGCUUUUGAUGCACAGACUCCUCGAAUCUUUCCUGAUCAAAACACAACGCUAAUGGCCACCCAAUCUUCUCCUUACACCACCGGUCAUACUUCCUUCCCUUCUCACCGUGGUUGUGGCUCUUCCAGCAAUAGGCGCGGUGGCUGGUGCAGUAUUGGCCGUGGUGGCUGGCACAACUUCUCAUCUUCCUAGAGCAACCCGUGGAAUGGCUUCCAGCAGCCCUAAUGACCUAAUCAACUGUGGCCUCCUUUUGCUCUAAGUUUUGGAUCUCAAAGCAACUGGCCUUCCUUUCAACCUCUUUGGGCCCAAUCUGCCGCUUCUAGCAAACACUCUGCCCGACCCAACUCAGCUCCUGGUGUCUUGGGACCCGCUUGGUGCACCACAUGCAAUACCAAUCGACAUACUACUACAACAUGUCCUUAUUGCUACAAUGGCCCAGAAUUCUUCCUUUGCUGGGGCUCAAUUCAUGCAGCCACCUAACUCUACAUGGUACCCUGACACAAGUGCCACUCAUCAUAUGACUGGUAGUUCUUCUAAUCUCCAAAGGAAAUUAAAUGAAGGAGUCCUACGAAGGCUCAAGGCUCGAAAGCACACGAUCCGGCUCUGCUGCGGAGCUCACUCAACUACUGGCUGAGGGGGCGCAAAACAGAAAAUUGUGAGUGGACAAAAAUAAAAAUUCAGUUCAGUGUAAACCAACGUAAUAUAACCCCACCGUUUAGAAAACCAUGCAAGAAAUCCAAAUGCAUCUCAAAACCAUCAUAAUCAUCAAAUCAAAAUCAAAUACUGGAUGCCAAGUCCGAAAUCCAUAAAGAAAGCUUUACAAACCCACCAUCCAAAUCUUACAAUCCCACAACUAAACUCUCGAAAGCGUACCCAUUGGCAGUACCAGCAAGGAAGUAUCCUCACCGAGAAACAAGAACAAAAGAAUAGCUAUAUAUAUAAUUAUAUAAUAUAACCACACCUAGUUGUACCGGGAAAACAAUCCAACCGGGGGAUUGUUUGACUAGUCACCAUGGCAGAGUCAAAGUAAACAAAUUCCUCAAUUCACCAUGUGACUAGGGAACGAGCUGUCCAACUGGGGGACCAACUCUCAGCCAGCAUGUACCGUCGAUAGCCUCAAAACCCGUACGUCUGUGACCAGUCCUACGCGUGCAGACUACCCAAUCAAGGGUUUACAGCAACAUCCCAUCAAGGAUGCCCUAGGUUCCCACAAUUCCAAGUAUCUCAAGUUUGCGUAUCCAAGUUCCAAAUCCGGGGAGGUACAUAGGGUAGUGCUUAUAGCACUCCAAAUUGACAUUCUAUACUCAUCACUUUCCACAAUCUCAUCUCAACAACCUAAGUACCCCACACAUAGCCAAACAUAUAUAGAAAUUCUCAAAAUCCAUAUAUACAUACUCAAGAUACUCAAAUAUGUCAAAAUCCAAAAUAUAUUUCCAAUGCAUCAUAAAAAUAUCACUUUUAACAAUUGAAUAAAUAAUAUAUAUCCAAUAUACCAAUUAAAACAUCAUGCAUAAUAUUUCCCAUCAUAAAAUCAUGCAUAAGAUUUGAAAACAAAGUCCACUCACAAGUAGUCCCACACUGCUUGACCUUGAGAGGGUCCCGCCUACUGCGUAUGCGUGGUUGGAGUACCUAUUUCAGAAUACGUAUACGAGAUUAAUAAGAAGCGUUUCGAACGAGAACUUUGAAUUAAAUAUCCUAAUUUCCCAGGUUUCUAGUAAGUGUACUAGGAACGAGACGUUCUAAGGUUCCACUACCCAAUUCGAACCAUGGAAGAGCUUCGGGAGACACUCGGUCAACCGGCGGUCAAAUUCCCAAAUCGGGUCAACUGGCCCACGGGACCCACGACCUCCGUUUUUAAAAUCCGUAAGUUCCUAAAGGUUUCACAAUGUCUAAGAUACUACUAUCACAAGUUUGGUCCGAAACGGACUGUUAGAUCGCUUACGAUCGCACGAUCAGACGGUUAUUGUAAAACGUAAACUUUAAGUUAUUGAAUCAGAACAUCCGGGGCUCCGAUUCACGAUCCGCGAAUUCCUACACGAUCCUAGGAAGGUCUAGAGUAACAUAUAUUGGAAUGGAGUCGAUCCAAAGGUCCGAACAUAUCGAACCUAGACCGGAUAACUCCUAAUAUGUGAGAUUCGUUCGGGGUUCGAACAUCAACCAAAUUGGAAUCCUAAGGUACCUACGUGCUCGUGACAUUAAGGGGAUCAAUUGGGACAAAAAUGCCCCUCUGCUACAGUGCCCACGUGCCACCACACGCGGCGGUAGAGAGUGGGUGUCCAAAGCGAUUUCUCUUCGCCGGAAAAUCUCCAAAUUACAAGCCACUCUCCUGGCUACAGGUUCUACUCAACGAGUGGAACACUUUAUUCAACUACAGCCAAGUCCAAUUCGGACGGCAAGUGGCCGGAAACUCACGGUUUAACCCGGAACUUCAUGGCUUGGAUUGGGCGACCAUCGUCACCAUUGUCGUGGCACAACCUAGGAAAUAGCUAAAAGGAGAGGAGGGCUACCUAUUCCAAGCGAUGGCGCAGCUCGCGGUAGCCGAAAAUGUAGCCGAUGACGUUGGCAGUUUUGGCCGGUUUUUCACGUCGUUGCCAUCGCCGUUUGUCGAGUUUUCGAUUGGAGAAAAGGGGUGGGGUGAGUAGAGGAGGAAGAGAGGAAGCUUUUGCAAGAAAUGACACUUGUCAGGGAGGGGGGGGUUGGGGGAAGAGAGAGAGAGAGAGAGAGAGAGAGAGAGAAAAAAAAAAAAUUUCAGAUUUUCAUCCAAACCCUUUUCGAAAUAUUUACAAGUUUGCCACUAAACUACUUUUGGUUGCCAAAUCUUCGUUAUAACUCCGAUUCAAGCCUACCACGUGUCUACGGAUUCGUCUCAAUACAACCUACCCAAAAAUACCAGUCACUGCCCCAAACUCUUUUUGGGUAAGAAAAUGACCAAAAUACCCCUACCCCAAGGGUAAAUUCAUAAUUUCACUUCAAUAAUUUAAUAAAGAAUUAAAUUUGGAGUCGGGGUGUUACAUUAACUACCUGUUUAGUAGGUGUGGGGUUUUAUACAAAAAGCAUCGAUGUUAUUGGGAGUGGAACCACUUAUUAUAAGUUGUGAUUUAUUUAGUCAAGUUUCCUAUGUGGGAUUUUCUAUUCUUCAACAAGCCCCCUCAUGUGGGACCACCACAUAGUGGGCCACAUGUAAAGCUAAGUCCACAUCGGAGUCAAUCAUUCAAGCCCAAUACCUAAACACCACGUAUUGUGUGAGGGGUAGGGGUAAACAUUCAAGCCCAACAUGUGAACCACCAAAUAUUAAGUAAGGGUAAAGGCUCAAUUCAGGCCCAAUCAAUGAACCCAUUAUGAUAUCAUGUUAAAUUUCAGAUAGACGGGACUGUGGCCCACCACUAGCAACAUUGAUAUUGUCCCCAACUUAACUACAUGUUUAGUAGGUGUGGAGUUCUAUACAUAAGGUCUCGAUGUUUUUAGGAGUGGAACCACUUAUUAUAAGUUAUAAUUUAUUUAGUCAAGUUUCCAGUCAACCUGACUUUGAUACCAUGUUAAGAUUUUAAAGGGACGAACUCUUGGCACUAUUAGUAACAUCGACAUUGUCCCCAACUUAACCACCUGUUUAGCAAGUGUGGGGUUUUAUCCUAAAGGCCUCGAUCUUAUUAAGAGUUGAGUCAUUUAUUAUAUGGAACUUUCUAUUUUGUUAACUCUGUGUAUUCUUCAUCAAUGUGAACACCCCUAAACCAAUCAUACCUGAUACGAAUUGAAACACAAGUUUGUUUUUUGCCUUUGGUAGAUGAGUAGCUAGAAAAGCUCAAUGCACUUGCUCUUCUGCUACAUUUCAAUAUAAGAACAAGGUUUGGAAGUCAGGUCAACUCCUCAUAGCUUCCUUGCCUUUGCUUUGACAUGUCUAUGCACUUCUUGGGGAAGUUUGAAUAAUCCAUUGCAGGCCCCAUGACAACUAAGGAACCAACAUUUUGUAGAAGGUUUUGUCUAUACCUUUUGACUAUAAGUAAAAUCUUUUGUAUCUGCUCUUAUGUUUCGGUGAAGUUUCUAUGUGUCCUUUGUGCCGAGUUUCUAUGCGUCCUUUGUUGAACCAAAAAAUGAGGUUGUUUCUUACUAGAUUCAAAUACUUAAAAGAAAAAAAGAAAUUGUUGUUUCUUAAUGGAUUUUAUGAUGAACAAUAUCAAACUCUCCUCUUAUACGUCUGUUGGUAAAUUUUAACAACAAUAUUAAAACCUUGCAAGUGCACAAAUCAAAUGAUAGUAUAGUAAGCAAGCAAGGGUCGAUCCCACGGAGAUUGUGAUCUAAAGAGAUGUUUAUCAAUGUCACGCAAUGAAAAUCAAAACAAAGGACUUCCAAACACACGCCAACACCAAGGGGGGUUUUGAUUUGUUUUUGUGAAUCAAACAAAAUAAGGAAAAGGAAACAAAAGAGAAUUUAAAUUAGAGUUUAAGAGAAAUUGGUUUAAAAUCAAUCAAGAUCAAUAGCUAGGACUUACUAUCCACCUCCAAACAAUCAAUCAAUCCAUAAACAACAAUAGAUAAUCAAUUUCUAGUAAGCACACUACUACAAAAAAGCAAAAAGACGACGGUAAAUCACCGUCGUGUAUUCGGUUUUUCAAUGGUCGUGGAAUCCACCGUCAUCUUUUCCCUCAUAAACCACGACGCUAAAUCACCGUCGUUGUUACAAUAUACAACGUCAUCAACAAAUACAAAACGACGUCUUUGUACUGCAAAAAGAUCUAAAAAAGCAAUCGAUGAUGAGAAAAGACGACCAACUCUCUAAACAAACCGUCGUUAAAAAGAAAAAAUAUGACACAUAUUAACAGAACAUGGCCGCAAGAUAGACAUACAACGACGAAAAUUAAAAUAAGACGCCGUUAAAUAUCAUUUUCACGACAAUAAAAAAUAUGUCGUCUUUAAAUACAUUAGAAGACGACGUUAUUGAUACCUACUACGUCGCCUAUAUAAAAAUAACCGUCGUAAAAUAAAUUUUCCACUUCGAUUUUUCUAUAAAAGAUGACGUGGAAAUAGUUGUCAGUGUCAUUAUUUACGACGUAUGUAUUUAUAGAGUAGACGUUGAACAACGAAACAACGUCGGUUACAAAUAUAUGAGAGUCGUAUUACAAAAUUUAUACGUCCUAUUUUCAGAAACAAACAACGACGAUAAAUAUUAGACGUUGUUAAAUAAAACAACGUCGAAAACAAAUAAAAACAGACGUGUUUAGUCUGCUAAAGUUCUAAAAAAUAGUCGAGGAUGAGAAUAGACGACCAACUCAAACAAAUCACCGUCGUUAAAAAGGAAAAAUAUGACACAUAUUAAAAGAACAAGGCCGCAAGAUAGACAUACAACGACGACAACUAAAACACUACGCCGUCAAAUAUAAUUUUCACGACAAGAAAAAAUAUGACGUCUUUAAAUACAUGAGAAGACGACGUUAUUGAAAUAUACUACGUUUCUUAUUUACAAACAACCGUCGUGAAAUAAAUUUUCCACUUCGAUUUUUCUAAAAAAGAUGAUGUGGAAAUAGUUGUCAGUGUCAUUAUUUACGACGUAUGUAUUUAUAUAGUUGACGUUGAAAUGCGAAACAACGUCGGUGGCAUUUAUAUAGUCGACGUUGUAUUUAUAUGUAUUCAUUACUCACGACGCACUUAUUAAUAUAGACGACGUUGAACUUCUAAACAACGUCGGUUCCAAAUAAAUGAGAGCCGUAUUACAGAAAAUAUAGAUGGCGUUGAUUAUGAUGAGAGCCGUAUUACAAAUAACGUCGUUUAAUUGAUAUUAGACGGCGGUUAUAAUGAAUUACCGUCGGAAUUCAUUUCGUUCCUCUUCGUUUAUAAAAGAACUUGCGACGUGGAAAAUGUAUGAUGACGUCGUAUUUUUUAACGUUCAGAUUAUAUAUCUCGUUUUUUAGACGUCGGUAUUAUGGGAUUGGAGUCGUGUUAUUUUGAAUUACAUGGCGGUUCUUAAUCCUUCCCCGACGUGAUAUCCUGAAUAAUUGCUUCAUAAUAGCGUCGUGGUUCUUCAUUGUUACGUUGCUUUAAGACGUCGGUAAAUAUGCUGAAUAACUGGUUCACAAUAACGUCGUGUUUUAUUUGAACGUAGAAAGUGAAGAAAUCACAUUACAAUAUAUUACAAAAUUAAUGUCAUACACUGCCAAUUACAUAAGCAUCAUUCAAUCCAUAUAUCUUCACACCCAUCUCGAAUAUUUUGACCGCCUAACUCACCCACCAGUUCAUCAAAUGUGUCAACAUUUGGCAUCCCUCUAGUAAAUGGCUCACACUCAAUUAUCACAUCACCUAAGACUUCAUCACCAAUAACAUUAUUAUAUUCUCUAUUAGGCAUUGAUAACACUACCGACCAACCACGAUGCAUCGGGUCGUCAACAAAAAAUAUUUGUUUGACUUGAGAAGCCAAAACAAAUUGGUCAUUCCUAUGUCCAAUUUUACUCAAAUCUACAAGGGUAAAUCCAAGUUCGUCGACUACAAGACCAGAACUAUCUAUCCAAUCACACCUAAAGACUGGGAUUGUAAACUUUUGGUAGUCAAGGUCCCAAAUUUCUUGAAUGACACCAUAGAAACCCAUAUUUGAGAGAAUUGAGUUUUUAUCCUUGGCACUAGCAACUUGCAUGGUAUGUGCAAGUAAAUAAACUCCACUAUUUUGAGUUGUCCGCACAUCAUCUUGUGCCUUGAUAUUGAAUUUAAUACCUUUAAUAAGAUAGCUCCUAUAUAAUGGCACAGCCAUGUUUGGACCAGCUGCUAGCCACCUUAAAUUUUCUGAUACGCCAUGAUUGUCUUCCUCAAGUUCACUUUGAACCUGCAAAUUAAUCAUAUAUCUUAAUGCAAUCUAACAUAGAAAUAAGAAGAAAAUUAAAAGAGAAAUAUGUUAUUCAACAACAUAUACCUUGAAGCGUAGCCAUUGAAUGAAAGUGUUAUUGUGCUUAUCCUGCAGCCACUUUGUGAUUUAAGGUAUGACAAUCAUGUGAUUUAAGGCCAAGAAGUCUUGAAUCUUGUAAAGAUACAAGAUUUUUAAUAUUUGAAGAAUAACCUUCAGGGACCUUCAUACCAUAGAAAGAAUUGCAAACCUCUCUCUUCUCUGCUCUUGACAAAUUCCAAGGCCCAGGAGGCAAACGAGUACGUCUUUCUCCAUACUCGGGUUGCAAAUCAGUUUUGACCCCCAUGUUCAAUAAAUCUAAUCGAGCAGCAAUCCCAUCUUUAUUUUUUCCAGGGAUCUCCAGCAAUGUACCAAUGAUACUAUCGCAAACAUUCUUCUCAAUGUGCAUAACAUCUAGGGCAUGCCUCACAGGAAGGUAUUUCCAAUACUCGAGAUCAAAGAAUAUUGAUUUCUUCUUCCAACAAACUCUGUCACCAUUUUCAACCAUGUGCAGCACUUCUUCUCCGGUUAAUGGCUCGGGAGGUAUGCCAUAUUCAGGUUUCCCAUUAAAAGCUGCACGUUGCCUCCUAUAUGGAUGAUUGAUUGGUAACCAUUUUCUAUGCCCAAUGUAACAAAUUUUGUGGCCAUUUUCAACCUGUGACUAGGUGUAUCAUCGCCGCAUAUUGGACAAGCUUUAUAUCCUUUAACAACACAACCAGAUAAGUUUCCAUAGGCGGGGAAAUCAUUAAUUGUCCACAUUAAUGCAGCUCUGAGUGUAAAGUAUUCUCCAUUAUGUGCAUCAUACACUCCUCUAAUCCCAUCCCACAAAGAUUUUAAAUCAUCAAUCAAAGGCUCCAAGUAGACGUCUAUAUCAUUUUCGGGUUGUUUAGGACCGGAAAUCAAUAAGGUUAACAUCAUGAACUUUCGUUUCAUGCACAGCCAUGGAGGGAGAUUAUAUGUAACUAAGAUAACCGGCCAACAACUAUAUCUGCUACUUAGAGAACUGUGGGGAUUGAAUCCAUCAGAUGAAAGAGCCAAUCUCAAGUUUCUCGGCUCAUUACCAAACUCAGGCCAUUUAUCAUCAAGAAGUUUCCAAGACGGGGAAUCCGCCGGAUGAGACAUCUGACCGUCAAUUGAUUUUCUAGCAGCAUGCCAAGUCAAACUCUUAGCUGUCUCAUGUGAUUGAAACAUCCUUUUAAACCUUGGAAUUGGAGGAAAAUACCACACCACCUUCGCUGGCACAUCCUCUUUCAAGAUUGAAUCUUUGCCUUCCUUCCACCUUGAGAUACCACAAGUAGGACAAUUAGUUGAAUCCUCAUACUCCUUCCUAUACAAGAUGCAAUCAUUGGGGCAUGCGUGCAUUUUCUCAUAACUCAGCCCCAAUGCACACAAAGUCUUUUUUGCCUCAUACAUAGAGGUUGGUAUUGUAUUUCCUUCUGGAAGCAAAUCGCCUUGAAGUAUCAAUAAUUCUGUAAAACAGACAUCACUCAUCCCAUGUUUUGCCUUCAAAUUAUACAACUUCACUAAUGCCGAUAACUUCGUGUACUUUCUACAACCAGGGUACACUGGUUGAUCUCCAUCCCCAAUCACAUUGGCAAACUCAUACGGAUCGGAACCAAAAUCACCAAAAUCAUUAUCAUCCAUAUCAAUUUCUUCAGACACAAAACUGUACCUACUAUGGCCAUCAUCUUCUUCAACAUUUCUACUAGCAUUAGUAGUUGCUUCCCAAGGUUCUCCGUGAAAUGUCCAAUUCUUAUAGCUUUGGUCAAUUCCAUUAAAGUAUAAGUGAUCCCUUAUAAUUCCAACCCCAAACAACUUCAAAUUAACACAUUUAACACAUGGACAACGGAUAUGUGUUGUAGUUAGAAGAUUUUCUACAGCAAAGUUCAAAAAUGCUUCCACCCCAAACUCAUAUGCCUUCGAUCUUCUAUCCGAGUGCAUCCAUGACUUAUUCAUCUCCGACACUAUAACCUAUUAUCUAUAAUAAAGUGAAAAUACAGGCAAUGACCAUCACUAUAGCAGAUUAUACAAAGAUCUAAUAGCAAGUAAUACAUAACAGAGACGACGGGUUUUAAACAAAAACAGACGUAUUUGGCAUAUAUAGACGACGGAUUUUCAACAGACGUCGUCUAAUAUAAGUAAUACAAACGACGGUUUAUGAAAAAACCGUCGUGUAUAAGUAAUACAACGACGGUUUUUUCAUAAACCGUCGUGUAAUCGUCGUCGUAUGCCUAAAAAGGCGUCGUGUCUCAGUUUAUUUUCAAGAACCCAAAACCCAUUAAGAACACAACAUAUAUAUGAAACCAAGCAAGAAACCAACAUAUACAUGAAGCCAAGCAUGAAAACAAUAAAUCCAUUCCCAAUUCAACAUAACAUAGGGUGAUUAAAAGAUCCGACAAAAUUAAAACCAUUCCCAAUUCAACAUAACAGAUAAUGUAAUCCAUGAACCCAUUAAACAGAAAAUCCAUGAACCUAUACCUAUAAGCACAUUAUUAACAGAUCGCAAAGCAUAUACCUAAAACCCUUUAACAAAACAACCUAAUAUCAUUCAAUGAAUUUACAAAGGGAAGAUAGGGUUUGUACUUACAGGUUGGACGAGCUCACAGAUUCGACGAAGCCUGGAGAGUGCAACUUUUAAUUAGAGCAGAAGUGAGAGAGCGAAUGUUAUGUUGCGCGAAAUCUGAAAAUUUUAGGGUUCAGGGUUAGAAGUAUAAGAAUAAGAGCCAAAUAUAAAAAAAUUUAGGGCGCGCGAAAAUUUUUAGAGCGCGCGCUCUUUAAAACGUCGAAAGAAAAACCAUGGCGAAAGUUCUACAAGAACCGACGUAAAUGUAAUAUUCCACGACGAAAACACUUAACGUAACGCCGUUUAUUUUGACGUUCAUUUUUCGGAUUAAUUUUAAAUUUAUUUUGAAUAUUUUGAUAUAAAGACGACUGAAAAACCACGUCGAAGUUAAGAAAUUGAAAACGUUGUAAAUUAUAAUAGACGACUUACAUAUUAAAAUGACGUCGUUUAAAGUGGAAACCAUGUCGGAUAUUUUACUGCACGACGUAACAUAUGUAUUCCACGACUCAACCACCGUCGUUAACAAUUAAUACCCUAAACCCUUAAAACUAAAUUAUAUAAUUUUAAAAAUUAAGUUUAUAAAAGGGUUUAUGGUUUUACAGCCUAAUAUAUACCCUAUACUACCCAAAAAUUAUACUUUAAAAAUAAACCCCAAUAAAUAACAACCCUAAUCUCUAAACCCUAGACUCUAAACCCUAAACCAUAAAACUAGAAGUGAUUUUAUGACUCAUCAAAACAAUUUUGUUUUGGAUGGUCAUUUUAAAUUUUUUUUAUUCAAAAUGAAUUUUUUCAAGGUUUAGGGGGAAGAAAAUAUAUCAAUGACUUCAUAGGAGUUGACUUUUCAUUUUUCUGAUUUAUUUUAAAUUUAUUUUGAAUAUUUUGAUAUAAAAAUAAUAAAAUAUUCUUAUCACAAUAACAAACCACGUCGGUGUUAAUAAAUUUUAGACGUUGUAAAUUGUAAUAGACGACUAAGUUGUUAAAAUGACGUCGUUUAAAUGAGAAACCAUGGCGGAUAUUUAACUAUCCGACAUAAAAUAUAUAUUCCACGACUUAACCGCUGUCGUUACAAAGUACUACCCUGAACCCUUAAGAAAUUGAAGACGUUGUAAACCAUAAACGACUCAAUUGUUCAAAGAACGUCGUCUAAAUAUCCUUUUACGUCGGAUUUGGUUAAAACGAAACAACAAAAAACGACGGCUUUUGACUUUAUUACGUCGUUGGAAAAGUAUUACACGUCGGUUACGCAAUUUGUAUGUUUGUUUUUUUUUUUAAUUUAAGAAAACCUCAACAAAUUUUUACAUUAUAUAUUAUAGACAAAAUUUGUACAUUAUACAUAAAUAUCAAGUGUUCAAUAAUUCCCCUAUUCCAGGUGAAGGCAAACAAACUCUGACCAUUCAUUCCGGACUUCAUCAAUUGCUUCUUGGGGGUAUGGCGCUUCCUGUUUUCCCUUGGCAUACUGCAUAAACAAUGACUAUUAGGGUUUAUAAAUAAAAAGAAAUUCAAUCACAGACGACGAUAUUUUUCAUAACCGACGUACUAUAUCUAUUCAACGACGGUAAUUUUACAUGACCGUCGUUGAUAAUACAAAAAACGACGUAAAAUGUAUGAAGGUAAUUUCUUCUUACCUUCUUCUCAAACCCCAAGGAAGGAUCCAUGAUGAUGUCCCUCAUGAAGCGCAUCACAUAAUACCCGCAUUCGACAUUGCUGGGUUGCUUUGGUGUCCCUGACAGAGUUUUCCAAAUGGCUGCCUUACGGCCUGGUCUGGCUAUGUGAGAAUUAUAAAUUUUUAUAGCACUGUUCACAAUGUUUUUGGCCUCUUCAUCGACCACACGAUUUCCUGGCAGAGGAUCCAGAAAAUAGACGGUUUCUCUCUUUGCUCUUACAAUCAGCAAGAUCCAAUGACGGCUGCACAAAAUUAAUAUAAAAACGACGGUUAUUUACAAUAACGACGUAUUAUAAUGUUUCACACGACGAAAUAAAGUAGCAAUCGACGACAUUUUACAUUUAUCACGACGAUAAAUAACUACCGACGUGGUUAGUAGUUUCAAACGACUCAAUAAAAUAAAACACCGACGUGGUUAGUUUAUACGCUGUAAUUUAUUGAAAAUCAUAAAAACAAAAUCCUGUUAAGGAGACUAACCCUGGAUUGUAAGGCAUCAGGAAAAUCUGUUCACCGUCAGUCUUUUGAAGUCGAGCUGCUAGUAAGCGUGAUCUGUCAGCUAUUGUGCCAGAGUUGGCACUAACUGUAGCAAGGUCGAUAAAGCCAACCAUAUUGCACAUAUUUGCUCGUUUCAAAACAUCGUGCAAGUGCCUAAAUAUAUAAAAUAAUAUAAACAAGUCAGCACAAAAAAACACACGACGGUUAUGUAUAACAAAACGACGUAUUAUAAAAUUUCACACGACGUACUGAAAUAGACAACGACGUUAUAAUAUAUUUAUCACGACGGUAAAUACUAACGACGUGGUUAGUUAGUUAAGACGACGUAAUAAAUAAACCAACGACGUAUUAUUUUAGAAUGACAAACCUCAUAUAUACAAAAAAACACGACGGUUAUGUAUAACAAAACGACGUAUUAUAAAAUUUCACACGACAUACUGAAAUAGACAACGACGUUAUGAUAUACUAACGACGUGGUUAGUUGGUUAAGACGACGCAAUAAAUACACCAACGACGUAUUAUUUUAGAAUGACAAACCUCAUAUAUACAGCAAUGACAGUGGCUCCUAUUUCUUCCAUGCCUGCAAAUUGUGUAAUAUCUUCAGGCAGGAGGAAGGUAUCGCGCUCUAGACCAAACACCUCCUUAUCAAUUGUAAAGUGCAGGGUCUUAUCCUGAGGCACGAGUGUCGUUUCCACAUAACGACAAAGGGAGUUUAAAGAAGAUGGCGCCUCCAUAUUUGAAUAAUCAACAACUUUAAUAACCUGUUUAAAGAAAUAUAAAAAAUGACGUGGUAAUUCAAUAAAAACGACGGUUUAAGGAAUAAAACGUCGUCUGAAAAGAAUUUAAACGUCGUCUGAAGAAACCGUCGUGGUGAAUAAUUUAUUACGUCUUAAAAAAAAUUCCGCCGUCUAAGUUGUAAACAAACGACGGUUUAAAGAAAAAUAUCGACGUCUGGAAUUUUGAAAAACAAAUAAAAAAGGCAAAGUUAUGUGAACAUACCUGGUCGUCAUCUUCUUUCUCCUUUUCAUCAUGUUUUUCUUCUGUCUUCCCUUCAUCUAUUACGUCGAGAAUGACUAACUCCGUCGUCUAAAAACCACAAAGUUUUAAAAUAACGACGUUUAAUGGCGUGUAAAACAAGUAAACUAAAUACGACGUGGUAUUGAAAUACAAACGACGGUUUAUGUUUAAAAUCGUGGUGGUAUGUAUUUCAAACGACGGUUUUAUUAAUAAUAACGACAUCUAAUGGUUUUUAAAAAAACAGAGAAUUCAAAGUUCAGAUAUGUUACCUUUUCUUCCUGAUGUUUCCCAUUUUUGGCAGUAUCAUCCUCAAAAUGCUGGGAUCUCACAUCACCUCCAGAGCAGCUUGCUUUGUCAGACAUUGGAUUUUUGGGACUUUGGCUAAUUCUGGGUUUAAGCAUGCUUGGAUCAAAAUUGGGAAUUAAUUGGGAAAGCUGACUCAGGAAAUGCUCCCUCUCAGCCUCUACCAAUUGUUUCGUUCUAGCCUCCAUCCUUAAAGCCUCUUCCCUUGCCUUAGCUUCCAUCUUUUUAGUCUCUUCUUGAAGGAGAACUCUUAAACUGUCCUUCAAACGGUCGUCAAAGCUCACUCUCUGUGGUUUGGGUAAAUUGAAAUAUUGCCUUGGUGAGAUCCCAGCACCUACUCCUCUCACUCUGCCUGGAUGCUCGGGGCCCAAAGCCAUGGUCAGCACAUCAUUGCUGCCAGAAACAGUGACUUUGCCUUCCGAGACUUGUUUUUGCAAUUCAUCCUAAAACAAAGAUAUAUAAAAAAGUAAGAACAAAAACACACGACGGUUAUUUAUAUACAAACGACGUAUUAUAUAAUUUCACACGACGCAAUAACAUAUAAAUCGACGUUAUUAUAAUUUAUCACGACGGUAGUUUUUAAACCGACGUGGUUAGUUUUUAAAACGACGAAAUGAAUAAACCACCGACGUCUUAUGCUUUAUUUACAGAUAACAGAGGGAUGAUUCAAUAUUCACACCUUUAACGACCUUGUUUAAAAUAUUUCGACGUAGUAAUUCAAUACAAACGACGCGAAAAUGAACCACCGACAUCUUAUGCUAUAAUUACAGAAAACAGAGUAGUGAUUCCUGAUUUAGACCUUUAACGAUGUGGUAAUAUCAUUCACACGACGCAAAAUAUAACAUAAGACGUAAUAAGAAUUAUUCACAGUUUAAUAAAAAUUUAAAACAGAGUGAGUAGGCUUACAAUUAAUUUUGCUUUCUCUGCCACCUUUGGAUCCGGGAUGUUACCAUGUUUGUCCUGUCUAGCUCUCUUCCAUAAGGUAGAUCGAUCAAUUUCUACCCCAGGCAUGGUUUCCUCCAAUUGAUCCUCCAAACCAGCAUAUCCUUUUCGAGACAAUCGAUGAUUGUACUCAAGUUUCUCCCUAAUCUGUGCAUGUUGAGAAUGCACAGACUCAAAAUCUUUGGAUAACCUUGAAGCUACAAAGGCAUCCCAUUGUGCUUUCUCUAUGAAUUUAUAUAUUUCAGGGGGUUGGCUUAAUCUCUCCCUGUCAUUAGUGUAUGGAAGGAUAUAUUGCCUCGUUAGUGUAGACUUGAAAUCCUUCCAUUUCUUGGCAGCAGAAGCUAACACAGAGCUCUUGCCCCCUUGACCUACCACAAAAGCAAUGUCAACUGCUUCCCAAAUCUGCUCCUUUAUAUCCUUGGAGAUUUGAGCCUAUUUCAUGUCCACAAGUGGAACUCUGGAGCGUGCCAACACACCAAUGUAGGACUGCAUCUCACUAUGUGCUUGGCCAAUUCCUUUCCCCCUUUUAUUGUACUCAACAAUUGGCCUCAGUUUCUGAAGUUUUCUCUUCACAACAUGAGGCAUUGUGCUCAUACCUCGACCAGACUUUGAAUCAUCAGAGAUUGUUGUCGUGCUGGUUCGUUCUGUCUCAGCAGAUGAUGAAGCAAACUUCAUCUUCUUCGAAGGCUUCACUUGAGGAGGUACCAUUCCAAGGUCCUUACCUCCAUUUUUCUUGGAGCCAGAAUCCUUACUUUGGUCUUAGUGAGAAACCAUUUUUACAGACAAAACUGCAAGUGAAAAUAUUUCAGGAAAAGAUUAAGAACACAAACGACAGUUAUUAAUAAAAUACGACGUAUGAUAUGAUUUUAAACGACGCAAUGAAAUAAUCUCAGACGUAAUAAAUGUUUAAAACCAAGGUAAUUAAACAACGACGAAAUAAUUAACUAUAAACGACGUGAUAAUUAACUAUAAACGACGAAAUAUUUAUAUAACGUCGUGGUAUUGAUGUUCACACGACGUCAGUCGUAAUAUACCGUCGUCUAUAUAAGGAUCCAAAACCCUUCUUUCUUUCUCUGUGAAUGUUUGAUUGCAGAUUUGAUUUUUCUGAACCAUGGUUUUUGUUUUCUAAUUUGAUAAAAUACAAGGCCAAGAAAGAAAGUUUUGGAAUCUUAUAUAGACGACGGUAUUUUAAUAUGACGUCGUGGUAUUAACAUUCACACGACGUAAAACAAUAAGAUACUGUCGUCUAUAUUAGAUACCAACCCUACUUUCUUUUUCUUUAUAUUUUAUCAAAUUAGGGAAAAACAAAAACCAUUGUUCAGAGAAAUCAAACCUGCAAUUAAACAAGCAAAUAAAAAAAAGACUAUAAUUUUAAAAACAACUUUGUCAAUUUUCAGACGACGCUAGAACGACUGACGAACCGUCGUGGUCUACAUAUUUAACCACGUACAUAAGAAGCUACCGUCGUCUUAUUUAGUUGAGGUAGUUGUCUUCAAAGUUGGAAACUUUCCCUCUUUGUCUGUAUAUUUUAUUGAACUUGGAAAGAAGUAAAAUGAUUUUGGCCAGAAAAAAGGUAAAAAGAUUUUUCAAACAAAAAACGUAUGAGCAUGCAAAACAACAACCAAAAUAGUGAAAAUGAAAGCUUACCUUUUGCGUGCAAUGAAAGCAAGAGGAAGAUUAUGUUUAAGUUCAGAGACGACGAAGAAGAAGAGAGGAAGACGAUGAGAUACUCUGACAGUGCUCUGACAAGGAAAAAAGUCUAAAAGUUUUCUCUGGGAGAUUGAACUUUUUAAUCGGGUUUGAAAACGGCGCAUGUGUAUGUCAGGUAGACGAAAAGUUGCUUACAUAUAAAACCAUUUCAAAAAAAUAAUACGGCGGUUACAUAUAACUACGACGUAUAAAUUACAAAAUACGACGGUACAUUUAACUUCGGACGUGGUAAAUAAAUACGACAGUAGUGUUGUAGGUACCGUCGUAGUAAACUCAAAAAUUAAAGUACAUAAGUAAUAACUCGCGUCAUGGUAGAUUAUUUAACACGUCGUUUUUAUUAAUUUACCGACGUGGAUUUCUGUAAUAUACGUCGAUAAUACCGACGUUGAUUUUACAAUUUAAACGGCGGUUUUUUUGUAAGGACCGCCGUUGGUUUUAAAAAUUUAUUCUAUAAAUUUGUCGCUUUCAUUCAUUUUCGGUUUACAUUUAAGGUUCCAAGUUCUUCCUCUCUCAGUCUCUCACGUCUCAAAGACAAUAAUUUGGAUGUCUUUCUCAAAGAGAAAUUGAGCUUACUCGCAUCAAAUAUAUGUCCACAAGAAGAAGCUUGUCAACUAGCCUUCUCACUUCCUUGAUCAAGCCUGAUAGGACACUUAGUGCUUCUGAAUACUCCUUGCUUUCCAUCAAAAGAGAUGCAAGCCUGGCCUCCACUCGCUGUCGAAGGAAAGUUCGCUUCUCAGGGAAAUCUUCUUGAUUUUCUUGGCUAAGAAGAUCCGUCAGAUUUGUGAUAGCCUCUUCCUUUAUCCGUAGAGCUUCAGAAGAAGAAGAUGGGUUUCAAGAAUGCGAUAAAGAAUAGAAAUGGCUUCAGAUGGCCUCUAAAGCAUGAGCAAUCGAAUCAGUAGUUGUUGGGAGAUAUGAUGAAGACAUUGUCAAUGCUUUGAACUAUACAAGUCCUGCAGAAAGAUAAAGGACCAAACUGUUAAAGAAACUGAAACAAUGGCGGUUUUCUGUUCUACCGUCGUCUUUUCUCGUCGUCUAUAUUAAGGUAAGAUGGCGGUAGAUUUAUAAUUACCGACGUAGAUUAUUUUGUUAAACGUCGUUAAGUGUACUACAACCGACGUGGAUUUUAUUUUUAAAUUAUAAAUAGAGUUUUUUUUCCCCUAUUCUUUCAGUUUUAGUUUUCAAUUACAAAGCGUGAUAAAUAGAUUUUUCUUUCCCGAGGAAAUUUAAAAUGAGGGAAAUUAAUGUUCUAGAAUUUGUAAACUAACACGACGCAAUAUUUGCAAAUCUGUGUCAUCUGUUAAGAUUAUGAUGUGGAACAGAGUUCCAUCUGGUAAGAUUUCGUAACCCUUGGGAUCUCAGACAAAUCUGAUUAUGUCGGCGGUUUUCUAUAUAAAUCGUCGUGGUUAUUUCAAUUCUUGUCAUUAAGUAGAUCUACCGACGUAGGAUAAGAAAAUCAAAGAAAAAAAUUGUUAACAAAAAUUCUUAUUAAGACGACGGUUAAAAUUAAAGGUACGACGUAUAAAAUGAAUAAAUACGACGUUAAAUUUUAUUGUACGAUUUAAAGAUAACGUCGUAGAACUAUAAGAGAAUGACGUCGAUAUAUUUAUAUUUUCCGUCGUUGUACAUUAAUUUAAUACGGCGAUAUUUUGUAUUUUAAAGCCGUGGAUUUGUUUGUAAUUAUACGGCGUCUUAUACGAAAACCUCGUCGUGUUAUUUUAUGAGUAAAAACGGCAGUUUUUAUUGAAAUCGUCGUCUUUACUUUCUACGUCGGUCGAUUCAUAACUUCUGCCGUUCUUUGUUGGCAUUGAUUUUACACUGCGAAAAUCUGUUUCAAAUAGACGUCGGUUGUUUAAUUAUGUACGUUGUUGUUUUUGAACAGCCAUUUGAAUCUCCAUUUUUUAGUUGUCUAAGGUUGUAUUACACGACGGUGUUUUUAGAACCGUCGUCUUUUUAAAAACCACGACGGUUUUCACUUAGACCGUCGUUGUUUUCUGGUCGUCUUUUUCACUUUUUGUAGUAGUGGCAUAUGAUGACGACACUCACAACAAGAUCAUGGCAUUUGACUCGAGUUGUAUGAUUCUCUCUUAAGUGUAUGUAAAGUGUAUGACAUUUACAUCAAUACGUGUAUUCUUAAUUGAAAUCUACUAUGGCAUUUACUCAAAUUAACAAUCAAGAAUCCAUUAAGAUCAAAGAGAAUAUGAGUGUCACAAAAACCCUAAAACAUGGCAUUUGUUAUUAGGAAUUCAAGAAUCGAUUUCUCAUAACUAGUUCUUAACCCAAUUAUUCGUUGCAAAUAAGAACACAUUCAAUAUGGCAAUUGACCUAUGUUCUACAACAAUUUAAUUCCAAUACAUGCUUCUAAGUUAGCUACUCAAAGAAACAAAAUAUCAGAAUUCACAUAACAUAUAGAAACCGAAAACAUCACGCUUGUAGAAACUAAAAAUCCAUUAACCUUGUUUAUAAAAUUGAAAUCAUGUUUAGGGCUUCAAGAUUAAGCCCUAACUAACAAGAAAUUAGUUACUCAUGGUCUUGGAUGAACUCAAAAAUAAAUACAUAAGAACUGAAAAUUAAAGAAGGAAGGAAAAGAAAGAACUCGUUCGCAGCUUUCUCCUCUUGCGCUGUUGAUCUCUUUAGGACGUGAAUCCUUUUUAUCAGCCUUGCCUCGUCUUUUAUAUCACUUAUAUCAGAGUUCUAAACCCUAAAAUUGACUGAAAAGUCGUCCAAGAAGUCUUGGUAAACAAGGAAUCCAAAUAGGAAAGUAAAAAUCACAAUUCCUAACUCCACUGGGAAAUACAGCUCAGCCCAAUGUUCACACGAUUUUGGGAUCUUCGACCUUGUAGAAAAAUCAUUAAAAAUAUAUUUUAGAAAGAUAAAUGUCUUAUCUUUCCAACCAUAUAUAGCACGUAACUUGAAAAAUUCGGAAAGGCUUCCGUUUCUUCACAUUCACGUAGCAUGUACGAAACUGUCCUGUCUGCACGUGGGCUAACUUUACUUGUAAUACUGUACCAAUUGGCUCGGUAGAAAAUUCUAGAAAAAUCAUAGAUUGAACUUCAAGAUGUUAGCUUUCAUCUCCAAUCAGGGGCGGCCUUGGGGAGGUGCAAGUGGCGCCACCGCACAGGGCCCCCGAAAAAAAAAAUAUUUAUAUUAUAUAUAUAUAUUAAUAUUAUAUGAAUCGUAUAUAUAAUAUAGCGUCUGGAUAUUUGCACAACAGCGUGUUCAGGGGAGUUGGAUGGAGCACAUCUCUCUUUGGCAAAAGGGCCCGAGUUCGAUGCUCCUUGAUGUCGUUCUACUGGCUAGCCUUUUGUGAUAUUAUUUUUGCAUUCAAACUUUACAUAAUUAUUGAACCAUUGGAUUAAUAUGCAACGAUGGGUGACCACAAUCUCUUGGACUCCUGUGGUCCAUGAGAUCGGGACUGAUAUUACAUGACUUAUUUUAUUAAAUUAUUAUCAUGUUGAUGAUUGGUUGUAUGAGAAUAUAGUUUGUAGAAAUAUUUAUCUAUUUCUUGUUGGGGUUUUCUUCCAGGUUAUAGGGUUUUGGAAUUUUUCUUUGUAAUCUAAACAUGCCACCUACUAGAAAAUACGUUUAUGGAUAUACAAAACGGCUUAGAAAAAGAAAAUUCGAGGAAUUGACUCAAUCUCAAAGAGGAGCUCUUGAUAGAUUCAUUGUUAGAGAAUCACAUGCUACAAUUGAUGAAAAUAUUUAAAUUUUUAUGAAUUUAAUUUCUGAUUUUCAUUGCAUAUUUAUUGAUGGUGAAUUUUAGUUAUAAAAAAAAAUUGUUUAUGACAUUAAGUUAUGGCAAAUUUUUAUAGUAUUUUCGUAUUAGAUUAUGCAAGGCCCCAAUUUAAGUUUCGCACAGGGCCCUCAAAAUCUCAGGGACGGCCCUGUCUCCAAUUGGUCUUGUGCUAAAAUUCCUCCGAAAAGUUGAUUUUCCCUUAAAAACCUUCUAAGAGUGCAGAAAAGCUGAAAAUCAGAAAAAUAAAGUAAUAAGCCAUUUUUAAAUCUAAUUCUCUUACAAAACCAAAGUAAAAAGAGUACAUAAAUGAGUAUAUUUAUGGACUUAUCAACGUCUUCUUCGUUGGACUUGGGGUUGUUUUCCUUAUAUGUCCCCUAUAUAUAUAUAUGGCCUUUAGUUGAGCCCACAAAUACCUUCAGUUAGUUUUUGGGUUUAGGGGCCUACAGAACCUGCACUAAACAAUAAAAGAAAAUACCUAAUUAGUUUAGUACGAAUUUAUAAUGAAGGCUUUAUUAGGUGAAGUUUUAUUUCUUAAUCGUUAGAUCAAAUUGGUUAGCAUCUGAAGUCGCCCAAAGAUUUGAGAGGGAUUCCACAAACAUAUAAUAUAAAGAAAGAAAGCAAUAGUAGGAGAUGAACCAGUACAAAAAACAAUAUAUAAAUAGUACAUAAUAAUUCCAUAACCUUGUCACAAACGCACUCACAAAUGCUUUCCAUAAACCUUGCCCUAACAUAUAACAAAUAAAGGCAACAUUGCAUAUGAUGCAACCAUGUCCAAAUCUGAUACGUGAUAAAAAAAAAAGGACAUGGCAGCAACAUAUGACUGAAGUAGAUGGGCUCUUUGCAUCUCGUGUUAUCGUAAUUAAAGACAUCAAAAUAUUAAGGUUGAAAUCUUCUAUAGUAGCAAGCAUUAAAAUAGGUUUGAAGCAGAGUUUAAAGAAAAUUCCAAUUCCACUGAUUUGCCUCUGCUCAAAGACGAGAACCAAAAUGGUUACUUCCCUUGCUGAGUAUAUUUGUUAACGUCGGAAACGGUAAUAGAUGACCAAUCAAACCCAAGUACGACGAGUUUUGCAUAGGAUCAGAAGUAGUUGAAUCCAGCUUGCAUCACACGCUUCUUUGACUCCAUUGCAUUAGAUGAGUUUUUGUAUUUUUGAACAGCUACACUCCGAAGUCGUUUGUGUCUACGCUUCAUGCGCUGCAACUUCGCCCUAUCCAGAUUGGCCUGCCUUUUGUCAUCUUCAAUUUGGCCUUCAACAAAUUCCAAACGUGCCCUUGCCCUUUGGAUUUCAUCACCAAGUUGAAGAUGCCUCUCCUUCCAAAAAGCAAGAACUCUUUCAGACUCAAAACUUCCAACAAAAUGGUCAUUCUAUCUAGGAAUGUGACAUUGCUUGUCUGGUGACUCACCUGCGUUUCAAAGGCGGUCUUUGUUUGGAGGGGUGUUUAUUAUGCUCACAUCAAACUUGGUUAGUAAAUCCAUUCUAUGGGGGGAGUGAGUUUCUGUGGAGGAGAGAGUUUCAGUAGAUGGAGACAGAUUCGGUGGAGGAGUGAGAUUUUUGUGGAGGGAGAAUUUCUAUGAAAUGGGUGAUAGUAAUACCAAUAAAAGGGUUCCCGCCAAAAAGUAUUUGGUUGACAAUGUAUAAAUUAAUUUUUGGUCUGAUACAAUCUAAGUUUAAUCCUAACUAGUUUGGUUAGUUUGGUUGAAUUCACUAACUAGAUGUCACUUCCAUUGAGUUUCUUUCAACCACUAUCAGUGGUGUAAGGAGAGUGUGAGGUUGACAUGCUUGAAAAGCAAAACCUAACACCUCUUUUUUUUAAAAUUGAAAGAAAGUACAUAUGUUGACUACACACAAGCUUUGGUAUGUUGGUCUAUAAAGCUAUGUUCCCUUUCUCAAACGAAAUUGCAUAUGCAAUCCUCGUCCUCCCAAAACAAAUAGAAUUAUUCAAGCAUGUCAACCUCUUCAGGCGCCAACAACACAAUCAAAGAUGACAAAUUGGAGUCGCAGGUUCUAUUUCCACAUUGUACUCGCCGACCCCUUCCAUUUUCAACAUCAUUUGGGAGUGAGGGGGACUCCGAUGAUCCAUUAGAGCUAAUACAUGCAGUCAAUAGCAAGCUGGAUUAUAAUUCCAGACUGAUCAAUUCAUGGCGCGAGAAAUAUGUUGAAGACGAAGCCAUUUUGGCUGAUCUUAACAUUAGAGUGAACAAAGCGUUCUCCCAAAAGAACAAGUACUUGAAGCUGAGUCAUAAAAGGAAGCUGAAAGCUGAGGAGUUAGAUACAGUAAUGAAUGAUGAAAUUAAAGGUUGUUUGAUGAAUCAUAUGCGAUGCGAAGAGCACCACAGUGAACUGGAGUUGGCAUUCAACGAAGGAUUCGAAAAAUUACGAGCAUUUGCAGCAACUACUCAUACAAGUUAUAAUUGGGACUAUGUGUCCCCUGAUGUUGUGAGAGAGAUACUAGACGAUGGUGGUGACAUGAAUGAGCAUAAGCACGUCAAAGCUGCUUGGAAGAAGCCGACCGAUACGACUAAGUGAUUGCGGCUACAGUUGUUCAGUUGGUUGAGAGUGAUCGUGGUAUUGCACAAAUUAGAAGUAUAUUCCCAUAAUGUCAUUAUCUAAUUUAAAAUAACACAAAUAUCAGUUUCAUUUGCUUCAUAUUGUAACACCCCGACCCCAAAUUUCCCCAAAAUUUACCCUCAUUUAAUUAAUUAAUUAUUUAAGGGUAUUUUAGUCAUAUUUUUAACCGGAGAGAGUUUGGGACCAUGACUUGUAUUUUUGGAUAGGUCGUACUGAGACGAGUUCAUAGACACGUAGUGGGCUCGAAUCAGAGUUGUAACGAGAGAGAUAUGGUCAAAAGAAACCCAGUGGCACAAUCGUAAAUAUUUCAAAAUGGGAUUUUUAUAAAAAUCUGGUUUUUCUCUCUCUCUCUCUCUCUCUCUCUCUCUCUCCCGCGACUUCUCUCUCUCUCCCGUCGGCUCUCUCUCUUUCUCUCCUUGUAUCUCCGGCCACCGACCACGGCUGUGGGCGGGGCCGGUACCAAACUGACCGGGACGACGUCCCCUUCCUUCCCCGACCAUUCCCCGCCGGCAACGCGGCCGUUGCUGGCCGGAAAAUGCAGAAAACCGCCGGGAGGUCGUCGAAACUUCAACGCCGUCGAUCUCCCUCCUCCGGCCACCAUUUUCGUCGACCCAGGUAUGGAUCUUGAACCUCUCGAGCUGUUCUAGCUGUUUGUUGGUUGGGUUUUGAUCGAUUCGAUCUCUAGAUCACUCGAUUUUCGAAUUGAAAAUUGGCCGAAACUUCGGCCGCCGUGAUCGGCCAUUUUCGGCCACUUUUUGUGGUAGGUCCAAGAACAAAAGUGGCUCCAAAUAGGGUGUUAUACCUAGGGUAGAAGUUUGGAGCCGAGAUGUUGAGAUUUUCCGGCGAAGCGUUAUCGCUUUGGGCACCCACGCGUGCGGCGGCGCGUGGGCACUGUAGAAAAAGUAGAUGUGUUCCGAUGAGAUCCUUAGGUUGUCACGAGUGCGUAGGAUUUGGCGGAUCUCAAUUCGGACGUCGUUUGACUAUCGAACGGAUAAUCGCAUAUUAUGCGUUAUCCGGGUUCGAUAGGUUGAGACCGUCGGAUGGUCCCAAAUUUAAUAUAUGUUGAUCUAGGUAUUUCUAGGAUCGUGUAGGAUUUCACGGAUCGUGAAUCGGAGCCCCGGAUGUUCCGAAUAAUAAUUUAAAGUUUAUAUUUUAUAUUAACCAUCAGAUUAUGCGAUCGUGAGAAAUCCGACCGUCUGAUCUGAACCAAACUGGCAGGAAAAGUGUCCUGUACCUGGUAGAACCCAUAGGGACCUUCGGAUCGGAAAUUGGAGGUCGUGGGUUCCGCAAGUCUGUUUGACCAGGGUUAGAGUAGUUUGACCCUUGGUUGACCGUGAGUCUCCCGGAGUAAUCUCACCCUUCCAGGGGGAAUUAUCGGGAGCUAGACUAUUGUGGAGGGUUACACAAUAUUAGAAUUAUUUAUAUAAUUAUAUAUGGUUGUACAAGGGUACAACAAAGUCUAGAAUGUCAGUUUGGAGUGCUAUACGCACUACUUUAGGUACCUCCUCGGAUUUUGGAUUCGCUACAAGCACCACCAAGUGAAAGUUAGGUCCCGCGUGGCGUAGGUUAUCCGGCGUUGGGACAGACCCCAUACGUGGCGUUGGUUGUACCGGCGUAUGGGGAGAUUUGCAAUAUGAUGUUCAGGUCUCACGUGGCGUAGGUUAUCCGGCGUUGAGACAGGCCCCGUACGUGGCGUUGGUUGUACCAGCGUACGGGGAGAUUAUGUGAUAUGAUGUUGAGGUCCCGCGUGGCGUAGGUUAUCCGGCGUUGGGACAGGCCCCAUACGUGGCGUUGGUUGUACCGGCGUAUGGGGAGUUAUAUGAUAUGAUAGUAUGGCAUGGUCGCACAUGGCGUAGGUUAUCCGGCGUGUUGACAGGCCCCAUACGUGGCGUUGGUUGUAUCGGCGUAUGGGGAGAAUAUGUGAAAUGCAGAGAAAGGAAAUAAGGUAUCACCGAUGUGUGGAAUUGGGUUUUAGGGAAGAACUACGUGUGGCUUGAUCCCUCAAGGAGGGUACGUAGGCAGCCUAAGGUUAUUGGGUGCAGCCGCAGACUAAAUAUUAGUCAUAUUUGGUAUUUGAAUUGUAUGGUAGUUGUUUGAGAAUUAUUGGAAGGCCAAAGGCCAUUUAUGAGAAUUUGCAUGAAAUUAUAUUGUGCAUGCUGCUAGUUGUGGAUAUUAAAUGUGUUUUUAUGCAGGUUGAAAUUUUGGGAAAUGUCCAAUUUAUAGGGGAGACUCUGCUGAAAUUUCGGCAGGAAGUCUCGGUUUUUAGUAAGUGGGCCUGGCAUCGGGGUGAUGUCAGGAAUUCCAAAGGGUUCGUCUCGGGUUUUGAGAAAAUUCGGGGCGGGUCCUUAAACAUAUAUAAUUAUUGGGACUAUGUAUUGCAAGUCAUCAUGUGUUCCUUCUGUCUAACAUUAUAUUUUGCAAAUAUCAAAAUAUUAUUCAAUAAGCAGUCAAUAUCACAGCAAGUUGGGAAUUAGUAAAGCCCCAUUAUCAUGUCCGUUCACAUUAAAGAGCUGGCGUACUUUUUCUCAAAAAACUGACACGUGAGUCAUAAGUAACAUAACAUGUGCUAUACAUUGUUUAGUGAAUGGUUUAUGGUUUAUUUAUAUAUAAUAAAAUUCCAAAUAUUGCUGAAUAUUUGUUUUUUCUAUAUCCCUGGGAACAUGAGUGACCAUAAGCAUGUAAGACCUGUUAAGAAGAAGCUGACUAAUACGACCGAGUGAUUGUGGCUACCGUUGUUUAGUUGGUUGGGGAGAUCGUGGUAUUGCUAAGAGGGAGCACAUAAUGUGCUUUGCAAUCAAAUUUUCUUUUGUGUGUGGAAUUAUGAGUAGUUCAAAUGUUAGUGUACCCUUUAAUAUUCUUCAACCGUUUGAAAUGUGAUUAGCUGCAAUGUACUUUUUUACACGCUGCUUUCUAAUCACUCUGUUCCAACAAAGUGCUUUAAGUAUCCUUCAGUUACAAAUGUUUACAAAAUCGUGCAUCUAAUAACCAGUCGAGCUCAGAUCUUAAUAACAAGUAAAACACUAGAACAUAACAUUCGGAAAAAGUGGGUGCUGCUGGAAAUCAUUACUGGUAAUGGAAGCAAGAGCUGGCUGCUGGAAAUGCUGCAUUAGCCUGUGAUAUAAUCAAUGAAUCUCUGUUAAAACAUAAUUCACCAUAAACUACCCAUUUUACAUGGUAAAAGUCAUUGCUUCUUCACAUAACUCAAAAUUUGAUACUUUAUCAAAUGUCUAUGAAAAUUUCUAAAUAGGGGAAAGACGUAAAAUUAACAUGUGUCCAAAUUUCAUGCAAGAAUGAAACCAAGCAAAUUUUUAUUUCAAUUAUCAGUGGACAUAGUAAGAACUCAUCGGUGGACAUGAACAAAAAAAUAAUAAUAUUAAAAACUGAAUCUAGAAAACUUCACCUGAUCAUUAGUCUUCAUAACAACCGAAUUUCGUCUAAUAGAAACAUAAAUCAUUCAGUUGGUCCGUGCAUCGUGUCAAAUUCAUAGAAUAAUGGGUCACUACGAUCUAUUGGAGUUGAUUCGUCAUUGUUCGACGGUGAUGUCCUGCAUAGACAUCAAACACAAGCACAGAAAAAAUUUACCUAUUCAAAUUUUAGGUGUUAUUAUAAAUAGUGUUAGCAUCUUACGGUGUGUUCAAAUUUCUUGCGCAUUGUCUUCUAUCAUGACCAAUGUGUCCACACUCCAGACAGUGUCUAAUCCCUCGCUUCAUUGCCUUUUCUUUUGCUCCCGUUACUCGUUUCGACCUUCUUUUGCACCUCACUCUCUUAGGGUCUUUCAUAUAUUGUGUUUGAGAGCUGGACCCUCCAACUUCGUUAUUACUUGGUCCAUCCUUCAACAACUUCAACUUCACCUGCAAACUUUUUAGAGUCUCUGACAGUAGCUCACAUCCUUCUUCACUCAUUAAUGCACCCUCAACCACAUCUUAAGCAAGUCGAGACAUUGUACUCCGCCUUAUUAAAAGACCAGGAUCUGCAGAGUCUUUAAUUUCGUUGCCAUUUGCAUCUGACACCAAUUCAGAUUUUGCAGUUUUCUUCCACCUCUUUAAAAUAUAUUUAUCGGGCAUAUAUUCAAUCUGGUCCCUUCUGAACAAUGCUAGGAUGUGCUUGCAAAUAAUUCCAACAAAUUCAAAUCUUUUGCACCCACACGAUGCGUGGUCAGAAUCUUUAACAUAUACGACGUCUGCCACUCUUGUUUCCCAAUUUUUCCUUUUGCUCACGCGAAAGACAACUUUAGAAGCACCCUCUGUUUUGAGCUCUAGGAAACAUGUUGUACUUUGUAUUAGUUCUUGGUCAAACUUUUGAAACAUUGUCCUUGUGUACAAGGUAGCCAUUUGUUUGUUCAUUGGCAUCGGUAGAAUACAUUGAGCCACUUCAAAUGCAUCUACGUGAUCAGCAACUAACUCUUUUUGACGUUGAUGAGAAAGUGCCCUCUCAAAUCGUAUUAUGAAAUCCAUCAACGAAUUUCUCCUUGAUAUGUAUUGCUUGAAAAAACCAUGAGAACCUUCCACUCUUUGGCUGCUUGACAUUCCAGCGGCAAAAAAUUGUUGUGCGUAGGCUGGAACCCAAGAUUCUCUUAAAUCAAACAUUGAACUUAGCCAUGGAUGGUCAGUCAAACCAGCCUUUGUAACCACAAUAUUCCAUUUUGUAACAAACUUAUCCUUAUUGUCAGUAUCCCAUACGGCUUUCUGAAAUUCACGCCAAUACUCCUUAUAAGCAGAAUGUGGUAACUUAACAGAGAACUUUGAUGUGAUGUGCAAUAUGCAAAGUCGAUGAAAUGUAGUCGGGAAGGGUAUUGAAAUCGCUCUGGUCAUUGCCGCAUCUUGAUCUGUAAUGAUCGUUUUAGGUCCGCCACUUGGCAUGGCUUUCUUAAACUCCUCAAACAUCCAAAUAAACGACUCAGUCGUUUCCUUGCUCAAAAAUGCGCAUGCUUAGACAAUUGUCUGACCAUGGUUAUUAACUCCCAACAUUGGUGCAAAUGUCAAGUCGUAUCGAUUCGUGUUGAAUGUGGUAUCGAAUACAACAACAUCUCCAUAAAACCCGUACGCCCAUCUAGAAGUUGCAUCUGCCCAAAAACAUUGACUAAACCUGUCAUGGCCAUCUCUCUCAAUCUUGAAAUAAAAAGCCUCAUUUUUUUUUUCUGUUCAGCCAUAAAAUACUCGGUCACUAGUUCAACAUCGUGGUUCCUCAACUUCCCAUUCACACUACAUUCAAAAUUGUAGAUAUCUUUUUUGAUAAAACCGAUUUUAUCCAUUCCUCCGGAUUGCACCUCGAAAAUACUUACCUUCUGAUGAAUGAGAAUAUUAACCGAACCCAACUGUUUUGUGAGUACUUUUGUAGAAUCUGAACUAUGACGGUGUGAUCUCAAUAAAUGCAUUCUUUCUGAGGGUGUCAUCUUAUGAUUGUGUCCCUCUGCAAAAAGAGAGAUGGUAUACUUCUUGCUCCCAUUUGUCUUCACAACCACAAUCUUAGCUUUGCAAUUGCAUCUACUUAUUCCCCGCUGUCUUUUUCUCUCCCGAGUUUCAUCUCUCCUGUAUUCACCUUGUUUGCAACAUACAAAUUCUUUCCUCAAAAUCUCUUUCUUAUUUCCCCCCCAAAAGCUGGAAUGAAGUCGAAUACCAAAGCCAGCCAAGAAUGCAUAUCUAUUAUAGAAAUUGUAAACGAGGUCAAGCAAGUCGAACUUCAUCCCAACUGCUGGUGUUUCCUCAUUUCUUACUUCAAGAAUGUAAACCCUCCCAUUAGCUGUUACACAGUCAUCACUCUCUGAGCCCCCAGACAUUUUAUCCACGUAUAUUAUUGAUCCACUUCUAUAUUAUUGCAUAGCAAAUAUUAAUUCAUUAAUAAAUCAUUACUGCAUCACAACAUAUCAAUGCAUUCCACUUACACAAAACAUUGCCCAAAUUGACACAAAACACGCAUAGCCUAACUUGUUGGAUUCCGAUUACACAAAACGCAAGCAAAAUUUAAUAAUAGUUACGUCAUCUCUUGUGAAAUAAUCUAGAAAAAAUAACAUUAGAACCAACAUGUUCAACUAAGAACACAAAUGCAAUUCAAACCAGCAAUCACAUAACUUCACCCAAUAUCCUCUCCAAAUGCUUACUCCUAAUGUCAUUAAGCCUAAGUUUAGGAUCUUUUACCUACAUUUCAUAAUUUUUCACCCCCACCAAAAAUAAUCAACUAAGUAUACUGAAUAUUCAUAAGGAAAUGACGCAUUAUUGAUGCCACAAAUGACGAAUUUCCUACCCUCACAAAAAACAAAUCAAACCCAAUUAAAUCAAUCCAGCAAGAGUGAACUUACCUCUCAAAAUCAAUCGGGAGCUCCGAAGUCAGUAAGCUUGAGAGAAUGUGGUGGACAUUAGAGAAGACUCUUUGGUAUUGGAGACUCCAUCUCUACCAAAAUCGAGGAACGAACUGCUGCUACGGCGUCUAGCUACAGAAAAAGAUAUGCUACUUUACUUUCAUCUGGAAUCUUGUUUGCUGAACGAAAAAGAGAAAGGGUUUUCACUUGAGCCAUAGAAUCAAAACAAGGCAACAUCUAGGUAAGAGCCAUUAAUCGUCAUAUCGAGGAUACCAUAGAUCGCAGGCCUCCCAAGGAGCUGAUGACAAUGGAGCGACUAUAGGGUUUGGGAGCUUUGGAUCCUUCUAAUUGUGGGUUUGCGUUACAUUCAAAAAAAGAGGAGUGUGUUGUUGAGUUUUUCACAUAGAGGGAAAGAGGGAAAGAUCUUCAACUGAAGUUGGGUUUCCAACGGGUCAAAUUUCAACCCGGUUCUACAUGCACCCUCUUUUAAAAACUCACCGUUGGAUUUCAUCCAACGGCUCGUACAUACCCCUCAAAAACACCCCUUAUAACUUUCCACUCACUAUAGAAGCUCUCCCCAGGAAAUGCUUCGAGGUAGAUUUUAUGUUUUGGGCCUUGGGACCCAACUUCACAAAAAGAAAACAAAUUUGACCAAAAAACAAAGUUGAAGGACAUUGAUAUUGUACCUGUAGGAUAGGUUAAAACACUAAAAGGAAGGUAAAUAGUACGUUUACAGAGUUUAAGUGUAAUAAAGGAAUAAAAACAUGCCCAGAGAAUUGAUAAGUGAUAUCAAUUCUUGAAUAUAUAGAACGUAAAAUAAAGGAAUACGUAGAAAAUUAUUUUAUGUGGUAAAACUCAAUCUAUGGGGCCACGGGACUUCUUAGUCCAAAAAAAAUCCAUUGAACGAUGAUUACAAGAAGUACUCACACACUUAUCCUAGACACAUUCUAGAUAAUUUUUACUAACAUCUUUGUAACUCAACUUCUGUCAUAGGAUGAUUUUUUGACACUCCUUAUGUUGAACGCAAUACUGGUCACGAUUUCUUCAAGCUCGCAGGAACUCUCCUUAUAUUGAAUAUGAUACUAGUCACGAUAGAUUCAAGCUCAUCGGAGAAAAACAGCCACAACGGUCUUGGUGCCCUCAAUGGUAUGAGUCACUGAACAUGCAAAUAAAUACAAUAUGAAUGAUAAAAGUGUUUGAUAAAUCACCAAGUUAUGGAACACUUGAUGAUUUAUCUCAAAUAAAAACUCAGCUUUCCAAAGUUUAUGAAUUGAAAAUAUGAUCGUUAAAGCUCUCUAAACAAAGAAGACGAAGAUCUUAUUUUAUAGAAUUUUUCUUUAUAAGAAAGAAAACACAUUGAAAACCAAAUCUCCAAGGCUUGACAGAAAAUCACAAAAGUAUCUUUCCUAUUCUAGAGAUUGGUCACAUGUAGUCCAACCAAUAGGACAUGAGAUAUUUAAGAAAUGAAGAUUUUGAUCAAUAUCAAUAUCAAAUGAAUUCUUAUACGCCUAGUCAACUAUUAAGGGUAUCUUGACUCCUUGAUAUUGUGAUAUGAUUGAAACAUGAUUUCCACGUUAGAAAAUUAAGGGGAUGUUAAAACAUGAAAGUAAUAGGAGAAUCAAAUUGAUUUCGGCCAAAAUUGCCUAAAAAGAAAACACUCCUAAAUAAACUCAAUUCACUUUUAAAAACAGUAAAACGUGAUUGAAUUGUUCUUUAAAACAAUUCCCUAAUAUACAUGCAUGAUAAUGACAUCACUUACCUCUGAAUCAAAUGCCUUUCAUAGGUCAAGCCACAAGUCUGUGUUUUGGGGAUUGCUGAGCUGCAUCAAUCCUGCCAAUGUCAAUGCUGCCCCUAUGCUCUCUCAAAGCACGUUUACAACCUAUGCUAACAUAUACCCUAAACCCUAGUAUCAAGAAAAUGCCAACACUAAUUUCGUAACACGUAGAAAUUGUUAGAGAUUGGAAGUUUUUUUUCUUCAAGUCUCUCCACCACUCACUAAUACAGAUUGCUCAUGUGAUGAGUUUACAAAACCUAUUUCUCUACUCUCACAAAGACUAUACUUCUUCUCAAAAGACUAUAUCACUUUACCUCUAUCUCUGUGAAAUGUAAAAAGUUGAAACUUUAAUGUCAAACCUCGACAAAAGAUGAACUUCCAUAAGUUACGUUGAAUUUGGAUUUGUUGAACUUAAGUGGUUUUACUUUUCUGUCAGUGUUUGAUGACUUAAUUUGGUAUUUACUUCUUCUUUUUUUCCUUGGAAAUGUGUUCCACCAACGUGAGGAAGAAAAAUAUGCACAAAUUAAUAUAUUUAAUAGAAGCCCAAGAUUUCGGAAGCACAUAAUUUCUACAAAAUUCUACAAAGUGUUCUACUUUACAAACUUCAUAUGUCUACCAAUUUUUACUAAAAUUAAUUUAUCUGCAGUGCUCAAAUUCAUCAUAUGUGUGUCCUUAAUUUUAGUGAAAAUUGGAAGUUUCCAUUAUUUUUGUUUUACGGGAAUUUUUUGAACCAAGGAAAAUCAAGUAAAAUUAAUAAAGCAUAAAUUGGAAAGGGAAAAUAUCUAGAGGAUGCAUUGUAGGAUUGCUCAUGCCAAUAAUUGUACCCUCUAAAUAUAUAGGGACAUAUUUUUUUUGCUCAUACCACUUGUUGCAGUACACAUUCACCCGUUUUCAAAGAAAGAAAUUCUACCAAUCGAUAAUGUCUCAAAUUUAAUCACAUAUUUUAUGGACCAUCCAGCUAUGAGGUUUUAUCUCAAAAACCUUCGGUACAUUUCUCCCACAUGCCACAAUUGUAUAUUCACAAUUACGUCUGAUACAUCACAUCAUGCCACUUGCCUCAAAUGAAUUUAAGUGAGUGAGGCAGUUGGAAGUAAUUAAGCUCUAUAUUGGUGGGUGGAGUGUUAGUUCUGGGUACCCCUCAUCAUUCGUCUAUAAAAUGGUGAAGCCAGUUGCUACUGUUACCAUAAGAGCCAGCUCCGACUUUCUUUAAUUUCUUGCUUCAUAUCCACUAGCUACAUCUGUUGCUCUUCUCAGUGUAAGCUCUGCAAUUUGAUUAACUUUCCCAUUAUCUCUCACUGUACUCUAUAUAAAGGAAUAAGUGUCGUCCAUUAAUUCUCUCCGAAAGUGUCGUCCUGAUUUUAAUUAGAGUUCGAAUUAAUGUUGCAGCUAGCAGCGGUUGCACUGGCAAACCAUGCUGCUCAACCGGUACCUCAACUUUACUGGAACUCCGUCCUGCCAAACACACAGAUGCCAAGAUCUAUCAGUGAACUUCUGCAUCCUGGUUUGUGUUUGAGCACUUUAGAAUCUUAGAUAUCUCUUCUACCUGCCAUUUUACUAAAAUAUGUUCAACCACAUAUUUAUCAGUUAACUACUGUCAUUACAUGAGUGACACAUAUUCACAAAUCGGCUGAUCACUUAUUUUCCAUUAUGACGUUGAUAUAUAAUGUUGGGAAUGGAAAGCCAAUUGACCACAAGGGAAAACCUGAAAAUACUGUACUACCACAGCUAGCACGAAGCCCAUUUUCUUACAAGAGUGAUGUGGGGACCAAAUCUCAUGUAUCAUAGCUUAACCCAUAUGCCACAACUAAAAGACGUGGGAUGAUCGAACAGCAUACCCACAUGGUCAUGGAUCUCUUCAGAUAAUCAAUAUUAAACAACCCAUAAACUUCUCCCUUUGAAGAACAAAUUAAAACCAAUUUCUAGAGGAAGGUUACAAAACAUUUUAGCCCGUGAAGAACAAAUCAAGACAAUAUAACCCAUUUGAUAACAAAAUCAAAAUGAGAUUUACCAAUACUAGAUGACCACGGCGCCAGUAUAAUGGUACGACGGCGGCGUUAUUGUAACGGUGGAGAAGUGGAUGGUAUGACGACGGUGUUAGUGUGACGGUGGAGGAAACGAUAUUAUGAAGGAGGCGUUGCUAUGUUCGGUGGAGGAGUCGUGUGUUUCACAGUUCAAUAUAUCCUUUUUAGUCAUUUUAUAUUAGGGUAAAUCAGUAAUUCAAUAAAUAAUUUGAUAGUAUGGUGUACUCAGUUAAUAUUAGGGUUCAUUUAACAGCACUCAAAUUAACUAGUGUAGAGUCUAUCUAUAUUAUUAAUACUAAAAAUAAAUAUAUGACUAAAUAACUCAAAAAAAAAAUAAAUCUACAAUCUUUUUUUUAAAAAAUUUUUUUUAUAGAAUUUUAUUAGAUUAAUAGGCACUACUAAAAAAUCUCCUUAUAAACUACAAAUACACGCAUAACUUAUACUAAUGUGAGCUACUGACACCACCUGCCACAUGACAGUUGUCCAAGCAUAGUGUUGUCAUUCAUUAUUCCCCACAGCAACUAACAUCCAAUAAAGGGUUGGGGCCCACCCAUACUCCACCUCUCUGUAUGUAGCUCUUUGAGAAUACAGAAGAAAUAUUUUUUAGGGAAAUAGCUUAAAAUGAUACCCAUUUCAUAAUUUUAAUUAAAAAUACCACCCCUUUCCAAUUUUUGUACAACUAUCACCUAUAAAUAUAAAAUUAUUGUCCACUUAUUGCUGAUUUUUCACAAGUUCAGAAAUUUUGGAAAGAAGAAGCUCACACAGCUCUCUCUCUCUCUCUCUCUCUCUCUCUCUCUCUCUAGCACAACUCUCUUUCUUUGGUAUCUGUCUAUCACAGCUCUCUGUGUCUCUCUUGGCUCUCUCUAUCUUGGCUCUCUCUCUCUCUAGCACAACUCUCUGUCUCUCUCUUUGCUCUCUUUCUCAUAGCGCAGCUGUUUCUCUCUCUAGCUUCGUUAUGUCUCUUUCUCCCCUAUUCGAUCUCUUGCUUUCUGUUUGGAAUCGCGAACCCCUCCCUUUAGCUAUGUCUUCUGAAUAGCUGCUUGCAACCUUGAAGCUCUAGUGGAUUGCCGACCUCGAAAAGGUAGUGUUGAUGGUUAUUUUCUUAAUAUCAGUGGGAUUAUGUGAAAUGGGUUAUAGUUUGAUUGUUUGGGUUUGUGUUAAAUUCGUUUUGGCUUUAAUUUCUUUGGGUUAGGUUUUGUUGAAUAUUCAUACUCAUUCAUCUGGGUUUGUACCAAUUGCAUUUAGAUUGGUCUGGAUAUGUGAAUCUUGAAACUUGGGAUUUUCUAUUUGAUGUAGUAGAUCUGUAUAGUGUGAUUCUGUUGUGUUCCUCUUAUUUUACAGUCGUAUUGCUGUUAUAUUGUCAUUAUAUUGCUUAUAUAUUGCUGUUAUAUUGUGGUUAUAUUGCUAUUGUAUUGUUUGGUUAUUGUGGUUAUAUUGUGUUAAUGAAAUGUUGUUUUGUCAUGGUCAGAAAUGGAGACAAUUGUUAUUCUCGUGUGCUACAAUGGAAAAUGGGUCACCUCGAAGAAGAUGUGCAAAUACGAAGGGGGUGACUCAAAAGGCUUAAUAGUUCCACGGACCAUCAAAUUUGUUGAACUGUUGGACCGUGUGCAUUAGAUUGGUAAUACAAACAGCAGGGAAGACAAGGUUUGCUUAAAAUUCUCAGUUUUGGUGGCCUCGAAUGAGUGGAAGCACAUAAAUAUUGAGGACGAUGAUGAUAUCAAUUUUUUUAUGAAGUACAAUUCCGAGGUAACACCUUCAAAACUAGCUCCCUUACUCGUGAGUAUAGAAGAUAAAGGAUUGACAAAUGAUGUAGUUCAUAGUAUGCAUAUCACGACAGAUAGUAGUCGGAUGGGUCAUUCUUCAGUUGCCAUUGUUGAAAGCAAUGAAGUAACUUGGAAUAAUACGAAUGUCACUGAUGUGGGAGGUGAAGUAGGGACAGAUUUUGUGGAUAUGAUUGAUUUUAGCGAGGUGUAGGAGAUGCAUGGUGGUGAUAAUAGUACUGAAAGAAAUGAAGUGUCAGUGUACUCUGCCCCUCCUAAUUUGGGCUGCUUCAACAUAGCUGCCCAGUUGCCAAUAAUGCGUUUAGGAGGAGAAUCUGAACCCACUCGUCAACAUUAUUGGAGUCAAAUAGGUGAACAAAAUCGGUACAAUGCAGCCGGUGUAAAUGAUGAAGAAGCAUAUUUGGACAGCGGGUUUUCACGAAGUGAUUGGAAUCCGAAAAUUACAGUUGGGCAAAUUUUCUCUAGUAAGAAAGCAUUGUUGACGGAGUUACGGUUGACGGCAUUAAGAGGCCACUUUGAAUUUAAGGUGCAAUUCUCUUGCACUAAAAGGUUGCUUGUGGUUUGUUGUCAACGUCCAUGCCCAUGGCGGGUCCGAGCAUCGAGAAUUGGAGAAUACAGCUUCAUGAUUGUGAGGUGUACAACUGUCCAUGAAUGUGAUUUGAGGUUCGUAAGUGACAAGCAUCGUCAAGCAACCGCAGCACUUGUAGCCACUUCACUUAAAAGGAAGUGACAUUAUGAGAGAUGUGAAACACAACUUUGGUUGCACCAUCCAUUAUUCGAAAGCUUGGAAAGCAAAGGAGUUAGCUCUAUUGUCCAUUAGAGGAUCAGCGGAGGAGGCAUAUUAUAUCCUUCCAGCUUAUUGCUAUGAAUUGGAGCGUAUGAAUCCCGGCACAAAAACACACAUCCAAACUGAUGAGAACAAUCACUUUGUGUAUUUAUUUAUGGCGGUUGGCGCAUGUAUUAGAGGGUUCCGUUCUUCCAUGCGCCCAGUGAUAGCCGUGGAUGCCACUCAUUUAAAAUCCAAGUACAAGGGUGUUAUGUUUGUAGCAAAUGCAUUCGAUGGUAAUUGAAAUAUAUAUCCUCUUGCUUUUGGGAUCGGGGAUUUGGAGACGGAUGCAUCAUGGCAUUGGUUUUUCACUAAACUUCAUGAAGCCAUUGGUGAGUGUCCCAAUCUUGUUAUUAUUUCUGAUCGCAAUGUUAGCAUAGAGAAUGUGUGGAACAAAAUUUUUCCAACUGCACAACGUGGCAUAUGCUUUUAUCAUAUGAAGGGGAACAUGAAACGCACUUGCUAGUUGAAAAAGCGUGAUCACAUACUUAUGCACUUUGAGCAGGCUGCGAAAUCUUAUUCCAUUGCUGAAUUUGAUUGUCAUUUUUGCAAGAUCAAGCGAAAGGAACAUGUUGCUCAAUAUCUUGAAGAGACAGGGUUACAUAAGUGGUCUAGAGCUCACAUGGAUGGACGCCGCUACAAUGUAAUGACAACAAAUAUUGCAGAGUCAAUCAACUCAGUCCUUAGGUUUGCAAGGAUGCUGCCAGUGGUUCAUUUGAUAGGGGAAAUUGUUAAUCUCCUUGUGAAAUGGUUCACCGAACGUUGUGAGUUGGUUUUGAAUUGCACAACAACAUUGUGCCCCAAUUUUGGAGAGAAGAAGUUGAGGAACAGGUUGGAGGAUGCUGCAAGGAUGAAUGUGGUUAAAGUAAAUAAUGCACAGUUUAAUGUUUUGGACGGUGAUAUGGACGGCCUCGUAGAUUUGGCGAACAGCAGUUGUAGUUGUAGAAAGUUUCAGCUUGAGCAGCUACCUUGCAAGCAUGUAGUUGCAGUUUGCCGCUUCUUGAAAGUAAAUGUAUACGCAAAGGCUUCUCGGUAUUACACUCAGAAAACCUGGAUGAUGCUUAUUCGGAUAGCAUCUACCCGGCACAACCUCACGGAAUGUGGGAUAUUCCUGAAGAUGUUCGAAGUCGAGUUGUGCUGCCUCCCAUGGCAAGGGUCAUGCCAGGCAGACGAAAGAAGAUCAGAAUUCCCUCGCAAGGAGAGGGCACCAUUAGAAGAAAGUGCUCAAGGUGCGGUUCCGCAGGCCACAAUAAAAGCACAUGUAAAAACAAUAUUCCAUUGCGCAAUGUAUCUUAGACAAUAUGAUUUGUGUUGCUUUGGUAGGUCAUGUAAACUCUACUUUUAUUUGUGGUGGGUUUCGUGUUAUGUUGAAUGGGAAUUCUUUUAAAUUUGCAUAAUUUGGGUUGCAUUGCUACAGCAUGCUGUAUUGCUGACAGAUUGCUAUUAUAUUGGACUUUUAUUGUACUGGUAUUGCUUCCAGAUUGCUAUUAUAAUUUGAGUGCGAAAUUAAAGGGACUGGAAUGUAAUUCCAAAUGGAUCCAAAUCAUUAAAGUUCUUAGAAUUCCUAUAUUACACAGUUACUGUGAUACUCCGACUAUACCUUCUUUUAUGAUUACAAAUUCGGCCAAUGCAUAGGCCAGAUGUGGGGCAAAUACAAGGUGAAAUGUCCUAUGUGUUUGACUACAUAUACUUGUUGAAGGAGCAUUACGAAUGCUAACCUCAAUAGAUUGCUCAUGUCUUGCCAAGAACACUCUUGAAUUUAUGCAAUGUGCCCAAGCCAGUCCCAAAGCUGGACUCACCCGUCUGCCUGAUGUGUCCAGGGACUCCAAGUUUCCCAACCUCACCUCAUUCACUUUAUCAUGUGGCCCAAUAAAAUCCACCACUUGGUUGGUGACAACCACCGCCAACCCAAACUUAUUUGCUAAACCCUUCAAUGUCCCAGAUAUGUUGAAAAAUAUUUCAAACCGCCAUUUCAAAUCUGCUGGUGUUGUCUGAUACUGUGAUCGGAACAAUGCAGCAAUGGAAUCAAUGACAAUGAGUUUCACAGGUAGGUGGGUGUGAUCAAUGGCAAUAAAUGCUUCUAUGUCUCCAAGGACAUGGAUGAGUUGUUGAGCAUCAUGAACACCAUGAACAUAUAUGUCUUCCAAUGGCUCCAACCUUAUUAAGUUGGGGUAUGAUGCAUGAUAAAGGUUGCCUAGUUGUUGCAAUCGACGAAAUGGGAAGCUGAAUUCUGUGAAUAUGUAGACGGUGGAGCCCUCUAGUCCGCCAUGUGAGGGUGGGAGCUGAGCUGGUACCGUAAGUUGGAGACAAAGUUGCGUCUUCCCAGAACCACUCUCCCCUACCAAUUCUGUUAUAGAGUUGCAGGGUAUCCCACCCCCCAAGCAGUCAUCUAGUAUUGGGCAUCCAAUGGAUAAUUGAGGGGUUGAAAGAGGAAGGAGCAUGAGGUUUUAGGGUGUCAUAUUUGUGUAAUUUAGGGGGGGAUGUGAUGGUGCUACAAGGCAUGCAUUAUAUAUAUAUAUAUAUGUAGAGUUCAUUUUGAAGGUCUGUAUUGUAGGCCAUAUGUCUUUUAAGGGAUGUAUAAUCCAUCCUUUUUUCAGGUUGUAAUUAAUUUUUUGUUUAUUUAUUAGUAUUUUUUUGGACCAAAUAAUUUAAAAAACAUUAUGAUGCAGUACGUACUGUAAUAGGAUCAUAUUGUAACUCUAUCAUCACUCUAUUGUACUCUUAUUGACAUAAUAUUGCCGUUAUAUGCAUGUUUAUUAUAUAGUUAUUACUGCUAUAUCGCCACUGAACUGGACACCGAUAAACUGUAUACGCACAAAUACAAAAAGAGGCUUCAUCAUUCCAUAAAAUCCUAUUUCCAAACUUACAUAAUACAACAACAGGCCACCCCAUCGUUACAUAAUACAAAAAUACGCCACCUCAUAGUUCCAUUUCCCUACUGUUGACAAAUUCGAAGUUGCAUACUCUUCAAGUGCGGUGACCGCGACGCAUGAAAUUCAUGACCCCGGCCACAGUGAUGUUGGCCUAGUUUCCUGCCGGAUCCACUAUUUUUGCAAACUUACGAAAUAGUUCGAAUCCGCUUUCCACUUCUUCUUGCUUCAACUUGGCCGUUGCUUCUGAUUCCUUGAAUACCAUAAUUGCAGUGGUAGGGGCAAUUUCAAUUUUUGCUUUCAUUGUCUUUAUAUGUAGGAGAUGCAUGCGCGCAUGAUAACGAGAGCGAAUUGUGCGGUUUUUUAUGACACCCCAUCUAGUUUGGCCCUCCACAAUUUUGAAACUAUGUCUGCAUGAAGAUUUUUCCAAAACAUGGUAUUGCCUCGACAUUGCUGCAUGCCAUGGACCAAGUCUGCAGGGAGUGAAUUGGGUGACUUGGCUUGUGUUUCAGUCUUCUCUCCUUCAGUAAUUGAAAGUGUUGGGUGUGGUGUGAGGUUAUGGUCCAUGGUCUUCGAUAUUUAUUGUAGCCUAGUGUACAACUUAAUUGGAAAAAAAGGGGACUAAAUGCGAUGGGAGUGAAAUCAGUGGGGAAGGUAGUGGCUGUAAGCAGGAGUUAAUGUGAUGGAAGUUUUCAUUUCAAACAACUGGGUUGAUUAAUAUAGGCAAGUUUUAAUGACCUGGAGUAACUCAGAGAGUUAUUGGUGGGAGGGAUUAGAGGGAGUAAUUGGCGGGAGGGAUUGGCGGGAGUCUUAGGCGGGAUAGUAUUGGGCGGGAGUUAUUACCCAGUUGACUGUAUGCCUUUUUGUAAUAUAUUUGUAUGUUGGACGUUCCAAACUUGGUAAUUUUCCCAUUAUGUAAUUCAAAUAAGGGAUUUGCCUAUUUGCCUAAUUGACCAACUCAUUCAAAUUGACCAAUAUGGUUAUUGUCUUAUUUCUCAUUUCAGCAAUCUCAAUUCGUUUCCAUUUUUCCAUUCUUCAUAUUUUCCUAUUUUCCAUGUGUCAUCCAAUUUUCCAAUUUUCCAAUUUUUCAUUAUUUUUGCCUAUUUUUUCCUAUUCCCUAUUUUCCUAUUGUGCAAUUUCCCAAGUUUCCUUUUGUUGUAUUUCUAGUUUUCCAAUUUUUCAAUGUUCCCAUUUUCCCAUUAUGUAAUUUAAAAAAAGUUGCCUGCUUUGCCUAAUUCAGAAAGUAAUUAAAAUGGUCCAAUAUGGUAAUUGUCUUAUUUUCCAUUUCCACAAUUUCAAUUCGUUUCCAAUUUUCUUAUUUUCCAUGUGUCCCUAUUUCCUAUUUCCAUUUUUCAAAUUUUAAGUUUUUGUCCAAUUAUCCAAUUAUCUUUUUUCCAAUUGGACUAUUUUCUAAGUUUCCUUUUUUUCCUAUUUCCAAUUUUCCAAUUUUUCAAUUUGCUAACUUUCCUUUUGUUCUAUUUCCAAUUUUGCUAUUUUCCAAGUUGCCUUAUUUCCUAUUUUUCAAUUAUCCAGUUAUCCAAUAUUCCAAUUUUCCAAUUAUCCAAUUUUCAAUUUUCCAAUUUGCGAAUUUGCCUAUUUUCCAAGUGUCCUUUUUUCCUAUUUCCUAUUUCAAAUUUUCCAAUUUUCAUGUUUUCAGAGUUUCCUUUUUUUUUCCUAUUUUCCAAGUUUCCUUUUGUCCAAUUUCAAAUUUUCCAAUUUUCCAAGUUGCUUUAUUUUCCAAUUACCCAAAUUUCCUAUUUUCCAAGUGUCCUUUUUUCCUUUUUCCAAUUUUCCAAUUUUCCAAGUGUCAUGUAAUCCUAUUGCCUAGUUUCCUCUUUCCAAUUUUUCCUUUUUUCCUAUUUCCAAUUUUCAAUUUUCCAAAUUUCCCAAAUUUCCAACUUUCCAUUUUUUCGUAUUUCCGAUUUGCCAAUUUUCCUUUUGUUCUAUUUCCAAUUUUCCAAGUUUCCUUAUUUCCCAUUCUCCAAGUUUUCACUUUUCCUAUUUUUCAAUUUCGCUAUUUUCCAAUUUUCUGUUCUGAAAUUCGCAAUAAAUGCUUAGUUACACAGUCCUAUUUUGGGUUGAAAUCCACAAUUUUCAAUUUCCCAUUAAGGUUUGCUUUUUUGUCGUUUGGAAGCCAAUUUUAUUGUUGUUAAUGUAAUGUUGUACUGUUGUAAAUUACAGCCAAUGAGUUAAUGAUGUAGUUUGCAAUCCCAUCAAUUGAAUGCACCAACUAAAUACCCAAUAUACUUCAUAUAAGUUCGUACAUAUAACUCAACCUUCCUAUACAGAACUGCAACAGAGGCACCUUCUUAACGGGAAAGGUAAUUAGUCUUACUAAAACGCAAAUAUUCUCCACUACAGCUAACCAAUUGUCGUUUACAACUGGAGACUGAAUCUACCUUUAUUUGUUUUGUUGCAGGCAACAGCUGUGAAUUGUCCCCGGCAAUACUUAAAGAUGUCGGAUGUACGCCCUCCAAAUGAGCAUGUCACAGUUACCCGGGGGACCAGCCGUGGCAUGUGCCAUUCCCAUCUCCACCUCGGACUCCCAAUCAUGAUCCCACUUCAUCUGGAAGUGAGGCUGAGAGCAAUGAUCCGCUUGACAAAAUCUCUGCCGUCAAGCACCACCUCCAAUAUAUGUCAAAGGCAACGGAUUGGUGGGAGAGUAAGUGCGAUAUUCAUGGCCAAGUUAUGGGAAACUUGGCCAACAAGUUGAACAAAGCAUACGCUGGAGAGGUGAAGCAAACUCUAAAAGCAAAAAGUCGGAGCAAAGAGUUAGAGUCCUUGAAGUUGAAAUUGGAAGAGAGAAAGAAAAAUGCUGUCGAAAAAUUCACACAAUCUGAAGAAUAUAACCAUGAAAUGGUUGAAUGUUUCAACAACGGCUUUGAAAUGUUCCGAGAUUAUGCUUCGGUCAUCUCACCAGACUACAAUUGGAGUGAAAUUGAUGUAGCUGGUGUUUGGCAGGUGCUGAAUAUGGGUGCUGAGGGAAUGGCUCAUCAUAGCCUCGUGCAUGCAGCAAGGAGAAAGGACAAAGACUUGGAUCUUUUGAUGGACCUGUAGUAACAGUGAGUGCUGCUUCAGUUCAACUCACCUGAGUACAUGGAUCUUUUGUUGCCUUCAUUUUCCCUUCGCAGGCUAGUAUUGUUAAGGUUCGGUGGCGAUUUCUUUUGCAUGUGUAAAAUGUUGUCUGUAAUGUGUAUGUAUUGUAUGUAGAUUGACUUAAUAUUGUAGUUCUAUUGUAUGUAUAUUGCCUUAAUAUUGCCUUUGUAUAGCAUAGAUAGUGUAUGCAUAUUGCCACCGUAUUGGAUGUAUAUUGUAAAACUAUUGGUAUCGUAUUGCCCUUAUAUUGCUCUAAUAUUGCCUCUAUAGUGCACCUAUAUUGACCUAAUAUUGCUCUUAUAUCGUAUGUCAAUGGCAUGUGCUCUAAUAAGUCUCCAGUUCGUUGAAAGUAAUCCUGAAUUCAAAUAUGAUGGACAAGACAAUUGUUAUCCAUCCUUAUAUUACCAUGAAUUGAUUUGGACCUUUCAAAUGAUAGUUGGAGUUGCACAUGGAUUCAUAUUCAAAAGGAAAGUAAUUCUCUCCCUCAAUGAAUUGUCGUUCAAAAGAAGGCAGCUAUCAAAUUUUGGGUACAAAAAGGCAACAUCCACGGUAAAUUAAUUGGGCACAAACCACAUAUUACAAAACCAGGAUGAUUUUUGGCAUGCUUCAAAAGAGAAGGGCCAAAUACAACAGAAAAGAAAAUCCAUUCAAGCUUGUACAAUAGAAUGCACAAUAACCCUUUUACAUGUCCUUCCAACACCAGUGUUUUGCCUACUUUAGAGUCGCAGGAGGAGAGCUUAUUGCCAUUGUGCAAUUCGAGGGGGCAGUCAAUUUGGAAUGGUGGCAUAAACAUGUUUACUCCACGGAUCACCUAUAUGGGACAGAGCUUCCUUCUUCCCUUGUCGUCUGUAGGUUUCAACUUCACACUUUUUAUAUACAUGUAUGAGAACUUGUGGCUAUUUAUUUAUGGCCUUCUAACACUUGUUCUGCCAUUCCAAAGUGGGUUGGAGACUUUUUGAGUUGAAUGACUGGAAAGACUUCAGAUGACAGAAACUAGAGAGUUUGAAGAAAAAGGGUUACCAAGAACAGCAGUCAUGCCCACGACAUAAACUAAACAUGCUAUAAGCUCCACAGUAAUAUUUACUUCAUCUCCAUAAUCAGAAUAUUGGGAAAAAAAUACCACGGAGAAAUACGUGAAAUGAAAAACAACUCGGCAGUUACUGUGAGAUUGUGUACAUAAAACUUGGAACAACCAAACCAAUUAAAGCUAAGCCAUCUCAUACGUAUACCUACAUCAAAUAACAGUGUAUGGUCAUCUUGUUUAGAAUAUUGCAAUCAACACUUGGUUGAGACCGACCUGCAAAAACAACUGGGUUAAGUACAGAUGAAGCCAUUUAUGAAGGGCAGUUCCAGAAUUAAGACCUACGUUAAUUUGUAACUGCCACCGAAUCAGUUCAUAGUGCCAAAUGCAUCUACCAAGCACACAGAUAUGACCAGCCAAAAGAAAAAAAAGCAAAGUAAAAAAGAUAAAAGAGGCAUGCCAUAAAUGGGAACCUCAGCAGAAAUCAUCAGAUAUGCAUACAAGCAGAUUGAGUAACAUCUCACUAAGUAGAGGUCAUGUUGGUAAUCGCAUGUUGUGUUUGCACACAGACAUUUGGUUUUUGCAAACACAACAUGCAAUUGCAUUCCAUGAUGUGUGUGUUGUGUUUGCACACAGACAUUUGGUUUUUGCAAACACAACAUGCAAUUGCAUGAUGUGUGUGUUGUGUUUGCACACAGACAUAUGGUUUUUGCAAACACAACAUGCAAUUGCAUAUUGUGUGUGUUGUGUUUGCACACAGACAUAUGGUUUUUGCAAACACAACAUGCAAUUGCAUAUUGUGUGUGUUGUGUUUGCACACAGACAUUUGGUUUUUACACACACGAUAUGUAACAUUUAGUUUUACCCUUUUAUUCUUAUUUUCUUCGUUCAAACAUGGUGGUGAGAAAAGCACCAAACCAUCCCAUCAUAUAAAGCAAAACUCAUACAAUAUUUUAGAUGCAAAAGUUAUAUAUUUUAUAUAAAUGCAUCAUCCGCAUGGCUUGAAAUUACAAAUUCACGUUCACAUAUUACUUUUCACAAGCGCACAGACUAACAAUAAUAAUAAUCAACCAAGUAGUUGCGACAUUCAUCCUAUUACGUCCAUAUUGAUAAUGUCAGAAGUUUCAUCGAUAAGCCUCAUCAAACUACAAGUUUUUUAAUUUGAAUUAUGAAUUCAGAACUAAAAGCUCAUGAUAUGCAGAAAAUGACAUACAUUGUCCACAAUCGACUUUUCGAUAUAUUUCUGCUCUAGCAAUUUAUCGUCCAAAUUCUGGACUCUCUGUGUCAGGUGCUUCUUUGUGUUCUAUCCAGCAUAAGAAUAUUUAAUAGUGUGAUUUCAAUUGUUUAUACAAAUUCUAUAAGUAAUAUUGAUGAGUGCUGUAAAUCUAUUUGAUAUUGGGAACAAACAUGGUCCCACUAACAGAAACUCAAACAAAACAGGAAUUUUUUUUUAUUUUUUUUGGCAUAGACAGCCGAAAAGAAACUUACAGCAAUAGCCUCUGUCACGCUCUCCAGACGUUUAUGCAAUUUUGAAACAGCAGCAUUCAUACUACGCUUUGUCACAUACAGAAGAUCUGAGAAUUUUAGACCCUAACCAUUUGUGAAGAGCAAAUAUUAGAUUUGCUUAAAGAAGACAACAACUCACAGAACCAAUGGAUGAAAUAAUAUGAACAUAAAUAUAUCAUUUGGAUACCUUCCACCACAUGUAACCAUAACCCAAUGCCCCCAAGGUAGCUGUUGGCAUUAUUAGUGAUGUCAAACCUAUUAAAAAAAUCAAAAAAAAAAAUAUAACCAAGUAUAAAAUGUUUCUAUUGCAUUAUGAAAUACAUACGUGUAAGGAAUUAAUCGUUUUACAACUUAACCAAAAAGUCAAGGCAGGAGCAUGCAUUCAUUGAGUGGUUAUAAGCAAGAGGAAAAAGCACAAAGCAUGCUAAGAAUUCAUUUGAACACAGAAGAGAAAGUAAGCUACCUUGGAAUUUGGCUGUCAUUCCCCUUCAGGACGGCUCUCUGUAGUGACGAGUCUAGUUGUCGGACCUCAGCUGCCAGUCGGCGCACCUAAAACAAAGUAACACAGGAAAAUUGAUAUCCAUUACAAAAAACAAAAAUUGAACACGAGAAAGCAUCCUUCGACACUAAAUUUAUAGCAGUUUUUCCAAUACCUGUGAUGCGAUCGCAUAAAAGUCACCUUCUGAUUGUUCUCCGGUUCCAUUGAACAAAGGCUGCAAACAAAACAGAAAUAGACACAAAUCCAUCAAUUUUUUGAGCAACAAGACACAAGCUCCGAAAUAAAUAAACUAUCUAACUGAUCAAAACCCUAGUUUACCAAAUGCAUUACAAAAUUAAAAACUCAUACAAAAAUAACACCAAAUACAAAUGUUCUGCGAGUUCCACUAGCAAAGCAGAGUACAAAUCAUGAAAAUGGUACCUGAAGUUCACCGAUCAAUUCAGAUAAUUGACCAUUCUUACGCAGGAUGGUGCUCGUAUACCCUGUAGAAAGAGAACAAUCACUCAGAUCAAAUGUAGCUAAAUACACAAGGAAACUAAUCCAGUAUGCAAGAUGAAAGAGGAGUGAUUGGUACCUACUCCAGCGAAGAUCAGCAAACACAGUAUGAGGUUCCAAAUUCAAAUAACAACAUAAUGCUAAGCAGAGAAGUAGAAUUGCUGCCGAAAUUAUUUAAAACGAACUAAGUCAAAACUAAAUGGAGAAAUGUUAACAAAGUUGUAUGCUUCAGUAAGUCCAGUAACAGAUUCCCAAAACCACAGAGACAAAAUGUGAACAAUGGCUACAAAAGCAUCCAUAAAGAGCAACUAUGUUUAUAUAUGGAGGUGUACAAAAUAGUUAACCUUCAAAAUCGAAACAGUGUGUGUGCCAUGUAAGGCAAUUAGCCACUGCUUCUAGACUAUACAAUAUUACACCUCACAAUAAUAACUAAACCAACUAGCUCUAGCAAAAAGGCAGGAUGACCAUAUAAAGUACCCCCAGCAAAGCAUCUACGUCUGCAUCUUCAUAUCAAGGAGUUCCUGACAUAAGUAAUGAGCAAAGUGAAUUCCCAAGUCAUAAGUCCAGAAUGAGGUGAAUUCACGGACAUUAAAACAUUUACCUCAUAAAUAUGCCUCCCCCCUUAAACCCUCAAUUGCAAGCCUCAGCCGGUAAUAUUUGAUCUUCAAAGGGUCAACUUUAUCUACCGAAAUCCCAGCACUGAGAUGCUCGAUGAAUUUGACGGUCAUGAUUCCGCAAGACGUACUGUGAGACCAAUAAGUUGGGAAAUUAGAACUGCAGUUAUGUAAGAUUUGGAUAAACUGCACUAAAUUCACAAAGCUUACCCAUCUCGUUGUUGUGGCACAUCUGCAAUGCUGCAAACUGAGAAUGGCGUAAACGUCAACAUCUUCAGCCCCUUUUGCUUAACCUUUUCAACCUCAGAAUCUUCAUAAAAGUGCAUAUCGUACAGCACUCGUGCCAGCGUAUCGCUAAUAGGGUGCAGAAGUGUAACCAGCUUCGAACAUUUGGUAAAAGCAACAUAUGAGUCAUACACAGUUGCAGUAUGUCAGACGAAAUCAAUUUCGAUUGCAACCCAGUAAGACCCUUUAAGAUUAUAUGGAAUAUAGACCUUCCGGACUUUUGUCCAAGCUUGGCCAUACCCGUGUUGCCACGUACCGCGUACAAAGUAAUGUAUAUUCUGCAGCUUGCUGGGUGGAAGGUCAACGGUGUUUGAAGCAACUGCCUUCUUCGAUCCACGUUUCUUGGCAGUCGGUUUGAACGGAUCUAGAAAUUGCUGCAUAAAUUGAAAUGAAGGCAUAUUAGAAAAUCACAACCGAAAGCAAAUGAAGCAGCGAAUGUAACAUGGUAACAUGUUUACCUGCAAGCAACAAUCUGCUGUUGUCCAGUCAGUUCCAAAUACCAACGGAUGAGAGAGUUGCCUUUUCCAGAUAAGAAAGGUUGCCAUGUCCAGGUGCUGAAAGUUGACACACAUAAUAUCAGCACAAUUUCAUACAACUGUACACUUAAAAAAGGUGAGAAAACAAUUUAAUUAUCGCAAUAAAGUAGAGCUUUGUGUAUUCUUACCCUUGAGCUAAUCCAUUCCGUUUCAUCGAUAAGUCUGUAGAAAAAAUCAGCGCCCACUGAAAAUAAUUCCAGCUGCACCUCCGCACUACAAAAGGCAAACUUGCAAUGGUUACUUUUAUAGUCAUCUCAUAAUUCUGACUUUGUUGAUGACAAAAAUACACAUGUAUAUUAAAGCAAACUCUACGUUUUCUCAUUAGUCUAUGACUACAUACUAGAAUAGGAUGAAGAUUGGAAUUCAAAGGUAAAGAAUCCUAACCUGAUAUCGUUUUUCCAGGCAGUACAAAACUCUAUUACUGCCUUCACAUCUUCAAUGGGCACGGAUUUUGAUGGAUCAAAACAUGGCGGGGUUGCAGUCGCAGCCAACACACUCAUCGUCCUCUUCUUCCUCAAAGGAUCAGUAAAUGGGCUCAACAAUGUCUGCGCCGGGCGCUUCUGUCUGCACCCUUUACCUUCCACUUCUUUUUUUUCCACACUCGAACUACCUUCUUCAUCACCAGCCAUACUAACUGUGGGUAGACUUGGAGGAUUCAUCGGACCUCCCGAUGGCAUACUCUUAGUCACUUUCCAAUCUUCUAACAGAGACAACACUUUUUGGCAGAUUUCGUCACACCCGGCCACAUCUUCCGGGGUAGGCAGCUUCUCGGAUUGUGCCUGCUCAGCUGCUUCAUGCACUUGUAAGUGAGGAACUGAAGCGGCCAUUUCUGCCUCUUCGACUACCAUGGCUGCGGAAGGUUCGGCUCCAUCACCGGGAACUUGUGUUUCCAUUACCGCCGGUUCUGUAGGCGGACUAACAUGGUCAUGUAAUGGCGACAAGUGAUUGUCGCCUCCUUCAUUCAUAUGAGGACUACUGAGGUCCUCAUGUCCUUUCCCACCUUCAUUCACCCCACCAUUUCGUUUUUUCAGCUGCUCUAUCUCCACAUUAAAAUAAUGCUCCAUUAAAGCCAGGGUGUUGCGGAAAUCCUCCACACACUUUUUAUUUUUUUCGAACUCUCUUUCAACUUUCAAUGACUCCUUCCGUACCAUGUCUUCCAACUGAUGCACUCUGUUGCGAAGCGCUCGAUUUGAUAUGGCAACUUUGGCCAAUUCAUCCUUUGUCCUUUGAAAGUCACGCUUCAAAGUGCGUAACUCUCUGGACGCGACUGUACCCUGCAUUCAGUUAUAAUGCAAGUGUUACAAUAUUUUCAAAAUAUAUUGCAACAAUACAGCAGUUAUUUUCCUAUUGUAUUAUGACGUAUAUCUUGGAAAAAAAUGUAAUGCUUGCCUUAGAAGACGACGGAAGGCUAGCAGUUUCGUCAAUGUCCUUAUCUUUUUCUUCUACAGAGGCAGAAGUGCUGGUUUUUUGUUCAGCGUCAUCGCCAAACAACUGAACAAGUUCUUCAGUGUCGUCAACACUGUCACCCCAAGUCCAAUACGGCUGCUGCUUGUCGAUUACAGAUGGCCGGAGAAGUUGCACAUCAACCUGCAAUUUACACAUACAAUAUACAUAUCAGUAAACUUAUUAUAUUAUAUUUUCAUAUGCCUAACAUUAUCAUUAAAAACUUAACUAACCUCACGGUUCUCGAAUACUUGGCUCAUUAGCUCAUAAAAACACGGCGAACUAUUGCUCCUCCAAUGUAGUAAACGAGGGAUGUAGGCAUUAUCUUCGUGCACCACCAAAUGUAGUGCAGCCAACGCUGGAAAAACCUCAUAAGCCCAAAUCUGGUUUGAGGAAUAAAACGUGAGUCACUGUAAACAAAUGAAAUUUAACUUCAACAUGAAUGGAAAUUUGCUCACCUGAAGUGCAUAGGCAAAACCUUUGAGGUGGUACUCUCUUGGUCUACCAGUUGCCGUUGUUUUUGCUUUCUUUUCAGAUUUUUUUGUUUUUGCAGCUUUUUUGGGCACUUUCACUCGCUGGUAAUCUGUACAAAGUGCCCUCAGAAGUGACACAAUUGUCUUGGCAUAACACACAGCACCCCAUGGAUACUUCCCAAACUCUUCAAGGUCUUCCACCAACUUCAAAUAUCGCAUGUCAAUCUGGACAUGUUUUUCACUGCCCAACAGCACAAACACAGCAAAGUAUACAAAUCUGAGCUUCAAUACAUCGUCCGCAUCAACGCAUUUGAGGAAGGCCUUUUCUAAUUCCAAAACAUUGACAGUUUUAUAGUUGCCAAAGUACUUCCUUUUCAAUGAGCAGUUCUCAUUAGUGGGAAUCGGAAUAAAGGGAAGGUUUCCAAACCUUAGCCCUGUCACGAUGCAAAAUUGCUGCGCCGUGAAUUGGAUCACCUUAUUGCCAACGAUGAAUUUGAUCCCGUUGAGUUGGGAAACUGUCUUUGGAUCAGCUUUCCUCAGCAGCAAGCCGUGGACAAUUGGCGAAGUCCACUUGAGGUCCUCAAUCAGUAGGAGAUGCCCAAAACAACUCUCUUCAAACCUUUGUAGCUGUUGUUCACUGAAUUUCUCCUUUAUCGUGCUGAUUGCAGUCUUCGUAUGGGAUAGGGACAAUGCUUUUCCUUGGAACUUUUCUUCCUCUGCAAUCAUCAACUUCAUUUGAGCAACCAUCUUUCCCUGCAUGCCAAUAUUAUAAAAAAAAAUUCAGUCCGUUGCAAUCUAGACAAUAACAAGCAAUAAACAAUCAGCACUUAUCUACAGCCUAUUAUAGGAUAUUAAGUGAAAACAAAAAAACAAAAAAUACAGGGCAUAAACAAAACCCCAGCUAUUUACAACUGACCUACUAAUUCAAUAGCUCAAAGCCACAUCCCAAGACACCCAGUACUCUACCACUCUUGCAUAAUAUAAUAUCUAAAGACACAUCUCAACACACCAGAUAAUCAUGACACAGCUUCAGCUAGAAUGGGAAUGUGCGGUAGCACAAGCCUAAUUGAGAACAAUUCAAGACUAACGAUAGAAAUCUAUCUGACUAGAAAGAGUUUUAAAAAAACAAGAAGACAUCGGGAAAGAAUUGAUUGACUUCAAGGUAUAAUGUAAUGGAACAUCCUAUGAAUUAGUGGCAACCAUAAUAAUGACUCCACUAUGGCCCUCCUUUCAAAUGUAAGAAAAUGAAUGAAAUUGGCACCAUCCCUUCAGUUUUUUCUUAACAAAAUAAGAGAUUUGUAUGUAUUCUCUGCUUUAUCGAUAUCAAAGAUAAAUUAAUAAAUAAACCAUCAAAACUGUAUAAAAUGUUUGUUAGACAUGUACAAUUACAAAAUUAUAAGUUCUCCUCAGAAACAAAGUUCUCUAAGUACGCAAACAAGAAAAGCAAAAGCUUAAAGAGUUAGCUUAUAGCAAAAUCAAUGUCCCCAUUUCUCUAAACCACACCUGCUGGUGGUAGGUUCCCAUCUUCACUCAUUUCCCGCUUUCUUUUAAACAGACAAUGAUCAAGCACAAAAGAGCAAACUUUUAAAUAACUCAUAUUACACCACAAAUAGUUCUAAAGAAAACUUAUUCAUAUCCAAUAUGCAACCCCUAAAGUUAGUAAACAGAGUUAUAAAAAAAUAUGUCAAAUUAACAAGCAUUAUUCUCAAACAAAAAGUAUGAUAUGGUUGGGAGUUUACAAGUUCAAAAUGAUAUACACAGGUUAAUUGUCUUAGACUUUAGAUAUCAUCUUCAACAAAGAAAAUAGAUACCGAUUAGACUUGUAAGAAGGUUAAAUGCAAUGGUCAUAAAGACCCAUAGUAAGCCACCAAAUACCAAUCAAUAACUGCUAUAAAAACCAUAAUAAAACCAUAAUAAACUAAAAAUACAACAGCACUAAAAUGCCAACACAACAUCACUACAUUAGCAAUAUAGUAGCAACAAAACCACAAUACGACAUCAAUAGCAACAGCAAAACAACAGCAGUGCAAGCAUCAGUCCACAAAGAACAAACCCAUUCACUGUUUCAAACAAGGAAUCAUCAUACUAAGAUCAUUUCAGAGAAACCCCAAAACCAAUUUCAGUGAAACCCCUAAACCAAUUUCAGAGAAACCCCUAAACCAAUUUCAGAGAAACCCCUAAACCUUCAACCAAUUUCGAACAAAUCCCUGAACCAAUUUCAUAGAAAUGCAUAAACCCUAAACCAACUUCAAAGAAACCCUAAACUGUAAGAAAAUGACGAUGAACAGUACCUGUUCAAGGUGAACGAUGGAGUUGAGCUUCGAUGAACAAAUUUCGCUCGGAGAGGAAGAGAGAAGAGAGAGUCAGAGCUGAGCGACGAGAGAUUAAGGGCUGAGCGACGAGAGAGUGAGAGCUGAUCGACGAGAGAUGAGAGAGUGAGAGCAAAGUGACGACAGAGUGAAGAGAAAUUGAGAGAAGGAGCCAAGAGAGAGAGCUGAGAGAGAACUUCAGCAAAACUGAUAGAGAACUUCAGCAAAAGUGAUAUGUGUACAAUAAGGGGACAAUAAAUAUAUAUUUAUAGGUUAUAGUUCCAAAUUUUUUUAAAAAGAGUGGUAUUUUCAGUUACAAUUAUAAAAAUGGUGGCAUUUUGAGCUAUUUCCUUAUUUUUUAUUCAACAUGGACGCAGAAACUGUUGCUAAACUGCAAACUUCUUAAAAUAUUUGUCUCACUUUCUCAACCCUAUAUUUGUCUAACUUUCUAGAUCCAUGUACUGAGAUUUAUUAGGGAAAUAUUGUAGAAACUGAUUAUUUUGAAAUAUUAAAUGUGAAAAACUGAACAAAAAUUUGAUGGGUUACAUAUUUCAACUCAUUUCAGCAGCUUAGAUUUUGAAGACCUCGGAAGAGGCCAUGCAGUGAGCCUAGCUAGUGCACUGUUGAUCACUUCAGUGUCUACCGAUCUGUAAUUUUUCCAGAUUGGUUAUAUUUUCCUUUACAUAUUCUUAUAUUAUUCCCAGCUGUAAGUGUUUUACACACUUGUCUAUUAGAAAAGGGGAGACUUAUAAAUAAAUCCAAAAUGGGUACAGUAUUUAUAAAGAAUGACAAAAUUAAAGUGUUUGGGCAAUAAUGCCCUUAUUCAUUUUGAGAUUGCCUAAGGAAUAUUUUUUCUGAUUUUCAGAAGAUGCCAAAGGACCGUUGUUUGAUGAUUGCCGUAAGGAGCUAAGAAAACUUGCUUUGAUAGUUUUGGACAGAUGCAUGCUACUGUUGCUGGGAUGAUCUCUUCACGUGAAAUGAGGAUGAUGAUGCUUCUACACUACACAAUCCAACGAAUUCACAUGUCUAUUUCAGAUACAAGUAUAAACUAACAAGGCUUUAAAAUAUGGGCUGAUGCACUGUUGUUGAUGUUGCUGACACUGUUACUGUGUUGUUGAUACUGUCACUGCGUUGCUGUUGGAAAAAGCACAAGGACUUCACAUGUUGCUUUCGUCUUUUGUGGAGGAGAGAGACCUAGGACUUGCAUGUCUUAGAUAUUUAAGAUAAGGGGCUUUCGUUCCAUUUUGAAAAUACUUUGGGUGUUUUUGAAAGGUGAUUGUUUCUUUUGGGUUUCUCACUAAAUUUCGCUUUAGAAGGGAAAAUAAUAAUAAUAAUGUCAAACAAAGUAGGGUAAAUAUUCAGAUAUGCUCAUAUUAUUAUUCUUCUCCAAUAUUGAGGUAUUUAUACAAGUACAAAGAUGUGUUAACCCUAAAUAAAAUAGGAAAUAUAUCUAAAUUAUAAUAGGCAGUAAAUCUCUAUUACAAUAGGACUAAAUAAUAAUUGGUAAGUAACCAAAAUUCUAAUGAAAUAAGGAAUCAAAAUCCUAACUAAGUAAGGACUCGCCAACACUCCCCCUCAAGUUAGGGCAAACAUAUUUCGCAUGCCUAACUUGACAAGCGAGUCAUAGAACACCAUACUUGAGAAGCACCAAUUGUAGAGAAGGUCUUUUCGUCAACCACGAGUGAAACAAGUGACAAACUAAAGCAAAGUUCGCAGCGGAAACACAAGAGCGAAUCCUAAAAAAUAGGGCACAUAGCAGAACACAAAAAUCCUGGAGCACGACAGUAGAUAAGGCAGAACACAGAAACCCUGUUAGCACGGCAAUAGGUAAGGCAGAAAAAGUCAAGAGCAAAGGCAAGGUCAACAGGCGUGACCACAACGAAAACACACCAGCAAAGACAUGAGCAACAAUAUUAGCACCAUAAUAGACAUGAGCAACAAUACUGGUACCAACAACAGCAAUACAAGGCACUGGCACCAGCAAGAGCAACAAGGCAUGGACAUAACAUGCAUAAUCAAUAGUAAUCAACAUUGUCCCCAACAAGAGUCAUAAUAGGCAUGAGCAAUAACAUUGUCCCCACUAAGAGACUUAACAGGUAUGAGUAACAGUACUGGCACCAGCAAAGGGCAUAGUAGUCAGCAGCAAUAACAAUGACAAAUACUUCUAUUAUUGCAGAGACAACUUCUCUUCACUCCCCAUCUCCCCUUGAAGAGAAGGGGUCAUCGGAACCAUAAGAAAAGUGGCACUUAAGAAACAGAAGUUGACUGACGCUCAAAUGUAGAAGAAUCAGCCAUGGCAAAUAGGUAGCUGAAUUGCAGCGGAAUAGAUGAGCAGCGGUGUCACUCCCCCUCAUAUCUGAUAAUGUAUGAGAGUCGAGAUUUGGAGAAAGCAAUAUCGAAAAAUAAAGUUGCAGAACCCAAAUAAAGUUGCAUCUAUCUCCCCAUCAAAUCCGACACUGGUAAAGGGUCGAGAUUUGAAAGAGGAGAAAUUGAAAUAAUAGUAAAGAGACUCAAACAUGCAGUCUCAUGGCAGAAACAAAUGCAAGAGGGGAAGAUGGUAGCAUACGGUUGUCCCAUGAAGAAAAAACUUCAGAAAAGGAGAAUAGUAAGGGAGGAAACCUAGCAAAUCAUGAACAGAGACAAAGACAAAGAUGCUCAAACUGAGAAGCGGAAAGGCAACUCAAGAGAGCAACCGAAGAAGACAGAGGCCCGCAGAACAGUCAAAGUUAAGGCUCGGCGAGUGGUGACGAUGCUCGCGGAGGAAAGCAACGGCUCGGUGAGCGGUGAUGAGGCUCACGGAGUAAAGAGACUUGUUAUGAAGUUUCAAAGAUAGAGAAGCUGAGACAUCAAGAAAGACCAUCUGGCAUACAAAGAUGAAAAAUAAAAAUUUUGGAACAGUAGCAAAGAAGCAUGUGAAGGCUGGUGCGGUGAAAACACAUAUGAAAGGAUGAACAAAAGAAGAUGACUAUACAAGAUGAAGACCCAUGAUGGGUUAGGAAUGAGGAGUGCCAACGACUCUCAAUUUGGCAGAGGUUAUCGCAGGUUAGGAACCUGGCUCUGAUACCAUGUCAAACAAAGUAGGGUAAAUAUUCAGUUAUGCUCAGAUAUGCUCAUAUUAUUAUUUUUCUCCAAUAUGGAGAUAAUUAUACAAGUACAAAGAUGUGUUAACCCUAAAUAAAAUAGAAAAUAUAUCUAAAUUACAAUUGGAAGUAAAUCUAUAUUACAAUAGGACUAAAUAAUAAUUGGUAAGUAACUAAAAUUCUAAUGAAAUAAGGAACCAAAAUCCUAACUAAGUUAGGACUCGCCAACAAAUAAUAGUACAACUCUUAUUAGCAACAGGUUACAAACUUCUUCUACAACACACCAACAUGAAUCUAGCCCUGAUCCACUCUUUUACAUACUUGAAAACAAAACAAAACACGAAAAACAAAAAACAAGAAACAAGAUAGGGAGAAAAUGGCUACGGAGAGACUUCCUGCUAAUCAGGGGCGGCCCUGGGGUGGUGCAAGUGGCGUCACCGCACAGGGCCCCCGAUUCUUAAGGGCCCCCAAAAAAUAAUUCUUUAUAUUAUAUAUAUAUAUAUUAAUAUUAUAUGAAUCGUAUAUAAAGUAUAGCGUCUGGAUGAUAAAGAGACUCAUUAUCAUUAUCUUAGUCAUAAGAUUCAAAAUGAAUUGAUACUUUUGUUAGCUUCUGAGCUCAAAAGUGCAAUCAUUAAAAAGAUUGAAGAAGCUAAAUAUUUUUCUGUGAUUCUUGAUUGUACUCCAGAUGCUAGAAACCAAGAACAAAUGAGUUUGAUAGUAAGAUGUGUGGAUGUCUCUACUAAUUCAAUAAAGGUUGAAGAAUUCUUUUUGGAAUUUUUGAUUGUGAAUGAUACAACAGGACAAGGACUUUUUGAAGAGUUGCAAACGGUGUUGCAAAAACUUAAGCUUGAUAUUGAUAAUGUGAGAGGACAAGGCUAUGACAAUGGAUCAAAUAUGAGUGGGAAAUAUCAAGGUGUCCAAAGAAAAUUUUUGGAUGUAAAUCCUAGAGCAUUGUACACACCUUGUGGUUGUCAUAGUCUUAAUUUAACACUUUGCGAUAUUGCAAACUCUUGUGGAAAAGCAAAAGAUUUUUUUGGAAUCAUACAACGUAUUUAUACAUUGUUUGCUAAUUCUACAAAGCGGUGGAAGAUAUUGAAAGAUAAUGUUAAACACUUAACUCUGAAAUCAUUGUCAGUUACACGUUGGGAAAGUCGUAUUGAAAGUGUGAGAGCAAUAAGAUUCCAAGCUGCAGAUUUAAGAGAAGCUUUACUUCAGUUAGCAGAAAGUGACGGUGACUCCAAAAUAACAAGUGAAGCUAAUUCUUUGGCAACAUAUGAACUUGGAAAUUUUGAGUUCUUAUUGGGCAUGGUUAUUUGGUAUGAUAUAUUAGGUGGUGUCAAUGUAGUGAGCAAAAACUUACAAUCUGAAGACAUGCUUAUUGAUGUUGCUAUUGAUAAAGUGAAAGGGUUGAUUACUUUUUUUUUGAAAAGUAUAGAGAAAAUGGGUUUACAGAAGCUAUGUGUACUGCUAAAAAAAUUGCUACUGACAUGGGAAUUGACCCGGUGUUUCCUGAGAAGCGAAAAAUUCGUAGAAAAAAACAUUUUGAUGAGAAUACUUGUGAGCUAUCCCAAUCAGUUCCUGAAUCAACUGAAGAAAAGUUUAGAAUUGAUUAUUUCUUGUAUUUAGUGGACCAAGCUAUUGGUUCUUUACGAAGAAGGUUUCGACAAUAUCAAGAGUAUGAGAAUUUUUGGGUUUUUGUUUACUUCAGAGAAGUUAAAUUCAUUGGAUGAUUGCGAUUUGAAGAAUAGUUGCAGUCAUCUGGAAAGCAUUUUGAAAAAUGACAAGUUUUCUGAUGUCGAUGGGGAGGAUUUAUUUGUUGAGUUGAAAGUUUUACAAGAGCUUUUACCAAAAGUAAAUACCACAGCUACUGCAAUAUUAAAUUUCUUGAAAAGAUUAAAUUGUUUUCCAAAUGCAUUCAUUGCAUAUAGAAUCCUAUUGACUAUUCCUGUUACUGUUGCAUCUGCGGAAAGAAGUUUUUCAAAAUUAAAAUUGUUAAAAUCAUACUUGAGAUCAACUAUGUCGCAAGAAAGAUUAAAUGGACUAGCUUUGAUUUCAAUUGAAAGUGAACUUCUUGAAAAACUUGAUUAUGAACAUUUGAUUGAUGAUUUCUCUUCUAAAAAUUCAAGAAGAUCAAUUUUCAGACAUUAGUAUUGUACUAGCUGUGUUUUUUUUUUUCUUCUAGGGUAAAAGCUCUCAUAAUAAUUUUAAUUCUUCAAAUAAGACAGCAAAUACAAUGUGAUGAAUUUUGGAUAAUCAGGUAUGUUUUUGUUGUUGCUUUUGUGUUUAAUGCAAUAUAAUCUAAUUUUUUUAAUGACAUUUGUGUGCAACUACUCUUUGAUUUGUGAUUGCCAAUUUUUUUUUCUUUCUAUUAAACACAGAUUGCUUAUUGGAGGCAGCAAGAGACCUUAUAGGGGCACAAGGAGCUUAUUUUUGUACAAAACAUUUAACUUUAUCAAAUGGAAACAUUUAAAUUUUUAUGAAUUUGAUUUCUGAUUGUCAUUGCAUAUUUAUUGAUGGUGAAUUUUAGUUAUAAAAAAAAAAUUGUUUAUGACAUUAAGUUAUGGCAAAUUUUUAUAGUAUUUUCGUAUUAGAUUAUGCGAGGUCCCAAUUUAAGUUUCGCACAGGGCCCUCAAAAUCUCAGGAACGGCCCUGCUGCUAAUACUUGAUCAAUAACAGAGAUAAUAGAGCACACUGUUUGUAUGACAAUGAGUAUCAGAAGAAUAAUAGCUGCAAAGAGAGAAAUAGCUGCCCAAGGUGUGUUGAAAUACUUUUGUCUCAAAUUUGCCUUCCGUCUGUUCGUGGUCUUCUUGCAGUACUCGUUUAGUUUGCCAGCAAGAUCACCAAAAUAGUAGUUUCCGUGGUUCGGAGCAACUUUACUGCAAAGCUUGUUAAUCAUAAUGGAAACCUUAUUGUUGUCACCUAGCGUGUUUACAACAAUUCCAUUGUCAACAAGCAACUCUACAUCCUUUGGGGUGUUUACAAAUUUAUCCAGGAUGAAAACAUAAUCGCUUAUGUAUUUAUCCACGCAAUGGCCUUGUUCAAAGGCAAUGAGAUUUCUAUGUGUAAGCUGUGUAAUCAUGUAUUUCAAUUUUUGGAAUUUCCAAGGUGUUUUUCUUGAACUGUAUAUCGAAUAAGUUCUUGCUUGAUCCCACGUUAAACUUAACUCCGGCCUGGUGUAGUUUUGUCAUGCUGGGUGUACUUUGGAGCCCUCCAUUUUUUUUUCUUUUGGCAGAUGUAAAGUUCUAAUAAAAUCAACAAAAUGUAAAGGUUUUUUAGGAUCAGGAGGCAUAAAAGACUUACGGAAGGCUGGUGAGUUCUCCAAGUUUUCUAAACGCAGUGCCUGUUGGAAGAACUUGUAAGAGAGUUCAAUUAUUGAAGGCUCCCCAGUCUGAGCACCUGUGAGAUUGUAAAGAUCCUCGAGAAUGAAAAAUGGCAGCUGAUUUACGAGCAUAAGCAUGUCAGGCAAUAUAUUUUGUAGCACCCAUGGUUUUUUAAAUAUCCAAGCAUCAUCAUCCUGCAAUUUUUCUUCCUGAAAUUUUUCUUCGGAUUUAUUCCUCAACAAUAGCUCAAUGACAAAGGCGGCAUCAACUAGAAUGAUAUUCACAAAAGUAGCAAUGUUAAACUUCUUAGGGCUAGUUUGGCGGCGUUGUGCUUUUAAAAAAAUAUGCUUCUGCUGUGCUGUGAAAAUAAUUAGCUGUGAAAAAAAGCUACUAGGCGUUUGGUAAACUGUUUUUGAAAAACUGCUGUGAGUAGUCAAAGUGUUUGGUAAAUUUUUAUCAGAAGUACUUUUAGUGUGUAUAAUGACCAAAAAGGACAUGAUGAUGAAAUUGUUUGUUAUUUUCUUCAUUCUUUUUCUACUUUAAAAAAAAAAAAAACCCAAUUUCACUACAUAAAUUUUUAUUCUUUUUUAAUUCACACCUUUUUAUCAAAAAAUUUAAUCUACAAUUAACAUACAUAUUUUACCAUAAAUUAUAAAUUACUAUUAUAACAAAAGUAAUUCUAAAUAUUGUUAUAUUAAUAUGGGCUUCGGACAUGACAAAAAUACAAAAAUUGUUCAAUUUUAAAAUGCCCCAAUAGAUCACUACAAUAUAAAAGAAGCUAAUUAGAUGCAUUCAUUAAACUUGUAGCGAUGCUAUUUCUUAAUGCAUUCAUUAGCUUCUUUUUUUGGUUUCCAAUGGUUCUCUAACAAUUUUAACUAAAAAAACAACCAUAAUGCUUUGUGAACAAUAAAUUCAAGUCCAAAUCUGCUAUUGCCCACACCAUACAUAUAUACAUAAUUGUUCCUUUCAUAAAACUUGAAGAUUCAAUAGUAAUUACACAGUUUACCAAUCUUGAUUCCAACUAUAUCCAUAAAAUUAAACUAUAAUUAGAAAUAGAGGAGCUACAUGUGAUUACUCAUAAAUGCUUCCCACUCUCAUCAUCAUCAUCAUCAUCAUCUUCCUCCUCUGUACUUUGCCUUUCACAAAUGGACAAGACCAGAUGGUAACGUACACGACAUGGUCCACAUAUAGAUAAAUUUUGGGUUCACUGGAGAACAUAAAAGAGUUUUUACACGAAUACAAAGUUAGUUAAGUAGUGAAUAAAGUAAAACUAUUCUGUACAAUUCUAGCUGAUGCAGUCCAAAAAGAAUAUAUGUCUAAUAACUUAAAUAACAAUAAAGAGAAACAAAAGCCUCAUGAAAAAUGCUAGAGUAAAAGUUACAUAACUGAAUCGAUGGACAGAGAACUCCACAGGCAGAGAAACAGCAACAAAAAUUGUCAAAACAGUAGCAAGACCAUGUUGGAGUCAAGGCCAAAGAUCAUAUUUCCUGUGUAUCUUCUUCCAUUCUGAAUUAUUCUCGUAUUCAAAUACUGUAACUCUAUUUCAAGUGCACCCCAAAAUACUUAUCUAAGGCCAGUACAUAGGACUUCAUAAAGGGUGCGAUAAAAAAUAUUGCCCCUUAAUUGAUAAACAGAACCAAGAUCCCAACAGCACACCAAAACUAUACCAACCACACCUACAUAAUAUGGACAGAAAAUCCUGUUGUUCCGAUCUCUAACCACACCAAUGACAUUCAUUAGGAAAAUACAAAAGAUGGGUACCCUGCAUUUCUAACAUUUAAGAUAAAAUUCACUGCCAGCUAAUCACAAAUUUGAAAAGAUGGCAAGAAAAUUGGCUAAGCUUUAACAAAAACCAGAGCAGUCCUUGCAUAGACCUGACUUUUUGCUCCAAGCUUUAGCAGAUCACUUACUGGUAGAGAGCAGAGAACAUGUAUGUGAAUAUCUGAAGUUGGAAGGGUAAGCCAUCACAAACACCAAGAGAUCUGAUUCUCAUCUCUUGUUACAACAACAAAUCACAAACACCAAUACAUCUGAUUCAGAAUCUCAUAAACAAUGGAGGAACAAACACAUAUUCACACACAUAUAAAUCCCUAAACAGAAAAAAUAAAAAAUAAAAAAAAAACCAUGAAAGUCAUAGGAGAAUCAAAUUGAUUUGGGCCAAAAUUGCCUAAAAAGAAAACACUCCUAAAUAAACUUCAAUUCACUUUUAAAAACAGUAAAACAUGAUUGAAUCAUUCUUUAAAACAAUUCCCUAAUAUACAUGCAUGAUAAUGACAUCAUUUACCCCUGAAUCAAAUGCCUUUCACUGGUCAAGCCACAAGUCUGUGUUUUGGGAAUUGCUGAGCUGCAUCAAUCCUGCCAAUGUAAAUUCUGCCCCUAGGCUCUCUCAAAGUGCGUUUACAACCUAUGCUAACAUAUACUAGAGUUUGUUUUAGUAUCUAGAAAAUGCCAACACUAAUUUCGUAACACGUAGAAAUUGUUACAUAUUGGAAGUUUUUAUCAUUUUUUCUUCCAGUCUCUCCACCACUCACUAAUACAGAUUACUCAUGUGAUGAGUUUACAAAACAUAUUUCUCUACUCCCACAAAGACCAUACUUUUUCUCAAAAGACUAUAUCACUUUAUCUCUAUCUUUGUGAAAUGUAAAAAGUUGAAACUUUAAUGUCAAACCUCGACAAAAGAUGAACAUCCAUCAUCAAUUACAUUGAAUUUGAAUUUGUUGAACUUAAGUAGUUUUACUUCUCUGUCAGCGUUUGAUGACUUGAUUUGUUAUUUACUUCUUCUUUUUUCCUUGGAAAUGUGUUCCAUCAACGUGAGGAAGAAAAAUAUGCACAAAUUAAUAUAUUUAAUAGAAGCAAAAAUUAAUAUUUACAAAAAUAUGCACAAAUCAAGUAAAAUUAAUAAAGCAUAAAUUGGAAAGGGAAAAUAUGUAGAGGAUGCAUUGUAGGAUUGCUCAUGCCAAUAAUUGUACCCUCUAAAUAUAUAGGGACAUAUUUUUUUUUGUUUUCAUGACAUGUGGUCCUAAAAUUAUUGUUCUUAGCGGGCUCUCCACCCCUCUCGACUGAAAACCUAUUGUGUAAAUCUUCAAUCCUGAAUGAUGCACCUAAAACUCAUGUUGCAAUACACAUCCACCCAUUCUCAGGCCAAUUAUUACUCCUAGUGGGCUCUCCACCCCCUCUCAAAUUUAAGUGGUCCAUUAUUAUUAACCGUAUAUUUUAUGGACCAGCCAGCUGUGAGGUUUUAUCUCAAAAACCUUUCUCCCACAUGCCACAAUUUAUGUCUGAUACAUCACAUCAUGCCAGUUGUCUCAAAUGAAUUUAAGUGAGUGAGGCAGUGUUACUUCUGGGUACCCCUCAUUAUUCGUCUAUAAAUUGGUGAAGCCAGUUGCUACUGUUACCAUAAGAGCCAGCUCCGACUUUCAAAAUAAAAAUUCCAACAACGGUCUUAGUGCCUUCAAUUGUAUGAGUCAUUGAACAUGCAAAUGAAUAAAAUAUGAAUGAUAAAAGUGUUUGAUAAAUCACCAAGUUAUAGAACACUUGAUGAUUUAUCUCAAAUAAAAAUUCAGCUUUCUAAAGUUUGUGAAUUGAAAAUAUAAUCGUUAAAGCUCUCUAAACAAAGAAGACGAAAGUCUUAUUUUAUAGAAUUUUUCUUUACAAGAAAGAAAACAUGUUGAAAACCAAAUCUCCAAUUUCCAAGGCUUGACAGAAAAUCAAAAAAAUAUCUUUCCUAUUCUAGAGAUUGGUCACAUGUAGUUCAACCAAUAGGAAAUGAGAUAUUUAAGAAAGCAAGAUUUUGAUCAAUACCAAUAUCAAAUGAAUUCUUAUACGCCUAGUCAACUAUUAAGGGUAUCUUGACUCCUUGAUAUUGUGAUAUGAUUGAAACAUGAUUUCCAUGUUAGAAAAUUAAGGGGAUGUUAAAACAUGAAAGUAAUAGGAGAAUCAAAUUGAUUUGGACUAAAAUUGCCUAAAAAGAAAACACUCUUAAAUAAACUUCAAUUCACUUUUAAAAACAGUAAAACAUGAUUGAAUCAUUUUUUAAAACAAUUCCCUAAUAUACAUGCAUGAUAAUGACAUCACUUACCCCUAAAUCAAAUUGUCACGCCCCGGACCUGGGGGUCAGUGGAAACCCCACGUUCGGUGCGUGAGAAAAUAAAAAGUAAAAUAAAAUAAAAAGAAUGCCGAAACAAGGGUUUAAAAUAAACUUCUCUUAUAAAAAUAACUCCAAAAUCUUACAACUUUACAAGAAAUAAAUAAAGCCCUAUCAUUCUUAUCUAAUUCAGCCUCAACUGGUUUAGUCCUUGUCUUGCCCACUAAUUCAUCUAAAAAAUGAAGAGUGUUGCUAAACGAACCCUAAAAUUAAUUGAGUACACCCUACUACCAAACGAUUUAUUGAAUUUGUCACAUCUCGGGAUCAACUCCGCCGUAGCACGAUAUUGUUCGCUUUGGGCCCUCCCUCUCUGGCUCGCAUGGUUUUGUUUCUGGGAACUCACGAGUAACUUCCCAGUGGGUCACCAAUCCUGGGAUUGCUCUAGCCCACAACUCGCUUAACUUCGGAGUUCCUACGACUCCGAAGCCUGUGAGCUCCCAAAAGGUCUCGUGCUAGAUGGAUGCGGGUGUGCACAUAUAAGGCACAUCACCCCCUCUCCGUUGGUUGAUGUGGGAUCUUAUAGAAUUACUAAUUUAUCCUAAUAUAAAAUGACCAAAGAAGAUAAAAUAAUAUUGGUAUCUAUUGCUUUGAAUCCAUGCCUUCAAACAAAUUGACUUAAUUUUUAACAAACAACACGGAGUCCAGGAGAAGUGUAUUGAUCCAAGUUGAUUUUUGUAUGCGUAAAACUUAAACAAUCAAUAACACAAAGCAGUUCAUGCUGAAAUAUUGGAAACCCACACCCAAAGAGUUCUCCGCUGCGAGGUUGAAGGCAGGAGAGAUGGGUGACAGAUUUUACUUCCACUGCGAAGUUGGAGGCUAGGAGAGUCUGUGACUGCCAUGGUUGAGGGAGAAGAUGCGUUCAAAAUGCCUAUUGAUAUUUUACAUUAUUGGCUUUUUUCAAAAGUGAAAGUUUUUUUAUGGGUAAAACCUAAAUUUACUUUUUCUAUACAAGUUAACAGUGUUUGUGUAUUGUGAAAAGGUGGAGAGACGUGUCAAAAUUUUAGACAAAGGACAGGAGGAGAUAGGGAAUUUGGGGACAGCAGAUCUCAACUCCCUUGAGACCCUAUUCUCUACGCCACCCCUCCCCCUCAACAACCCUAGUCACCAUUUCUCCUUCAACUCCAACGGCAACUCAUUAAAACCCAAUUCUCAAAUGCAACAAUCUAAUCCCAAUCCCAAUUCAGAUGUUUCUAAAAAACCCAUUGUCGUGGUGGAGAACUGCAAUUCCAGGUGGUGGUGGUGGUACCACAUGGGAGAGAGAAAAAAGAAGAAGAAGAAGCAGGAGAGAGAGAGUUUUUUAUUUUAUUAUUAUUUUACUGUAAUUUUUUAAUUUAAAUAAUUAAAAAAAUUAAAAGUUAAAGAGGAUGUACCAUGGGUAUUUUUGGUAGUUAAAUAAGGUGUACUUAGGGUCAGUUUGGCAUUGCUGUGCUGUGAAAAUAAUAGCUGUCAGAUUUGCUGUGAGAGAAAUCAGCUGUGAGAGAAAUCAGUUUGGCGUUUGAUAAAAUUUUUGUUAAAAGUGUGUUGAUAUUGAUUUUAUGCUUAAUCCGAAAAUGAUUGCUGCAUAAUCAUUAAACCCAGCGCCUCUUCGAAACUGAUUCCUAUAUAAUCAGAAAAUGAAAGCACCUCAUUAGCUGCUUUCCUUUAUAGCUUUCUCUCACAGCAAUUUUUAACAAUAAGUGAUUUUCUCACAGUUUACCAAACGGGUUGGGCUUCUCAAAAUUUUUUAAAAAUCACUUAUUACCCCAAAUAAGCAAUACCAAACGGGCACUUAGUUAAUUUUACAUUUUAAUUUAAACAUUAGGGUGUACUCAGUUAAUUUUAGGGUUCGUUCAGCAGCACUCAAAAUUAAACAAGGUGAGGGAUGAGCAAGUAGGGACAUGAGACAUUGCCACAGUAGAUUGAUAUAACUAAAUAUUAUUAUAAACAUAGAAAUAUAUAAGUAUUAUUAUAAUAGGAUUCAUAAUAAUUAAUAUAAAAGUAUAACAACAAUAUUUACAUUUAUGUACCAAGAUAAUUACACAUAUAAAUAUAACCAAUAUAUAUUUUUAUAUAUUUUAAAAUAUAAGUCUUUACGUAAAUGCCUUUCACGGGUCAAGCCACAAGUCUGUGUUUUGGGGAUUGCUGAGCUGCAUCAAUCCUGCCAAUGUCAAUUCUGCCCCUGAGCUCUCUCAAAGCACGUUUAAAACCUAUGCUAACAUAUACUAGAGUUUAUGCUGUAUCUAGAAAAUGCCAACACUAAUUUCGUAACACGUAGAAAUUGUUAGAGAUUGGAAGUUUUUAUCAUUUUUUCUUCCAGUCUCUCCACUACUUAUUAAUACAGAUUACUCAUGUGAUGAGUUUACAAAACCUAUUUCUCUACUCUCGCAAAGACUAAACUUCUUCUCAAAAGACUAGAUCACUUUACCUCUAUCUCUGUGAAAUGUAAAAAGUUGAAACUUUAAUGUCAAACCUCGACAAAGUGUUCUACUUUACAAACUUCUUGUGUCUACCAAUUUGUACUAAAAUUAAUUUCUCUACAGUGCUCAGAUUCAUCAUAUGUGUGUCCUUAAUUUUAGUGGAAAUUGGAAGUUUCCAUAAUUUUUGCUUUAAGUCACUCUUCUGAAGGAAGUUGAGGUUCCACUUCAUAAUCCAAAAUGUCAGGUUGACUUAUGGCAAACAAUGUAAAUAUGUAGGAGUACUAUGACCUUUUAUAGCAUUUUUAGUUUGAAUUUGGGUUUUAUACAUAGAUUUCAAAAUUAAUAGGUUGAUGCCUAGGAAAUAGAAAUUGUAAGGGCCUAUAUUAGAGUAGCCCUCUUAAAAAUAAUAUUAAUUAAUGAAUAUUUGUUCUUCUUGUUGUUUUGAAGUAGUGGUGGGAGGCAGACCAACAAAAAAAAAAUAUAGUGAAGGCUUAUAAGAGCAUUUACAAUCAUGCUCCCUAUUUUUUAGUUAAAAUUUAGCUAAAAAUAGAAAAAAAGUUAUUAUAGGAGCUCUUUAUAAAGCUCCUUUAUAAAAUUUGAACUCCAAUCAUACUCCCUAGUUUAGGGAGUCAAAAAUACUAUAGUUAUUUUUUAAUUCAAUUUGAUUUUGGUUAAUCUCUAUAAAUAUGAAAAAAUAGUUAGCAUUAAUUAAAAGUUUAAACUAUGCAUAAAACAAAGAAACAUUAAAUUAUAGGGAGCCACUAUGAGUCAUUACUCUCUCCUCAGAUUUAGGAGCUCCUAAAGGUCUCCCUAUUUUAUGAGGUGGAUAAGGAGCAUGGUUGGAGUUGUAUUUCUUCAAUUUCCUCCCUAAAAUUUGUCUAAGGAUGUGGUUUAGGGAGCCCAUUGUGAAUGCUCUAACUCUGGUAAAACACGAGUGACAUGGACAACAUAUGUUACGUCGUACUGAAGAUUUUUGGGUUUCUUUAAUUGGUUAAGUAGCAUCCACACAGCUUCCUAAAUCAUCUCCUUAGACAAAUUUUAGGGAGGAAUUGGAAAAGUACAACUCCAACUAUGCUCCCUAUCCACCAACUAAAAUAGGGAGACUUCUAGGAGCUCCUAAAUCUGAUGAGAGAGAAAGGACUCUUAAUGACUCCCUAUAAUUUAAUGUUGCUUUAUAUUAUUUUGUAUACAGACGGGUCAAUUAUAUUAAAUUAAAAAAUAAUUAAAGUAUUUAUGACUCUCUAAACUAGUGAGCAUAAUUGUAGAUCAUCUUAUAUACCUUAAUUUGAAGAUUCUUUAUUUGGGUUUCUUUCAAGACUUAUCACCUUAGCCACGCCACCUACACGUCUGCAAGCUUUCCUAACAAGGAAGGGGAGGCUGCGCAAUACUUAUCACCUUAGCCACACUACACCAAAUUGACGUCUGCAAGCUUUCGUAAUCUAACAAGGAAGGGGAGGCUGCGCAAUACUUAUCACCUUAGCCACACCAACACCACAAGACCAAUAUGUGUAGUCCAGGAGGCUUUCCCAUUUUAAUAUAUAUUAUCAAAUAAAAUAAAAAUCAAUCUAUUAUCAUAUAUAUUAUAAAAUAAAGAUUAUUGCUCCAUCCUCCAUGCACUUGCAUGCCUCUUACAAAGUGUGAAGUAGAUUUUGUGUGCUCCAAGUCAUUGACGAGAGCUGUAACAUGGUUAGCUGGAUUUAUAAGAUCUUUUCUUUUCUGGGAAUUUUCUGAAUCAAGAAAAAUUAAGUAAAAUUAAUAAAGCAUAAAUUAGAAAGGAAAAAUAUCUAGAGGAUGCAUUGUAGGAUUGCACAUGCCAAUAAUUGUAUCCUCUAAAUAUAUAGGGACAUAUUUUUUUGUUUUCAUGACAUGUGGCCCUAAAAUUAUUGUUCCUAGCGGGCUCUCCACCCCCUCUCGAUUGAAAACUAAUUGUGUAAAUCUUCAAUCUUGAAUGAUGCACCUAAAACUCAAGUGUCCCAGGCCAAUUAUUGCUCUCAUACCACUUGUUGUAAUAAACAUCCAUCCAUUCUAAAGGAAAGAUAACCAUCGAUAUUAUCUCAAAUUUAACCACUUAAGUUCAUUAUGAUUAACUAUGUAUCUUAUGGACCAAUCCAAUCAUGAGGUUUUAUACCCAAUUAGAUCGACUAAUACAAAGUUCACACGUGGAUUGAAAAGCGCUAUCAGUAGGGGAGUGUUCGGCACCCUUUACUGCCGAACGCAACACAAGACCCCUUGCAUGCCUUCACUAAGUUGAGCCUAUCUAUUUUUUAGCAUUAACAAUAUAUAUAGAUUGAAAAAAUAAAAUAAAAAUCAAUCUAUUAUCAUAUAAAAUAAAUAUUAUUGCUCCAUCCUCCAUACACUUGCAUGCCCUCUUACAAAGUGUGAAGUAGAUUUUUUGUGCUCCAACUCAUUGACUAGGGCUGAAACAUGGUUAGUUGGAUUUAUAAGAUCUUUUCUUUUCUGGGAAUUUUCUGAAGCACGGAAAAUCAAAUAAAAUUAAUAAAGCAGAAACUGUACCCUUUAAUUAUAUAUGGACGUAUGUUUUUUUGUUUUCAAGUCUUAGAUGACAUGGGGACCUAAAAUUAUUGCUCCUAGUGGACUCUCGACCCCUCUCAAAUUUAAGUGGUCCAUUAUUAUUAACCACAUAUUUUAUGGACCAUGCAGCUGUGAGGUUUUAUCUCAAAAACCUUCGGUACAUUUCUCCCACAUGCCACAAUUGUAUAUUCACAAUUACGGCUGUUACGUCACAUCAUGCCACUUGCCUCACAUGCAACAAGUCUGUGUUUUGGGGAUUGCCGAGCUGCAUCAAUUCUGCCAAUGUCAAUUCUGCCCCUGGACUCUCUCAAAGCACAUUUAAAACCUAUGCGAACAUAUAUUAGAGUUUAUGAUGUAUGUAUCUAGAAAAUGCCAACACUAAUUUCGUAACAUGUAAAAAUUAUUAGAGAUUGGAAGUUUUUAUCAUUUUUUCUUCCAGUCUCUCCACCACUUAUUAAUACAGAUUACUCAUGUGAUGAGUUUACAAAACCUAUUUCUCUACUCUCGCAAAGACUAAACUUCUUCUCAAAAGACUAGAUCACUUUACCUCUAUCUCUGUGAAAUGUAAAAAGUUGAAACUUUAAUGUCAAACCUCGACAAAGUGUUCUACUUUACAAACUUCUUGUGUCUACCAAUUUGUACUAAAAUUAAUUUAUCUACGGUGCUCAGCUUCAUCGUAUGUGUGUCCUUAAUUUUAGUGGAAAUUGGAAGUUUCCAUAAUUUUUGCUUUAAGUCACUCUUCUGAAGGAAGUUGAGGUUCCACUCCAUAAUCCCAAAUGUCAGGUUGACUUAUGGCAAACAAUGUAAAUAUGUAGGAGUACUAUGACCUUUUAUAGCAUUUUUAGUUUGAAUUUGGGUUUUAUACAUAGAUUUCAAAAUUAAUAGGUUGAUGCCUAGGAAAUAGAAAUUGUAAGGGCCUAUAUUAGAGUAGCCCUCUUAAAAAUAAUAUUAAUUAAUGAAUAUUUGUUCUUCUUGUUGUUUUGAAGUAGUGGUGGGAGGCAGACCAACAAAAAAAAUAUAGUGAAGGCUUAUAAGAGCAUUUACAAUCAUGCUCCCUAUUUUUUAGUUAAAAUUUAGCUAAAAAUAGAAAAAAGUUAUUAUAGGAGCUCUUUAUAAAAUUUGAAUUCCAAUCGUACUCCCUAAUUUAGGGAGUCAUAAAUAUUAUAGUUAUUUUUUAAUUCAAUUUGAUUUUGGUUAAUCUCUAUAAAUAAAUAAAAAUAUGAAAAAAUAGUUAGCAUUAAUUAAAAGUUUAAACUAUGCAUAAAACAAAGAAACAUUAAAUUAUAGGGAGCCACUAUGCCAAUAAUUGUAUCCUCUAAAUAUAUAGGGACAUAUUUUUUUUGUUUUCAUGACAUGUGGCCCUAAAAUUAUUGUUCCUAGCGGGCUCUCCAACCCCUCUCGAUUGAAAACCAAUUGUGUAAAUCUUCAAUCUUGAAUGAUGCACCUAAAACUCAAGUGUCCCAGGCCAAUUAUUGCUCUCAUACCACGUGUUGUAAUAAACAUCCAUCCAUUCUAAAGGAAAGAUAACCAUCGAUAUUAUCUCAAAUUUAACCACUUAAGUUCAUUAUGAUUAACUAUGUAUCUUAUGAACCAAUCCAAUCGUGAGGUUUUAUACCCAAUUAGAUCGACCAAUACAAAGUUCACACGUGGAUUGAAAAGCACUAUCAAUAGGGGAGUGUUCGGCACCCUUUACUGCCGAGCGCAACACAAGAUCCCUUGCAUGCCCUCACUAAGUUGAGCCCAACUAUUUUUUAGCAUUAACAAUAUAUAUAGAUUGAAAAAAUAAAAUAAAAAUCAAUCUAUUAUCAUAUAUUUUAUAAAAUACAUAUUAUUGCUCCAUCCUCCAUACACUUGCAUGCCCUCUUACAAAGUGUGAAGUAGAUUUUUUGUGCUCCAACUCAUUGACUAGGGCUGAAACAUGGUUAGUUAGAUUUAUAAGAUCUUUUGUUUUUUGGGAAUUUUCUGAAGCAAGGAAAAUCAAAUAAAAUUAAUAAAGCAGAAACUGUACCCUUUAAUUAUAUAUGGACAUAUGUUUUUUUGUUUUUUUGCUCUCGACCCCUCUCAAAUUUAAGUGGUCCAUUAUUGUUAACCACAUAUUUUAUGGACCAUCCAGCUUCGGUACAUUUCAAAAAGCUUCGGUACAUUUCUCCCACAUGACACAAUUGUAUAUUCACAAUUACUUCUGGGUACCCCUCAUCAGUCGUCUAUAAAAUGGUGAAGCCAGUUGCUACUGUUACCAUAAGAGCCAGCUCCGACUUUCUUUAAUUUCUUGCUACAUCUGUUGCUAAGUUAAUUUCAGUCCUAAUGGGGUUUCAUCUCCCACUCAUCUUUGCUAUUCUCAGUGUAAGCUCUGCAAUUUGAUUAACUUUUCCAUUCUCUCUCAUUGUACUCUAUAUAUAUAAAUGAAAGUUUUGUGUUCCUAUAAUUCUCUCCGAUUUUAUUUAGUACGUACUUAAGUGUCGUCCACUAAUUAAUUACACUUUGUGAGAUUUGAUUUUAAUUAGAGUUCGAAUUAAUGUUGCAGCUAGCAGCGGUUGCACUGGCAAACAAUGCUGCUCAACCAGCACCUCAACUUUACUGGAACUCCGUCCUGCCAAACACACAGAUGCCAAGAUCUAUCAGUGAACUUCUGCAUCCUGGUUUGUGUUCAGCUCUUUAUAAUCUUAGAUAUCUCUUCUACCUGCCAUUUUACUAAAAUAUGUUCGACCACAUAUUUAUCAGCUAACUACUGUGAUUACAAGAAUGACACUUAUUUUCCAAUAUAAUUUGCAGACUCCACAAAUGAAGAAAAGAGCAAACCUGAAAUUUUCCCAUUGCAGGGCAAUAGAGUUUACACUCAAAGCCAUUAUAAAAAACGUCCUCCUCCUCCAUCUGACGAGGGCAAACCUGAAACUUUCCCAUUGGGCAAUAGCCAUUACACUCAAACCCGUUAUAAAAAACGUCCUCCUCCUCCAUCUGACGAGGGCAAACCUGAAAAUUUCCCAUUGGGCAAUAGCCAUUACACUCAAACCCGUUAUAAAAAACGUCCUCCUCCUCCAUCCGACGAGGGCAAACCUGAAAAUUUCCCAUUGGCCAAUAGCUUUUACACUCAAACCCGUUAUAAAAAACGUCCUCCUCCUCCAUCUGACGAGGGCAAACCUGAAAAUUUCCCAUUGGCCAAUAGCUUUUACACUCAAAGCCAUUAUAAAAAACGUCCUCCUCCUCCAUCUGACGAGGGCAAACCUGAAAAUUUCCCAUUGGCACGUUCUCCUCCAUCUGACAGUCAACUAAAGCAUUACAAAGACUUAGCUAUUUUCUUCUUCGAGAAGGACAUGCGCCCGGGCACAACUAUGAAGUUCCAAUUCCCUAGAAAUUCAAACACGGCUACUUUCCUGCCACGCGAAAGUGCUCAAUCGAUCCCCUUCUCCUCUAAGAAACUACCAGAAAUUUUCAACCAUUUUUCAGUGAAGCCAACAUCUGAGGAAGCCAAAACAAUUAAGCAAACAAUCGAAGAGUGUGAAGCUCCAGGCCUUAAGGGAGAGGAAAAAUAUUGCGCCACAUCUUUAGAAUCAAUGGUUGAUUUUAGCACUUCGAAGCUUGGAACAAGAAACGUUGAAGCAAUCUCAACGGAGGUAUUGGAAGAAGGAGCCACCAAGUACAUGCACAACUAUACAACAAUGCCGGGACUGAAGAAGUUGGAAGGUGACAAAGUCGUUGUGUGUCAUAAGGAGAACUAUCCCUAUGCUGUGUUUCUCUGCCAUGCAAUAAAACAAACAGAAGCUUAUGUUCUCUCCCUGAAAGCCGAUGAUGGGAUGAAGGUGAAAGCAGUAACCAUCUGCCAUCUAGACACAUCAGAAUGGGACCCAGAGCAUUUGUCCUUCCAAAUCCUCAACGUUAAGCCCGGAACCACUCCCAUCUGCCAUUUCCUUACCACUGAUGCUAUUGCCUGGGUUCCAAAACACAAAUCUGCAUGAUCAUCACUUAGCACUGUACGUGUAAUAAGCUUGGUCGGGUUGCACCCUAGGCCUGCAUAAUUAUCUCCCUACUUAUUUCUGCCUCUUCAUCAUGCGGUGUAAGAUAUAUGAUGAGAUGAAGUUUUCUCUUGUAACUAUGUAGACUACUUCAACUUGUACUCAUAAUAAAGCACGCUGUUGGGGGGUUCUACUUAAUUUCGUUCUCUCCAAUGUUUGAGUGUUGAAUUGUUACGUUGGAAUAGGCUG